rnacentral:lncRNA from 1 species
UAUUGGGACAACCUCUUAUGGUUAAAAAUUUCAAAGAUUGGAAAACGAAAUGACAACCCAGAGGGCUGAACCUCACAAGGUUUGGUAGCUUUUCAAGAUGUAAGGUGGCCAAUUGAAAUCACUUUCUCUUUUUCCUUGUACCAUUCGCCUCAUCUCCUGAUUGUUCAAAUACUUGUUCUAAUUUGGAGACGUUGUUAACAUGUAGAAUUCGUAGUUUUGGAAGGCCAUGAGCAACACUCAACGGAAAGAGACAUUUCAAGUUUUCACAUGAAUAAAUGUGUAUUUCAGUCAGACUAGGGAAGCGUAUAGGUUGGAGAUGAUGACCUUGUGAUAAAGUUUGACCAUCCUUUUCAAUAAUUUGCUCCAAUUCCUCACACUUACGUAUCCAUAAAGAGCUCAAUUGUGGCAAAUUCCGAGCGAUGGUAGGUGAUAAGAUAUAUCUUAACCUUCCGCAUCUGAAGACACGCAAUUUAGUGAGGCUUUGAAAGUUGACAACUAGGAUGGAAUCUUUCCAUGCCACCUGCAAUUCAGGUAGAUCAUCCAAUGCUAGUUCCUUCAAACUUGAAAGAUUAUAUCCACCAUCAAAUAACUCUUCAAAAUUAAUGAUGGUCAAAUAUUUCAUGUUUGGUAAUUUUUGUCCCAAUUUAGGAACUAUCAUGUUGCAUGAUUGCUUCGUUUUUCUCAUAUCCUUUAAUUGUAACACCUGUAAUCAUAUCAUUUAACUAUUAAUUCAAAAAAUAUAAAAAAUAAGUAAAAACUUAUUUAUUUUUUAUUUUAAAAUUUUAUAUAAAAUUUUAAUUUUAACAAUCUUAUCAUUAAAUUAAACAUUUUACUUUAAAGGUCCAUUUAAACCAUGAUUAAAUGAAACGACCAAUAUAAGUAAAUCUAAUGUGAAUUAAGUUUAAAAUUUAAUUUUUUAAAUUUUUUAUUCUAAUCAAUUAAAAUUUAGAAAAACCUUAAUUUAGAACCAUAUCUCUUAUAAUUAUUGUAAUACAAUUAACUAAUUAUAAUUUAGUAUCGUGCAGGGACCAUCAAAAAAUUAUUUAGAAGCUGCAUUUUAAGCGAACACUACAUAAUUCUUAAUUGUGAUCGGUUAACUAUAAUGUUGUAACAAAAAUAAUUAUAAAUGAAAUACUCUCAAUUCAUUAAUUUAAGUCAAAGACAAAUAAUUUAAUUAAAAUAUAAAACAACAGUUUGAAAAGAUUAGCACUAUAUCAUGAAUAAAAAUGAAUCCAUAUGAAACGUUUAAAAACAUAGAGUACUAGUACAUACUACAUUGGGCUUUUCAAUAUAUCUAAGAAAUAAAAUUUGUUCCAAGAAUUAUGGUUAAAGAAAUAUAUUUUCUUAUAUGCGUUAAAUAUUUACAAAAAAAUUAUUACUUUUAAUUAAUUUUUUUAUUUGAUUUAAUUUUCAACUCAAAACUAAAAUAUUAAUUCAGUUUGGUUUGAAAAGUUUUUGGCAUUAAACUAAUCUAAGCCAAAUCACCUAGUUCAGCUUGGUUUUUCUGUUUUGACCAAAUAAAGCUCACACUACUCUCAAUAGUGCUAAAUGGUGAUAUUAAGGGUUUUUUAGUUCAUGGUAUUAAUUAUUUAUGUUUUUAUGGGAAGAAAUAACAAAUUUCUGUGCUACCAUGCUAUUAUUUCUGGACUCCCUGAUAUGCAUGUCAGGGAUAGGGAAUCCUUAGAAAACCAGAGUAAUAUUGUUCUGUAGCCCCUGUUAUGCCAGCAAUAGGGAAUUCUUAGAAAACCGGAAUCCAAUAGGGAAUACUUAGAAAAUCUCGCAGAUAUUUUUAGAUAUUUCAUUUGAGUGACUUGAAAAAUAUUACACUAAGAUAAGUGGGUUAAUUAGACAGAAAAUCAUCAUUAAGAUAUGAAAUGCAUUCUUGCAAUGCAUUUCAUCAAUACAAAUGUAAUUAAAUAAUUAUUUAUUAAAUUUUUUUUAUUGAUUUAAAUAAUAAAACAUUGAUUUAGUCGUAAAAAAGAAUUUCCAGAAAUUUGAUGUUUUAAAUUUAAAUCUUUUUUUUAUGAAUUUGAUUUAAUUUUAUGUUAAAUUUAUCUUAUAUAUAAUUUAUUGAUUUUUUAAGUUAGAUAUUUAAAAAUAAUUAUAAUUUCUUUUUUAUUAAUAUUUUCAUAAAAAAUUAUAUAUUGCAAUUGCAAUUAGUAAAAUUAAAACUAAUUUUAAUAUUAAAAAAUAAUAGAUAAAUAAUGCUAAAUAGUAUGAACAAUAUGUUUUUAUGAGAAGAAAUAACAAAUUUGUGAUAUUAAUUAUUUAAGGCUUUUUUUAUGAAAUGAAAUGACUAUUUAGCAUUUUAUGCAAUAAUUAAUUGAACUUAAGCGAUACCGCCAAAUCCAAUCAGGACACCAAUUGAAACAUCUCUUAUUGUUUUGUAUUUCACUUUCCAAAGUUUCCAUAUUUGAUAGGAUGUUGUCCGCCUUUGAUACCAAGCCUCCAACAUCAUCUUGAAUUGAUAGAAGUUGCCUUUCAGCAUCCUCAAUCUCAUGUUGCAGCCGAGCCCGUGCCACUAUCAGUUCUUCUUUUCUUUCCUUGAGCUUUUUAACAUUGUGGCGAAAACGGCAAAUGUGAUUAAAUUGACGUUUUACUGGCUUUGCCACCCAAUCCACGAGCAGUGUUCCCACGCUGUUAGAAAGAGCAGACUCGCAAAACCCACAAGCCAUUCUUGACAAGCUCAAGUUGAAGAAACUUCUGCCAAGCAUAAGAAUAUCGGCUAUAAUCAUGGUGAUGAUACUAAAAAGAAAAUUAAAGAAUAAUCAAGGUUAACUCUUUAAACAUACCAAGCAAGGGGAAGAUAGUCCAAAGUGUGAAAACCAACUGCUUUUUCUUCAGUUUUCUGCCAAGUAGGAGAACCAAAUGCCUUUCUUCAGCACUCUACCAAGCUGAACACACGAGAUAAAGAACAAUAUUUUUAGAUAAUUUAUAAGGAAAUAUUACUCAGAAAACAUGAAAUAAAAAAAAAAAUGUUGAUAUGAUAGAAAACCAAAAAAAUCAUAUAAUACUACAACAAUUAAACAACAAUUUUAAAAAUGAUUAAUUACAGGUUUGGUCAACCAAUUUUAGUUCAUUUUUUAUUUUGGACACCGAACUAUGAAAAGUAAUGAUUUAGUCAUCAACAUUACAAAAAUUUGUUUCUUUGAUCAUCCAAUCAUUUAGAGUUAAAUGUUGGAUGUCGUUCUUGCGAGAAUAUAUCAUCUAUAAUAAUUAUUAUGCACAAUUAAUCAAUCACAUUACAUAAUUGUGUAAAGUACAUCAAAAUUUUAUACAAAAAACGCACUCAAAUAAGUCUUGGACCUUACCUACAUAAUUUUUUAUUGGGAGCAUAUCGCCAAUAAUUAUUAUAAAAUAAUUAAUCAAUUAAAAUUUAAUAUUUUUGUAAGGUUCAAGAAAAAUCAAAUAAAAUCCGUACUUAUAAAUAUUAGAUCUUUACAUAAUUAUAAUUCAUUAAUUAUAAGAGAAUAGUAAAAUAAAUUUUAGAUAAUAUGAUUUUUUUCUAUUGUGAUUAUUGUGGUUGGAUAAUUAUAACAUUCAAAUAAAAAGAAUUGUAGGGUCACCGACAUAGCUAGAUUAAUUUUCCCACAUGGCCUAAUCUCAAUUGCCAGACGGUUAUGCCUACGUGAAAUUAUUUUAAAAAAUAGGCCCUUAUCCAGAAAAAAAUCAACUUGUUUCAUUUUCCAACUUCUCUGGAGUACCCUAUUUCAUUUAAUAGCACCGCCAUCGUUUUCCAAACCCCGAUGUAAGACCAAUUUCUGCUACCAUCGUACGCCGCUCGCCGGACCGUUUUUCUUUCCAAAACUCACCCAAGUCUUCUCCUUGAUCCUCCCUUACAUUAUAUCAGAUCAGAUUUUCCUAAAAACUCCUAGAAAGUCCUAAAUUGAAAACCAAACCAAAGACCUUAAAAACUAUUUAUCACCACCAAUGGCACCGUUCCCUCUCUCCUCUCCUCCGGCUCUACCCGCGACAACUAGAGAAGCUCUAAAAACCCAAGAUCAAAAGACCCUAGAACCCAAAACGGUUACCUGCAUCCGCCUUUCUACUCCACUACAACCAAUUUUUUUGUUGUUUUUUUAAUAUUGACAAAAAAGGUUAAAUGAAUAUUUUAACCUUGCCACCUUUAUAUAGAAAUAAUAGAUCCGAGGCUUUCAAGAGAAAAUUUGCUUGAGAAAUAAAUCCAAUCCUUUUCAGUUCUGAUCUGCUUCACUGAAAAAAUUGCAAAUUAGAUAAAAAAAAAAAUGUAAGAAACAAACUUUAUUUUUACAAAGAGAAAGCAAUGGAGAAGUUGUUGCAUUUACCUCACUUGAUGCCUUCUAAAUCUGCGAGGAUUUAUUCAUGACGGAUCAAUGAAAGCAAAGAAAAGAAAUUUGAAGAUUGGAUUUUUUUCACUUUUUUUUUUAAUUUUUGAGAUGAAAAUGACAAACAAAGUGGAAACUAAAGAGAGAAAAUAUUGAAGAGUAGCUCUCUUUUUUAUUAUUUUUGAAGUUACAAGGAAAGAAAUGUAGAAUCAAACAAAAUUCAACUGAAGUUUUUCGUUUUUUUUUUUUUUUCUCUUUUUGAGUUGAAGGAAAAGCCAACAGAGUAGAAAUCAACCUUAAAACUCUUGGCCAAAAGGAAAAAUAAAUCAAGCUGGCACUAAAAUGAUCAAAAAGCUUGGAAAUUGAGAAGAGAACGAUCACUUAUCUGCCCGGAAAAUUCAAACAAAAGAAAUUAACAGAACACUCAACUUCCGAUGGCAGAAAUGGGUUUUUGCUUCUUUGUUUUUUUUUUUUUUUUUUUUUUCCUUUUGGAGGUUUUAUGGGCAAAGGAUUUGUUUCAAGAUUAGUACGUGAAAUGUAGAGAAAGGAAGACUUAUUUUCUUUAAAGUCUUCUUUUUCUUUUAAUAUUGUUAUUUCAUUUUUAAAUUCCAUAGUGUCCGACAAAAGCCAUGUGACCGACAAAAGUCAUUACCCAUCACUUCUUUUCUUGUCGGGAUCUUCUUGUUUUAUUCUUCCUUUCUUAUCUAAGCAAUGGAAGACAGCCCAAAUAUCUGUCCUUUUAUUAGGGGAAAUUUUCUAAAAGUAACGCAAAUAUUUAUUAAUUCGUACCAUAUUAAAAAUAAUUGGUGAAAAAAUAAUAAUAUAUUAAUAAAUAAAAUCGAAACUUAUUUUUAUAAUCGUAAUGUUCAAUGAUCAUUAUUUAAAAUUACAAUAUAUGUAUAUUUAGUUAAUAUAUAUGUAUAAUUAUUUUACAAAAUAUGUACAUCCAAAAAAUAAAAUAAGGUAAUUACAUUUUUUGGAUAUUAAUAUUAUAAAAAAUAAAUUUAACUUUUUAUUAAUUAAAUAUAAAUAUUUCUUUCCAAUUAAUUAUUUUUAUUAUAAUAUCAUAUAAUAAACACUUUUUUAUUAAAACACCUUUCGUAGUUCUUUCUUGUUUGUAGAACUAUUGUUUCAUCCUCUUUACAUCCGAUAAACGAAAUUCACAACUAAUUCAAAAGAAUUUCUUAUCAGUCAACCAGAUCAUUCCUAAUUCGUGAUAGAAAACUAUUAAAACAGGAAAAGAGCUGGGUCUGAAAAUAAUAUUUUUCCGUGUUCACUAAUUAAUAAUUAGAUUAAUUAUCAUGAUUCAUCACGUAAAAAAAGAUAUAUUAUACAAACAGCUCAAAAAUACAAUGAAGGUAUAAUCAUAUUUUUCAUACACUUGAAAAUUAUAUAUUAAGUCAUUAUGAAACAAAUACACAAUAAUAAUACCAUUAAAAUGGGGAAGCUUUUAUUUAAGGCAAGCUUGGCUAUUCAUUAAGCCUUUUAUGAAGGCUACGUCGGUAAAUUUCAUUAUUUGUCCACAUUGUAUGAGUAAAUUUCCUGAUACUUGAUUAAUGUUUUUUAUGUGUAAAAAAAUUACUUUACCCAUCAUCUUUACCUCAAUUAAUUUUAGUAAUAAAUUGUAAAAGAAGGAAAUACAAUAUGAUAUCCAAUAAUGGUCAAGACAAACAAUAAUAAAAAAUGGAGCUUCUAUAUCUUGCGGUCAACAAAUUAAUGGAAACAAUACUAACCUAAAGAUAUUCAUGAUAGAUUUCUAAUAUGUUGAUUAUUUUUUACAUUAAUUACAGGUCUACUUGUUACAGAUGACUAUGCCAUGGCAAUGUAGUUAUUCAUGAAUAUCAAAUUUUUAUAAUUAAUUAUAGUAUUUGAAUUAAAAUUUCAUUGUAAACAUUUACGUAUUAUUAAUUUUAUAUAUUAAUUUUCGCUUUAAUAUACUGUGUUUUUCUUUUUUGUCUAUAUCCAUCAUUGCAUAAGGAAAAAAAGGGCAAAUAAUAAAAGGUAAGUAAUAUACUUAACAAGCAUUAAAUUCUUACAAUGAGCUACGAGGGUAAACCACUUUACUUAAUUACUUGAGAACAAAGCAUUGACAAGUUAUAGAUUUAUUAAACCUAGUAGAUUUAUAGUGAGACGAAGAUCGUUCGAUUAAGAGUAUCCAAAGACUAAAAUAAUCUGAUUCUAAUGGUCACUUUUAAAUUGAUUACUCCUUUAUUACUUGUUUCUCAUUAUACAUAUAUAUCAAAUCUAAGAUGUAAAUGAUAAAUAGUGUUUAUGAGUUUUUUUUAGUUUGAUCCGAAUAAAAUUUUAUAAUUCCAUGAUUAUUUAUUCAAGUUUGAGUAAUUUAAUGAGUUUAAAUAUUUUAAUAUUCGAUUUGAAUAAUUAAUUAGUCUAAUCUCAUUUUUAUAUUUUUUUAUUAUUUUAAUUUAAAAUUAUUAUUUAAUCUUUGUAUUUAUAUCAACUUGAGUUUAAAUUUAAAUACAUAAUCGAGUUUAAUAUUGAAUAUGAAAAUCAAACUCAUUUUUUAUUGUAUAAGAUUAAUUAAAAAAUUUUGAAUAUCUCAACUUUUAUCUUGAGAUGAAUUUAAAUUUAAAAAUUAAAAUUUAAUUGAAUUCAAAUGAAAUUCAAAUUCAAACUUAUUUUUUUGAGUUGAUGGAAAAGCAAAAUAGAAAUCAGCCUCAGAACACCUUAAAAAAAAAAAAAGAAAUCAAUCUCGCACUGAAAUCAUAAAAAAAAGCUUGGAAAUUGAAAAGAGAACCUUCACUUAUUUUAUUGGUAAAUUCGAACAAAAGAGAUUAAUAGAACACUCAGCUUCUGAUGGUAGAAAUGGGUUUUUGCUUCUUUUUUUUUUUUUUGAGGUUUAGGGGCCGAAGAUUGGUUUUAUGAUUAUUACGUAAAAUGUAGAGAAAAGAAGACUUCUUUUCAUCCAAGUCUUCUUCUUUUUCUUUUAAUAUUGUUAUUUCCUUAUUAAAUUCCAUAGUGGCGGACAAAAGCCAUAUGACCCAGGACUUGUUUUUCUCUCGGGUCUUUUUUUUUUCAUUCUUCCUUUCUUAUCCAAGUAAUGGAAGACAGCCCAAAUAUUUGUCCAAAAAUUUCCGAGAAGUAACAAAAAAUUUUAUUAAUUGGUAUCAUAUUAAAAAUAAUUAGUGAAAAAAUUAUAAUAUAUUAAUAAAUAAAAAUAAAAAUUAUUUUUAUUUUCGUAAUAUUCAAUAAUCUUAAAUCAAAAUUAUAAUACAUGUACAUUUAGUUAAUAUAUAUGUUAAUUAUUUUAUAAAAUACGUACAUCCAAAAUAAAAUAAAAUAAGUACAUUUUUAGAUAUUAAGAUUAUAAUAAUUAAUUUAUUUUUUAUUAAUUUAAAUAUAAAUAUUUCUUUCCAAUUAAUUAUUUUUAUUAAAUAUCAAAUAAUAAAUAUUUUUUUAUUAAAACACCCUUGGUAGUUCCAACUUGUUUAUGGAGCUAUUGCUUCAUCCUUUUUAUCUCCAAUAAACGGAAUUCACAAUCAAUCCAGAAGAAUUUCUCAUUGGUAAAUUAGAUCAUUCUUAAUUCAUUCUAGGAAACAAUUAAAACAGCAAAAGAACUGCCCCGAAAUAUCUGCCCGUGUUCACUAAUUAAUAAUAAAAUUAAUUAUCAUGAUUCAUCACAUAAAAAAAAGUUAAAUUAAAUUAAUAAUACAUUUCAGACGAAGAAUUGAGAUAUGUUAAAAAAACAUAUGAUACAAACAGCUUAAAAAUACAAUAAAAGUGAAAGCAUAUUUUUCAUACACUUGAAAAUUAUAUAAUUAAGUUAUUAUGAAACAAACACACAAUAAUAAUUCCAAUAAAUUGGGGAAGCUUUAAUCUAAGGCAAGCUUGGCUAUUCAUUAAGCCUUUUAUGAAGUCUACGUCGGCAAAAUUCAUUAUUUUGUCCAAAAUAAUUACAUUGUAUGAUUAAAUUUUUUGGUACUUGAUUAAUGGUUUUUAUGUACAAAAAGAUACUUCACCUAUUGUCCUUGUCUUGAUUAACUUUAAUAAUAAAAUAUGAAAGAAAAAUAGAAUAUGAUUUGCAACAAACAGUCAAAACAAACAAUAAAAGAUGGCGUUCUACCGAUCAACAAAUUAAUUGAAACAGUACUAAUCCAAAGAAAUUGACCAUUUGCUGCAAAUUGGGAAAGUAAAAGUAAAGAUUGAAAGUAAUUUCAAAGAACGAAUAAAAAGCAAACCAUCAUUCAAAUUAAGAAAAUCUAUGCCUAACUUAAGAAAAACCAAUCAAAUAAUUCCAUCUCCACUUUUAGUAAUCCAAAUGCCAACAACAUCCUUAUUAGGAAAAGGAAAUUGAAGAUGAAAACUCUCUAUAUAUUUAUUGUAUUCCCAACUUAAACUUAAUGCUUUAAAACGAUGACAUUUGGAUAGAUUGAGGUUAUUUCAAAUUAAAAAAAAUCAAAUUAUUUUGAAUUCAAAAUUUUUUAAAUUUGAUAUUUAAGUUUUCUAAGUUUAGAUCAUCGAAUUUAGGUUAAUUCGGAUCAAAUUGUUGAGUUUUAAAUUAAUUAUAUAAUUAAAUAAAUUUGAUUCAUUAUUCAAAUAUGAAAUGUAUUAUUGAUUGGGAAUAUAACUAAAAUGUUGACAACCAAACUCUCAAAGAAGUAAAACUCAAUUGGUUAGUGUAUAGUGGUGGAUCUUGAUAUUUAAUUUUGAGAGAGUUAAUCAAUAUUGGCAUAAGAGUAAAAAAAUCCCUCAAAUAAAAAAUCAUUUAUCAAUUAAGCUUCUCAUAUUUUAAUGCAAUUAAUCAAGCCCUAAAUCUUCUAUUUCAAACUAAUUGAAUCCUUAAACAUUUAUUUUCACCCAGUUGAAUCCUUAUACAUAUAUUUUCACUCAAUUAAGCCCUCGAUUGGAUAGAAAAAAUUAACCAUUUUUCUCUAAUAAGAGUUUAAUUAAUGAAAAUAGAUGUUUGAGGGUUUAAUUAAUUGUAAAAAAAAAGAACUUAAAUGAUUAUUGAAUUUAGUUUAGAGGCUUUUGUGACCUUUUGCCAUAAAUAUUAUAUUGAAUUUUAAUUUUUUUCUUCAUAAGUAACCUACUAUAUAUAUUAUCAAUAGAAAUAGAAAUAUACUAAACAUAACUUACAAAAUUAUAAAUUUUAUCAAUUUGUAUAAAGAAACAUAAUACAUCAAAUAAAUCAUUUUACUUAAAUUUGUGAAUGAUUUAAAAAAAAAUAAACCAAUUGCUAAAUAACAUAUUUUCUUAUCAAAACAAGAAAAAUAAAAUAUAUCAUUAAAAGAAUAAAAUUAAAACUUUGCGAUUAGAAGUUAGUAAUUUUUUAACCUUUUAAAUAUUUAUUCAAAUCUAACUUUUGUCUUGAAUAAAAAAUUGCAUUAUAACAGGGAAAAAAUCUAAAAUAAAAUUUAAAAUGAAAAUUAUAUGGAGAGAAGUUGCAGUUGAUUAAAAAGAAAAAAAGUUUGAUACUUGAUUAUAGAUUUGAAGUCUUAUGAAAAAACUAGAAAUUUAAUUUGUCUUUUGUUAAAUGGAUAUGAUUAUGAUUGUAACAAGUAUACAUUUCCUAAUUCUUAUAAUAAAUCUCUUGAUUUUAAGGGUUUGUAAAUAAUAAUUGAUUGGUAUAACAAAUAAAUAAAAAAUAAUAUGAUUUUAAUCCUUCUUAAACUAUAAUGCAUAACAUAGGUAUACACCCAUAAGCGUAAACACGCAUGAAUUUUAACUGCCCAAAAAAAUUUUUUAUAAUACUUUUUUAUUGGUCUUCUGCAAAUAAGCUAUUCGGAUUUCAAAAUAUUAUUAACUAGUUUAACUGAGUGAACUAGAUAUAAUGCAUUCACUCGAAGAAUAGAACUUAUAGAUUAUUUGAUUUCCCUAACAAACUUGAUUAUCCUUGACAUUUGGGAGGAGCCAAUGACCCCUUUUGACUUGUAUAACCAUCCAUCUCUGCCUCAUGUUACUGGGGUUUUUAAAAUUUUAAGGGUUCAAGGAGCUUUCAGGCUUGCAAAACCAUCUGUCUCUGCUAGUGUACUUGAAAGGCAUAAAAUAGGUUGUUGAAUUCCAUGCAUGUGUUGGAGAACAACGUGAAUGUCACGCAUUUAGGUCCAAAAGUCGCAAAUCCAGCAAAAGAUACCCCGAAAUGAAAACAAAACAAAGCUAAGGUGACCUUAGGAACUCAGCUUCUUUUAGAACUUUGGAAACAUAAAUUGAAAGAGAAAAAAUAAAAGAAAAAAUAAAAAGCUUAAAGAGAGUAUCUUGGAGACUCUAGGAAUGAACGGAGGAAGUGUGGAGGAGGAUUUUAUCUCCAUUCCUUGUAAAAAAGAGAAAAUUAGAGUUUAUAAAGUUAAAUUUUAAAUUUUAAAAUCUACAUUUCACUUUUAUUAUUCUCAAAUUGUGGCCUUCUUUAUAUUAAAAAAUGUAACAAUGUCAAAAUAAUUAACUAACUCUUAAUUUGGAUUUACAUUGACAUAUUAAAAUUAAGAAUUAGUUAAUUAUUUUGACAUUAUUUUAUUAUUUAAUAUAAAGAAAGUUGUAAUUUAAAAAUAAUAAAAGUGAAAUAUAGAUUUUAAAUUUUAAAAAUUUUAAAAAAUUAUAUGAGUCAAUUAAGUUAAAUAUAAAAUUAAACAUUAUUAUAUUUUUGUAAACAAACAACACGUUUGAAUAUGAAAGUACACUUUAUAAUUAAACUAUUAGUAAGCUUAAUUUUUUAAUCACUUUAAUUAGCAAAUUAUAUUUAAUUUAAGUAUUAUAAUACUUAGACAUAGUUUGAUUGCAAAUUUAACUGAAAUUAUUUCUUCUAUAUCCUAUACACAAUAAAAAAAAAUUUAUUGGCACUUAUAAGUGCUAGUAAAAGAUUAAAAAAUGCUGCUAUUACUUUUGUCGACAGUUUUUUGACCGCUGGCAAAGUAAGUAUUGGUGAAAACUUUUUGACAGUCAAGUCAUUGGUGUUAGAGUUACACAUGUAUUUGUCAGCAUGAAUUUUUUCAACACUUUAAACUAUCAUUAUAAAAAAAAAAAAAAAAAUUGAAAAGAUUUUAAAGUUUCAAUAAAAAUCACAUUUUAUUCAAAUUUUUUAUAUUUAUUAAGUAAACUAUAUUGACACUUAAAACUGACCUAAAAAUAUUAUUUUAUUUUUUACAAAUAAUUUUCACAUUUAUAAUUGUUGUACCAAUAAAAUAAAAAAACAAUUCAUUUUUGUUUAUUUUCAAUAUCUCUGAAACUACAACUUAUAAAUGUUCUAGAAAACUUUUGAUACCAUGGCAAUUUGAUAAUUUCAUUAUAAAUGGACUUAAAUUGUCAUCCUCAAGUUUCUGUUCAUUGAGGGAUACAUGAUCUAAGACCGAUUAUUUGAAUCGGCAAAACAUUUAUAUGGCGAUCAUGGCUUGAGGUCAUAAGCAUGCAGAAGAGACAGGAAAAAGUCACAUAAUCAUGUCUUUCUGGAUGCAAUUUUAAACGUGGUACAUGGAUUAACCAAACGAUACAAACUGAAACGUCUAACCAAACAUUUUCUUGUAACUACUCAGACCUUAGUGAAAGCAUAGUUAAUUACUUUCUCGAUCUAUCUAAAAUCCCAGCUAGCUAGCCUAUCAGCUGUUCUCGGAGAGAAUCUAUGGCCUGGUCAAAGACUAUUUCAUACAUUUUUUCUGUUGGAUGAACAGCAUCCCAGAGUACAUAUUUUGAUGCAUCAGCGCAUGUGCUCAUGCCUUUGCAUGUAUCUCCAUAUUCUACUGUCCCCGUUCCACGACAUCCUUUGGAAGUUUCAGCCAAACCUGUCAAUUUAUUUGGGGGUUUCAGAAAUAUAUAUAUAUAUAUAUAUAUAUCAUUCUUUUGCAUUUUAAAACCAAAUAAAGAAGAAGAAAUAAGAAGGAUUGAUCAAAGCCAAUUACCAUAUUUUUUGGGGUUGUUCACAGCAUCCUAACAACAUAUUUCCGUUAGGGUCUUGAAAAAGGGCAUGCAGCCCAAGGGAGGGAUCCCAACAACGACUAAUCGUGUAAUUCUAAGCCUAUGCAUCUUCUGCAAUAAUCAAACAACAUGAAAAAUUAAACGUAAAACCAACAGAAGGUAGCUAGGAAAAUAAUUAUUGAGAUUUGUAAAAACUUGUUAAUUAAUAUUUCAUGCUCCUAAUGUAAAUAUUGAAAUUUGAAUCGCACACAUCUUAAAUGUUAUCCUUUAAAGAUAAUUACAUGAAUUAAUUAAACUAAAUUUCAGAUUAAUGGAAUUUUCUUUUUUCUAGGCUCAUUCCCUGUCUUGGGUCAUCAAUUACAAAACCAUUAAUUAUCCUAAAAGCAAUAAUUUAGGGCUAUAAGCAAAAAAUUGUUAGAAUAAACGCAUGGCUCAAAUGUGAUUGAUCAUUUAAACCUAUAUAUGUAAAGAACAUCUUAUAGAAGACUACACUAUUAAAGUGAAGCAUAACAUCAAACUUUUAGUCAUAAUAGACAGCAAAUUCUGCGCUGACCUCUUUUCUUCUUUGCAUAAAAUUUCAUAUAACACCAGCCUGGCACUUAUACAUGUUGCCUCAAGCGUUGACAUUGAACUUACCACUUCAAGUAAGAAGCCCCCUCUCUAAGUCCCACUUUCUGUCCUGGAUCUUUAGCAAAAGGUGGUGCUGCUGCUGGAUCAAGAUUUUUCCCCUCUUUAGUAACAAGACCCUUAACAAGUAAUAAACAACAGAAAAUUAAGUAUUUAUCCACCAUGUGGAGGAUGAAAUUAAAAUUACCAGAUGGUCAAUUGACAUAUAAUUAAAGUCCGAGUAUUUAGAUUCCCAGAGUCAAACCAUAAUCAUUUUCUAAUAAGAAAUAAGAAAUUAAAAAAAAAAAAAAGAUCAUUUUUCUAGUAAACCUUUUUCCACUUGUUCUGUUCAUGCAAGCCUCAUCUUUAUUACACAAGAGAAUGGGCAUGUUACGUAUCUAAAAGAACGGAGAGGCUUGCACAAAUAGGAUGAAGAGUAGUAGAGUAGUGGAAGUAUAAAACCAUACAUUUUAUCAAGUGGAAAAAGUUGUGUGGCAGUCUAUUUUGGGUUUUCCUGUCAUCCUCAGCAACAGCUUUGCACAGCCAUCUAAGAACACCCAAGCCCUGCACUGGAGACAGAAAGGUGGAAUGAGAUAAAAGCCAAGAGAGAUCGGCGCAGACGAAAUAGCCUGAAAAUUUUGGUGAAAGCGCUGAAAGCCAAAGCCUUAUCUAUAAGUUAGUCAAGGUACCUUCCAGCUCCACCACAAACUAUCUUUUGUUUGGAAAGUCAGCCAAAUGAUCAACCUUGUGCUCUUACAGUUUCUAACAAUCCAGCAAGUGUAACUCCAGAAGUUUCUCUAAGAGACAUUAAGCACAACUUUAUAAUAAUGGUGGCAUUCAUAGUAAUUUCAGAGCAAUCUGCAUUACACUAGACACUAAUCUAGUCCAUAAAAGUAGAAAGUUGUUGCACCAAGAGUUUACCCUUUUAUCAUCAUUAAACAUGCAAAACCUUUUCCGAUAGUGUUCCAGAGUUUCAAAGGUCCCUUUCAUUUGAAAAUCCUCAAACUGAAUGGUGUAACCAUCAAAUAAACAACAUGAUAUAAACCAAGCAUAACACAAAAUUCUCACUUGCGAAAGAAAUAAACCUGUACAAUAGCCUUAGGCCAACCUGUGAAAACUGCUUCCAUGAACUCAUCAACAAUUGACAGAUAUUCUUCCCCUUCUAACCUAGGUUGUCUUAAUCCUAAAUCUGUCAAGCUAAAAGAACUUGUCAAAAAAAUCCUAACAACCUAUCACAUAGUCACAGCAAUCAUAUCAUAUGGUCGACUCUGCAAAGGUAACAACUUCCUAAGAACAAAGUAAUUGAGUACACAUUUUAGUCACAAAGCCGGUUUUAAAGUAGCCUUUGAUUGUUAGUACCAACAUCUAGCAUAACUGGGAGUAUCUGUCAGAGACAGAUACUGAUUGAAUAAUUAAAGUUAUAACGCAUGACAAGAGUCACCAUAGGAAGAAAAAAUUGAAAUUUAUGGAAACAAACUUUCAAAGCAAGAUAUAAAUCAACUCAACAGCUCUAAGACAGCAGUGAACAACUUUGCGAUUUUUCUUGGAAAUUAUUUGCUAAAGAGUUUUCAAUGACAAUAGAAUAAGAAUUUAUAUCCUUUCUCUUUGAUUCACAUAAAGCUCUAAAGGAGGCAGGUUCUGCAAAUGAAUGGAAGACAACCACAUUGCAAAGUUGAACUAUAAUCAGUGCAACCACAUUCCAAAGAUUUUUUUGAGGCAAGAUUCGUUUUGCUUUCUUUGUGCUUGUUCAAGAUACUAGCAUUUACAUAGUUUUUCCCCAUAAUCAUUCCCAGACAACAACUUACCCAUAUGCCCUCACUGAAACUCUAUAACAAUAUGUUAUUAAAACUAUACACUCUUUUACUUAUUUUACACAAAACACGAAAUGAGUACACAAAAAGCAACUAGCUCAUGCUCAUGCUCAUGCAAAAUAGGCUAUUUGGAUCAAGAUUCUUUAUGAGCAAUUCUCACUCAAAUUGGAAAUUAAAUUUAUACUUACAGUAAACAUCGCAAACUACAACUAUUUAUCAACAAUAUUCAACUCAAAUUGUUUUGUAUGCAUUUUCCUACCUGUGCUUAGUAUAGUGAGAAGCAACUAUGGCUCAGUCUUCACAGGGUCUUCAACAGAGCUUCUAUACUUGGCUAUCAGAUCCCUAAAAUUGGAAGAAAAAAAAUGCACACAUUCAUCAAGUAGAAACAUUCAAUUGCAAAAAACAUAAAUCAGGACCGACUACUUGCCUCUGAUUUAGCAAUUGCUCACUUUCCUCCAGCUUUCGCUGUUGUCCUUCAAUAGUCUACAUCCAACAUCGACAAAUUCCAAGUUAUAGAAAGAAAUACUAAUACUAACACAGUACCACAUUUUAAGAAUCUAUCAUCACAAACCCUAAAAAAAAAAUGCCAUUAAAAUUAUAUAUUUUUGUUGUGAUAUUUGUAAUAUAUACUUAUAAUUUUGUGCUAAUUACUUAUAAGAAAUCAAGUUGAACUAAAACUCAAUCUAACCUAAAGUAAAUUUUUUAAAUUUAAGUUGAACUCAAAUUUCAUAUCACAAACUUUUUAACUCAAUUAUACCUCAAGCUGAACUAGUAAUUAAUGUAUUUGAUAUGUACUCAAUCGUGUUUAUGCUAAUAGAAAGUUUGAUAAAAGUGAUAUAAAAUUAAUUUAUCAAUUAUCUAUCCGAUAAUUUUUAUAUUCAUAUAGUCUAAAACACUUAGUGUAUUAGUAUUAUGUUUUAUGCAAAAAUUGAAUAUUACAUUUCAUAGCAACAUGAAAAAUACGAAAAAUAAUUUUUUAAUUUUUGUUAAACCCAUAUAUAAAUUUUAUUAAAAUUUUAACUCAUGUUACUUGCUUGUCUUUUUUUUUAUUAUUUUCAUAUCAUAUUACUAUAUUAUAUUUUAAAUUAUCAAAUCUAUCCAACUUUUUAAAAGAUUCAGAUUGUAAUACCUUCAAUUGUUAUAAGGUAUAUUUUUCACAAUAAAUUAUCAAUAAUUGUAAUUUCAUAUUAGAUUAUUUAAUUUAGUAAUAAAUAUAUAUAAUAUUACGGAAUAAAUGGACAGAUCGUUUGACUAACUAUUUGUAAAUAUGUUCAAAUUAUAUUUAUUUUUUUAAUUUUAAUAAACGAUUAUAAAUAAUAUUUUAAGAUUUUUUAAUUAAACGAACAUAUCACAAACAUAACAAAAUUUUUUCAUAUUCGAUUCAUUCGUAAAAAUUAAUAUAAUGUUUUACAAACAAUUCGUGAAUAUUCUUGAUUUUUGUUUAUUUAUUAAAUUUAACAAAUGAUUAUAAAGAAUAUUUCAUGGUUCAUUAAUGACAUUACCAUAACUAUAUUUAAUACCAAUAGAAUUUUUUGACAAAUUUUUUUCAUAGAUAAUUACAAAUAGAAUACCAACGAAUUAUCAAUGAAGUUGAAAAGUGAAAUUAUCAAUUUAUUACCAUUGAAAUACUGAUAAUUUCCAUCAAUAAAUACAAAUGAAAAUUUUUUGCAUUAAAAAAAAUACAAAUGAAAUAAUUUCCAUCAAUAAAUUUUUUGCAUGUCUACCAAAUUUUGACGCUGUACUUACGAAUGAAAAAUUAUAUAAAUAACAAUGUAGACACAUUUUACCGAUGGAAUAUCAAGAAAAAAUUUUGUUGAUUAAUAAUUUAGGUGCAAAAAAUUUUUUUAAUUAAUAAAUAAAAUUUUAUAUUUUGAAAUUUUUAAAUCCAUUUUCAUCGGUAUUUGUUUGGUGAUUUUCAUUUAGGAAUAAAAUCCCUAACUCUUCUCUUAAGCAUUUAUCUCCCUCACUCACAGUUCUCUUUUCGCACCCCCUCCACUAGACCGUCAUCCCUCUUUUCUAUCCUCAAUUCCUCCUCCGACGGCCUUUCUCCUCCACCGUUCACUGCUAUAACAUCAUUUGUGACUGAGAACAUCUCAAAAACAGGUAAUCGAGGAAGCUUCAGGUGAAACUAUAUAUAUUUUUAAAUUGAUGCUUCUUUUAAUCAUUUUUAGAGCCACACAAGCACUAAAGGAGAAGAAAUGAGAUGCAUAGGUGAUGGGAGAUGGGCAUAAUGGGUUGACAGCCGCGGCUUACUUGGCUCGUGACAGCAUGUCCGUUGCCGUGCUCGAGCAAUACCUUUCCAUAGAAGCUUCAGGUGAAAUUUUUUAUUUUUUUUAUAUUUUAAAUUUUUUGUUAAUAAUAUGAGUUUUUAUAUGGCAUUUAAUUUGAAAAAAAGGAAAAAUUAAAGAGACAUGUUUGAAUUUGUCGAAGCUAAUAAGGACGACGUUUACUAAUUGGCUGAACAAUUUAAAGAAAAGUAAAAUUUCGAGGAAAAUGAAAUCUCUAAUUUCUUUGAUACUAUGUGUGAUGAAUCAUGCUCUGUUUUGAAUGUCCACCAUGUCUCAAAUUUGUAUUUUAUUUUUAUAGUCUCCUUCCAAUUUUCAACAAAUUAGACAGAACUUUGAUGUUUUUUUCUAGGUUUUGAUGUAACGGUAAAGUUAAAAUUCAUUUUAGCUUUUUAAAUUUUCCAUCAACUAUAUUUUCUAUGCAAUUUUAAACUUUGAUUUGUGAUGAACUAGAGCUAGUUAGAAAGUCGAUUCAAUUUGUUGAAACACCAAAUCAUCUUAUUUGAGAUAUAGUAUGGUAAAAAGGAAGUGAAAAUGCUUGCUUAUUAUAAGCUUACUAUGUUCUUAUUGAGGUUUGUUUGUAAUGAAUGAGUUGGGAAUCUUUUGUUCUGUUUCUAAUUAAGGUCAUGGCUAUUUGAAUUAAUAUAUUUAACAUCACUUAGUGUUAGCAAUAAGCCAUUUUACAAUUUUAUGAACCAUUGUCAAAUGUGAGUUGGUGUUUUUCAUUUUCUAUGCUUUUUAUUGAAUUUAACUUUUAUUUCUAGUACUUAACUAAUUCAUCUGUAGGUUCUUUGUCUUCACUUUUCCUGCAAUUCAUCUAUUAACUAAUGCCUUCUAAGGGACCAAGGUCCAACCUUGAGCAUAUAACAAGAGCUAGGUGUCAAAAGGUAAUAGUUUCUGAGGUUUUUGUAGCUCUCUUUUGUGGUCUCUUAUAUUGUUAUUAUUGUUGUUAGUGUCAUCAUGCAUGAGCAUACAUGCACAUGCUUAACCGUAAAGAAGUUUAAAGAUGAAAUCUUUGUGGAAACUUAACCUUUUUAAGAGUGAAUUUAUAUUGAGUAUUGGCUUAACUUUCAUGAACUUUUUGUUGUACCUUAGUUUCUAAAUUGCUUUUGGCUGGAAGCAAUUAGUUGUUAUUUUCUAAUACAAGUGAGGUUUUCUUUUGACUUGUGCUUUUUAAGUUUCAUUAGCAAUUAUAGUUUGAAUCCAUCUCCUAAUUGUAAAUAAAAUCCAGUUUUAUAAAUGUUCUUCAAGAAUAUCUACCUACACAUAAAUGAGUAAAUCUUUCAAGAAUGUGAAAAGAAGAAUUCCAUACUCUAAACACUUGGUGAUGUGCGUCAAUUUGCUUGGCAUUAGUGCUAACAUGGUGCUUGUCCAAGAUGAAUUUUGUUUUGUUCUGCAUAUUCUGCUUGGCAUCAUUUUGUUUUGUUUCCAAGCCUAUCAUUUAUCUUGGCCUUUAGUUUGCUUAAUAUGGUUUUGCGUAUCUUGUAUGCAUCCAAAAAUUAUGAUUUUUUAGUUCAUUUCACAUGAUUUUACUUUAAUAUUAUUUUUAAUAAAGCUUCCAAAUUUGUUAUGGAAAUAGAUUGCUCUAGUAAUUGAGCCCAAGAAUACAGAAGCAAGUCCUAUGUACAGACAAGUUUAGGAGGUGUGGCCAACGGCCAAUGUCAAGUUCAAUUGCUUUGGUUGGAAUUUUGUAUUGAUAAAUUUUUUAUUAGCUUGAUUUAGAGUUUGUAUGUUCUCUUGGUGAUGCUGCUAAAAAAUGUUAAUUGUUUUGUUUUGUGAUAAGGAAGUUAAUGAUUGAAUAUGAUGGACGAGCCAAAGUUAGAAGGUAGUCCUUGAAGUGAACAGAGUGUGGUUGCCACUCCAACGAGACCAGAAUCCAACAAGUCCUUCUAGUCAAUCUUGUUCUACACUUAUUUUAGUCAGUAGUUGAUAUAUUUGCUUUAGUAACUAUAUUUAAGAACUUGAACCGGUGAAUAUUGGUUCUCGUAGACUGCAAGAAAAUGGUACUUCAGGAUUGUAAAAUAUUAUUAUUCAUGUAAUUACUUAAAAAAUAAAUUAAAAAACUAGAAUAAAAUGAGAGAAUUUACAAACAAAGUAGAAUUAUAUAUGAUUAAAAACCAAGUAUUAUCAGUCGGAAAUAUUAACUAUUACCAAUGAAAUUUUAACUAUUAAAGACGGAGGUUUUUUUUUUACAAAAUUGAAAAAAAAAAUUAUUAAAAUAAUAUACAAAAUGAAAAUUUGGUCAGUAAAUUUAUUGAUAAUAUUAUUACAAACAAAAAAUAAAAUAUUAUCAAUAAAAAAUUUUUAUUGAUAAUAUUUCAUUUUUUGAUAGUGUUAAACGAACAAAUCACAAAUAUAACAUAAAUUAUUUAUGUUUAGUUUAUUUACAUCUCUAAUAAUAUAUUUUAAAAAAUAAGUUAAAAUUCUUGGAAAAUAAACAAAUUUUGAAUGUGUUUAUGCGCUUGGAACUAUACACUAGCUUGAUAAUCAAUAAUAUGAUUAACUUUACUCAAAAAAUAAAAGGAGUAUCAAGAUCACCAUCACCAUUAUCAUCAAUUCUCUCAGAUAAACUUAUCAGAUUCUGUUUAGAGAGUUCUGUAAAUGUUAAGACUACAUGAAAAGUAACAGGAAGUACCAGCAAAGUGGCAAGUUUUUCUUAAAUGUUAAGAUUAAACUUAUAAUUUCACAAUUUAUCUCAUUUUCUUAUAAAAAAAAAAAAGGGAGAUUAUUUUUUAAUUAAAAGUUUCCGAUGGCAUUCUUUUCUAAUAUUUUUUAGUGCAAUUUAAAUAAGUUACACAAUUAACAAGAAUUACCACUGGAUCUUGAUACAAACUUGAAAAAGUAAUUGAUAAAAAUAACAUAAUAGAACCUGAGUUUUAAUAAUCUAUUAAGUAUCAAAUUUAAAAUUAAUUGAUAAUUAAAAUUUGUGCAUUGAUGUUUUAAAAGAUCCUUGUUUUCAGUCUGCUAGUGGAAAGGACAACAAACUAUAAACUUUUAGCUGAUAACAACAAGACAUAAAUAAACAGGAAUGCAGUCUUUGUACCCUCAUAGAAAUUUGCAUUCUAAUAUGAUCGCAAUAUUUGUCUGCAAGUCUAUGAAGUUGGGUGAAAGGUUUGUGAAAUGCUGCAGCAAAUUGACAACUGCUUCAUUCACUUGCAUCUCCCGAACUCACAUUCAUUUCUUCAUCUCCCUCCUCUGAAAAGGUGUGUUAUCCACUCCAUGGUCUACACCACUCUAUAUCACUACCAAUUGGCCAUGUUGUUUGUUGAGCUGUAGUAGAGUCUUCCACUAUAUUUUCAUCAAUUGAUCGGAUUGCCUGCAAAACAAAUUAAGGCAUGGCGUGUGAAGAACAAGAAGCAUGUAUAAUUCAGUAAAUUGAAAUAAUAGCGCAAUAAGGACCAUUGAAUGAACCCAAUAAGAAAGAUUGCCACCCAAUAGAACAGGGAAGUAAUAUUGCCAGCCAAUUGCAUUUUCAAUUUCAUUAGGAAUUAAAACAAACACAUGGAUGACAUAUUUCAAUUGAAAUCCAUAACAAGUUCCCUUGAACAGACGACAUUAAUAUUGCAUAAUCAGUAAAGCUGAAAGAGGAAAUGAAAGCAUGAAAAAUGUAAAACAGAUGAACCUCUCUGUUCAUAAGCUUAUACAAGUCCAGCUAUGCAAAAGGCAGGGCAGCUUUUGAUAUUUUGUAUUGAGAGUUAGGGAGCGUAGCGUACCUCUGUUUUGGCAUGCCCAGAUUCCUCUGAAUCAACACUAAAGCUUGUGCUUAUAUUGGGAGAACCUCUUAUGGCUAAAAAUUUCAAAGAUGGGAAUACGAAAUGAUAACCCACAGAGCUGAAGCUCACAAGGUUCGGUAGCUUUUCAAGAAUUAAGGUGCCCAAUUGAGGUAUCUGUAUCACUUUCCCUUUUUCCUCGCUACCAUUUGCCUCAUCUCCUGAUUGUUCAAAUACUUGUUCUAAUUUGGAGACGUUCACAACACGUAGAAUUUUUAGUUUUGGAAGGCCAUAAGCAACACUCACCGGAAAGAGACAUUUCAAGUUUUCACAUGAAUAAAUGCGUAUUUCAGUCAGAUUAGGGAAGCAUAUAGAUUGGAGAUGAUGACCUUGUGAUGAAGUUUGACCAUCCUUUUCAAUAAUUUGCUCCAAUUCCUCACACUCAUCUAUCAAUAAAGAGCUCAAUUGUGGCAAAUUCCGAGCCAUGGUAAGUGAUAAGAUAGAUCUUAACCUUCCGCAUCUACAGACAUUUAAUUGAGUGAGGUUUUGAAAGUUGACAACUUCGAUGGGAUCUUUCCAUGCCACCCGCAAUUCAGGUAGUCUAUCCAAUUCAAGUUUCCUCAAACUUGAAAGAUUAUAUCCACCAUCAAAUAACUCUUCAAAAUUAAUGAUGGUUAAAUAUUCCAUGUUUGGUAAUUUUUGUCCCAAUUUAGGAACUAUCAUAUUGCACGAUUGCUUCCUUUCCCUCAUAUUCUCAAAGUGUAACAUCUGCAAUCAUAUCAUUUAACUAUUAAUUCAAAAAAUAUAAAAAAUAACAAAAACCUUAUUAUUCUUUAUUUUUUAAAUUUUAUAUAAAAUUUUUAUUCUAACAAUCUUAUCAUUAAAUUAAACAUAUUGCUUUAAAGGUCCAUUUAAAUCAUGAUUAAAAGAAUCGACCAAUAUAAGGAAAUCUAAUGUCAAUUAAGUUUAAAAUUUAAAUUUCUUAAAUUUUUUAUUCUAAUCAAUUAAAAUUUAAAAAAAUCCUUAAUUUAGAACCAUAUCUCUUAUAAUUAUUAUAGUACAAUUAACUAAUCAUAAUUUAGUAUUGUGCAAGGCCCAUCAAAAAAUUGUUUAGAAGCCACGUUUUAAAUAGUGGCUACAUAAUUCUUAAUUGUGAUUGGUAAACUAUAAUAUUGUAACAAAGAUAAUUAUGAAUGAAAUACUCUCAAUUCAUUAAUUUAAGUCAAAGACAAAUAAUUUAAUUAAAAUAUAAAACAACAGUUUUGAAAAGAUUAGUUCUAUAUCAUGAAUAAAAAUGAAUCCUAAUGAAACGUUUAAAAACACAAAGUACUAAUACAUACUACAUAUGGCUUUUCAAUAUAUCUAACAAAUAAAGUUUGUUCUAAGAAUUAUGAUUAAAGAAAUAUAUUUUCUUAUAUGCGUUAAAAUAUUUACAAAAAUAUUAUUACUUUUAAUUAAUUUUUUUAUUUGGUUUAAUUUUUAACUCAAAACUAAAUUAUUAAUUCAGUUUGGUUUAAAAAUUUUUUGGCGUUAAAAUUAAUUUUCUUUUUUAUUCUUUGGUACCAAAGAUAAACAAAAAAACAAAAGAAAAAAGAAAAAGGAUUAGAAUAAAAAUUAUUUUAAAAAAAGGUUUUAUUAAGUAUAAAAGAAUGUUUUUCUCCCAAUUUAAAAGGAUUAAAUUUUGAUAGAUUUUUUUUUCUUUCCACUCUCUAUUCUUCCACUCUUUUCCACUCCCUCCAACCAAGCAUAGUUGCAUAAAAAAAUAAUAGAUAAAUACAUUUUAACCAUGCAUUUUAAACAUUUAUAAUUAAUUAUAAAUUAUUUUAUUGAUAAAUAAUUUGUUUAAUUUUAGAAUAUUGUAAUUUAAUUAUUAUUUAAUUUAAUAAUUUAUGUUAAAUUUAUCUUUAUAAAUUUAAUGAAAUAUCUUUAGGUUUAAUUUUUCUAAAAAUUAUAUUUGAGUAUGAAAAUCAAAACUAAUUUUAUAUUAAAAAAAGUAAGAUAAUAAUGCUAAAUAGUACGAACAUUAUUUUUAUGAGAAGAAAUAACCAAUUUGUGAUAUUAAUUAUUUAAGGCUUUUUUUAUGAGAAGAAAUGACUAUUUAGCAUUUUAUGCAAUAAUUAAUUGAACUUAAAAUGAAAUCUCCUAGCUACAUAUUUCCUAUAAACUCAAUCUCCUAAAACAUUAAAAUAACUAAAUGAGAUUGAUAUAAACAACUCAAGAAACUAAUUAUAGUAAAUUCCUAAAGAUUGAAAACAAAAAGUAAUAACAUUUUUAGAAUGGACAAUUCCUACUUCAAAUAUAAAGUAAAAGACAAUUAGCAAAGAAACUAUCAAUGAAAAUUAAUGUAAAUUACACCAUACAUCCAUGAUUUUUGUACGAUAUUUAAUUUCCAUUCAUAGUUUUAAUUAAAGCUCAAAAUUUUCAUUUGAGUUUUUAAAAAUAUUUCAAAUUCAUCAAUUUCAACAGUCAAUCAUUAAAAUUUAACUAAAUUUAUCAUCUCAAAAUACUGUCUUUGUGUGUGUAGAACCACGUAAACAUGCACGUGAUAAAAAGGUGAGGGGUUUUUUUGAACUUUUUAAGUUGAAAUUCUUGUCAUAUGCACAUCCAUGUGACAUUAAAAUAGAUUUGUUCUAUAAUUUUUUAAUAAUGAUUGGUGUAAUAGAUGAAUUUAAAAUAUUUUAAAAAGUGUAAAUCAAAAAAUUGAGUUUCAUAAGAUUGUAGAUGAAAGUAAAAUAAUAUUACACAAAGCUUAUGGAUGCCUGAUGCAUUUUAAUAGUGACAAUUAUUUUAUUGAGAUUUUAAUGAUCACUACUUAAGUAGGGAGAAGUAGAUUCACAUUAGUUUUAUCCAAAGUGAUACAAAAUCUAUCUUUUAAAUAUUGUUGCACUUGAAAACUUUUUGGUCAUCGAUUUAUCAAGAAAAAAAAUCUAGUCAACAACAUUAACACUAUGUAGUCAAAUUAUUUUGCUUUCUUAGUGUUUGUUUCCAAAGAAAAAAAAUUAUAAAAAAAGGUUUUACUUAAGAAAAAAAGAAUUCUCUCUCCCAAUUUAAAUGCGUCAAGUUUCCAUUUUUUUUUUCUCUCUGCUCUCUCAUCUAUUCUUCCACUCUUUCUAUUCCUCCUACCAACAUAGUUGAAAGAGUAAAAACACAAAUAAAUAGGCUUACCUGUAUUUUAUCCGAAAUGAUAAAGGAAGUCAGUUGUGGACAAUCAGCCACACACAACUCUUGUAAAGAUGGCACCGUGAGUACAAUGUCAUUUCCGUCCCUUCCUUUUAAUUCAGGCAACCUUUCCAAUGUAACCUUAUUCAGCUGUGGAAGACCUUCAGCUAUUGAGAUUGGAAAAGUAUAUUCCAAUCGGGAGCAAUCCCGAAUUCUAAGUUUUGUCAAUUUCUCCAAGCUUUGCCCAUGCGACAAUGAGGAAAGGGAUGUCAAGUUCUUGCAGGCCUUUACAUGUACUUUCCUUAGACUUUGGAGAUUGAUGUUUGACACUUCCGUUUUGGGAAUUAUUUCUUCCAAUUUCAAGCAGUAGGAUAUUUUCAGAUUUUCCAAUUGUCCAAGACUUUUAGCAACAGAUGUUGGGAAGAGAUAUCUCAAUUUAUUGCAGUUGUCUAUUAUUGCAACCUUUAAACUUUGUAAGCUUACAUGAUGACUGGUUCCUUCUUGUAUGCUCCUCACUUCAGCAAUCUGAAAUAGCACUUGCAUCUCAUCAUAAAUUCCAUAAACAGUGAUUAAAAUUUGACAAACUAUAUCAUCUCCGAAUCAUGUGUAUGUAUGUCCAUGUGAACUAUCAUGUGGUAAGAUGGUGUUUUUUGACUUUUUAAGUUAAAAUUCAUGUCAUAUGCACAUCCAUUAAAUUUUUAACAAUGAUUGGAAUAAUAGAUGAAUUUAAAAUAUUUUAAAAGGUUUCAUUCUAUUAAAUUUUUAACAAUGAUUGGAAUAAUAGAUGAACUUAAAACAUUUUAAAAAGUCGUACACGAAAAAAAAUUGAGUUUUAUAAUAUCGUAAAUGAAAGUAAAACAAUAUUGCACAAAACCUAUAGAGAAAAGUAAAAUAAAAAAAGCUAUCUUAAAAUUCCACAACUGAUCUUUAAAUGAUCAUUGUUUAAGUAGUGAAGAAGUAGAUUUACGUUAGUUUUACACAAAGCGAUACAAAGUCUAUCUUUUAAAUAUUGUAGCUCAUAGACUUGAACUUUUCGAACACCAGUUUAUCAAGAAAAAAAAAUUCUGUCGACAACAUUAACACUAUGUUUAAUCGUUAGAAGAAAAAUAAAGAGAGGGAAAAAGGGUGAGGAAAGCAAAAAUAAAUGAUAGAAAAGAAAAUUAAUUUUCUUUUUUAUUGUUUGGUACCAAAGAUAAAACAGAAAAAGAAAAAAGAAAAAGGAUUAGAAGAAAAAUUAUUUAAAAAGAGGUUUUAUUAAGUAUAAAAGAAUGUUUUUCUCUCAAUUUAAAAGGAUUAAAUUUUGAUCGAUUUUUUUUUUUCUUUCCACUCUCUAUUUAAAAGUGUUGUCAACUUCUCCAAACUUUGACCAUGUGACAAUUAGGAAAGAGAUGUCAAGUUACUGCAGCCACUUACAAAAACUUCCCUUGGACUUGGGAGAUUGAUGUUUGACACUUCCGUUUUGGGAAUUAUUUCUUCCAAUUCCAAGCAGUCGGAUAUAAGCAGUACUUCCAGUUGUCCAAGACUUUGAGCAACAGACGUGGGGAACAGAUAUCUCAAUUUAUUGCAGUUGUGUAUUCUUACAAACUUCAAACUUUGUAAGCUUACAUGAUGACUGGGUCCUUCUUGUAUGCUCCUCAAUUCAGCAAUCUGAAGUAGCACUUGCAUCUCAUCAUAAAUUCAAUAAUGCUAAAUGGUGAUAUUAAGGGUUUUUUAGUUCAUAGUAUUAAUUAUUUAAGGAUUUUUUAUGAGAAGAAAUGACCAUUUAGCGUUGUAUGUAAUAAUUAAUUGAACUUAAAAUGAAAUCACCUAGCUAGAUAUUUCCUAAAAACUCAAUCUCCUAUAACAUUAAAAUAACUAAAUGAAAUCAAUUUAGACAACUCAAGAAACUAAUUAUAGUAAUCUCCUAAAAAUUGAAAACAAGUAGUAAUAACAUAUUUGGAAUGGACAAUACAUUCUUCAAACAUAAAGAGAAAGACACCUAGCAAAGAAAAUGUCGAUGAAAAUUAGGUAAAUUACAUCACGCAUUUAUGAUUUUUGUAAAAUAUUUCAUUUCAUUCACGGUUUUAAUUAAAACUCAAAAUUUUUAUUCACGAGUUUUUAAAUUCAAAUUCAUCAAUUUGAACAAUCAAUCAUUAAAUUUUGACUAAAUUUAUCAUCUCAAAAUAUUUUUUGUGCGUAUGUGUGUAUAACUAUGUAAACUUGCACGUGAUAAAAAAGGCGAGAGUUUUCAAACUUUUUAAGUUGAAAUUCAUGUCAUAUGCACAUCCAUUAAAUUUUUAACAAUGACUAGAAUAAUAGAUGAAUUUAAAAUAUUUUAAAAGGUUGUGUUCUAUUAAAUUUUUAUAAUGAUUGGAAUAAUAGAUGAACUUAAAACAUUUUAAAAAGUUGUAGAUGAAAAAAAUUGAAUUUUAUAAUAACGUAGAUGAAAGUAAAAUAAUAUUGCACAUAAUUUAUAAAUGAAAGUAAAAUAAAGAAAGCUAUCGUAAAAUUUCACUAUCGAGCUUUAAAUAAUCAUUGUCUAAGUAGUGAAGAAGUAAGUUUACGUUAAUUUUAUGCAAAAUGAUACAAAGUCUAUCUUUUAAAUAUUGUAACUCUUGGACUUGAACUUUUCGAACACCAAUUUAUGAAGAAAAAAACAAAUUCUGCCGACGACAUUAACACCAUGUUUAAUUGGUUGGAAGAAAAAUAAAGGGAGGGAAAAAGGUGAGGAAAGCAAAAAGAAAUGAUAGAAAAAAAAAAUUAAUUUUCUUGUUUAUUGUUUGGUACCAAAGAUAAAAGGAAAAAGAAAAAGGAUCAGAAGAAAAACUAUUAAAAACAAGGUUUUAUUAAGUAUAAAAAAAUGUUUUUCUCCCAAUUUAAAAGGAUUAAAUUUUGAUCGAUUUUUUUUUCUUUCCACUCUCUAUUCUUCCACUCUUUUCCACUCCAUCCAACCAAGCACAGUUGCAAGAGUAAAAGAAAAAAAAUACAAAUAAAUAGGCUUACCUGUAUUUCAGCCGAAAUGAUAAAUUGUGUGCACUCUCUCAUUUCCAACUCUUGUAAAGAUGGCAGCGUGAGUACAAUGUCAUUUCCAUCCCUUCCUUUAAAUUCAGGCAAACCUUCCAAUGUAACCUUAUUCAGCUGUGGAAGACCUUCAGCCAUUGAGAUUGGAAAAGUAUAUUCCAAUCGAGAGCAAUCCCGAAUCGUAAGUGUUGUCAAUUUCUCCAAACUUUGACAAUGCGACAAUGAGGAAAGAGAUGUCAAGUUAUUGCAGCCACUUACAUGUACUUCCCUUAGACUUUGGAGAUUGAUGUUUGACACUUCCGUUUUGGGAAUUAUUUCUUCCAAUUCCAAGCAGUCGGAUAUGUGCAGUACUUCCAGUUGUCCAAGACUUUGAGCAACAGACGUGGGGAACAGAUAUCUCAAUUUAUUGCAGUUGCGUGUUCUUACAAACUUCAAACUUUGUAAGCUUACAUGAUGACUGGGUCCUUCUUGUAUGCUCCUCAAUUCAGCAAUCUGAAAUAGCACUUGCAUCUCAUCAUAAUUCAAUAAUGCUAAAAUGGUGAUAUAAGGGUUUUUAAGUUCAUAGUACUUAAUUUAUUUAGAGCGUUUUUAUGAGAAGAAAAUGACCAUUUAGCCAUUGUAUGAAAUAUUUAAUUGACUUAAAUGAAAUCACCUAGCUAGAUAUUUACACAUAAAAACUCAAUCUCCUAUAACAUUAAAAUAACUAAAUGAAAUCAAUUUAGACAACUCAAGGAACUAAUUAUGUAAUCUCCUAAAAAUGAAAACAAGUAGUAUAACACUAUUUGGGAAUUUUUUUGGGACACUGCAGAAUGAUCGAUUAUAGGUGUACAUCACGCAUUUUGUUUUUAAAAUAUUUCAUUUCUUCUACUGUUUUAAUUUAAAAAACUCAAAAUUUUUAUUCACGAGUUUUUAAAUUCAAUUCAUCAUUUGAACAAUCAAUCAUUAAUUUUGACUAAAUUUAUCAUCUCAAAAUAUUUUUUGUGCGUACGUGUGUAUAACUAUGUAAACUUGCACGUGAUAAAAAGGUGAGAGUUUUUAAACUUUUUAAGUUGAAAUUCAUGUCAUAUGCACAUCCAUUAAAUUUUUAACAAUGAUUGAAAUAAUAGAAGAAUUUAAAAUAUUUUAAAAGGUUCUGUUAUAUUAAAUUUUUAAUAAUAAUCGGAAUAAUAGAUGAACUUAAAACAUUUUAAAAAGUCAUACACGAAAAAAAUUGAUUUUUAUUGUAUCAUAGAUGAAAGUAAAAUAAUAUUGCACAAAACUUAUAGAGGAAAGUAAAUAAAAAAAGUUAUCUUAAAAUUCCACAACUAAUCUUUAAAUGAUUACUGUUUAAAUAGUGAAGAAGUAGGUUUACCUUAGUUUUACGCAAAGCGAUACAAAGUUUAUCUUUUAAAUAUUGUAGCUCUUAGACUUGAACUUUUCAAACACCAGUUUAUCAAGAAAAAAAAAUUCUGUCGACAACAUUAACACUAUGUUUAAUGGUUGGAAGAAAAAUAAAGAGAGGGAAAAAAGGUGAGGAAAGCAAAAAUAAAUGAUAGAAAAGAAAAUUAAUUUUCUUUUUUAUUGUUUGGUAGCAAAGAUAAAACAAAAAAAGAAAAAAGAAAAAGGAUUAGAAGAAAAAUUAUUUAAAAAAAGGUUUUAUUAAGUAUAAAAGAAUGUGUUUCUCUCAAUUUAAAAGGAUUAAAUUUUGAUCGAUUUUUUUUUUCCACUCUCUAUUUAAAAGUGUUGUCAACUACUCCAAACUUUGACCAUGCGACAAUGAGGAAAGAGAUGUCAAGUUACUGCAGCCACUUACAAAAACUUCCCUUGGACUUGGGAGAUUGAUGUUUGACACUUCCGUUUUGGGAAUUAUUUCUUCCAAUUCCAAGCAGUAGGAUAUGUGCAGUUCUUCCAGUUGUCCAAGACUUUGAGCAACAGACGUGGGGAAGAGAUAUCUCAAUUUAUUGCAGUUGUAUAUACUUACAACCUUCAAACUUUGUAAGCUUACAUGAUGACUGGUUCCUUCUUGUAUGCUCCUCAAUUCAGCAAUCUGAAAUAGCACUUGCAAUCUCAUCAUAAUUCAAUAAUGCAAAUGGUGAUAUUAAGGUGUUUUUUAGUUCAUAGUAAUUAAUUAUUUUUAAGGCUUUUUAUGAGAAGAAAUGACCAUUUAGCAAUGUAUGUAAUAAUUAAAAUUGAACUUAAAUGAAAUCAACCUAGCUUAGAUAUUUCCUAAAAACUCAAUCUCCUAUAACAUUAAAAUAACUAAAUGAAAUCAAUUAGAUAACUCAAGAAACUAAUUAUAGUAAUCUCCUAAAAAAUUGAAAACAAGUAGUAAUAACAUAUUUGGAAUGGACAACGUACAUUUCUCCAAUAUAAAGAGAAAGACACCUAGCAAAGAAAAUGUCGAUGAAAAAUUAGUAGGAAUUCGCUCACGCAUUUAUUGCUUUGUAAAAUAUUUCAUUUCAUUCACCGGUUUAAUUAAACUCAAAAUUUUUUAUUCAUGAGUUUUUAAAUUCAAAUUCAUCAAUUUGAACAAUCAAUCAUUAAAUUUUGACUAAAUUUAUCAUCUCAAAAUAUUUUUUGUGCGUAUGUGUGUAUAAUUAUGUAAACUUGCACGUGAUAAAAAGGUGAGUUUUAAACUUUUUAAGUUGAAAUUCAUGUCAUAUGCACAUCCAUUAAAUUUUUAACAAUGACUAGAAUAAUAGAUGAAUUUAAAAUAUUUUAAAAGGUUGUGUUCUAUUAAAUUUUUAAUAAUGAUUGGAAUAAUAGAUGAACUUAAAACAUUUUAAAAAGUUGUAGAUGAAAAAAAUUGAAUUUUAUAAUAAUGUAGAUGAAAGUAAAAUAAUAUUGCACAUAAUUUAUAAAUGAAAGUAAAAUAAAGAAAGCUAUUGUAAAAUUUCACAAUUGAGUUUUAAAUAAUCAUUGUUUAAGUAGUGAAGAAGUAAGUUUACGUUAAUUUUAUGCAAAAUGAUACAAAGUCUAUCUUUUAAAUAUUGUAACUCUUGGACUUGAACUUUUCGAACACCAAUUUAUGAAGAAAAAAAUAAAUUCUGCCGACGACAUUAACACCAUGUUUAAUUGGUUGGAAGAAAAAUAAAGGGAGGGAAAAAGGUGAGGAAAGCAAAAAGAAAUGAUAGAAAAAAAAAUUAAUUUUCUUGUUUAUUGUUUGGUACCAAAGAUAAAAGGAAAAAGAAAAAGGAUCAGAAGAAAAACUAUUAAAAACAAGGUUUUAUUAAGUAUAAAAAAAUGUUUUUCUCCCAAUUUAAAAGGAUUAAAUUUUGAUCGAUUUUUUUUUCUUUCCACUCUCUAUUCUUCCACUCUUUUCCACUCUGUCCAACCAAGCAUGGCUGCAAGAGUAAAAGAAAAAAAUACAAAUAAAUAGGCUUACCUGUAUUUCAGCCGAAAUGAUAAAUUGUGUACACUCUCUCAUUUCCAACUCUUGUAAAGAUGGCAGCGUGAGUACAAUGUCAUUUCCAUCCCUUCCUUUAAAUUCAGGCAAACCUUCCAAUGUAACCUUAUUCAGCUGUGGAAGACCUUCAGCCAUUGAGAUUGGAAAAGUAUAUUCCAAUCGAGAGCAAUCCCGAAUCCGAAGUGUUGUCAAUUUCUCCAAAAUUUGACCGUGCGAUAAUGAGGAAAGAGAUGUCAAGUUAUUGCAGCCACUUACAUGUACUUCCCUUAGACUUUGGAGAUUGAUGUUUGACACCUCCGUUUUGGGAAUUAUUUCUUCCAAUUCCAAGCAGUCGGAUAUGUGCAGUUCUUCCAGUUGUCCAAGACUUUGAGCAACAGACGUGGGGAAGAGAUAUCUCAAUUUAUUGCAGUUGUCUAUUCUUACAACCUUCAAACUUUGUAAGCUUACACGAUGACUGGUUCCUUGCUGUAUGCUCCUCACUUCAGCAAUCUGAAAUAGCACUUGCAUCUCAUUACAAGAUUCAACUUCCAACGAUUCAAGACUCUGUAGAAUUGGAAUUGCAUUGGUUAGCACCUGCUGCUUUGUAGUAUCAAUGAGACAUUUCAUAUGCUCGCAACUCUCAAUACCCAGAGAAGUCAGCUCACUGAAUACCACUUGGCCCGACUCCAAGCUUGGAACAAGAUUUGGGUAACCCACCAUAUCUUUCAGAUUAAGAGAUUUUGUAUCCCCUAAUAACUGCUUGCAUGCCUCUAUUACAGACCCCUCAAUCUUUAAAGAUCUCGAGAAUGGGCAGAUCUCAGAGUCCAUCUUCAGUCCAUAAAAAUUAGAAAAGCCAAAGCCAAGGCAUACAUAAAACCUUUGUAAUUUACAGAACACAAAGUCUCUUGGAAUAUCUUCAGAAGAAACCUCUAAAGAUAAUACAAUCAAGUUUGAGAAGGAAUUCAACUCUGAUAGACUGGCAAAUCUUUCUCCUCGAACAGUGCUCUCAGUGGCCCAUUUUAAUAAUUGACAACCAUGCAAGUAUAGUUCUUCUAAUUUGGACAAUCUUCGUAUUAACUGAGAAGGGAUUCUCUGUAGUUCUUCACAAUAUGAUAAAUCCAACAAUUUAAGAUUAUCCAAAUCACCUAUUUCUUCUGGCAAUUCUUUGAUAUCAGAGCAACUAAAUGAAAGAACUUCAAGUUUCUUCAACUGCCCAAGCACUGAGAUGUCCAAGAGUUUGCAACUUUCCAAAUGUAGAGUUGUAAGGUUUGUUUGAAACUGAAAUGCAUCCGGAGAUAUUAAUCUAGAAUUCAAAGCGCAAACUUUUAAUGCUGUCAUUCCUUCAAAGAAUUCACUUGAAGUUGUCAUCUUCUCAUCUCCACCAAGUACAAGAAUUUUGAGAUUUGGGCAUAGCAGUCUUUUAGGAAGUUCAACAAUCCAACUAGUCUUGAAGGAGACUGCUUUGUAAGGCUCAAAACUUUCAUCCUUUGGCCACGAUUCAACAACAUCUGAUUUUAUCAUAAAAGAAAACUCCGUUCUGUUUGAUGCUAUCCACAAAGCAAAGUCACGGACCAAGUCAUGCAUUUUAACAUGCCUUUCUCCACAAUUUAACAACAAACAAGAAUCCUUGAGGAUGUCCAUCGCCGCAAGCACUUCACUCCUCACCACUUGAAUUGAGCCCAUACCUUUAUACAACUCUAUUCCCCAUGCAUAUCUCACCAGCUCCUCUACAUAAAUCUCAUAAUCUUCAGGAAAUAAAGAGCAUAACAAGAAACACAUCUUGGUCUCCUUAUCAUUCAAAUAAUCAAAACUCACCUCAAGAACUAGGUAAGCAUUUUUUUCAUCGAUGUCCUCUAUGUCAUCCAAUCUGCGGUUGUUGAGUCUCCUAUAUGCUGCUUCCCACCUAUGAAGAUUUUUACCUUUCAGAGCACUUGCCAAUGUAACUAUAGCUAUGGGCAGACCUUGACAUUUUUUGAUAACUUUAGUUGCCACAUCCUUAAUAGAAGCAACAGAAGAGUCGCUUAAACCAGCUUUGGCGUUAAAUAAAGCUCGAGCUUCAUUGUCUUCUAAACAACCAAGUGGUAUUGUCCUUUGACAUUCCAUAGCAUCACAUACUUGUCGACGGCGAGUUGUUAAAAGAAUUUUGCAGCCUUUAUGAUCCUCGGCAAAUGGAAUUCCUAUAUUCUCUUUCAAGUCAAUUUUUGCCCAAACAUCAUCAAGGAUUAUUAGAAUCCUUUUAUCCUUCUGCAGUUUCUGCAGUUUCAACCAGAAUUCUUGUCUUGAUUUUCUUCCUCGUUCAUUCUUCAUAUUGAAAUCCAAGUAUUUUGCAAUUUCAUCUUGAAUUGUUUCAGCGUUUGGCUUUUGAGUCACAGUAGCAAUCACAACUUUGUCAAACAGCUUAAAUUUUUCGGCAUGAGUUCCAACUUCACGCACUAGGGUUGUCUUGCCCACCCCUGCCAUCCCCCACAAUCCAAUCAUGCUGACCUUGUCAUGUUGUAAGGCCUCAAUGAUCUGAUCGAAAGCUUUUUUUGAAGAUUUAGAAACCGUAAAAUCCUUAGAUGAGAGGAAUUCUAUGGUCGGAAUUGCACUAGUUGAACGGUAGCCCACUGUUCCAAGUUGAUCAAAUUUGACAAGAAGCUUACAAAUAACAAGAGUGUUCUUCAUUGCUUUCUUGCUUAAGCGAUACCGCCAAAUCCAAUCAGGACACCAAUUGAAACAUCUCUUAUUUUUUUGUAUUUCACUUUCCAAAGUUUCCAAAUUUGGUAGGAUUUUGUCCGCCUUUGAUAACAAGCCUCCAGCAUCAUCUUCAAUUGCUAGAAGUUGCCUCUUAGCAUCCUCAAUCUUAUGUUGCAGCCGAGCUCGAGCACCUAUCAGUUCGUGUUUUUUUUCCUUAAGCAUUUCAACAUUGUUGUGAAAACAACAAAUGUAAUUAAAUUGACGUCCUACUGGCUUCGCCACCCAAUCCACGAGCAGUGUUCCCACGCAGUUAGAGAGAGCAUCCUCGCAAAACCCACAAGCCAUUCUUGACAGCUCAAAUUGAAGAAACUUCUGCCAAACAUAAAAAUAUUGGCUAUGAGAUAAAUCAUGGUGAAGAUACUAAAAAGAAAAUUAAAGAAUAAUGAAGGUGAACUCUCUAAACAUACCAAGCAAGGUGAAGAUAGUCCAAAGUGUGACAACCAACUGCUUUUUCUUCAGUUUUCUGCCGAGUAACACUUUUUAAGUACGUAACGAGGCAAGGUGAAGACAAUUCAAAGUAUGAGAACCAAAUGCCUUUCUUCAGCACUCUACCAAGCUGAAAACACGUGAUAAAAAACAAUAUUUUUAGAUAAUUUAUAACGAAACAUUACUCAGAAAACAUGAAAUAAAAAAAUUUGUGUUAAUAGGAUAGAAAACCAAAAAAAUCGUAUCAUACUGUAACAGUUAAGCAACAGUCUAAAAACGAUUAAUUACUUGUUUGGUCAAACAAUUUUAGUUGAUUUUUUUAUUUUGGACACUAAACUGUAAAAAGUAGUGAUUUAGUCACCAACAUUAUAAAGAUUUGUUUCUUUGAUCAUCAUACCAUUUAGAGUUAAAUGUUGGAUGAAGAUACUACAAGAAUAUAUCAUCUUCAAUCAUAUCACUAACAAUAAUUAUAGUAGGCAACUAACCAAUUAUAAUAUAUAAUUGUAUAAAGCACAUCAAAAUUUAUAUGAAGUACACACUUACAUAAGUGGUGAACCUUACUUACAUAAUUUUUUAUUGGAAACAUAUCGCCUCCAAUUAUUGUAAAACAAUUAACCAAUUAAAAUUCAAUAUUUUUAUAGGGUUUACAAAAAAAAUGUGAAAUCCACACUUAUAAAUGAUGUAUCUUUAUAUAAUUUUUUUAUAAUUGAUUAAUUAUAAGAUUAUAAUAAAAAAAUUUAGAUUAAUUUUUUUGUUAUUAUGAUUGGAUAAUUGUAACAUUAAAGUAAAAAAGAAAAAUUAUAGGAUCACUAUUAUAGGUAGACUGUUAUUCACACACGGCCUAUGCCCAAUUACCACAUGGUUAUGCCUACGUGAACUUAUUUAAAAAAAAUAAGUCCUUAUAAACAAAAUCAAUUUGUUUCAUUUUCUAACUUCUCUGACUACCCUACUUCAUUUAAUAGCGCCGCCAUCAAACUCCGAUGUAGGACCAUUCUCUGCUUCUAUCGUACGCCGCUCGUCGGCACCGUUUUCCUUACCAAAACUCACCCAAGUCUUCUCCUUGAUCCUCCCUUUCCUCGUAUCAUAUCAAGUCUUCCUAAAAACUGAUAGAAACUUCUAAAUUUAAAACAAAACCCAAGGCCAUAAAAACUAGAAACGCCACCCUUACCAACUUAUCACCACCAAUGGCACCGUUUCCUCCCUCCUGUCCUCCGGCUCCCCAUCACAACUAGAGAAGCUCCAAAAACACAAGAUCAAAAGACCCUAGAACCCAAAAAAAAAAAAAUUAUCCGCCUUUCUACUUCUCUGCAACCGACUUUUUUUGUUGUUUUUUUAAUAUUGAGAAAAAAAGGUUAAAUGAAUAUUCCAACCUUACCACUUCUAGAUAGAAGUAAUAGAUCCGAAGCUUUUCAAGAGGAAAUUUGCUUGAGAAAUAAAUCCAAUCCUUUUCAGAUCUGAUCUACUUCACUGACAAAAUUGCAAAUUAGAUAAAAAAAAAUGUAAGAAACACACUUUAUUUGUAUAAAGAGAAAGCAAUGGAGAAAUUGUUGCAUUUACCUUACUUGGUGCCUUCUAAAUCUGCCAGGAUUUAUUCAUGAUGAAUCAUUGAAAACAAAGAAAAUAAAUUUGAAGAUUGGAUUUUUUUUCUCUUUCUUAUUUAUUUUAAGUUUUUAGAUGAAAUGACAAACAAAGUGGAAACUAAAGAGAAAGAAAAUAUUGAAGAGUAGCUCUUUUUUUUUUUUUUUAAAGUUACAAGGAAAGAAAUGUAGAAUCAAACAAAAUUCAACUUAAGUUUUUUAUUUUUUUUUCUUUUUUUGAGUUGAACGAAAAGCCAACAGAGUAGAAAUCAACCUUAAAACUCUUGGCCAAAAGAAAAAAGAAAUCAAGAUGGCAUUGAAAUUAUCAAAAAGCUUGGAAAUUGAAAAGAGAACGUUCACUUAUCUACCUGGAAAAUUCGAACAAAAGAAAUUAACAGAACAAUCAACUUCUGAUAGCAGAAAUGGGUUUUUGCAUUUUUUUUUAGAUGAAAAUGACAAACAAAGUGGAAACUAAAGAGGAAGAAAAUAUUGAAGAGUAGUUUUUUUUUUUUUUGAAGUUACAAGGAAAGAAAUGUAGAAUCAAACAAAAUUCGACUGAAGUUUUUUCUUCUUUUUUUUUUUUUCUCUUUUUGAGUUGAGGGAAAAGCCAACAGAGUAGAAAUCAACCUUAAAACUCUGCGCCAAAAGAAAAAAGAAAUCAAGAUGGCACUGAAAUGAUCAAAAAGCUUGGAAAUUGAAACGAGAACGUUCACUUAUCUACCCGGAAAAUUCGAACAAAAGAAAUUAACAGAACAAUCAACUUCUGAUAGCAGAAAUGGAUUUUUUCUGUUUUUUUUUUUUUGAAGGUUUUAUGGGCAAAGGAUUUGUUUCGAGAUUAGUAUGUAAAAUGUAGAGAAAAGGAACUUAUUUCCAUGCAAAGUCUUCUUUUUCUUUUAAUAUAGUUAUUUCAUUAUUAAAUUCCAUAGUGUCCGACGAAAGCCAUGUGACCGAUAAAAGCCAUUAGCCAUCACUUCUUUUCUUGUCGGGCUCUUCUUGUUUUAUUCUUCCUUUCUUAUCUAAGUCAUGGAAGACCGCACAAAUAUAAGUCCUUUUAUUGGGGGAAAUUUCCGAGAAGUAACACAAAUAUUUAUUAGUUCGUACCAUAUUAAAAAUAAUUAGUGAAAAAAAUAAUAAUAUAUUAAUAAAUAAAAUUGAAAAUUAUUUUUAUAAUCGUAAUGUUCAAUGAUCUUUAUUCAAAAUUAUAAUAUAUGUAUAUUUAGUUUAUAUAUAUGUAUAAUUAUUUUAUAAAAUAUAUACAUCCAAAAAAUAAAAUAAAAUAAUCACAUUUUUGGAUAUUAAUAUUAUAAAAAUAAAUUUAAUUUUUUUAUUCAUUUAAAUAUAAAUAUUUCUUUUCAAUUAAUUUUUUAUUAUAAUAUCAAAUAAUAAUUUUUUUUUAUUGAAACGCCUUUCGUAGUUCGUCCUUGUUUAGAGAACUAUUGUUUCAUCCUCUUUAUAUUCGAUAAACCAAAUUCACAAUUAAUUAAAAAGAAUUUCCCAUUAGUAAACCAGAUCCUUCCUAAUUCGUGAUAGAAAACUAUUAAGACAGGAAAAGAGCUAGGCCUGAAAAUAUUUCCUGUGUUCACUAAUUAAUAAUUAGAUUAAUUAUCAUGAUUCAUCACAUAAAAAAAGAUAUAUGAUACAAAUAGUUCAAAAAUACAAUGAAGAUAUAAUCGUAUUUUUCAUACACUUGAAAAUUAUAUAUUAAGUUAUUAUGAAACAAACACACAAUAAUAAUACCAUUAAAAUGGAAAACUUUUAUCUAAGGCAAGCUUGGCUAUGCAUUAAGCCUUUUAUGAAGGCUAUGUCGGCAAAUUUCAUUACUUUGUCCAAAAUUAUUACAUUAUAUGAUUAAUGUUUUUUAUGUGGAAAAAGAUACUUCACUUAUUAUCCUUGUCUCGAUUAACUUUAAUAAUAAAAUAUGAAAGAAAAAAAUAGAAUAUGAUAUCCAACAAACGGUCAAAACAAGCAAUAAAAGAUUAACAAUUAAAAGAUGGUGCUCUUGUGUCUAUCGGUCACCAGAUUAAUUGAAACAAUGUUAACCUAAAGAUAUUGAUGACAGAUUUUUAAUUUGUUGGUUAUUUUCUGCAUUAAUUACAGGCUUGCUUGUAAUAUAGUCCAAUUCUAACGGUUCACUUUAAAAGAGAUAUAAAUAAUAAAUUAAUUUUUACAAUAUCUUUUAAUUCAAAUCAAAUAAAAUUUAAAUUUAAUUCGAAUAUUAUUGAUUCAAGUUUGAGUAAUUUAACAAGUUUAAACAUUUUAAUAAUAAUUGAUAAAUUAAUUUAAUCGAAUUUUUAUAUUUUUUAUUAUUUUAAUUAAAAAUUAUUAUUUUAUAUUUAUAUUUAUAUUAAUAUAUCAAUUCAAGAUCAAAUUUAAACAUAUAAAAUAAAUUUAAAAUGAAGUUAUGAAAAUUAAAUUUAUUUUUUAUUAAACAAAUUUAAUAAAAAAGUUUGAAUAUUUUAAUUUUUAUCUUGAAUUAAAUUUAAACUUAAAAAUUAAAUUUUGAUCAAAUUCGAAUUAAAUACAAGAAUAAAUUUCUCUUUUUGAAUUGAAGGAAAAAUAAAGUAGAAAUCAACCUUAAAACUCAUUGAAAAAAAAAAGGAAAGCUAGCACUGAAAUGAUAAAAAGGCUUGGAAAUUGAAAGAGAAUGUUCACUUACUUGCCUGGAAAAUUCAAACAAAAAGAGAUUAACAGAAGACCGCUUCUGGUAGCAAAAAUGGGUUUUUGCCUUCUUUUUCUUUUUUAGGUUUUAUGGCCAAAAGAUUUGUUUUAAGAUUACUACGUAAAAUGUAGAGAAAGGAAGACUUAAUUUCUUCUGAGUCUUCUUCUUUUUCUUUUGAUACUUUCCUUAUUAAAUGCCAUAAUGGCCGACAAAAGCCAUGACCCAUCACUUCUUUUCUUCUAGGGUCUUAUUUUUUUAUUCUUCUUUUCUUGUCUAAAGUCUUCUUUUUUUAUUGGUCAUUUCAAAUCUAUGGAAUAUUUAUUCAUUAGUAAAGUUAUAAUAUAUUAAUAAAUAAAAAUUAUUUUUGUAAUCGUAAUGUUCAAUGAUCUUAAUUUAAAAUUAUAAUAUGUACAUAAAAAAUAAAAUAAGUAUUUUUUUGGAUUUUUUAUUAAUUUAAAUAUAGAUAUUUCUUUUCAAUUAUUUAUUUUUAUUGUAAUAUCAAAUAAUAAUAUAGAGCUAUUGCUUCAUUCUCUUUAUUUUUAAUAAACGAAAUUCACAACCAAUCCAAAGUAAUUUCUACUACUUCUGCCAAUGUUCACUAAUUAUUAAUUAGAUUAAUUACCAUGAUUCUUCACAUAAAAAAAUUAAUUUAAGUCCAAAAAUUUUAAAUUACUAAUGCACUUCGAUUGAAGAAUUACGACAUUUUAAAAAGACAUGAUACAAACAGCUUAAAAUAUAAUAAAAGUAUAAUCUUAUUUUACAUAAGCUUGAAAAUUAUAUAAUUAAGUUAUUAUGAAACUAACACACAAUAAUAAUACCAUUAAAAUGGGUAAGCUGUUAUCUAAGGCAAGCUUGGCUAUUCAUUAAGACUUUUAUGAAGACGUCGGCAAAUUUCAUUAUUUGUUCACAUUGUAUGAUUAAAUUUCCUGAUACUUGAUUAAUAUUUUUUAUAUGUAAAAAAAAUACUUUACCCAUCAUCUUUGUCUUAAUUAACUCUAGUAAUAAAUUGUAAAAGAAGGAAAUAAAGUAUGAUAUCCAAUAAUGGUCAAGACAAACAAUAAUAAAAAAUGGAGCUUCUCUAUCUACUGGUCUACAAAUUAAUGGAAACAAUACUAACCUAAAGAUAUUCAUGAUAGGUUUCUAAUUUGUUGAUUAUUUUUUACAUUAAUUAUAGGCUUACUUGUUGCAGACGACUAUACAUGAUAAUGUAGUUACUCAUGAAUAUCAAAUUUUUAUAAUUAAUCAUAGUAUUUGAAUUAAAAUUUCAUUGUAAACAUUUAUGUAUUAUUAAUCUUAUAUAUUAUUUUUCUCUGUAAUAUACUGUGAACUUUUUUUUUUUAUCUAUAUCCAUCAUUGCAAAAGAAAAAAAAGAGAGAAAAUAAUAAUAUGAAAAAAGCAAAUAAUAAAAGGUAAGUAAUGUUCUUAACAAGUAUUAAAUUCUUACAAGGAGCUACGAGAGUGAACUAUUUUAUUUAAUUACUUGAGAAUAGAGUAUUAACAAGUUAUAGAUUUGUUAAAUCUAAUAAAUUUAUAAUGAGACGAUAACCAUUGGAUCAAGAGUAUCCAAAGGUUAUAAAAUAAUUUGAUUCUAACGGUUAGCUUUAAAAUUGAUUACUCCUUUAUCACGUGUUUCUCAUUCUACAUAUAUAUCAAAUUUAGAUGUAAAUGAUGGAUAAUGUUUGUGAGAUAUUUUAAUUUGAUUCGAAUAAAAUUUUAUAAUUUAAUAAUUAUUUAUUUGAGUUUAAGUAGUUUAAUGAGUUUAUAUAUUUUACUAUUUGAUUUAAAUAAUUAAUUAAUUUAAUCUCAUUUUAUAUUUUUAUAUUUUUAUUAUUUUAAUUAAAAUUAUUAUUUUAUCUUUAUAUUUAUAUUAAUUUGAGUUAAAAUUUAAAUACAUAAUCAAGUUUAACAUUAAAUAUAAAAUUUAAAUUUAUUUUUUAUUAGAUAAAAUUAAUUGAAAGAGUUCAAAUAUUUUUAUUUUUUUAAGUCGAAUUCAAAUUUAAAAAUUAGAAUUUGAUUAAAUUUAAAUCAAAUUUAAAAUCAAACUUGUCUUUUUGAGUUGAAGGAAAAGCAAAAUAAAAAUUAACCUUAAAACUCUUAGACCAAAAAACAAAAGAAAUCAAGCUCGCAAUGAAAUGAUCAAAAAUGCUUAGAAAUUGAAAAGAGAACGUUCACUUAUUUAAUUGGAAAAUUCGAAUAAAAAAGAUUAAUAGAACACUCAGCUUCUAAUAGCAGAAAUGGAUUUUUGCUUUUCUUUUUUUUUUUUGGUUUAAUGACCAAACGAUUGGUUUUAUGAUUAUUAUGUAAAAUGUAGAGAAAAGAAGACCUAUUUUCAUCUAAGUCUUCUUCUUUUUCUUUUAAUAUUGUUAUUUCCUUAAUAAAUUCCACAGUGGCCGACAAAAGCCAUGUGACUGACAAAAGCAAUGACCCGUGACUUGUGUUAUUCUCGGGUCUUUUUUUUUUUUUUUUUUUUCAUUCUUCCUUUCUUAUCUAAGUUAUCGAAGACAGCCCAAAUAUUUGUCCUAAAAUUUUCGAAAGUAACAAAAAAAUUUAUUAAUUGAUACAAUGUUAAAAAUAAUUAGUAAAAAAAAUUAUAAUAUAUUAAUAAAAUAAUGAAAAUUAUUUUUAUUUUCGUAAUAUUCAAUAAUCUUAAUUCAAAAUUAUAAUGCAUGUACAUUUAGUUAAUAUAUAUGUUAAUUAUUUUAUAAAAUAUGUACAUAAAAAAAUAAAAUAAAUACAUUUUUGGAUAUUAAAAUUAUAAAAAUAAUUUUUUUAUUAAUUUAAAUAUAAAUAUUUCUUUCCAAUUAAUUAUUUUUAUUAAAUAUCAAAUAAUAAUUUUUUUAAUUAAAACACCUUUUGUAGUUCCAUCUUGUUUAUGAAGCAAUCGUUUCAUCCUUUUUAUCUCCAAUAAACGGAAUUGACAAUCAAUCCAAAAGAAUUUCUUAUUACUAAAUCAUAUCAUUCCUAAUUUAUUCUAAGAAUUAAUUAAAACAACAAAAGAGCUGACCUAAAAAUAUCUGCCUAUGUUCACUAAUUAGUAAUUAGAUUAACUAUCAUGAUUCAUCACAUAAAAAAUUAAAUUAAUAUCAAAAAUAAAAAUUAAAUUAGUACUGUACGUCGGAUGAAGAAUUGAGACAUGUUAAAAAGAUAUAUGAUACAAACAGUUAAAAAAUACAAUAAAAAUAGUCGUAUUUUUCAUACACUUGAAAACUAUAUAAUUAAGUUAUUAUGAAACUAACACACGAUAAUAAUACCAAUAAAAUGGGGAAGCUUUAAUCUAAGGUAAGCUUGGCUAUUCAUUAAGCCUUUUAAGAAGGCUACCUCGGUAAAUUUUAUUAUUUUGUCUAAAAUGGUUACAUUAUAUAAUUAAAUUUUCUAGUACUUCACCUAUUAUCCUUAUCUUGAUUAACCUUAAUAAUAAAGUAUGAAGGAAAAAAUAGAAUAUAAUAUCCAACAAACGGUCCAAACAAGCAAUAAAAUUUUUAACAAUAAAAGAUGCCGCCCUCGUAUUUAUCACUGAAAGAUAUUCAUAACAGAUUUUUAAUUUGUUGAUUAUUUUAUACAUUAAUUACAAUUUUACUUGUAGCAGAUGACCAUAUCAUGCCUAUGUAAUUAAUAAUGGAUGUCAAAAUUUUUUAAUUAAUUACAGUAUUUGAAAUAAAAUUUCGUUAUAAAGUUUAAUGUAUUAUUAAUCUUAUAUAUUAUUUUCCAUUUUAAUAUACUAUAUAUUUUUUUAUUUGUAUCCAUCAAUGCAGAAGAAAAGAAGUAAAUAAUAAAAGAUAAAUAAUGAAUUUAACAAGUGUAUAAUUUUUACAAAAAGCUAUAGAGAUAAACUGCUUUACUUAAUUACUUGGAGAACGAAGCAUUGACAACUUAAAGAUUUGCUAGAUCAUUUAUAGUGAGAUGAUCAUUGUUGGAUUAAGAGUAAUCUAAAAGUCAUACAAUAAUCUAAUUCUAACGAUCAAUUUUAAAAUAUAUUAUUUCAUUUCAUGUCUUUCUCAUUAUAAAUUCAUGCCAAAUUUAAGAAUAUAAAUGAUAAAUUAAUUUUUAUAAAAUUUUUUAAUUCAAUUUAAAUAAAAUUUAAAUUUAAUUCAAUUAUUAUUUAUUCGAAUUCGAAUAAUUUAAAGAAUUUAAACAUUUAAAUAUUUGAUUCAAAUAAUUUACAAACUUAAUAAAAAUUUUUAUAUUUUAUAUUAUUUGAAUUAAAAAUUAUUAUUUUAUUUUAUAUAUUAAUUUAAAUUUAAAUUCGAAUACAUAAAUAAAUUUAAAAUUAAAUAUGAUAAUUCAAUUUAUUUUUUAUUAAAUAAACUUAAUCAAAAAAAUUAAAUAUUUUAAUUUUUUAUUUAAAUCAAAUUUAAACUUAAAAUUUAAAUUUUGAAUCAAAUUCAAAAUCAAAUCGAAUACUUCUCUUUUUGAAUCGAAGGAUAAAUAGAGUACAAAUCAACCUUAAAACUUUAAGGAAAAAAAAAAAAGUCGAGCUCGCACUGAAAUGAUCAAAAAGCUUGGAAAUUGAAAAGAGAAUGUUUUGUCUACAAAAUUCAAACGAAAAAGAUUAACAGAAUACUCUGCUUCUGAUGGCAGAAAUCGGUUUUGGCUUUUUUACUUUUUGUGUAAAGAUGUAGAGAAGCGAAGACUUAGUUUCUUCUAAGUUCCCUUUCUUUUAAUUUCCGUAUUAAAUUCCAUAGUGGCCGACAAAAGCCAUGUGGCCGACAGAGGCCAUUACCCAUCACUUUCUUUCUUCUCGGGUCCUUUUUGUUUUUUGUUCUUCUUUCUUAUCUAAAGUUUUCUUUUUUUGUUGUUUGUUUCAACUCUUUGGAAUAGAACAACCCAGACAUCUGUCCUUUACGGGGAAAAUUUACGAACAAGUAACAAAAACAUUUAUUAAUUGGUAUUAUAUUAAAAAUAAUUAAUGAAAAUUUUAUAAUAUUAAUAAAUAAAAAUUAUUUUGUAAUCGUAAUGUUUAAUGAUCUUAAUUCAAAUUAUAAUAUAUGUACAUUUAGUUAAUAUAUAUGUAUAAUUAUAUUAUAAAAUAGGUACAUAUAAAAUAAAAUAAGUAUAUUUUUUGAUAUUAUUUUUUGAUUAAUUUAAAUAUAACUAUUUCUUUCCAAUUAAUUACUUUUAUUAUAAUAUCAAAUAAUAAAUAUAUAUUUUUUUAAAACAGUAUUUGUAGUUCAUCUUUGUUUAUGGAACUACUGCUUCAUGCUCUUUAUCUCCAAUAAACAGAAUUCACAACCAAUUCUAAAGAAUUUCUCAUUACUUCUAUCCAUGUUCAUUAAUCAGUAAUUAAAUUAAUUAUCAUGAUUCAUCACAUAAAAAAAAAUUAAUUUAAGACAAAAAAAAUUAAAUUACUAAUGCACUUCGAUUAAAAGAUUUGAAAAAUUUUAAAAGACGUACGAUAUAAACAGCUCAAAAAAAUAUAAUCAUAUUUUUCAUACACUUAAAAAUUAUAUAAUUAAUCUAAGGCAAGUUUGGCUAUUCAUUAGGCCUUUUAUGACGGCUAUGUGGGCAAAUUUCAUUAUUUGUCCAUAUUAGUUACAUUGUAUGAUUAAUGCUGUUUUAUGCUCAUCAUCUUAGACUUUGAUAUUCAAUAAUAAACUGUGAAAGAAAGAAACAGAAUUUGAUAUUCAAUAAACAACAAACAAUUGAAACAAAUGAUAGUCAAGAAUAAAGUUAUCGUAUCUAACGGUUAAUAAAUUAAUUGAAAUAAUACUAACCCAAAGAUAUUUAUGACAAUUUUUUAAUUUGUGAAUUAUUGUUUACAUUAAUUACAAACUUAUUUGUUGCAUAUGACUAUACCAUAGUAAUGUAGCUACUCAUAGAUAUCAAAUUUUUAUAGUUAAUUAUAGUAUUUGAAUUAAAACUCCAUUGUAAACAUUUAUGUAUUUUUAAUCUUAUAUUAUUUUUCUUUUUAAUAUAUUAUAUUUUUUUUAUCUAUAUCCAUCAUUGCGAAAAAAAAGUAAAUAAUAAAACAACAUUUGAUUAAAAAAAAUAUUUUACAAUCUUAAUUUUUUAUUCUAAUUUUCAUGUUUGAUUUACGAUAUUUAAUUCUUAGAGGUAUUCUAAGAUUCUCAAUAAUAUUCAAAUAACCUAAAAUCAUAAACCCAUCACUCCCUAUGAUUUCUUAAGAUUCAAAGACGAAAAUUAAUUUUAUCUCAUUUUUUAUCUCAAUAAUAAAAUUUUUUAUUUAUUUAUUUUUGAAAAUCAAUGUAAUUACAUGAAAAAUAAAAAUUUAUUUUAAAACUAAAUGGACAUUCAUAGCUACACGAUUGGACACGUAAUAGAUUACAUAUAAUAAAAAUAAUAUUUUAAAAGAAUAAAUGUAAUAGAUAAUUGUAAAUAGAUUUUGAAUUUUUUAUUUUCAAAAGCACUAUAUUUUUUAUAUAGGACAUGUAGUUGAUUAAUUAAAAUAACAAUAAAAAAUAAAUUACCUCUCACUUGACGCGGCGGGCGAAGUACUGUGGCUAAAAUUAAUUGGAAGUAACACUUCAUUCGUGCUUUUCCUUCUUUACUUUUUGUCAAACAAUUAGCAGAAACACGGAAAUUUAUAUUUUAAUUCACUCCAAUUCUAUAUAUCAAAAUGUUUAUUUAUAUUUUAAAUUUUUGCUGUCUUCUCUCUCCUGGGCAUUUAAAUUCUGAUGAGUUUGUUCGACUUGUUGCUGUAGACUUUAUUAAUUUGUAGCAAACUAUAGUAGUAAUUAAUUAAUUUUUGUUUUAUGACGUUGGAUUUACUUCUUUAUUAUGUCAUUAUGCAAAAUAAAUUUUAUAUUUUAUUAAUUUUUAUAUUCGUGCUUUAUGCAAUUAAUUUUAUAAUUAGAUAGUAUUAGAAUUUAUAAAAUUUUAUUAAUAAUACGAUUUUAUAUUGUAUCAUUAAUAUUUAUUUUUUUUAAAUUUUGUACUUAAAUUUUAAAUAUAAAUAUGAAAAAUCUCAAUAGUAAUAAUGCAUUAAAUUGCUCCCGUUACCUAACAAUUUGAAUAAAUAUAUAAAUAAAAGUUAAAAAAUAUUUUUAAUAAAUUCAAAAUGUUUUUUAAAAAAUAAUAAAAAUAAACUUUUUUUUUUUUUAAUUAGAGAGUUAGUUAUUAUGGGCUACCCCUUUCAUAAAUAAACUAUUGAUUUUAACCUAAAUUGAUAACCAUAAACCUAAACAAUUAAACCACCCUAAAAAUUUUCCUACAUUUUUUCAUUUUUUUCUAUUUUCUAUUUUAUUUUUUAUUAACAAAAUCUAAACCAAGUAAACCCAGAUGGAUUGGAGUGUCUAUAGUGGUCCCUCUUUAUAUAUUUUUUGUGAAAUAAGAAUUGUGCAAAGAUGUAGACAACACAACCCAAAUCAACUCAAUGCAUUUUUUUUUGUUUUUUUAAGCAUACUCCACAAUUCUUAAAUACUCCUCUAUAUAGAGGCUCCACGACUUUUGAAAAAAAAAAUAAAAGCUCAUCUAAAUUGAAGCUCAACGACUUUGGAAAAUAAAUAAAGUUUCUCUAAUUAGAGGCUUAACAACUUUGAAAAAAAAAUAGGGCUCAUUUAAGCAAAGGCUCAAUAACUUUGAAAAAAUAAAUAGCUUCUCUAAUCAGAGGCUUAUCAACUUUGAGAAAAAUAAAUAAGACCUCUCUAAUCAAAGGCUCAACAACUUUGAAAAAUAAAUAAAGCUCGUCGAUAAUCUUGUCCAAAGAAGUCAUGGAUCAUGUUAGAAACUCAAAGAUUUACAAUUUGAGUUCGCAAUUCAAAGACUCACAAGAAUUUUCAAAUUCACUCAAAUUUUUAGAUUCACAAAAACCUUUCAGCUUUAUAAGAAUUCACCAAAAUUUGAUUAUCAAAAUUUUAGUUUCACAAGAAUUUAAUUCGUAAAUUUCAGAUUCGUAAGAUUUUUCAACUUCAUAAAAAAUUUAGAUUCGCAAGAUUUCAAGAUUCACAUUUAUGAGAUUUUCAUUCAAAAUUUUAAUUCAAGGAUUCACAUGCAAAAUUACAAGGCUCACAUCUAACAUUUAAAGAUUCAAAUUUUGGAGAUUCACAUUCAAAUUCUGGAGAUUCACACCCGAAAGAUUUUUUUUUUAAUUUUGAGGGAUUCAUUGCUUAGAUUUCAAAGAUUUUGAUUAAAAAAUUUCUCAUUUAAAGACUUUAGGAUUUCAUCCAAAAUUUCAAACUCCUCAUUUGAAUUCAAAGAUUUACAUUCAAUAAAUCUUAGAGCUUCACAUCUAAGUUCAAAGGUUCACAAUUGAUAAAUUUGGGGUUUCACAUCCAAAAAGUUUAAAGCUCUUCAAAGAUUCACAUUUGAAUUAUUUUUAAGUUUCUCAUUCAAAGGUUCUCAUUCACAAAUUUAGAGAUUUGCAUCCAAAAGUUGAAAACUUCUUAUUAUAGUUUGAAAAUUCACAUCCAACAAAUUUUAGGGUUUUGCGUCUCAAAGAUUCUUAUUUGAAACUCAAAGAUCUCAUUUGAAACUCAAAGAUUUUCAUUUGAAAACUCAAAGAUUCUUAUUCGAAACUCAAAGAUUCUCAUUUGAAAACUCAAAGUUUUUCAUUUGAAAACUCAAAGAUUCUCAUUUGUGUAGACACCGAUUUUGUCCGGGUCUACUAUUUUAACUUUAAUGAUAAUAAUAUUAUUAAUAAUAAUAUUUAAAAAUAAUUAUUAAUUAUAUAAAAAUAUAAAAAAUUGUAUAAUAAUAAUAACAAAAGAAAAAAGAAAGUAGGCUGGCUGGUGCCCCGACUAGUCACCGACCAACUACCCUACCAGCCUACCCUACAGCCUCUGACCAGCCCCCACACUCAUCAACCUACAGCCACCCACCCAGAUCUCAUUUUGAACCCAUUCAAAUAUGGCUGGAAUUCCCUUCAAUCUAGCUCUAGGGAAUUCCCUUCAAUCUUCCUAAAAAAAAUCCCCUUCAAUCUCCCUCUGGGAAUUCCUUUCAAUAGAUCUUGAAAUCUCCUUCAACAGAUCUCGGUAAUCCCCAUUCAACCUUUCUCUAAAAAAUUCCCUUUUUUGAAACCUCUCCCUCGGAACCCCCCUUUCGAAAGCUUUUCGAACACACAGCUACCCCCCUCAAAAUACACAAACAGAUCUACGAAAAUAAAAAAAAAAAAAAAAAAAUAACACAGUCCUCACCGUAGGGAGGAACCUCAGUGCUGAGCCACCUGCACCAACAAAGAAAGGUAUCAGUUAGCUUUCAACAAUAAACAAAAAAAAAGGUAUACCAAAAACUUCAAAACCCGAUCUACGCGAAUCAAGGCCGUUUUCGAUGAAAGGAGCACCAGAUCUGAGCUCGGGAGGUUGAACGAAACCUCUUGAUCACUUUUCAAAUUUUCAGCCACCGCCGAUAGUGACCGGCACGGCGGCCGGCGCGGUGGUUCGACGGCCGGCCAGACCCUCCCCAGAGCACUCUCUCUCUUUCCCUCUCUCCUUUUUUUUUUUGAAGCAGAAACCAAAUGAGCCAAAAAAAUUUCAGCUAUAUAUAGUAAAGCAAAAACUCAAAACGACGUCGUUUAGGGAAAGACCCAAAACAAACGCCGUUUUAACCGAAGAAGGAUCCGCGCGUGGACCCGGAUCCGACCCGAGAUCCGCGCGAACCGACCUCCAGCCGGUUCAUACAAACCGCCAGUGAACCGGUCCGAACUGUUCCUGAACCGAAUCGCGCGUCCGAACCGAACCAUCGUUGACCGGACCGUUGACGCGAUCCGAUUCAGGUAAAAUUUUUUUUUUAAUUUUCUAAUUUUUUUAUAUUAUUUUUUAUAUUAUUUUAAGUAUAUUUUUAUAUUUAUGCAUGAUAAAUUUAUAAAUUUGUUAAAAAUAAAUGUUUAAUUGUUUUAAUAAUAAUAAAAUUGAAAACAAAGAAUAAUUAAAAAUAUAUUAAAAAUGCUCAAAAAAUAUUUAUUAUGAUUUUCCCUGUCUAGAUGUUGGAGGGAAUAAAAAUAUUUUUUUAAAAAAAUAAUUUCGCCUAUAUGUUGGGAAAUUAUUAUUAAUAAAUUUUCAUAAAAAAUAUAUAUAAAAUUUUAAUUAGUUUUCAAAAAUUAUAAAAAAUUGAACCUGCUCCGAAAGUCUGCCUAGAUGAUGGGGAUUUUUAGAGAUGUUCGCGUUUUACUUAAACCUUAAAUACUAAUUUUUAAUUUUCAAAAUCCUAAAAUCCAAACCCCAAAAUCAAAAUCCCUUAAAUCCAAAUUCCCUAAAAUCCAAAAUCCAUGAAAUCCAAAGUCCUAAAAAUCCUAAAGACACGUGUGAAAAUUCUAUUUGAAGUAAUUUAUUCUCGAAUGCCACUAGAUGAUGGGGUAUUUAAGAAAUUUUACUUCGUUAAGUCUUUUCACACGAUUUCUUAAUUUACAUUAAUAAUAAGAUUAAUAAAUAAAAAAGUAUAAUAGUAAAUUGAGAUCUUAAAUAUAAACAGUCGCACCUAAGCUCUGCCUAGAUGUUAGAGAGUCGGGGUGGUCCUCAUUAUACUUAAGAAUCCAACUCUUAAAUUGCAUUUCAAUGUUACAUAACAUUUAUUGGCAUACAUACGUUAGCAUGUUAUUAUCAGCAUUAUUUGUACUAUUUUGUCUUUAAUUUUUUAUUUACUACUUAAUGAUAAAUAUUUUACAAUAAAAAGAAUAAUACUAAAUUUUUUGUGAUGUUAUAAAAUAAAAUAAGAAUACAUUCCGAAAGAAAUAAUUCUUGGUACUUCUGCCUAGAUGUUGGAAGAGUCACUAACAAUUAUUUUCUAUAAAGAGCGUUAUUUCAUUUAAGGAUUGUUGUGUUAAAUCUUAAGCGAAAAGAGUUAUUUCAAAUUCUGCCUAGAUGUUGGAGAAUUUCAAGAUAAUUCUUUAACUUAAAGAUUUUCUCAAUAUUCCUAAAUAAAAAUUUUAGCAAAAAUAUUUUUUUUUAAUGAAGGAAUUAAUGUUAAAUUUCAAAUUUAAACCAUUUUUAUCCAACGUCGAAAAUAGUGCAUAAUUAAAUGGUACCAAUUUAUGGGCGUUGUGGGGGUGCUAAUCCUUCCCCACGCGUAACCGACUCCCGGAUCCAACCUGAUUUUUCGCAGACCGAAAUUUAUCUUUUUGAUAAACUUUAAACUCGUUUUUAUAGUUUUAUUAAAAAAAUAAACUUUUGGGUGGCCAAUCACACACUAACAAAGAUUGGUGGUGACUCCCAUUUUUAUUUAUUUUCUUCGAUUUUAAAAUCUCAUUUUUACGUCUGGCGGUCCCAAACCAUUAUGAUGGCUUGGCGACUCCACUGGGGACGUAUUUGAGAGUCAGGCCAAAAUUUUAAUUAUGUGCUAUUGACAACGGUUGGAUUUAAUUGAUUUUAUUUGAUAUUUAAUUUAAUUUCUUUAUUUUAUUUUUUCUGAAAACAGUCUUGUUAAUAAAUGAAAUAAAUUAUGUGCUAGUUAUUAUUUCAUUUUGAUUUUGUUUUUGAUUUAUUCAUGUUAUUUUGAUUAAUACAUUACCUUGCAUACACUUUGCAUAUUCACUCGCAUGCAUGAGUUCUAUACCCGGGCUCUAUCCCUUUUAAGAGGAAGUGAAGUAGCUAUGCUCUCGUGAGGUGAUAACCUCUACAUUUGCUAGCAAAACACUUCCACUCAGAUUGAACCCUUUCUGUUAAUAACCCAUAAUGGACGAGGAUCGAGGAACCUUACUAGUCUAUAAUAGGCGAUAAUGUGAGGAAUAGUCUGGGAACCUUUAGACAUAUAAAUCCUAACCCAACAUAUCGUGAGCCAUAAGAAGCCUGCCUAGGAUAGUGCCAUGUCACCUUUUUAGAAAAUUACCAAAAAUUAGGACAUUAUACGUUAUAUUAUUUGGUUGUAUGGUUGUUAUAUUAUUUCUCUUACUUGUUUGUUUUGAAUUCUCGAGUCAUUUUAUUAUUUUAUUUUAUAUAUUCUUUGAUUGUGUGCAUUAUAUUUGAAUAUGUGGUAUUUAUUUUAGGUCAAUCAUUAAAAAAAAGAAAGGGCAAAAGAACAUUUCCAAAGAUUAAGGAUUUUUCUUAAAUUCUUUGUUUAUUGGCCCAAUAAAAAAAAUCAAUUUUCAUGUCCUAAUUAUUUUGUUUUUCCCUUUUAAAAUUUUUUUUAUUUUGUUUCAUUUUUUUGUAUUUCAUACAUCAUAAAAAAAAUAAUACAUGUAUCCCAUCCCAUAUACAUCAUAAAAGGUAGUGUCAGUUUCACUAGGUUGGCAUAAUACAAGCAUUACAUCCCAUGUAAAAAUAUAACAUGCACUUGGUAAGUUCAUGCAUUCCAUAUAAGCAUGUUGUAUUAGUCAUAGGAAUACAUCUCAUCAUUCAUGUAAAUAUGUCAUUGCAUUUCAUGCUUAUAGAUUCAUAAGGUCGUAUGGAACGUACAUUGCAUUUCAUAUCCCACCAUUCUUGUAACAUAUCAUUCCAUUUUUUACGCAUUCAUGGUUGACGAAAAUUUUUAUUUGGGUCUUUGUACAUAUAAAAAUCCAUUGUCAUAAGUAUAUAUAUGCAUUCUGUGACAUUCUCAUAUUCAUGUGUUCAUAAACAUACUUUGUGUGUCUUUGUUUUUUGUGAUAUUCAUUCGAUAAGGGUAAUAGUCUAGAAUUUUUUGUCUAAGUUCUGGAAUAAAAUGUCUGUCUUGGUGGGGUUCAGAGUGACGAAAAUGGGAGAUCAAUUGGAAGCAAGGAUUAGUGCUUUGGAGUUGAAUCAAGAGGAAUUAUGGCUUGAGCUUCGAGAAAUGAAACAACAUAUGGUUCAAAUGAUAAAAAUGGUUAGAGGUAGUGAUGGGGUUGAGUUUGUUCCUCCUCAUAGACCGUUGUCACUUCUGCCAAGUCAAGGUCAAUUGGUUCCCGUUAGUUCCAACACUCUGCCAGAGUAUGCUAAAGCAUUAGGUGAUUUGAACAGUGAUCGAAGUUUGGGUGAACUUAAGAGAGGAAUGGGUGAACUAGCCAUGCAAAUGACUGAGCUCAAGAGUUUGAUUUCCAAUAAGGAGUCACCUGGCUUCAAACAACCAUCACCAACUAUCUCAAGUCUUAACCCAUACCUAAAUCCUUCUAAUGACCAUUUUCAACCUCCUUUCCAAGUACCUAGGAUUAAACCCUCAAUUUUCAUGCAACCACCAAGAAUUUCACACCUGAACCCAUAUCCACCAUCUCAUAUUUCAUAAUUAUUUGUUUAGCAUGCUAUCCUGUCACUACCUUUUGAACCCGAUCUUCGACCCAGAGUUUCUCAAUUCACCUCAAGACCAACUAUACUAGCAUCUUUUCAGCAAAGUAAACUAACCAUAGGACAGAAAAACUCUGGUAACACCAAAGGAAAAGCCCCUAUUGAUCCAAUACCCAUGUCCUACACAGAGUUAUACUCGUUGCUCUUAGGGAACUACCUCAUUGCCCCUAUCCCUACUGAACCUCGUAAACCACCUUUCCCUAAAUGGUAUAACCCUAAUGCCCAAUAUGAAUACCAUUUUGUUGUUGUGGGCCAUUCUCUGAAAGAUUGCAUAGCUUUGAAACAUAGGGUGCAAUGAUUGAUAAAAGUCGGAUAUCUGAGUUUUGAUGCCAAAAUGAAGCCAGUUAUUCACGAGAACCUUUUUUUGAUCCAUGUCAAAAUGGUUCAAGGAUAGCUAUUCUAGGAAACGAGAUCAGUUGAGUCUGCACACUUAUAGCACUCGAGCCAGUAUCAUAAUCAUGGAAAAUGAAGGUGCCAGUCAAAUGGACAGAGUAAAAAAGACCCAAGGAAAGAUCGGUGAAACAGUUAUGGGAAUGCAACAAAAUAUGAACAGACAACUGGUAAAAUUAAAACAGAUGAUAGUGGAAUUGAUAAAAGAAAAAAAAAUUGUUGAGACGCAUAGGAUAAGAGAGGAAACAACUAUCGAGACACCAUUGUAUCCAUCUGGGUUUACAUAUGUUCAAGAUCCUCAUGUGUCACAAGCACCUCCAAUAACUCAUCAACUUUAUGUUGGCCAUUUUGCUAAGUUACCAUCAGUUUAGACAAAUAUCAAUCCUGGGCAAACUCCUCAUGACUUCACUACUGUGCCCAAUGUAGAUGAUCAUAAAGAAUUGAAGAAAUUAAAAAGGGUGUCAGAUCCAUCAGAAAAUAUAGUGAUGAAAGAUAAGUAUGAUCUAUUGAAAGAGAGAUUGAAAGUAAUUGAAAGCCAUGAUGUGUACGAGAAUGUUGGCGUCAGUGAACUUAGUCUAGUACCUGAUCUUGUUAUUCCAUCAAAAUUCAAAGCCUCAAGUUUUGAAAAGUACGAUGGAACAAAAUACCCUAUAAUACACAUUACCAUGUACUGUCGAAAGAUGACAGCUACACUCAUGAUGAUAAAUUAUUGAUCCAUUACUUUCAAGAUAGUCUCACUGGACCUGCAGCAAGAUGGUAUGCUCAGUUAGAUCGAAGUAAGAUUCACUUUUGGAAUGAAUUGGCUAGGGCCUUCCUAGCACAAUACAAGCAUGUUGAAGAUAUGAUGCCAAAUAGGUUGUCCAUGCAGAACAUAAAGAAAAGAUCAACUGAAAUGUUCAAAGAAUAUGCAUAUAGAUGGAGAGACAUAGUAGCUCAAGUACAACCACCAUUGUCAGAGAAAGAAAUUACUAUUUUAUUUGUCAAUUCUUUGGACACUCCCUAUUAUGAAAGAAUGAUUGGGAAUAUCUCUAAAACUUUUCAGACAUGAUGAUUUCUGGUGAAAUUAUAGAAAAUACAAUUAAGAGUGGCAGGAUUAAGUUAAAAGAUACGACAGAUAUUGAAAAAGAAAGUACAUCAUAACAAAAUAAAAAAAAGGUGCAAGCAGUCACACUGGAGGGGCAUCUACCUAAUAACUUUAUCUCGUACAAUUCUUAUCUUGCUUAUCAACCCCAUCACCUUGCCAUAAGCCGUAUCUCUCAAAACCCAUAUCUUUGCCAACCAAGCCAGCAUUUGAGCUUUCCAACAAACUCUCAUCCUCAAGUGGUCAUUCACGAUUUUGUUCCCAUAUUUGAAUCCAUCACCCGACCAAUAAAAAAUUGAAAGAGACCAAGGAAUGAUCGAGAGAAAUUAUCCAUCCCUAUUUCUCACCUUUUGCCUUUGCUAAUAGAAGGUAGAUAUCUCACUCCUGUGCCUCUGAAAAUAACAACAAAUCCAUCAGUAAGGAGUUACAAUCCCAAUGAUAAGUGUGAUUACCAUAUGUGGGUAAUUGGUCACUCAACUGAAAAAUACAGGCAAUUGGAAGAAAAGGUUGAAGAUCUUAUCAAGAAUGGUAUUCUGACUCCGGAGGUAAUAGAACAAUGAAAGUUGUUGACUCCAUUCAAUUGUCAAAUGUGAGAAGUUGAGAUGAAAAGUGAGGUGUCAAGUUUUAAAAAUCAGGAUAGGAUGAUUUUUUUAUGUAUAUAGGACAUGUGCAUUGUGUCUCUAGGAGUUAUUUAACUUAUUUUGGAAGAAUUGAAUACUUUGGAUUUUUUUCAUGAAAUUUUCUUUUUAUGCAUUUGUUUGGAUAAAAGUCCCACAUAAAUAACUUUAAAAAAAAGAGAAAAAAAGUUUUAUUCUGUAAUAAAGAUGGAAGAAUUCUUAAAGGAAAUGGUGAUUACUGUUAGGAAAAAGCUCAUCAAAUACCUCCACACUUUUUCAAAUACUUUCAUGUCCUUAAUCACUUAAAUGAUUGGACUCACCAACCAUAACCUUUUAGGGAAUGUGAGUUUGAGUUCAGACCUUAAAGGGUCGAUAAUCUUUUUCGGGGCAAAGAACAAAAGAGAUUAAUUUUGAAAGUUUGUUUUGAAUUUCAAAAAUCAGAUAUUCUUUCAAAUUUUCCAAUCGAUAGUCCAAUGUGUGUCAAAAUUUUGCUAUGACCAUAGAUACAAAAACACUUGAGCCUUUUCCUUAAAUAACCUUUUUUCCAUGUCUUAAGGCACAUUGAAAAAGAAAAAUCCCUUUUUGCCUAAGAUAAUUUAUUUCAUACCUUUAUACAUUUUCUCUUCUUUUCACCAAGAAAAUGCUAAAAAAAUUUAGAGCCCAAAGAGCUUUUUUGAGCUAUGCAAUCAAUCCUAUACGACUUAAUCGUCGUUAGAACCUUGAGUAAAAAAGGAUGGGGCAUAAAAAAAUGAAAACAAAAAAACAAAAAAACAAAAAAAAAACAAAAACAAAAAAACAAAAAAAAAAAACAAAAUGGACAUAUUCAAUGAUUUGCUCUUCUACCCAAGUGAUCAUGUUUGAAAUGAUGAAUGGCCAUCUUUCUCUAUCUUUCUCGUACAUAAAAAUUAUCGAUUUGUUACCCAUUUGAGCCUAUUAAAUUUUUUGUUCCAAAAUAAACCUUAGCCAAGGAUCAUUUUCUACAUUAGGGGGAAAAUUAGGAUACAUUCAAGAUUAACUUCAAGAAAAGUAUCCGAUAUUAGAAGCAUCUAACAUGCCCUUCGAAGGUGAAAGUCUAGGGUAAAAAGUGAACAAGGCUUCGAUUGAAAUUUCAAGAUUCAAGAAAGUGAACAGCCAAAGAUAAAGUUAAGUAUUUCUAAGGCAAAACAAAGAAACCUUAGAGAUAAGAAUUUGAAGCUUCACUUAGAAUUAAAAAAAAGAAAAAGAAAAAAUAUAUAUACCUUGAAAAUGAGAAUUCAAGAAAAAAAAAGAGGGUGCGUGAAGUUGCUGAAAUUAAAGCCAAAUGUUUCAAAAAAAAGGGGGGGGCAAAAGAAGAAAAUCAGAGAGUGCUCAUCAGGAUCCUUGGCCUAUCACCCUGAAUAAUAUAUUUGAGCCUAUUUAUCCAUUUUUUCAGAACCCUUAACCUUAGCCUACAUUACACACCUUAAAAAGCCCAUUUUGAUCAAUUAUGGAUACUUAGAUUGAAGAGCAAUAUCCCUAAAUUUGUAUAUACUUGUUGAAUUCUUCAUUGAUAAAAAAAAAUAUAGCUCUAAGUUGAAAACCCCAAAAGGGCAGUUUAGAGCUAAAGUCAUUUUUUGAGGCCCCAAAAUAAAUUUCAGAGUUUCAAGGUUCUAUCCGAAAUAAAAAGUUUCGAUACAAAACUUUUUAAAAGACCAGUACCCAUUAAAAACCUUUCUUAAAAAAAAUAAAAAAUAAAAAAUAACCUUGUCUUCUUCUUAAAUCUUGUUUGAAAAGUAAUGGCUAGUUUUGACUCACAUUGGAGCAUCACGUUUUCAAUAAAAAGAAGUGUUUUAAAAAAAUUAUCUCUUUUGGGAACCCAAGAAAAAUCCUUGUAACCCUCGCUGAGCUUUACAUGAGAUAUGUACCAGUGAAAAAAUUGAAUUGUCAAUUAACUCACCUAUGAGCCUUUCAAAUAGUAAUCAUCAAUUUUCAAGAGAUUCAAAAGUCUUAGUUUUAAAUAUUUUCAUUCAACGGCAAAGAUACUUUUUAUGGGGUAAUUUUUUAUCACUUUUGAAAAUUUUCAAGAUUAUUGGAGCAUUUUGCACAUAAUACUGAGAUCAUUUUUGGGUGAAAGUAAAACAAUGAAAAUUUAAACAAAAUGUUUUCAAAAAAAAAAACAAAAAGUUUUCAUAAAAAGAGUGGGGCAAGAAGAGUUUUUGCAUUUGCAUCAUGGUAUCUGCAUCACAAGAAAGACAUUCAUAUUUGCAUCACUUGCAUUGGCAUUUGUAUAAGACAUUUGCAUUCACACCAUAAGAAGAAUUUGCAUUUGUAUCAUGACAUCUGCAUCCUAAGAAAAAGUAUUUGUAGAGGCAUCUACAUGAAAAGGACAUUGUCAUUUACAUUAUGAAAAAGUCAAAUGUAUCAAGCAUUUGCAUUCUUACGUUGGCAUUGACAUUUGCAUUUCCAUUAGCAUCAUUUGAUGAGAAUAGAUAUUUGUAUCAUGUUUACAUUUAUCAACUUCGAAAAAAGGGAGGCAUGCUUUUAAAGUUUUAAAGUCUCUGUUUAAGAGAAACUGUUCUCAAUCAAAUUUUUAAAGCCUCUGUUUAAGAAGAACCAAUUUCAAUCAAGAUUUUAAAGCCUCUAUUUAGGGGGAACCUUCCUCAGAAAAGACCUUUAGAGUCUCAAAAAUAUUUGAUUAGGUGAAAGCCAUGUUUUAAAAGAUUUUUAAAUUUUUAAAGUUUUAUUGCCUCUGGUUAUGAGGAGCAUUCAAAGAUUUUGAGAUUUAUAAGACCUCUGGGCAUAAUCUCUAAAAGCCCCUGUGCACGACUUUCAAGUUUUAAAAGAUUUUUAAAUUUUUAAAUUUUUAAAGUUUCAUUGCCUCUGGUUAUGAGGAUCAUUCAAAGAUUUUGAGAUUUAUAAGACCUCCGGGCAUAAUCUCUAAAAGCUUCUGUGCACGACUUUCAAGUUUUAAAUUUUUAAAGUUUCAUUGCCUCUGAUUAUGAGGAGCAUUCAAAGAUUUUGAAAUUCUAUAAGACUUUCGGGCAUAAUUUUUAAGACCUCCGGACAAUUCUGUAAGACCUCCGGGCAUAAAUUUGAUUCGCGAUGUUAUCUCGAUCAAUUCUAUAAUUUUGACUUACGGUGUUAUCCUAGUCAAUUCUGUAAGACCUCCAAGCAUGAUUUUUAAGACCUCCGGGCAUGAUUUCUAAGACCUCCGGGCAUAAAUUUGAUUCGCGGUGUUAUCCCGGUCAAUUCUAUAAUUUUAACUUGCGGUGUUAUCCCAGUCAAUUCUGUAAGACCUUCGGGCAUGAUUUCUAAGACCUUCGGGCAUGAUUUUUAAGACCUCCGGGCAUGAUUUUAAGAGCUCUGGACACAAUUCUGUAAGACCUUCAGGCAUGAUUUUUAAGAUCUCCGGGCAUAAAUUUGAUUCGCGGUGUUAUCCCGAUCAAUUUUAUAAUUUUGACUUGUGGUGUUAUCCUAGUCAAUUCUGUAAGACCUCCGGGCAUAAAUUUGAUUCGCGAUGUUAUCUCGAUCAAUUCUAUAAUUUUGACUUGCGGUGUUAUCUCAGUUAAUUCUGUAAGACCUCCGGGCAUAAUUCUGUAAGACCUCCGGGCAUAAAUUUGAUUCGUGAUAUUAUCCCGAUCAAUUCUAUAAUUUUGACUUACGGUUUAGUCCCAGUCAUUUUUAAUGCUUGACUCGCGGUUUAAUCCUGGUCAUUUCAUUAAUUCUUCGACUUGUGGUUCAGUCUCAGUCAUAUUUAAUCUUUGACUCGUGGUUUAAUCUCGAUCAUUUCAUUAAUUCUCUGACUUGUGGUUCAGUCCCAGUCAUUUUUAUCCUUUAACUCGCGGUUUAAUCCAGAUCAUUUCAUUAAUUCUCUGACUUGUGGUUCAGUCUCAGUCAUCUUUAUCCUUUGACUCACGGUUUAAUCCUGAUCAUUUCAUUAAUUCUCCGACUUGCGGUUCAGUCCCAGUCAUUUUUAAUCCUUGACUCGCGGUUUAAUCCCGAUCAUUUCAUUCUCUGACUUGCGGUUCAGUCCCAGUCAUCUCUAAUCUUUGACUCAUGGUUUAAUCCUGGUCAUUUUAUUCUCUGACUUGCAGUUUAGUCCCAGUCAUCUUUAAUCCUUGACUCACGGUUUAAUCCUGGUCAUUUCACUAAUUCUUCGACUUACGAUUCAGUCCCAGUCAUAUCUAAUCUUUGACUCGCGGUUUAAUCCCGGUCAUUUCAUUCUCUGACUUGCGGUUCAGUUCUAGUCAUCUUUAUCCUUUGACUCGUGGUUUAAUCCCGAUCAUUAAUUACCCGACUUGCAGUUCAAUCACAGUCAUCUCUAAUCUUUGACUCACUAUUUAAUCCUGAUCAUUUCAUUCUCUGACUUGCGGUUCAGUCUCAGUCAUCUCUAAUCUUUGACUCAUGGUUUAAUCUUGGUCAUUUUAUUCUCUGACUUGCGGUGUAGUCCCAGUCAUUUUUAAUCCUUGACUCGCGGUUUAAUCUCGGUCAUUUCAUUAAUUCUUCGACUUGCGGUUCAGUCCCAGUCAUAUUUAAUCUUUGACUCGUGGUUUAAUCCCGAUCAUUUCAUUCUCUGACUUGCAGUUCAGUCCUAGUCAUCUUUAUCCUUUGACUCGUGGUUUAAUCCCGAUCAUUAAUUACUCGACUUACGGUUCAAUCGCAGUCAUCUCUAAUCUUUGACUCGUUGUUUAAUCUCGAUCAUUUCAUUCUCUGACUUGCGGUUCAGUCCCAGUCAUCUUUAAUCUUUGACUCAUAGUUUAAUCCUGGUCAUUUUAUUCUCUGACUUGCGGUUUAGUCCCAAUUAUCUUUAAUCCUUGACUCGCGAUUUAAUCUCGGUCAUUUCAUUAAUUAUUCGACUUAUGGUUCAGUCCUAAUCAUAUUUAAUCUUUGACUCGCAGUUUAAUCACGGUCAUUUCAUUCUCUGACUUGUGGUUCAGUCCUAGUCAUCUUUAUUGUUUGACUCGUGAUUUAAUCCCGAUCAUUAAUUACCCGACUUACGGUUCAAUCGUAGUCAUAUCUAAUCUUUGGCUCACGGUUUAAUCCCGAUCAUUUCAUGCUCUGACUUGCUGUUCAGUCCCAGUCAUCUCUAAUCUUUAACUCAUGGUUUAAUCCCGGUCAUUUCAUUAAUUCUUCGACUUGCGAUUCAGUCCUAAUCAUAUUUAAUCUUUGACUCGUGGUUUAAUCCCGGUCAUUUCAUUCUCUGACUUGCAGUUCAGUCCUAGUCAUCUUUAUCCUUUGACUCAUGGUUUAAUCCCGAUCAUUAAUUACUCGACUUACGGUUCAAUCGCAGUCAUCUCUAAUCUUUGACUCGCUGUUUAAUCCCGAUCAUUUCAUUCUCUGACUUGCGGUUCAGUCCCAGUCAUCUCUAAUCUUUGACUCAUGGUUUAAUCCUGGUCAUUUUAUUCUCUGACUUGCGGUUUAGUCCCAAUCAUCUUUAAUCCUUGACUCGCGAUUUAAUCUCGAUCAUUUCAUUAAUUCUUCGACUUACGGUUCAGUCCUAGUCAUAUUUAAUCUUUGACUCGCAGUUUAAUCCCGGUCAUUUCAUUCUCUGACUUGUGGUUCAGUCCUAGUCAUCUUUAUCCUUUGACUCGUGGUUUAAUCCCGAUCAUUAAUUACCCGACUUGCGGUUCAAUCGUAGUCAUAUCUAAUCUUUGGCUCACGGUUUAAUCCCAAUCAUUUCAUGCUUUGACUUGCUGUUCAGUCCCAGUCAUCUCUAAUCUUUAACUCAUGGUUUAAUCCUGGUCAUUUUAUUCUCUGACUUGCGGUUCAGUCCCAGUCAUCUUUAAUCCUUGACUCGUGGUUUAAUCCCGGUCAUUUCAUUAACUCUUCGACCCGCAGUUCAGUCCUUGUCAUCUUUAAUCCUUGACUCGCGGUGUCAUCCCGAUCACUUUCUUUUAUUCGACUUUAGGUGUUGCCCUAAUCGAUUUUUUUUUAUGUUUCCACUCACGAUGUCGCUUUCUUUAUCACUUGACCUGACCUGUAAAAAAAAAAAAUUCAUGAUUUGCUUUCGGACAAAAUCAUUGUCUUUAUCUUUGCCCUAUUCCUGAUUCUCAGUAAUCUGCAAAGAGGGACAGCUGUAGACAUCGAUUUUGUCCGGGUCUACUAUUUUAACUUUAAUGAUAAUAAUAUUAUUAAUAAUAAUAUUUAAAAAUAAUUAUUAAUUAUAGAAAAAUAUAAAAAAAUUGUAUAAUAAUAAUAAUAAAAGAAAGAAGAAAGUAGGCUGGCUGGUGCCCCGACCAGUCACCGACCAACUACCCUACCAGUCUACCCUACAGCCUCUAACCAGCCCCCACACUCAUCAACCUACAGCCACCCACCUAGAUCUCCUUUUGAACCCAUUCAAAUACGGUUGGAAUCCCCUUCAAUCUGGCUCUGGGGAAUUCCCUUCAAUCUCCUUCAAAAAAAUCCCCUUCAAUCUCCCUCUGGGAAUUCCCUUCAACAGAUCUCGAAAUCUCCUUCAACAGAUCUCAGUAAUCCCCAUUCAACCUUUCUUUAAAAAAUUCCCUUUUCUGAAACCUCUCCCUCGGAACCCCCCUUUCGAAAGCUUUUCGAACACACAGCUACCCCUCAUCAAAAUACACAAAUAGAUCUACGAAAAUAAAAAAAACACAAACAAAAACAAAAAAAAUAACACAGUCCUCCCCAUAGGGAAGAACCUUAGCGCCACCAACAAAGAAAGGUAUCAGUUAGCUUUCAACAAAAAAUAAAAAAAAGGUAUACCGAAAACUUCAAAACCUGAUCUACGCGAAUCAAGGCCAUUUUCGGUGAAAGGGGCACCAGAUCUGAGCUCAAGAGAUUGAACGGAACCUCCUGAUCACUUUUCAAAUUUUUGGCCACCGUCGAUGGUGACCCGCACGGCGGCCGACGUGGUGGUUCGACGGUCGGCCAGACCCUCCCCAGAGCACUCUCUCUCUCUCUCUCUCUCUCUCUCUCUCUCUCUCUUUUUUUGAAACAGAAACCAAAUGAGCCAAAAAAAAUUUCAGCUAUAUAUAGUAAAGCAAAAACUCAAAACGACGUCGUUUAAGGAAAGACCCAAAACGAUGCCGUUUUAACCGAAGAAGGAUCCGCGCGUGGACCCGGAUUUGACCCGAGAUCCAUGUGAACCGACCUCCAGCCGGUUCAUACGAACCGCCAGUGAACCGAUCCGAACCGUUCCUGAACCGAACCGCGCGCCGAACCGAACCGUUGUUGACCGGUCCGGUUCAGGUAAAAAAAUUUUUUUUAAUUUUCUAAUUUUUUAUAUUAUUAUUUUUAUUAUUUUAAGUAUAUUUUUAUAUUUAUGCAUGAUAAAUUUAUAAAUUUGUUAAAAUAAAUGUUUAAUUGUUUUAAUAAUAAUAAAAUUGAAAACAAAUAAUAAUUAAAAAUAUAUUAAAAAUGUUUAAAAAAUAUUUAUUAUUAUUUUUCCUGCCUAGAUGUUGGAGGGAAUAAAAAUAUUUUUCUAAAAAAAUUAUUCCGCCUAGAUGUUGGGGAAUUAUUAUUAAUAAAUUUUCAUAAAAAUAUAUAUAUAUAUAAAAUUUUUAAUUAGUUUUCAAAAAUUAUAAAAAAUUGAACCUGCUCCGAAAGUCUGCCUAGAUGAUGGGGAUUUUUAGAGAUGUUCGCGUUUUACUUAAACCUUAAAUACUAAUUUUUAAUUUUCAAAAUCCUAAAAUCCAAACCCCAAAAUCAAAAUCCCUUAAAUCCAAACUCCCCAAAAUCCAAAAUCCCUGAACUCCAAAGUCCUAAAAAUCCUAAAGACACGUGUGAAAAUUCUAUUUGAAGCAAUUUGUUCCCGAAUGCCGCCUAGAUGAUGGGGUAUUUAGAAAAUUUUACUUCGUUAAGUCUUUUCACACGAUUUCUUAAUUUACAUUAAUAAUAAGAUUAAUAAAUAAAAAGUAUAAUAGUAAAUUGGGAUCUUAAAUAUAAACAGUCGCACCUAAGCUCUGCGUAGAUGUUAGAGAGUCGGGGUGGUCUCAUUAUACUUAAGAAUCCAACUCUUAAAUUGCAUUUCAUGUUACAUAACAUUUAUUGGCAUACAUACGUUAGCAUGUUAUUAUCAGCAUUAUUUGUACUAUUCUGUCUUUAAUUUUUUAUUUACUACUUAAUGAUAAAAUAUUUUACAAUAAAAAAGAAUAAUACUAAAUUUUUUUGUGAUGUUAUAAAAUAAAAUAAGAAUAACAUUUCGAAAGAAAUAAUUCUUGGUACUCUGCCUAGAUGUUGGAGAGUCACUAACAAUUAUUUUCUAUAAAGAGCGUUAUUUCAUUUUAAGGAUUGUUGUGUUAAAUCUUAAGCGAAAAAAGUUAUUUCAAAUUCUACCUAGAUGUUGGAGAAUUUGAAGAUAAUUCUUUAACUUAAAGAUUUUCUCAAUAUUUUUAAAUAAAAAUUUUAGCAAAAAUAUUUUUUUUAAUGAAGGGAAUUAAUGUUAAAUUUCAAAUUAAAACCAUUUUUAUCCAACGUCAAAAAUAGCGCAUAAUUAAAUGGUACCAAUUUAUGGGCGUUGUGGGGGUGCUAAUCCUUCCCCACGCGUAACCGACUCCCGGAUCCAACCUGAUUUUUCGCAGACCGAAAUUUAUCUUUUUGAUAAACUUUAAACUCGUUUUUAUAGUUUUAUUAAAAAGAUAAACUUUUGGGUGGCCAAUCACACCCUAACAAAGAUUGGUGGCAACUCCCAUUUUUAUUUAUUUUCCUCGAUUUUAAAAUCUCAUUUUUAUGUCUGGCAGUCCCAAAACCAUUAUGACAAUUUGAAACUUAAAGUUUUAUCUUAAGAGACUUUAUCAAAAGAUUCAAAAAUUUUUAGAUGACUUUCAAACUUUUAUCAAAGUUAAAAUUUUGUGUGUGAUGAAUGUCAUAAUCAAUAAUGCAAAUGAAACAAUCUGGAUUCUCACAAUAAUGUAGAUGCCAUACUCUAGGUCAUAAUUCAAAGGUUUGCUGGUUGAUGCAUGUCCAAACAAAGUUUUAAAUAUUCACCGAAUUAUGUGCAUGUAUUGUUCUAACUUACAAUGCAAAUGUAAUACAUGUAAUAUAGAUGUCAUGAAAUUUUAAUUAAUUACGGUAAUAUGGUUCUCAAGACUUUACCAUCUCACAUUUUCCCCUUUUAGCUUAUUAGCAAUAGCCAUGAAUUUCAUCCAUUGAUCCACAUUAUUUUCAUCAUUUGAUCAUAUCUUACAAGUUGACCAAUCCAUCACCAUAUUCAUUUGGUCACACCAUGUGUCCUUCUAAAUCAUCUUUUCAGAUUUCUAUAAUUUUUUUCAUUUUUUAUCCUUUAUUGUCUCGGAUUUCUUUUCAAAAGAAUGCAGGAAUAUUUUAUGAACAUCAUGAUUCAUUCAUCAUCAUUUUAAUUUUUGACAAAUAUAAUGCAAUCAGACAUUUUUUUGAUUUAUUCUGGAGAUGUAACAAUAAAAAAGCACAAGGUAAAUUAGGAAAAAGGUAAUAAAUGAGAAGCAAGUAUGGUAAAGGAACAAAUUCAAAGCAUGUCAUUAGGAAUGGUAUUGAAUGGUACCUCAAUGUCCAAAUAAUGAAUACUUAGACAAUUCUCAAUAUUAAUCCAAAAUUCUUUUUCAAAAACUUAUUCCAUUGACUUUUGAAAUCAAUUUUGAGCUUAUUGAAUUCUGCCUCAACUUUACGAGACCUUUAGAUGCCUGUGAUUUUCCAUAUAUUUGAAUUGUUUAUCAAACCUUCAGUUCAAAAAUUUUUCUACCUAAACUAUCCUUUCAGGUUUUCAAUUUGAGUUUUCUUUUUUCUUUCCUUUCACAUUUUUUCUUUUUCAUUUUUCAUUUUUCAUUUUUCAUUUUUUUUCAUUUUUUAUUUUUUUAUUUUUUUUCAUUUUUUCACUUCUUUUUUUUUAUUUUUUUAUUUUUUCAUUUUUUUGAUACUUCCAUCAAUCUCUAAAACACAACAACAUAGCACAAUUCCAUUGCUCCAUCAUAAGUAUGCCUUAGCCCAACUUAUGAUUAUUCAAUUCAAGCAUCCAUACUUGAUCAAAAUAGACUUUUAAAGGUUGUAAUGUAGGCUAUGGUGAGGGGUCAUGAAAGAAAUGGCUAAAAUAGGCUCAAAAUAUGUGUUUAAAGGGUUCAAAACCAAAUGAUCAUUUCUCAUCAUUUGAUGCAACUUGGCAAUUUUUUCCAUUCCAUAUCAUUUCACUAGUUUUUCAUUCAUCUCAUUCCUCACAAAAGGAUUCUCAUUACUUUGUCCCAAAUCAUUUAUGGCAUUUAUUUUUUUUUUCUCUUUUUUUCCUUUGUUUUGCUCUUUUUACUUUUAUUUUUUUCUAUCUUUAAGACCUUUUGCGAUCUUUUACCUCUUUUCUUUUUCAAAUAUUACCCCUCGAUUUGGAGAAUGAUCCUUGAUUGGGGUUUUUUUUAAAAAGAGAAAAUCACAAUAGGCUUAAAAGAGGCAACAAUGGAUGGUUUUUUGAAUGGUAAAAAAAAGAUGAUCAAUUUUCAUCUUAAAUGUAAAUGCUUUCCUUGAAAAUCAUCUAUUGAACAAAAACAAGUUCAUGGAUCUUUAUAAAGGACUAUAUAACUUCAAGACAUAUCUAUUUUACCUUUGCCAACAGCUUACUUUUUUUGCUCAAAUGGUCUUCAUAUAUCAAUGUGAAUGAGUUUUCAAAAGUAAAUUUCAAAAUUAUUAUUAUCAUUGUUUAAACAUUCAUGAUUUUGAAUUGAGAAUGGGAAUAAAAAGAUGUGGCAAUUAGCAAAGCAUGGAAUAAUCACCUGGAUGAAAGAAAAAAUGUAAUGAAAUGCAUCAACUUGUCUUUUAUGAAAAUGAUAACAAAUGAAAUCUUAUUGCAUGAAAGAAUUCCUAACAUUACUUUGAAAGAAAUAUUAAAAUGACACGUAACUUUCAUCCACCUUAACAUCCUUUUCAAAGUUAUGCCUCUAUGUAAUCAGGUGAAGGAUUUUUAUUGACAUUUUACCCUCAUAAUUCGUUCAAGCUCAUUAAGCCUUUUCGAAUCAAAUUUUGCAUUUUUUGUUUGAAAGUAAGGUAGGUUUUAAUAAAAUGGCCCAUGUUUUCAUUAUGAUAAUCACACAUCGUAUUAGCAUCAUACCAUUUUGGAUAAGGUGGCUUUAAUGGUUCUAAAAUAACUGAAGAUACCAAGUUAUUCUUGACCAGUUGUAGGAAUAAUUCAGUGUAAGUAAUGGGGAUAAGACCAACAUGUGCCUUUUUCUUGGUUAUCCUAAGAUCUCCUUAAACCACUUACUUGAUUGUUAGGCUUUAAAGUUGAUGCAGGUACUUGAAAAGAUGAUUGGUAGGUUGGUGCCUAAGCUAGUUAUGGAUAUGGUUGGUAAGGGACCUGCGCAAUACCAUUAAUUGCGAGGUAGUAAAUAGGAUGAAUUGGUAAUGGAUAUAGAGCAUAGCUUUUAUAUUGUUGCCUACCAAAGUUCAUAGCUUAGGCUUCAGCUUCUUUCUUUUUAGGCAACCUUUCUUUCUUGGUGGUUUUUCCCUUUUAGAGCUUGCUACUUUUGAUGGCAUUUUCAAUGAUUUUCCUUGAAAUUACCAUAUCAGCAAAGUUUUUUGUUGCAUUCUCUAUCAUUUUUUCAUAAUAGGAAAAUUUAAAAUGCUUACAAACAACAUUAUAAUUUUUUUUUCAGUCAGAGGUGAUUGAACUUGAGUAGCUAUAUCUCUCCACCUCUGAGCAUACUUUUUAAAUGAUAGUCACCUUCCCUUCUAUAUUCUACAAAGACAGACGAUUAAAAGUUAAAUCUAUGAUAUGCCAAUACUGACUAAUAAAAUCACGGGCCAUAUCACUUCAAGACUGAAUAUGAGUCAUGUCUAACUGGACAUACCACCUAGUAACAGAACCCAUAAGGUUAUCUUAAAAAACGUGCAUAAAUAAUUUUUUAUUAUUAGCAUGAGCACCAUUUUUCGACAAUAUAUGGUGAUAUAAGUUUUUGAGCAUUUUGUGUCAUCAUCUUUUUUAAACUCUGACACUUUAAACUUUGAAGGAAUAACAACAUCUAAAACUAAAUAGAGCCCAACAGCAUCCAUAGAACCAUAAAAAUGAAUUCCCUCUAAUGCUUGUAACCUUUCCUAUAACAAGUUCAUUUUUAUUCAGCUUUUGAGCCUUUUAAAGCUUUUUUCUCCUUAGGCCUCAGCUUUUCUUUCUUUUUUGGAUCAUUCAAGUUAAGAAUUGAUCCUAGUUCUACUACAUUCUCAGUAAAUAUAGGAUUUACAUAACUCUAGUACUAUCUUAGGUUUGAAGCUAAUGGCAUUUCAGGGUAUGUGUACUCUAUAGGAUAUGUGAACUGCUGUGGUGAUGGAUCUUAUAUGGAUUGCGCUUGAUGUGGCUCAAGACCAAGAUAGUACAAAAGGUCAAUCACUUUUUGUGAUGGAUGUUCCUGCUGGCUAGUAUUUUCCUCUAUCCCUUUCUCUUUAUUUAACUUUUUCAAGGCAUUCAGAAUCUUAUUCAACUCUCCUUCAAGCUUUUUUUAUGCUUUUUUAUCCUUUUGACGUGAUUGAAAAUUUUUUGUUCCAUUUGUCUAGCUUGAGCUCUUGUAUUGUAUUGGUGAGUUGGGUUUUUUCUUGGUGGAGCUAUCAUUGAACCUUAAGUACCACAAUUACAUUAUCAAAAAUGCUAGGCUUUGUGUUUGGUAUGUUGAUGCAUAAAUGGAAUGUACAUUUUCAUGGAUAAAAUCUGAUAUGAAAAUAAUACAGAUGCACAAUGUUACAUAUGACAAUGAAAAUGAUUCAUGACAUGAUAAUGCAAAUGCAUAAAGUCAAACAAAAUUGUUAGAUAAUCAAUAUAUCACACAAAUUGUUCCUUCUUGUGUCCUACCUUCGGGUUACAUCUAUCAAUGGGUAGAAAGGGCUCCAUCCUAGGGUUAACCUCUUAAGUGUAGAUUAUAUGCAGGAUUAAGUGAUUUUGACCACUAAAGGUUUUCAAAUUAUUUCUUACAUCAUCAUCGAUCACAGACUAUUAAGGUAGUCCAGUCCUCACCUAUCACAAGCUACCAAUAAAAAAUAUUCAAUUUGACUGAGAGUAUUUUGCUAGCCAUUACGAAGAUUAUCAUCUCACAAGAGCAUAGGUACUUUACUUCCUCCUAAGAGGGAUGAAGCUUGGGUAUAAAGCUCAUGUAAUGAGAAUGUAUGUGAUAGUGUGUGUGAAGGAAUAUAUUAGUUUCCAACCCAAAAAAUAAAAGACAAAAAAGACAAAACUUUAGUAAACAGAUAACUUAAUCAUUACAAUUUUAAACCAUUAGAUCAAAGGAUAGGAUAUUUUUAAAAUUUAUGGCUUGACUCUUUAGUAGUCCCCAGCGGAGUCGCCAAGCUGUUAUAACAUAUAAAUCCAAAACUUUAUAGCUAGACACAAAUUAAGGAGUCACCACCAAUCUUUUUUUAUCUAGGUGUGAUUGGCCACCUAAUGAAUCUAUCAUUUUAAGGAGCUCCUAAGCUUGACUAAGUGUCCCUAAAAAAAUAGGUUUUAAUCUACUAAUCAGAAUAGGGUUCGGGAGUUCGGUUAUAUAUGGAAAAGGUUAUAGUGCCCCCAUAUACCCAUCGAAAGGAUAGCACCAUUUUAAUUUAAAUUUAUCCUAAGGUCUUGAUUCUAAUUGUUUUAAAAUUUAAUGUUCAAAUAUUAAAAAUAAUUCUUAAGAUUCUCUAUCAAUAUGGUAGAAUUCUUAAAAAUAUUUUUUCACCUCAAGAGUAUUCAAGAAUCUCAUUUAUUUUCUUGAAGAAGCUCCAUCAUCGAAAAAAUGUUUAAUUAUUUUCUUAUUUUGUUUUUUUGGUUUUUAUUGAAAAUAUAUCUAAUUAUUCCACCAUUUGGGCCAAAUUAGAAAUAUCUUUUUUUUUUAAUUUCUAAAUUCUCCACCAUUUGUGCCUAUUUAGAAAUUUUUUUACUUUUUUAUCUUUGGCAAGAAAAUAUUAUGACAAUUAUUUUUCUUGAAGUUUUAUUUAAAUUCUUUCACCAUUUGGGACAAAUUUAAAGAAAUUUCUCACCUAGAGAUUUCUUAGGAAUUUACCAUUUGAAAUUUCUAAUAAUCUCAUUCUUGGAUAAUUAUCAAAUAUUUUCAACCAAAAAUUUUUAUUUUUUUCUUUUUUUUGGAAAAUAAAUAUUAAUUAUUGUUAUUGAAAUUUUAUCUAAAUUAUUCCACCAUUUGGGACAAAUUUAGAAAAAAAAUUCCUCACCAAGGAAUUUUAUAGAAAUUUACCAUUUGAAAUUUCUAAAAAUUUUAUCAUUGGAUAAUUAAUAUUUAUUCUUAAAAAAUAUUUUAUCUUGUUUUAUAUUUUUUAUUUUUCCCUAAAAUUUGAUCAUGCAAAAAUACUAAAAAUAAAUAAAUAAAUAAACAACAACAAACAAAAACCAAAAUGGCUUGGCUUGAGGAAGAAAACCAAGAACGGCUUGGGAUGAUGGCUCGGCUUGGCUAGGCUUGAAACAAAAGUUGAUCGCGGGUCAAACACUGGUAAACAUUUGGGUUGGAUUGACUCAAAUAUAUACACACAAAUCCUAAGAAGUUGCUUAAUGCCAAAACGAUGUUGUUUCAUUAAUUUAUAUAUAUAUUAAUUAUCAUUUUAAAAUUUUUGACAAAGAAUCUAAAAGAUUUUUUCAAUGAAAUUUACAAUUUGAAUAUGCGUCUCUUUCAAUCAUUUGUCGAUUUUUUUUAUCAAAAUCUUAAGAUGAUUAAAUUCAAAGUAGUAAGGAUAAUAAUAUAGAUAAGAGAGGUGCUUAAGGAAAAGGACUAAUCAAGCCUAUCAUAAAUGGUCAAGUUGAUUUUAAAAAACAAAACAAAAUACAAUCCCAACUUGGGUUGGUGUAGAGUAGUUCUUUUUUAAAGAUAUGUACAUUGAUAUUAAGUGUAUAUAUAUAUAUAUAUAUAUAUAUUAAAGAGUAGCUCUUUUUUUUUUUUUUGAAGUUACAAGGAAAGAAAUGUAGAAUCAAACAAAAUUCAACUAAAGGUUUUUUUUUUCUUUUUUUGAGUUGAAAGGAAAGCCAAUAGAGUAGAAAUCAACCUUAAAACUCUUGGCCAAAAGAAAAAAGAAAUCAAGCUCACAUUGAAAUGAUCAAAAAGCUUGGAAACUGAACAAAAGAGAUUAACAUAGCUCUCAGCUUUUGAGAGCAGAUAUGGGUUUUUGCUUUUUCUUUUUUCCUCUUUCUUUUGGAGGUUUUAUGGCCAAAGGAUUUAUUUUCUAUAUUAAUUACAAGCCUACUUGUCAUGGAUGACUAUACCAUGGUAAUGUAGCUAUUCAUGGAUAUCAAAUUUGUAUAAUUAAUUAUAGUAUUUGAAUUAAAAUUUCAUUGUAAACAAUUAUGUAUUAUUAAUCUCACAUAUUAUUUUUCUUUUUAAUAUACUAUAUGUUUUUUUAUCUAUAUCCAGCAGUACGAAAAAAAAAAACAAAUAAUAAAAGGUAAGUAAUGAAUUUAACAAGUAUUCAAUUCAUACAAAGAGCUACAAGGGGUAAACCGCUUUACUUAAUUACUUAGAGAACAAAGCAUUGACAAGUUAUAAACUUGCUAAACCUAGUACGAUUAAUAGUGAGGAUAUGACCAAUGAAUUGAGAGUAAUCCAAAGGCUAUAGAAUAAUCCAAUGGUUAGCUUUAAACUUUAUUACUCCAUUUUCAUGUGUUUCUUAUUAUUGAUACAUAUUAGAGAUAUAAAUAAUACAUCAGGUUUUGCAAGUUAAUCGAGUUUAAUUCUAAUAAAAUUUGAAUUCGAACUCGACUUGUCAAGCGAGUUAAGAUCAAGUAUCUUAAUGUACCAUUCGAGUUGUUCAUGAGUUUAAUGAAAUUUUUAUAUUUUAAUAUAAUUUUAUUUUUAAUUAAAAAUUUUAUUAUUUUAUCCUUUUAUAUAUAUCUCUAUCAAUUUGAACUAAAUUUGAAUACAUAAUUGAGUUUGAAAUUAAGUAUGGGAAUUGAGUUCAUUUUUUAUUAAGCGAGCUUAAUAGAACAAGGUCAAAAGUUUGAUUUUAAUCUUGAAUUGAACUCAAACUUGAAAAAUUAAAAUUUGAUCAGGUUUCUUGGUUAGGUUUAUUUGAUAAUCCAUUUGUAGGGCUAUUGCAAGGUUCUUAUGUUGUUUUCAAUGGGCGCUUUAACUAAAAAAUAUUAAAAUUUUCACCAUUCAUCAACUUUUAAAUGAAUUUCAUUUAAGAAUUUUUGUUUUUAAUUUUUUGACAUAUUAUUCACCUAGUCUUUGAAUUUUAUGAUCAAUCUAUUGAUUUUCAUUUUAUUUAUAAAUAUGGUAAAAUCAUUUACAUAAAAGUUAAAAAUAUUAAUUUCUACAUAUAUAAAAUAAUAUCAUUUUAAUAUCUUUUUGACAAAGAAUCUAAAAGAUUUUUUUCAAUGAAUUUUAUAAUUUUGAUUGAUAAAAAAAUUAUCAUGUGUCCCAUUCAGUCAUUUGAUAUUGAUACAAAAAUAUGAGAUAUAUUUUUUUGGUUUUUUUUUUUUUACCUUUUACCUUUUUUUAAUUGAAUAAAUUUUACAAAAGAAAAAAAUCAAUAAAAAAAUUGACAAAAAAAUUUGCCUUCAUAAUGCGUGGGUAUCAUAUAAUAAAAGUAGCAAAAUAUUAAUUUAUAUAUAUAAAUUAAUUAUCAUUUUAAGAUUUUUGACAAAGAAUCUAAAAGAUUUUUUCAAUGAAAUAUACAAUUUGGACUAAUAAAAAAUUGUCAUGAGUCCCUUUCAAUCAUUUGUCGAUUUUUUAUCAAAAUCUUAAGAUGAUUAAAUUCAGAGUAGUAAGGAUAAUAAUAUGGAUAAGAGAAGUGCUUAAGGAAAAGGACUAAUCAAGCCUAUCAUAAGUGGUCAAGUUGGGUUUAAAAAAACAAAACAAAAUACAAUCACACCUUGGGUUGGUGUAGAGUAGUUCAUCUUUUAAACAUAUGUACAUGAUUGUUGAAUUUGAAAGGUAUGUGAAACUUCUAUAUGUUAAGAAAAUAUAAUGUUAUAUAUAUAUAUAUAUAAUACUUAUUUAAAAUUCAUAUUCAACAAAGAUUAUCUGUUAUUGAUAAACUCUUAAUACAGCCAUGCAAGAACAUUGAUAUUGAGUGUAUACAUAUAUGUAUAUAAAUAUAUAUAUAUAUAUAUAUAUAUAUUCCAUUGUCACUUGUUACGAACUACAAAAUCGAUUGGCGUCCUCUAAAUCCAACCUAUAAGUCCUCAAAAAAUAAAAAAUAUUCAUUUAUUUAUUUAUUUAGGAAUAAACCUAUAGUGAAAGAGAAUCUUAGUAAUAGAUGCCCUAAAUGGGGUCCUAAUAUUUUGUGUAUCUAAAAAAUUUUGGCAUGUUAUAUGACAAGAAGGAUGUUGUCAUCCUUGAAAUUAAGGAUAGAGAAGAAAGGAUGACAACUUAGCAAUUGGAUGGGUUUAUUGAAGACAAAAGUUUUGCUUUCUUUACAGUAAAUUAAAAGAUGGUUUGUUGUGGCUAAGCUGGGUCCAUAAUGGAAAAGAUUGACAUGGGAUUUGAUUAUCGACAUAAUUAAAAAGAACAUAUAUCGUGCAGAGUUCAAAAAUAUAUUGUUGUUAAUAAAAAAUAAUUAAUAAGAGAUUUUCAUGUUUCUAUCUAUAUCUUAACCUCUUACCUUGAAUUUUCCUAUCUUUCUUUGAUAUUCUCGUCAUUAAAGGUAAAGUUUUUCUUAUUAGAAAAAUUUUAACAAUUGUAUAAUUAUAAUAAAAGUCCUUAAUAAGGGAUAUUAGAGAAGGUGAUUAAUUACUUAAUACAUAUGUUAUUAGGUUACACAUCAAAAGCAAAUUUAUCUUUUAUCCCGAUAUUAUAAUGUUUAAUUCGAAUUUAUAUAUUUUCAUAGUACUAAGAGAAAAAAUUAUAUAUCCCAGAGGAGAGGAAAAUUAUUGAAUCCUGAAUUUCUAGCUUGGUAAGCCAUUAAUAUUAACUUAGAAAUUAAAUUUACAUUUUAAACUUUCAGGUAUAGUAAUAAUCUAUCCAAUAGUAAAAAUCAUUAAGUAUUUUGGCCUUGCCUAGUUUGAUUUCAAAGGGCCACAACCAUUUAACAAACCUAUCAUCUUCAAUGGUAAGAAAAUGAUUUGUGUUGUAAUAGUUGGAAUGCUUAAUCUUAUUUUUUUGGGAAAAUAUGUUCAUUUCUGGUAUCGUUGAUUUGAUAAAGAAAUUAGGUGAAUUAAUGGAAUUCUAAUUUUUAUGUAGGUGAAUUUGUCAUCAAGAGCUUCAUCAACAUCUUUUUCUCUUUUUUAAUUAUAGAGGCCUCUAAACAUCACCUUUCAUAGUUGGAAAAUUGCCUGCUGAAUUAACCUAAAAAAAUAGAUUUAUAAAAGAGUUUUAUAAAGAAUUAGGUUUCCUUUCUUUUUCAUCUUUUCUAGAAGUUUGGUGGUGAAUGACUCAGGAAGAGGCAGGCACUGGUAACAAACUUUUGCGUGUGGGGUUUGUGGGGAUCUGAUUACGCUUUGUCCUGUCUAUGUAAGGUGGGUCCCCCAAAUCGGACCCUUCAUUAUGCAAGUUGCAGAUGGUGACAUCUAGAAGGGUCCACACUGGAUUAUAGAGAGAAAGAAGAAAGUAAUAUUGCUGAAAACGUAAAAAUCAAUUUCAAAGGCUUAAGGCAAAAUUUGAAUGGCCCCAAUUUUAAGGGCCAUUUAAAUGUAAUAAGAUUACUUUAAGUGAGAUUAAAAAUAAAGACGAAAGUGAUAUUAGUCACUGUAAUGGUGAUAUCUUAUAUCUUAUAUAAAUAUAUAAAAGCUAAAGUUUUUGGCAAAAAUGAAAAAACAAAAACCUAUGUGGAUAAUCUUAAAAAUCGUCACAUGGCAUCUAAUAAAUAUAUUUUAUUUUAUUUAAUACAUUUUUAAUAUAAAAAUAAUUCAAAAAACUAAAUUGAUUAUAUUUAUAUUUUUAUUAUUAACCUUAAAUCACUCACAAUUCAAUUCAUAUUGAAAGCAUUAAAAUUUUAAAAAUUUCUUAAUUUGAUAAAUUAAAUCAAUCAAUAUAUAAUUAAUAAAUUAAUAAAUACUAAAUUAUAUUAUAAAAUAGUUUAUUCUCUAGUCAAUUAUUUGAUCCAUUUAUAUUUGAUUAAAUAUAGAAUCUAGCAAUUAAUGUAUUUCAUGUGUAAAUAUAUAAAGCAAAUAUAAUUCAAAAAACUAAAUUGAUUAUAUUUAUGUUUUUAUUAUUGACUUUAAAUCACUCUCAAUUCAAUUCAUAUUAAAAGCACUAAAAUUUUAAAUUUUCUUAAUUUGACAAAUGAAAUCAAUCAAUAUAAAAUUAAUAAAUUAAUAAAUACUACAAUUACAAUUAUAAAAAAGCUGAUUCUCCAAUCAAUUAUUUGAUACAUUUAUAUUUAAUUAAAUAUAGUAUUCAGUAAUUGAUGUAUUUCAUGUGUAAAUAUAUAAAGCAAAUAUAAUUCAAAAAACUAAAUUGAUUAUAUUUAUGUUUUUAUUAUUGAUUUUAAAUCACUCUCAAUUCAAUUCAUAUUAAAAUUUUAAAAAUUUAAAAAAUUUCUCAAUUUGACAAAUUAAAUCAAUCAAUAUAUAAUUAAUAAAUUAAUAAAUACUAUAAUUACAAUUAUAAAAUAGUUGAUUUUUAAUUAAUUAUUUGAUACAUUUAUAUUUGAUUAGAUAUAGUAUCCAUUUGAGUAAUUGAUGUAUUUCAUGAUGUAUGUAAAUAUAUAAAGCUAAUAUAUGAAAUUAAUUCUCCAUAAUUAAAUUAAUGGAAUAAAAUAUUUUAUAAAUUUAUAUUUGAUUGAUACAUUUAUAUUUCAUUAAAUAUGAUUUCAUUUGAUAAAAUAUUAAUCCAUGUUGAUUUCAUUUGUAACAUUUUAUAAUUUUAUUAUUUAAUAUUAAUGUAAGUUGAUUUAAUUAAAAUUUAAUUUGUUUUAUUGUCAUUAUUAAAUAUAAUAAAUUUAAUUUGUUUUAUUGUUCUAAAUUAAGAUCUCUAAAUGUUAAUAGCAGAAUAAAAUAUUUCAAUGUCAAUCAACUUGCUAUUGUUAUACCAUUAUUGACUCAUAAUUUUUAUUAUUUCAAUUUUAACUUUCAUAAUUUAAAAUAAUCUUAUUAAUUGACUAUAUUUUUAUUUUUAUUAUUGACUUUAAAUCACUCUCAAUUCAAUUCAUAUUAAAAGUAGUAAAAUUUUAAAAAUUUCUUAAUUUGACAAAUUAAAUCAAUCAAUAUAUAAUUAAUUAAUAAUUUAAUAAAUACUACAAUUGCAAUUAUAAAAUAAUUGAUUCUCUAAUCAAUUAUUUGAUACAUUUAUAUUUGAUUAAAUAUAGUAUCCAUUUGAGUAAUUGAUGUAUUUCAUGUGUAAAUAUAAAAAGUAAAUAUAUCAAAUUAAUUCUCCAUAAUUAAUUAAUAAAAUGAAAUAUUUUAUUAAUUUAUAUUUGAUUGAUAGAUUUAUAUUUCAUUAAUAUAUGAUUUCAUUUGAUUUCAUUAGGUAAAAUACUAAUGCAUGUUUGGUUUCAUUUGAUAAAAUAUUAAUGCACUUGGAUUUCAUUUGAUUUCAUUUGUAAUGUUUUAUAAUUUUAAAAUUGAGAUAGUAAUGCACAUUAAUUUAAUUAGAAUUUAAUUUGUUUUAUUGCCAUUAUUAGAUACAAUAAAUUUAAUUUGUUUUAUUAUUUUUAAUUAAAGGAUCUCUAAAUAUCAAUAGUAGAAUAAAAUAUUUCUAUAUCAAUUAACUUACCAUUGUUAGACAAUUAUUCACUCACAAUUUUUAUUAUUUUCAUAUUAACUUUCAUAAUUUAAAAUAAUCUUAUUAAUUAACCUACAAUACACCUUUUGUAUAAGUAGCUCUAGGUUAAGCAUAAUGCAUCUUUAACCACGUUUCACUAAUUUUAUAUUUUUUGAUCACUAUUCAACUCUACUUUAAUUUUCUCUAUAUUUUUAACUUUGCAUCCUUUCUUGGUCUGUGUUGCUCCAAGGUUAUUAUCUUUUUAUACUUAUAUUUUAUAUUUCAUUAACUAUGAUAUUAGCUUUCUUUUUUUAACAUUUUUUUGUUGAUGAUUGAUUUAAAGAUGAUUGGGUAUAUACGGAGAAAGUCUUUCACUAAUAGAGUCACUAUCAUAAAAGUUGAUAUCACCUUUGGUUGGUACUACAUGUCACGUGGGUGUAACAAGAAACUAUUUGAAAUUGUUGAGAAAUUUCAAUAUUAUUCCUGCAAGGUUGAUGUCCCAAAUCCAACUCCAAGGUAAUUUGUAUUUAUAUUUUUUAUAUUUGAUACAUAAAAAAUUAUUAUUCCAUGAUGAUAAUAAAAGUAUUUUAAAUAUUAUAUUAUAUUUAUAAUUAUAGAAUCUUGCAUUUUUUAUAGGUACAAGUUGAAUAUUGGAGUAUAUGAUAAUUCUAGAAGGGUGAUGUUCGUACAGUUUAAUAGAGAAUCUAAGGAUUUAAUUAAUAGAGAUAUUGAUAAUCUUUAUGAAAUAUCUGUUAAAAUAUUGAGUUAAAAAUUAUUUUAAUACUAUUUAUUAUUCAAAUUAAUUGAAUGAUAUAUUUAUACCUAUGAUUAAGGAAAAUGGAAAUUAUAAAAUCCAAGAGAUAUUUAAAGAUCUUUAAGAUAAAAUUUGUGUGUUCGAGACAAGAGCAAUCAAGUAUAAUCUUGAGACAAGUAGUACCAAACUUGUAGUGAAUAAGGUGUAUGAUUAUGAUCUUAAGCUUGAAUGUCAAAAACUAUUGGUAGAGAUAAGUAUAAACUUAUUAUAAUGAUUAUGUUUGUUAUAAAGUUAUAUAGUCUAGAUUAUAACUCAACUGUUGUCAAAUUAUAGAUUAUUGUUUUAUUUAUCUCUUUAUCUCUAUCUGUGAAAUCUAUUGGCUCAUAAGUAAAAUUACACCUACUUCAAAGAUAGCAAGAAAUACUGGAGAAACAAUUGCUGCAUCUUUGCUUCAACAACUUAUGGAAAAAUCUCCCAUGAAAAAAGUUUGUAUGUGAGAUUGAUUUUAAGGAUGACAUUUUUAAUUUCUUGAAAUAAAAAACAUUAUUGUCUUUUGUUUAGAGAUUAUUUGGAUUUAAUAAAUUAUAGUUUUGAGUUUUCUUUAAAACUGAUGAUAAUUGCAUAAGUAUAUUCAAUAUGUAAUUAAUUUAUUUUAUUAUAUUAAAAUAUAUAAAUUUAAAUAAAAAUGAUUAUAUAAGUUAUGAGUCGUUCAUAAACUUCAUAGCUUAUAUUAUCAUUUUAAAAAAAUUUAUAUUUAUAUAAAAUUUAUUGAUAGAUGAAUAUAUUUUCAUGUAUCACAUGAGUUUAAAACUAGUUAAAAUUAAUGAUGAAAAUAUAUGUUUGAAUGCAAAUGCAGCAGUGAUAAUGAGUUGAAUUGUAAUGAAAAGAGAAAUAUCAUUAAAAAUAUUAAUUUAAAAUGUGUAAAUUAUUUAAUAUUUAUAAAAUUAAUAAAUUGUUAAAAAUUAUUAAAUUAAUUUUAUUUCAAAUAAUAAUUUUAUCAAUAAAUGAUUAAAAAUUAAUAAAAUAAUAUUAAUAUGUCAAAUGAUAUUUUUCUUUAUUUUUUAUUAUUUUAUGUAGAUACUUGUUAAUUAAUAAAAUAAUCUCCAAUAAUUUUUAUAUAAUAUUAAAAUUUAUUUAUUUAUAAUUUAUUAUAUACUAAUUUAUUAUUUAUUAGUCUAUUAUAGUAAAAUUUAUUUAUUAUAUUAAAUUAAAUAAUAAAAUUAUUUCAUAAUUUUAAACAAAAAAAUAAAGUAAAAUAAUAAAAAGAAGGAAUCUUUACGGGCUUACAUGCUUAAAUAAAAAAUAUAUAUUUAAUGAAUUAGGACCAAUGACCUUUAUAAGCUUCUCAUGGUUCAAGGGUAAAAAUAAAAAAAAAAACAACAUCAAUUAGCAACUGAUGAAUUUCUCCUUCAGUGGACCACCGAGCCUUGGCACGGUGAGAACGCAACUACCGCUCUGAAAUCAGAACUUUUAAAUGGGUAGCCAAUUUAUUUGGCUUCAAUUUGAGGGUUAAAUUUUGUCGUACUAGAGAUACGAUGAAAUCCAAAUUGACUUUUAGUCUAUAUCCCAAAGUCAAUGAUCCUUGGGUGUCAAUGGAAAAAAAAUUUUGAAUUUACCUAAUAUUCAAGUAAUUUUAGGAGGAAAAGUUAAGCAAUAAUUAGUAAAACUAUUUUAAUUUUAAUGUGCCGGUGUAAAUCUAAAUUAAGAGUUAGUUAAUUAUUUUGACAUUAUUAUAAUUUUUUAAUAUAAAAGAAGUCAUAAUUUAAAAAUAAUAAAAGUAAAAGAUAAAUUUCAAUUUUUUUUGAACAGUAAAAGAUAUUUAUUAUUAAUAGACAAAAAUUACAACCACUACAAAAUCAUCUCUUCUAAAAACACCCAAUUUGGCCAACAAAUCUGCAAAGUGAUUGGCCUCUCUGUAGAUAUGGACAAAAGGAACUUUUCUCACUCUAGAAUAGAGAUUAUACAACUUGUUCAGAAGAUCAUCGUACUUCCAGAGAUUGAUGCUUACUUUGUUAAUUCAUGCUGUGACUACUUGAAAGAGCUUCUAUUACCGCCAUCAGCUCUGCAAGAAUAGAGUCUUUAAAGCCAAUGCUUUUUGAGAACAUAAACAGAACUUCUUCUUUGCUAUUACGAAUUACUCCACCAAUACCUGCAGGACCUGGUCUACCAACAGCAGAUCCUUCAACAUUAAUUUUCCAGACACCAGAUGUUGGCGGAGACCAAUGAAUGUUCUUCCUUGGAUAUCUUCUGUUUAGCGGAUUGUUAAGUCUUGAAUGUUGUACAUGAAAUUCAAGUCUAAAAAAUUCAGAUUAGGGUAUCUUGCCUUCAUCCACCAACCAAGUCUAGACAAUAUUAAACUGAUAACUUGAUCAAUUGAAAUUAUUUUGCUUGAAGAUUUUCUCAUUUCGAGCCAGCCAAAUCGACCAUAGAAUUGCAUAAAGCAGUGUAUCCCUAAUAACUUUCUGGUUACUACUUGCAACAAGACUAUUCCAAGACAGCAAAAGAGAUAUGAUCGAACCUGGAAUAGACCAGCUAAUAUUCCAUUGAAGACAGCAUUUGUACCAGAUUUGACGUGCAAAAGAGCAGAGCUGAAAGAGAUGAUCAGUAGUUUCUGGUUCUUGUAGAAUGAGCAUUUGUUCAUCUCGUUAACAUGCAUCUUCUUUUAUGAAGUAGAUCAAUGACAGGGAUACCGCCUUUUAGAGUCUUCCAGCAAAAAAUUUCUACUUUGGGUGGGGCGAUACCCUUCCAAAUGUAUUUUCAUAGGUUGAAUUAGAAACUCUUGAGGAGUUCAGAACUUCUCUGAAAGAUUUGGUGCUGAAACACCAUUUGCUAUGUGCUGCCAUAUGAUCCUAUCGUGAGCUGUGGGGCAGAGAGUUUCAGAGCUAAACAGGUCAUUAGCUUGAUCCAUGAUUCCAGUUCCCAAUUGAACAGGUUUCUACGUAGCUGAAUUCUCCAACUCCAGUUUGAAUCGAUCCAAUUUCCAAAUUCUUGUAAUUGGCCCUCUUUGUUGAUAGCAAGAGAAUAAAUCCUUGGAAAUUCAAUUUUAAAAUGUAUCCCUCAAUGCCACUUGCCAUGCCAAAAACGGAUUCUAUCUCCGUUACUUGCACAAAAGAGCAAAUUAGAAUUUAUAAAGUUAAAUUUUAAAAUUUAAAAUUUAAAAUCUACAUUUCACUUUUAUUAAUUAUUUUGACAUUUUUUAUUAUUUAAUAUAAAGGAAGUCACAAUUUAAGAAUAAUAAAAUUAAAAUAUAGAUUUUAAAUUUUAAAUUUUUUAAAAAAUUGUAUGAGUCAAUUAAGUUAAAUAUCAAAUUAAACAUUAUUAUAUUUUUGUAAACUAACGACAUUUUUGAAUAUGAAAGUAGACUUUAUAGUUAAACUAUUAGUAAGUUUAAUUUUUUAAUAUCACUUUAAUUAGUAAAUUAUAUUUAAUUCAAGUAUUACUUAGACAUAGUUUGAUUGCAAAUUUAAUUGAAUUUAUUUUUUUUUCCAUAUCCUAUAUUUGUAUGAUAUACUUAUAAUUUUGUGCUAAUUACUUAUAAGAAAUCAAGUUGAACUAAAACUCAAUCUAACUUAAAGUAAAUUUUUUUUACUUCAAGUUGAACUCAAAUUUCGUAUCACAAACUCUUUGACUCAAUUAUAUCUCAAACUAAACUAGUAAUUAAUGUACUUGUAUGUACUUCAUAGUGUUCAUGCUAAUAGAAAGUUUGAUAAAAGUGAUAUAAGAUUAAUUUAUCAAUUAUCCAUCUGGCAAUUCCUAUGUUCAUAUCAUCUAAAAUACUUCGUGUAUUAGUAUUGUCUUUUAUACAAAAAUUAGAUAUUACAUUUCACAUCAACAUGAAAAAAACAAAAAAAUAUAUUUUUUUAAGUUUUUGUUAAACCCAUAUAUGAAUUUUAUUAAAAUUUUAACUUAUGUUAUUUUCAUGACUUUUUUUAUUAUUUUUGUAUCGUAUUAGUAUAUCGUAUUUUAAAUUAUCAAAUCUAUCUAAUAUCUUAAAAGAUUUGAGUUGUAAUACCUUCAAUUGUUAUAAGGUAUAUUCUUCACAAUUAAUUAUCAAUAAUCGUAAUUUCAUAUUAAAUUAUUUAAUUUAAUAAUAAAUAUUUAUAAUAUUACAGGAUAAAUGGAUAAAACGUUUGACUAACUAUUUGUGAAUAUGUUUGAAUUAUAUUUGUUUAUUAAUUUUAACAAACGAUCAUAAAUAAUAUUUUAACACUUUUUAAUUAAAUGAACGUAUCACAAACAUAACAAAAUUUGUUCAUAUUCGAUUCAUUUGUAAAAACUAAUAUAAUGUUCUACAAACAAUUCAUGAACAUGCUCGAGUUUUCUUCAUUUAUUAAGUUUAACAAAUGAUUAUGAAGAAUAUUUCAUAGUUCAUUAAUUACAUUGCCAGAAAUAUGCUUAUUACCGAUAGAAUUUUAUCAAUGAAUUUUUUUAUCGGUAAUUACAAAUAGAAUACCGAUGAAUUAUCAAUGAAAUUGAAAAAUGAAACUAUCAAUUUAUUAUCAUUGAAAUACUGAUGAAUUAUUAAUAGAAAAUAUAGACGUCGAUAAAUUUUUUGCAUGUCUAUAAAGUUUUGACGUCGUACUUAUGAAUGAAAAAUUAUGUACAUAAUAAUGUAGACACAUUUUACUGAUGGAAUAUCAAGCUUUGAUAAAUAAUUUAGGUUGUGAUAAUGUCUAGAUCUGUGGACCUAUCGCUAGACAUUGACUUAAGGAGUCGUCACUAAUCGUUUUUUUUUAUUUAGGUGUGAUUGACCACCUAACUGAAUCUAUCCUUUUUUUAAAGAAAAAUCCUAAGUUCUUAGGUAUCCUUAAAAGUAGAUUCAGUGUUUGCGAAACCAAGACUAGGUCUAGGAGUAUGGUUACGUGUGAAGAAGGUUAUAACACCCUCACAACGCCCAUCGAAAGAUGGUAGCAGGCUCGAUUUCGUGUUAUCUGUUAAGCUUUAAAAACCUUACCAAGUAAUUAAUUAUUAGAAAUUAUUCUUAAUUGACUCUAAUACUUUUUGUAAAAAAUUAAGAAAAUUCUCUUACCUCAAGAGUAUACAAGGAAACUACUGUUUCUCCUAUAAAGGCUUCAUCGUCAGAUUAUUUGACAUUAAAAAAAUUUCCAAGAAAGGAAAAUAAAAAAGGAAUAAUGCUUCAACUUUUGAUAGAGAUCUUUUUUUUAUUAUGUUGUUUUUUAAGAAAAAAACUCAUGCUUUUAUACAAGAAAAAUUGAUACUUUCAACUUUUUCUCAAAAAUACCCCUUUUUGAAAUUUUUAUUUUCAAGAAAAGUUGAUACUUUCAACUUUUCCUAAAAAAUUCUUUUUUUUGAAAAUUUUAUUUUCAAGGAAAAUUGAUACUUUCAAUUUUUUCUUAAAAAUAUCCUUUUUUAAAAUUUUUAUUUUUAAGAAAAAUUGAUACUUUCAACUUUUCCUCGAAAAUACCUUUUUGAAAUCUUUAUUUUUCAGGAAAAUUGAUACUUUUAAUUUUUCUUUAAACUAUAUUUUUUAAAUUUGAUCUUUAAGGAAAAUUGAUCCUUUAGCCUUCUUUUGAAAUUUUGGAAUUAUUUUUAUUUUUAGUAUCAUUUUUAGAAUAAAGAUUAUUCAAGAAAAAUAAAUAGCAAAGAAAAAAACAUAAAUAAAUACCAAAGUUUACGUAGAAAAAUAACUCGGCUUUACAUUUCGAAGUAGCUCAAAAGCUGACCAGCUUGGCUGAAUGGCUCAAGAGAUGUGGUUGCAGGCUCAGGAUGGGCUUAGAGACUUAGUGGCUUGGUUUCGAUUCAGACAUAGCUUCAGGGCUUAGAGUCAGGUUUUUGAAGCAGGUCAUUAUCAGGUUGAGUCUUCAAGUGCACUAGAGUGCAGAUCUUUUAAAGGAUCCAGUUCUUCUUUUAUUCCUAAACGAUGUCAUAUUUUUAAAGUAUGGUUUGGUUUUCUCUUUAUCCUCGGUUAUUCUCUCCCUCUUUCUUUACAACAUAUGAACAAUGGUCGAACAGUUCAAAGGGUUUUUAGACUUCGGUGCUAACGUCGUCGUUCUAGAUUUUUGUGCCAACGUCGCCAUCGACCAACCACCGUUGAGGCUCAAAUUUCACCCAAAAGCUUGUCUUGAUCUCCUUCUUUGCAUGAUCUAGUUGGUUCCUUUAGAAACCCACAAGAUUUGCAUAAAUCUAAAAUCCUUUAGAAACCCACAAGGUAUGCUCUUUACAUUUCCUUUGGCUAUUUUCUCAACAAAUUUUAAGUCCUAAAAUUCCUAGGAAAGGGUUGAACCAAAACCCAUGAACACUAUUCUCUCUAUUUUUAUUUUUUUUAUUUUUAGCUUCUGAUUCUAAUUUAUUUUUCUUGAAUUUGUGGUUUGAAUCUUUGUUGGAAUUUGUUUGUAGGCUCAACUAGAAUUGGUUGCCAAAGUUUGUUGUAUAGUUGUUGGAUUUCUGAGAUUAUGGCAUGGUCUUUGUUCACAGGCUGUCGGCUAACUUGACAAUAGGUUUCUUUGGAAUUCACUUGCUAAAAUCUGGUUUGAAUUUUUUUGUUGUUGUUUGGUUUUUUGGGGUUUUGCCUAGUAUUGGCCUUGGGGUAUGGGUUGUAGGUUUAGGCUUUUAAUGAUCGAGUUGCUGGUGACAAUGGCAUUGGCACUGAUGGAGAGUUGUGUUUUAUGAUAGAGCUAUGGUGGUUUGGCAAAAAUGGUAAAAUAGUAGUGUGUUUAUGUGUAGAUUGUGUUGGUGGGAUUUUGGUGGUGGGGUGAUGCUAUUUCCUAGCAAUGGUGACAAGAGAAGGUGGAUUUUUGGUCAAAUGACUUUUUCUGUGUAGUUGUGAAGCUUUCUGGGUUUGUGGUUAUUAUGUUGUUUGUGGUUUUGAUGACUGUGUAAGGAUUGGUUAUGGAUGAAGAUAGUGGUUUUAGUAGCAAUGGUGGGAGUUUGGCUUAAGUGGAAAUGGUAGUGUAAUAUGAAGUCUGAUUUUCAAUUUGGCAAUGGCAUCACAUAGGGCUAUGGUUGGUGAUGGCAAUGGCAGAUAAGGGUGAUGUUAGGCUAAUCUACUGCUAGAGUGGAGGAAAUGGGUGAAGAUUGAGGUCUUUUUAUGAUUCUUUCUUUGUUUGUUUUCUACCCCCUAUGUAGUGUAAUGGUUGUUGCUUAAAUAGGGACUCAGUCCCCAUAAAAUGGAAGAUCAAAAUGUUAUCCAGUUGAAUGAGAUUUUCUUUUAUUUCUUUUAAUUUCAAUUUUAAACUCAACCAGUUUAUCCUUCGAUUCUAAUUUAAAUUUAAACAUAAUUAUCUAUCUCUUGAGGUAAGGCAGACUAUUACAAAUAUUCUAGGUCUAAAGUCCAGCAAGCCCAGAACUCAAAUCCAAAGCCCAAUUUGAACUAACCCGAGAUUCGAAGAUAACCCGGGAUAAAAUAAGGUGUCUAUAGUUGCCUUUCUUUACAAAGUUGCUAUGAAACAAAAAUUACACAAAAAUGUAGACACCAAUCAUGAUCUUCAUUCAAGGAAGAAAACACUUUGGUGUAGAUGGAACCGAGUCUAAAAAUGGAUUGACCCAAAGAUGGAUCUGACAUAGGUUAAAAUCUAAAAUAAAAUGACUUGGAUCGAACUGAAAUUUAAAAUGAAUAAUUUGGACUAAGCUAAUAAGGAUUUGACAGCAGUUAAAAUCUAAAACAAAAUUACCUGAACUAAAUCGAAGUUUGAAAAACAAAAUGACUUAAACUGAUCCGAAGUUUGAAAUGAAUAACUUGGACUAAGAUAAAGAAGGAUUUGACAGAAGUCGAAAUCUAAAACAAAAUAACCUAGACUAAACCAAAGUCUGAAAUUAAUAACUUAGACUAAGCCGAAGAAGGAUUUGACAAAAGUUGAAAUCUAAAACAAAAUGACCUGGAUUGAACCGAAAUCUGAAAUGAAUAACUUGGACUAAGCUAAAGAAGGAUUUAACAGAAGUCAAAAUCUAAAACAAAAUGACCUAAAUGGAAUCAAAUUCUGACUUUACAACAAUUACAAGAUUUCAAUUCAAAGGUUCAUAAUUUGAAGCAUUCAAAAUUUCAUAAUUGAAAAUUCACAAUACAAGUUGAAACUAAGAUUCACAAUUUGAGUUCAAAAGAAAAUCACAAACUUAAAAAUUCAAAGAUUUACAAUUUAACGAUUCACAAGGUCCAAAGAUUCACAAGAAUUUCAAAUUUGUAAAAAUUGGAGAUUUACAAGAUUUUUAGAUUUGCAAGAAUUAGAUAUUCACAAGAUUUAGAGUUUCACAAAAUUUAGAGAUUUGUAAGAUUUUCAGAUUUACAAGAAUUAGAGAUUUACAAGACUUUCGGAUUCGUAAGAUUUGAAUUGAAAUUCGCAAGAUUGGGAGAUUUGCAAAAAUUAAAAAUUUGCAAAAUCUUUAUAUUCGCAAGAAUUAGAGAUUCACAAAAAUUAGAGAUUCGCAAUAUUUUUCAGUUCAAAAGAUUUGAAGAUUCCCAAAAUUCAAAGAAAAAACUUAUAGAGACUCAUAACUAGAAUUUCAAAGGUUUUCAUUCAAAAAAAUUUUAGGAUUUCAUCCAAAAUUUCAAAUAUUCUAAUUCAAAAACUUUGGGGAUUCACAUAAAAAUUUUUUCAAGAUUCUCAUUUAAAACUUAAAUAUUCUCAUUUGAAAAUUAUUAGAGAUUAUGUCUGGAGGUCUUACAAAUCAUCCUCAACAUUGAAAAUGUUUCUUCAAAAGGUUUCACAACUUUAAAAUUUGAAAUGUUUUCCUUGUCAAAAAUCUCAUCAUGAAAAAUUUUCCUUAUUUAAGGUUUCAAAAGUUCAAAAUUCUCCUACCAAAGUCAAAAUUUGUAUGAUAAUGAUGCAAAUGAUUUCUCAAUGUUGCAAAUGCAACAACUCAUAUUCUCAUAAUAAUGCAGAUGCCAUACUCUAAACCAUGAUGCAAAUGCAAUGUAAUGAAAAUGUCACUAAAAUCAAUACCAUGACAUUCUAAAUGAUUGUGGUAAUAAAGUUAUCAAAACUCCACCAUCUCACAUUUUCUUUUUAACUUCCGAGCACUAACAGUUUCAGAAUCAAUUUACCAAUUUCAUCAACUAAUCCAUGUUAUUUUCAGCAUUUGGUUACAACUCACAUAUUACUAUAUUCACCAUUUGGGUAUCACAUUUGCCUUUUCAAAUAAUCUCCUUCACCUUUUUACAUUUUUUUCAUUUUCUUUUUGUCUCUAUCAUCCUAGAUUUCUUUUCAAAAGAAAUGCAUAAAUCUUUUAUGAAUAUUAUCAUUCAUUCAUUAUCAUUUCAAUUCAUAGCAAACACAAUGCAAUCAUAUAUUUUCUCGAUUUAUUCUAGGGAAGCCAAACUGAGUGAGGGUAAAGUGAAUUAAGAGAAAAAGGAAUUAAUACAAGAACAAGUUUGGUACAAAAAUAAAUAGAUCAAGGAACAACUUCAAAGUAUGUUACUAAGGCAAGUGUUUGAAUGGUAUAACAAUAUCCAAAUAAUGACUAUUCAAACAAUUUUUAACAUUAAUCCAAGAUUCUUUUUCAAAAACUCAUUCUAUUGACUUUCAAAAUCAUUUUGAGCUCUCACACUCUGCCCCAGUUUUAAAGGAUUUUCAGAUGACAUUGACCUUUUAUAUAUUGAACCAUCAUUCUAGUUUUAAGCUUAGAUUUUUUUUAUCCAAAUUGCCCUUUUUGGAUUUUUAAUUUGAGUCUUCUUUUUCCUCCUUUUUCAUUCUUUUUUCAUUUUUUUAAUUUUUAAUUUUUUUGCUUUUUCCAUUUUUCACUUCAUCCAUUAUUAGUACCCCCUUAAACAUCAAUCUCUAAAACAUAAGAAUAUAGCACAAUUCCAUUGCUCCAUCACAAGCAUGCCUUAAUCCAACAUAUGAUCAUUCAAUUUGAGCAUUCACGUUCGAUCAAAAUGGACUUUUAAAGAUUGUAAUGUAGGCUAUGGUAAGGGAUCAUUAAAAAAAUAGAUAAAAUAGGCUUAAGACAAGUGUUUAAAGGGUUCAAACCAAAGGAUCAUUUCCCAUCAUGUGUUGCAACUUGGCAUUUUGCCCCAUUCCACAUCAUUUCACUACGUUUUCCUUUUUCAUUCAUCUUAUUCCUCACAAAAAGAUUCUUACUAUUUUACCCCAAAUCAUUUGUGGCAUUCAUUUUUCUUUUUUCUUGUUUUUUUUUUAUAUAAGGGGUUCUUCUUUCUUUUCACUCCUUAUCUUUGAGACCUUUUUUGAUCUUUUAUUUUUUUUUCUUUUCCAAGUAAGUUUUUUCCAAUAUUUGUCAUCUGGUGUAAAGGGUGAUCCUUGGUUAGGGUUCUUUAAAAAAAAAUCAUAACAAGCUCAAAAAGGGAUAGCAAUGGGUGAUUUUAUUUCUAUGAAUGGUAAAAGAAAGAUGACUAUUUUUCAUCUUAAAUGUGAAUGCUUUCUUUGAAGACCAUAGUUUGAACAAAAAUAAACUGAUUAGAUGCCUCCAAGACAUGUGCAUUUUUCAUGAAUGAUAUCUGCUUAUAAAUUACUUUUUGCUCAAAUAGUCUCCACAGAUCAAUAUAAAUGAGUUUUCAAAAUUAAAUCCCAGAAUUAUUUAUCAUUGUCCAAACAUUCACCAUUUGGAAUUUGAGAAUGGGAAUACGAUGGGUAUGAAAAGUAACAAAAAAUAAUGAUUUGGAUGAAAGAGAAAAUGUAAUAAAAUGCAUCAACUUACCUUUUAUUAAAAUAAUAAAGAAUGAAAUCUUAUUGCAUAAAAGAAAAUCUUGGCAUUACUCUAAAAAAAAUCCAAGCAACUUUCAGCCAGUAUCAAUAUCCUUGUCGUUCCCUAAGACUAUGCCCAUGUGUGAUCAAGUGAAGGGUUUUUACUACCAUAUGAUUUUUUUGAUUCAUCAAAGCUUACCAAGCCUUUUCAGAUCAAACUUUGCACCUUAUGCUUAAAAGUAGGGCAAGUUUCUAUAGAAUGACCCACAUUCUCAUUAUGGUAAUCACCUGUGGCAUCAAUAUUAUACCAUUGGGGAUAGGGUGACUUUAAUGGUUCUAGAAUAAUUAGAGAUACUAAGUUAUUUUUAGCUAAUUUUGAGAAUAACUUAGUGUAAGUUAUAGGGAUAGGAUCAAUGUGGGCCAUUUCUUAAUUAUUUCAAGAUCUCCUCAAACUACCCACUUAGGUGUUAGGUAUUGAAGCUGGUGUAGUAAUAAGAUAAUGCCCAUAUACAGGUGUUUGAAAAGUUGGUCAAAAAACUAGAUGUGGAAUAGGAUGGUAAGAGACUAGUGCAACAUGAUUAAUCACUGGAUAAUAGGUAGGAUAUACUGGUUGUGGGUAUAAGGUAUAACAUUUAAACUACUAUUCUUUAAAACUUAAUGCUUGAGCUUCACUUUCUUUUCUUUUAGACAUCUUACCCUUUUCUGUACUAGAGGUCUUUCAUUCUUCAACCUUGCCAUUCUUAAUGGCAUUCUUUAUCAUUUCCCUAGAGAUCAUCAUAUUGAUAAAAUUCCUGGUGGCAUUCCUAAUCAUUUUCUCAUAAUAUAGAGCCUUUAAAGUACUUAAAAAUAAAAUAGUCAUUUUUUUCAGUAAGAGGUGGUUGAACUUGAGUAGCUACAUCUCUCCACCUUUGUGCAUACUCUUUAAAGCUUUCAGAAGGUUUCUUUUCCAUACUUUGUAGAGAUAGAUGAUCUAGAGCUAAGUUUAUAAUGUGUCGGUAUUAGGCGAUGAAUGCCUUUGCCAAAUUGUUCCAACACUAGAUGCAGGUUUGGUCUAACUGGACAUACUACCUCCCGAUUGAGCCAGUGAUAUUAUCUUAAAAUACAUGCAUCAGUAAUUUCUCAUCAUGAGCAUGGGCAGCCAUUUUGGGGCAAUACAUGGUAACAUGAGUUAUCGGGCAUUUUAUCCUAUCAUAUUUUUCAAAUUCAGGGACUUUAAAUUUUGGUAAGAUGAUCACAUCUGGCAUUAAGCAUAGUUUAGCUGCAUCUAUAGAGUUAAAAUAAUCCAUUCCUUCGAUAGCUCGUACUCUAUCUUCUAAAAGGUUCAUUUAUUACACGUUCGGGUCUUCCAUCACCUUAGAAGUCUUCAUCUUCAAUCUCUUUUUCUCUUUAAGAUCAUCAAAAUCAGGAACCUCAAUUAGAUCAUAUGCCUUGAUGCCAAAGGUAGGGUUAGUGUAGCUAUAAAAUGACACUUUAGGAUAUGCCCUAGAAAAUGGCAUCUGUGGGGCUUAUGUAUUUUGAGGAGAUUGGCCUUAAUUUUGGCCAAACCCCGAAAGGUGUAGAGGAUCCACAAUAUCCUAUUUUUCAUUUGAAUUUGGGGUCUCUUUUAUUAUUUUACCUUUAUCUAAUUUCUUUAGCAUCUCUAUCAUUUUUGCUAACUCUCAUUUUACCACUUCUUGAGCUUUUUCGUUCUUGUCCAUACGGGUGCUUUGUUCCUAUUCCAUUUGCCUUGCUCACAAUUGAGUAUUAUAUGGGUGACGUGUAGGUUGGCUUGAAUUUAUCGACGAUCGAGCUAUCCUUAGACCUUUGAUUACCACAAAUUAAGAUGCUUGCAUUGCUAUAUGCUUAUGUCAUGAAAGAAGGACUAUAAUCAUAAUAUGCAACCACCAAGAUUUCAAGUUAACAUAUGUGAAAUCAAUGCAAAAAAUAUAUGCAACCUAAUGUUAUUUUGCUUUAAACGAAAGAAAAAUAGAUGAGAGGAAAAAAAUUUCAACUACCAUGCACUUUUACAUGAUUUCAUGCAACAUGACAUGUAUAAAAGUUAAUUUCCACACAAGAAAAAUCAAUCAUUGCAAAAAUGUAGCUUAACUGUUGGUUUUUUUCUACAAAAGGGGAAAAUAAGGCUCUAACUGUAGGUUGGGUUCCUUAUGGUCACUAUAUGUGGUUUAAGGUUGAUAGUCUAAAGGUUCUCAAAUUGUUCCUCACAUUCUUGUCCAUCACAAACUAGUAAGGUACUUCGAUCCUUGCCCAUUAUAGGCUAUAAGUGAAAAUGGUUCAAUUUGAGUAGGAGUAUUUUGCUAGCAACUGCGAAGAUAUUAAAACCUCACAAGCAUAGGUACUUUAUUCCUUUUUAGAGAAAUGAGCUCGGAUAUAGAGCUCAUGUCAUGCACAUGCAUAUGAAUGACAUAGUUAGUGAAAUUAAUAAAUAUAAUGAAUAAAUAAAAAAAUCACAAAUUUAAUUUUAUUAGGCUUUUGGAUAACAUAAAUUUAUUUGCUGGCUUGACUCUCAACUUGCCCCAGUGGAGUCACUAAACUGUCAUAACAUCUAGUUCUGUGGACUUUUUGCUAGAUAUUAACUUGAGGAGUUGCAACUAAUCUUUUCUUAUUUAGCUGUGAUUGGCCACCUAACUAAAUCUAUUCCUUUUUAAAGAAAAAUCUUAAGUUUGACUAGGUAUCUUUAAAAGGUAAAUUCAGUGUCUGAAAAACCAAGACUAUGUCUGAAAGUAGGAUUACAUAUGAAGAAGGUUAUAGCACCCCCACAACGCCCAUCAAAAGAUGUUACCAGCUCGAUUUUGUGUAUACAUUAAGCCUUAAAAACUUACCAAAUAAUUAAUUAUUGAAAAUAUUCUUAAUUGACUAUAAUACUUUUGGCAUAAAAUUAAGAAAAUUCCCUCACCUCAAUAGUAUACAAUGAAACUAUUGUUUCUCCUGCAGAAGCUCCGUCGUCGGAUUAUUUGACAUUAAAAAAAUUUUCAAGAAAGGAAAAGAAAAAAGAAUAAUGCUUCAACUUUUGAUAGAGAUAUAUUUUUUUUAUUAUGUUGUUUUAUAAGAAAAAAAACUCAUACUUUUAUACAAGGAAAAUUGAUACUUUCAAAUUUUUCUUAAAGCAUUUUGACACUUUUUAUUUUCAAGAAAAAUUGAUACUUUCAACUUUUCCUCAAAAAUGCUUUUUUGAAAUUUUUAUUUUUAAGAAAAAUUGAUACUUUUAACUUUUUCUCAAAAAUACCCUUUUUGAAAUUUUUAUUUUCAAGAAAAGUUGAUACUUUCAACUUUUUAUCAAAAAUACCCUUUUUUGAAAUUUUUAUUUUCAAGAAAAAUUGAUACUUUCAACAUCUCCUAGAAAAUACCUUUUUGGAAUCUUUAUUUUCAAAGAAAAUUGAUACUUUUAAUUUUUUCUUAAAGCAUAUUUUUUAACUUUGAUCUUUCAAGAAAAUUAAUCCUUUAGCCUUUUUUUUUUUAAAUUUUGGAAUUAUUUUUAUUUUUAGUAUCAUUUUUAGAAUAAAAGAUUAUUCAAGAAAAAUAAAUAGCAAAGCGAAAAAAAAUACCAAAGUUUGCGCAGAAAAAUAGCUCGGCUCUACACUUCAAAAUAACUUAAAAGCUGAUUGACUCAGUUGAACGGCUUAAGAGAUACGGCUACAGGCUUAGGAUGCGUGUCACGGGCUAUGCUUUCUCUUAAUGAAGCAAUAGAUCAUGUGGCAUUUGAAUCGACACUUCCACUCAAGUUAGCUAUGGAUAGUUCGAUAUCUGAAUAAGAAACUAAGAAGCCAUAAAUUAGUCUCAAGCAUACACAACGAUAUGUCGAGGUAAAAUAAGAGCACACAAAGGUUACCUCGACUUUUUCUUAUAUAAAAAAUAUAUAUUUUAUUAAUAUCAAGGAUAGUGCAUCGAGUCUUCUCACCAUCAUUAAGCCAAAAGGACAAUUUUAAAUGGGUGAUCUAGCACAUACCUUAACCAAUGAAGUAAUCCAACAAUAUACUGACCACUCACCCCCUCUAAAAAGCAAGUGAGAUUUUAUAGCUAUCCUACUUAUAGCCAUUACAAUGCUUGAAAUAGGGACACUUUUCUUAGCAUAUGAGAUCUAUCUUCCCCCUUAGCACCUCUACCCAGUUAUGGCCCUAUACAUGGGUAGCUUAUAACAACCUAUGCCUAGUCAUGAUCCUAUAUAAGGUUGGCUCAUGACAUCCUCCCCUACCUAUUCUAUCGAUAUCUUUAUUGAGUUGUUGGCUUGGAAUUCUUCGAUCUUUCACUUGAAUGCUCGGAGGUCAUGAUCUCUUUCUCAGCUAGUUUCUUUUGGCCAUAAGCCUUCCCAUUUCACUAAAUAUUCAUGAAUUAUUCUUCGAGAUACCCUAGAUACCUUGUCAGCUAAAAUCUUUUCAACUUGAUGUUUUGAUGGUGGUUUCAUGAUGAUGGUAGCUCUGGUUGACUCCCUGUAACUUGCAUUUGUAAGAUCUGCAUGGAAAGAAUUUAAGUUGCUCACAUAGAACAUUAGAUGCACCUUCAUCCAUUUUAGUACGUUAAUUUUGAAAGAGGCAUUCCCCACCUUGAAAAGGAUCUUCAUUGGACCCUUAUAUUUACGGACCAAUCUACGAUCUCGCUUCUUUAAGAACCUGGUUUGUUAGGGCACUAGUUUGACAAGAAUAAGAUCACCAACUUUGAAUUAUUGUACCUUCUAACCCUUAUCUACCCACUUCUUCAUAUGCUUCGAUGCUUUCUCUAAGUAUGCUUGUGCAAUUUUCAUAUUUUGUCUUCAUUCUUUGCUAAGGUUGAAUGCACGUGGAUUUUUCCCUUCAUACGACAUAAAAGAUGUAUGUGGUAGUCUUGGUAGUUAUCUUGUGACCACUUUAAAUGGACUCUUGUUUAUGAAAGAACAGUUGUUGGAAUUAAACCAAAGCUAAGCUACAUCCAACAGUGAAGGCUAAUUCUUUUAAUUAGCUUGAAUGAAGUAUCUCAAGUACUCCUCCAACAACCCAUUAAAUUGUUCAAUUUGACCAUCCAUUUACGGGUGAUAACUUAAAGAGAUGUUGAGUUAGGAUCCCAAGAUCUUGAAAAGUUCUCUCCAAAAUGACCUGGUGAAUCUCAGACCCUAUCACUAACAAUGUUUUGAGGAAGGCUCCAAUACUUAAUUACAUGUUUAAACAUUAAUCGGGUUGUGUUUUUCGUAAUGCAAUACUUUUAGGUGGGAAUGAAUGUGGCGUAUUUUGAGAAGCAGUCAAUCACCAUCAAAAUAGACCCAAAUUUACCAACUUUGGGAAAACUCGAUAUGAAGUCAAGGGAGAUACUUUCCUAAGGCUAGUGGGCACAGGUAGUGAUUUUAGCAAGCCGGCUAAUUUCUUCUUUUUAACUUUAUUCUAUUGGCAAAUGGGAUAAGUUUUAGUAUAGUUUAUUACAUCUUGCCACAUAUAAGGCCAAUAAUAGCCUUGUUUCAGUAGAGCCAAAGUACAUUGCCAAUUAAGAUGACUCGUCUAUGGUGUGUCAUGGUAUACCCUCAUUAGCAUCUAUCUUAAACCUCCUGUUUUUGGCACGAAAAAUUGAGGACAUAAGACCCUAUUUUGUUGCCAAAUGCAUUUGGACUUUUCUUUUUCUACUACCUUUAAGAUGGUACUGGUUUGCAGAUCUUUCCUCAGAUUAUCUUUAAUUUCCUUACAAACAUCUAUUGUGACUUUACUACCCUUCAUUAGCUAUUCUCCUAAGGGCAACCAACUUGGUUAGUCUACUUAAUGCAUCUGCCACUUAAUUCAUUUUUUUAGCUGUGUACUCAAAACAAAAUUUAAAUUCGACUAAAAAUUCUUGCAAUCUAGCUUGUUUAGCUGUGAGCCUUGACUGGGUAAGGAAAUGACUAACUAUCGCAUUGUUUGUCUUCAUGACAAAUUGUGAACCUAACAAAUAGUGUUGCCAUGCUCUUAGACAAUGAAUUACUACUAAAAGUUCCUUCUCUUGAGUCGUAUAUCUAUUUUUAACUUCUUUGAACUUUUGACUAUCAAAAGCUAUUGAGUGCCAUUCUUGUAGAAGUACUCCCCAAUAGCAAAAUCAGAUGCAUCUGUUUGAACUUCAAAAGGCUUUGCAAUGUCAAGAAGAGCCAAAAUAAGGUCUUUCAUCAUAGCUUUCUUCAAUCUUUCAAAAGCCUCUUGACAUUCACAUGUCCAACACCAUUUAUGCUCCUUUUUCAAUAACUCUGUGAGGGCCGUGAUUCUAUGAGAGUACCCUUCCACAAAUCUCCUAUAGUAAUUGGCUAAUCCCAAAAAUGAGUGAAGUUCACUAACAUUCAUUAGUGUUGCCCACUUUUUGAUAACCUUAACUUUUUCCAUGUUCAUUCGAAUGUGGUCUUGUUCAAUAAUAUGGCCUAAAAAAUGGAUUUGUGUCUAAACAAAUGCACAUUUCUUUCUUUUAAUAUACAGCUAAUGGUCUUGUAAUAUUUGAAACACAAGACGUAGGUGCUCUUUCAAGGUAGCACUAUAGACCACUACAUCAUCUAAAUAAAUGACCACAAACUUGUCAAAGUAGUCAUGGAACACCUGAUUCAUCAAAGUACAAAAUGUGGCAGGGGCUUAGUCAAUCCAAAAGGUAUAACAAGAAAUUCAAAUGCACCAUACCGCAUUACAUAAGUGGUCAUUGGCUCAUCUCCUUCAGCAAUUCUGACCUGAUGAUAGCUAGAUCUUAAGUCUAAUUUGGAGAAGUACUUGGCCUGGCUUAGUUAAUCAAAUAAAUUUGUAAUAAGUGGGAUGGGAUAUUUUUUCUUCACAGUGACUUUGUUCAAGGCCAUAUAGUUUACAUACAACUAUAAACUCUUAUCAGGUUUUCUUUGAAAUAGUACAAGUGCUCUAAAUGGUGCUUUUGAUGGUCUAAUGGACCCAGCUUAUAAAAGCUCAUCUAAUUGUUUUCUUAAUUCAACCAACUCAAGUGGAACCAUGUGAUAAGGAGCUUUAACUGGUGGCUUGACUCUCGAAAGCACCAUAGUCCACUGAUCUUCGAGGAGGUAGAACUUUGGGCAAUUGCUUCGGCAUCAUACUUUCAAAAUUUUCCAAUACUAUUUUCACCCUAUCAGGUACAUCUUCCAACUUAAUCCCUUCUUUGUAGAUUGGCAUGGCCACAUAAAAGGGCUCCCCUCUCUUUACCUCUUUCUUGAAUUGUAAGGCUGAAAUCAUUUUUUUCCAUUCUUAGGAAAGAUCGUGGUUGGUAUAACACAUAGGCAUUCUCCCAAGAACAAUAGAUAAUUAGCAGCAAGAUUGGGAUCGCCUGAACCAACAUCAUGAAGUGCAAUUCUAAAACAAUAUUAAAGCCAUCCAUGAGAGAGAUCGUGAAGUCUACAUUUUCUUUCCAUGGCUCCAACUUGGUCAUCACACUCUUAGAGCUUCCACUGAUCGUAAAGGCUGGUGAAUUAAUCGCUUUCAUUUGUCCACAGUCGUUAUUAACCUUGAGACUACACCUUUUUGCUUCUUUUAGUGUGAUAAAGGUAUCGGUUGACCCCAUAUCUACCAUAGCCUUUGUGUUUUUCCUAUUUACUAUCAGAUCCACAUACAUCAGACCUUUUCCAAGUUUUUUCUUUAUUAUGUUUAGUUAGAUACAAAGGGCAUUAAGGAAUCAUAUUGAGCCCAUCCUGGUUGGUUCCUCUAUAACUUUUUCGAUUGUCUCAGUCACUUUAGUGGACUCUUGAAAUGAAACUUUUAGAGCAUUAAGGCCACCUCUAUGUGGGUAUUCAAUCACAUGAUGCAGCCCUUGGUAUAGAAAGCAAGCUAGCAGUUGCCUUGAUUUGAAAAUCGAUGUAUUGUUUGCCUUGAGUUGGGUAUUGUCUUGACCAAAAGGCCUCCUAUCUAAUCUUCCACCAAAAGGUCGGUCUACUAUAACCAUUUUUCUCCCAUUCUCAAAGUUGGAGUUACUGUCACCUGAUGAAGGAUUCUUUUAUUUUAAAGGACCAUCAUCAAAAUCGUGAAGACGUUCGGUAGCAACCAUGGUCGUGGCCAUAUCUUGCACCUUUUGUCUUUGUAAUUUUACCCUAGCCUAAGGUUUGAGGCCCUAAAAAAAUAGAACAUUUUAUCUUUUCUAGAUAUAUCUCUAAUAUCCAACAUCAAGAUAAAAAAGCUCCUCACAAACUCCCAUACUGUUCUCAUUUGUACCAAUUCUCAAAGCUUCAUUCAGGCUAUAUACUCCACAUUCUCAGGGAAGAAUUGGUUCUUUAACUCUUGUUUAAGAUCUACCCAAGUUUUUAAUAGAGUAUUCAUCAUUUACAAAUUUUUAAUGCCACCACAACUUGGCAUCAUCUCUAAACUACAUUAAAGCCAUUGCAACCUUAUUCUCUUCUAAUUCUAUGUGCAUAGCUUGAAAACAUUGUUCCAUAUCAAAUAAGAAAUUCUCAAGCUCUUUGGCAUCUCUUGCCCUCUUAUAACAUCUAGGCUCUGGCACCUUGGCCUUUUUUUCUUUUUCCAUCGAGCUCGAAUCCAACAUGACCAUAACCAUUCACAAAAUGCUCACUUGGGCCUUGAACUCCUCAAACUCUCUUUAAAGGACAUUCAAAGCAUCUCCAGUCUCUUCCUUCAAGUUAUAUAGAGUAUCGAACAACUCCCAUUGGAUUGUCUCAAUCUCUUUCAAUUGAUCAUUAGUUACCACAUGAGCUUUUAGGGUAGCCACUGUGGCCUCCAGCUCCUCAAUCCUUUGUUGUUUAGUAAAUCCACCACUCAUUGCCAUUUUAUCAAUUCUCUAGCACUUUUCAAUCGUGUUUUGAUACCACGUGUCAUAGGCUGUGCUUUAUCUCAAUGCAGUAAUAGAUCGUGUGGCACUUCAAUGAACACUUGCACCCAUGUCAACUAAGGAUAGUUUGAUAUCUGAACAAGAAACCAAAAAGCCCUAAGUCAGUCUCAAGCAUAUACAAUGAUAUAUAGGGUAAAAUAGGGGCACACCAAGGUGACCUCGACUUUUUCAUAUAUAAAAAUAUAUAUUUUUUAUUAAUAUCAAGGAUAAUACUCGAGUCUUCCCACCAUCAUUGGGCUAAAAGGGCAACCCUAAAUGGGUGAUCUAGCACAUACUUUAGCCAGUGAAUAGCCCAACGAUAUGCUGACUGCUCACCCCUUCUAAAGAGUAAGUGAGAUUUUAUAGCUGUCCUACUUAUAGCCAUUACAAUGCUUGAAAUUGGGAUACUUUUCCUAUCAUAUGAGAUCUAUCCUCCCUUUUGGCACUUCUACCCAGUCAUGGCCCUAUAUAUGGGCGGCUCAUGACAACUUAUGCCUAGUCAUCACCCUAUCAAGGUUGGCUCAUGACAUUGGGCUUAGAGGCUCAUUGGCUUAGCUUCGGUUCAAACAUGGCUGCACGGUUCAAAGUCAAGUUUGUGAAGUGGGUCACUACUGGGUCGAGUCUUCAAGUGGACUAGUGCAUAUCUUUUAAAAGAUCCGAUUCUUUUUUUAUUCCUAAACGACAUCGUAUUUUUAAAGUAUGCAAGCCCUUUUUCUAGCUUUUUCUUUCAUUUUUUGAUUUGGUUUCUCUCUUUAUCCUUAAUUAUUCUCUCAUUCUCUCUCUACAACAUAUGAACAAUGGUCAAAAAGUUUCAAAGGUUUUCAAACUUUGGUGUCGACGCUAUCAUUCCAUAUUUUCAUGCUGACAUCGCUGUCAGCCAACCACUGCUAAGGCUCAAAUUUCACCCAAAAGCUUGUCUCGAUCUCCUCCUUCGUAUGAUCUAGUUGGUUCUUUUAGAAACUCACAAGAUUUGCAUAGAUCUGAAAUCCCAAUCGCGGUCUCCUUUUCCUCCACCACUUCGUUCGUUGCCACUUUAAGGUAUGCUCUCUACAUUUCCUUUGGCUAUUUUUUCAGCAAAUUUUGAAUCCUAAAAUUCCUAGGAAAGGGUUAACCUAAAACCCAUGGAAACUCUUCUCUCCAUUUUUUUUCUUUUUUGGCUUCUGAUUUUAAUUUAUUUUUCUUAAAUUUGUGGUUGAAUCUUUGUUGGAAUUUGUUAGCAGGCUCAGCCAAAAUUGGUUGCCAAAGUUUGCUGUAUGGUUAUUGGAUUUCUAGGAUUAUGGUAUAGUCUUUUGUUUGCAAGUUGUCAGCUAACUUGACAACAGGUUUUUUUGUAAUUCGCUUGUUGAAAUCUGGGCCUAAUUUUGUUAUUGCUAUCUAGUUUUUUAGGGUUCUGCCUAGUAUUGGCCUUGGGGUCUAGAUUGUAGGUUUAGACUAUUAAUGAUUGAGCUACUGGUGACAGCAACGUUGGCACUAAUGGAGAGUUAUGUUUGACGAUAGAGUUGUGGUGGUGUGGCAAAGAUGGUAAAAUGGUAGUAUGUUUAUGUGUAGAUUGUGUUUGUGGGAUUCUGGUGGUGGGGUGAUGCUAUUUUCUAGCAAUGGUGAUGAAAGAAGGUGGAUUUUUGGUCAAAUGGCUUUUUUUUGUGUAAUUGUGAAACUUUCUGGGUUUGCGGUUAUUGUGUUGCUUGUGGUUUUGAUGACUGUGUAAAGACUGGUUAUGGAUGAUGAUAGUGGUUCUGGCAACAAUGGUGGGAGUUUGGCUUAAGCGAAAAUGGUAGUGUAAUAUGAUGCCUGGUUUUCAAUUUGGCAAUGGCAUCACACGGGGCUAUGGGUGGUGAUGGCAAUGGCAGAGAAGGGCAAUGUUGGGCUAAGCAUUGCUAGAGUGGAGGAAAUGGGUGAAGAUCAGGGUCUUUCUAUGACUCUUUCUCUAUUUGUUUUCUACCCCCUUAUGCAAUGUAAUGGUUGUUGCUUAAAUAGGGACUUUGUCCCCAAUAAAAUGCAAGAUCAAAAUGUUAUCCGAUUGAAUGAGAGUUUCCUUUAUCUUUUUUAAUUUCAAUUUUAAACUCAACCAAUUUAUCCUUUGAUUUUGAUUCAAAUUCAAACAUAAUUAUUUAUCUCUUGAAGUAAGGCAGACAAUUACAACAAUUACAAAUAUUCUGAGUCAAAGUCCAAAGCAAGCCCAGAACUCAAAUCCAAAGCCCAAUUUGAAUUAACCCGAGAUUUGAGGAUAACUCGGGAUGAAAUAUGGUGUCUACAUAAGUAAAAAAAUUAUAUAUAAAAAUUUUUUAAAUUAAUAAUAAAAUUUUAUAUUUUUAAUUUUUUAAAUCGAUAUUUGAAAUACCAACGAAGAUUUUGUCAGUAUUCCGUUAGUAAUUUUCAUUUAGGAAUAAAAUCCCAAGCUCUUCUCUUAAACAUUUAGGAACAAACUUUUCCCGCCCCCUCCACUAGACCGUCAUCCUUCUUCUCUAUCCUCAAUUCCUCCGUCGACGGCCUUUCUCCUCAACCGUUCACUGCUACAACAUCAUUUGUGACUGUUAACAUCUCAAAAACCAGUAAUUGAGGAAGCUUCAGGUGAAACUAUAUAUUUUCAAACUGAUGCUACUUUUAAUCUUUUUUAGAGUGCCACAAGCACUAAAGGAGAAGAAAUGAGAUGCAUAAGUGAUUGGAGAUGGGCAUAAUAGGUUGAUAGCUGUGGCUUACUUGGCUCAUGGCAGCUUGUCUAUUGCCGAGCUCAAGCAAUACCUGUCCAUAGAAGCUUUAGGUGAAAUUUUUUAUUUUUUGUUUUUAUUUUUUAAUUUUUGUUAAUCAUAUGAGUUUUGGUAUGGCAUUUAAAUCGAAAAAGAAAGAUUUAAAGAGACAUGUUUGAAUUUGUCAAAGCUAACAACAACGACGUUUACUGAUUGAUUGAACAAUUUAAAGAAAAGUAAAAUUUCAAGGAAAAUGAAACCUUUAAUUUCUUUGAUACUAUGUGUGAUGAAUCAUGCUCUCUUUAGAAUGUCCACCAUGUCUCAAAUUUGUAUUUUACUUUUACAGUCUCCUUCCAAUUUUUAACAAAUCAGACAGAACUGUGAUGUUUUUCUAGUUUGAUGUAAAGGUAAAGUUGAAAUUCAUUUUAGCUUUUUAAAUUUUCCAUCAAGUAUAUUUUCUAUGCAAUUUUAAACUUUGAUUUUUGAUGAACUAGAGCCAGUUAGAAAGUCGAUUCAAUUUGUUGAAACACCAAAUCAUCUGAUUUGAGAUAUAUUCUGGUACAAAGGAAGUGAAAAUGCUUUAUUAUUAUAAGCCAAUAAAUAACAUAUUUAAAUUUAUUAUGUUCUUAUUGAGGUUUGUUUGUAAUUAAUGAGUUCAGAAUCUUUUGUUCUAUUUCUAAUUAAGGUCAAUGCUAUUUGAAUUAAUAUUAUUUAACAUCAUUUAGUGUUAGCAAUAAGCUAUUUUACAAUUUUAUGAACCAUUAUCAAAUGUGAGUUGGUGUUUUUGUUGUCUAUGCUUUUUAUUGAAUUUAACUUUUAUUUCUAGUACUUAACUAGUUCAUCUAUUGGUUCUUUGCCUUCACUUGUCCUGCAAUUCAUCUAUUAACUAAUGGCUUCUAAGGGACCAAGCUCCAAGCUUGAGCAUAAGACGAGCUACGUGUCAAAAGGUAAUGGCGUUUGAGAUUUUUAUAGCUCUCUUUUCUGGUCUCUUAUAUUGUUAUUAUUGUUGUUAAUGUUAUCAUGCAUGAACAUACAUGCACAUGCUUAACUGUAAAGAAGUUUAAAGAUGAAAUCUUUGUGGAGGCUUAAUGUUUUUAAGAGUGAAUUUAUAUUGAGUAUUUGCUUAAUUGUCAUGAACUUUUUGUUGUUCCUUAAUUUCUAAAUUGCUUUUGGCUAGAAGCAAUUAGUUGUUAUUUUCUAAUACAAGUGAGGUUUUCUUUUGACUUGUGCUUUUUAAGUUCCAUUAACAAUUAAGGUUUGAAUCCAUCUCCUAAUUGUAAAUAAAAAUCAGUUUUAUAAAUUUUCUUCAAGAAUACCUACUUACACAUAAAUGAAUGUGAAACGAAGAAUUCCAUAUCUUAAACACUCAGUGAUGUGUGACAAUUUGCAUGGCAUUAGUGCUAACAUAGUGCUUGUCCAAGAUAAAUUUUAGAAAAUUAGUGCAAAUUCCGCUUGGCAUCAUUUUAUUUUGUUUCCAAGACUAUCAUUUAUCUCGGCCUUUUGUUUGCUUAAUAAGGUUUUGCAAUAUAUCUUGUAUGCAUCCAAAAUUAUGAAUUUUUUUUAGUUCAUUUCACGUGAUAUUAUUUUAAUAAAGCUUCCAAAUUUGUUAUGGAAAUAGAUUGCUUUAGUAAUUGAGCCAAGGACAAGGAAACAAGUACCAUGUAUAGACAAGUUUAGGAGGUGUGGCCAACGGCCAAUGUCUAGUUCAAAUGCUUUGGUCGGAAUUUUGUGUGAUAAAUUUUUUAUUAGCUUGAUUUAGAAUUUUUAUGUUCUCUUGGUGAUGCGGCUAAAAAAUGUUAACUGUUUUGUUUUCUGAUACGGAAGUUAAUGAUUGAAUAUGAUGGAAGAGCCACAUUUAGAAGGUAGUCCUUGUAGUGAGCAUAGUGUGGUUGCCACUCCAACAAUUGCUUCAACUCCAACAAGUCCUUGUAAUCAAUCUUGUUCUACACUUAUUUUAGUCAGUUGUUGAUAUAUUUGCUUUAGUAACUAUACGUAAGAACUUGAACCGGUUAGUAUUGGUUCUAGUAAACUGCAAGAAAAUGGUACUUAAGGAUUGUAAAAUAUUAUUAUACUCUUUCUUUUAUAAGUGGAAAGGAUUGUUUUGUUUAUUUAUUUUUUCUCUUUAUGUAUAUUUUAAUACUUAUGUAAUUAUUUUAAAAAUAAAUUUAAAAAAUAGAAUAAAAUGAGAAAAUUUAUAAACAACAUAUAUAUGAUUAAAAAACAAGUAUUAUCGGUGGAAAUAUUAACUAUCAUCGAUUGAUUUUUUUUUUUUUGUAAAAUUGAAAACAAUUAUAAAAAUAAUAUAUCAAUUGAAAAUUUUGUCAGUAAAUAAAAAACUUACCAGUAAAUUACUGAUGAAAUUAUAUUGCUGAUUUUAUUUAUAGUAAUAAAAUUUUUUCGUCAAUAAUAUUACCGAUGAAAAAUGAAGUAUUAUUGAUAAAAAUUUUCAUUGAUAAUAUGUUAUUUUUUGGUAAUGUUAAAUAAACAUAUCACAAAUAUUGAUAGUGUUAAAUAAAUAGAUCAUAAAUAUACAAACAGAUUAUAAAUAUAAUAAAAUUUAUUUAUAUUCUGUUUGUUUACAUCUUUAAUAAUAUAUUUAAAAAAUUAAGUUAAAAUUCUUUCCAAAUAAAAAAAUUUUGGAUGGGUUUAUGCACUCGAAAUUAUAUACUAGCUUAAUAAUCAAUCAAAUGAUUAACUUUACUCAACAAAUAAGUAGAAUAUCAAGGCCACACUGUCACGAUUCUCUUCUAUUAUCUCUAACAACUUAUUAGAUUCUAUUUAGAGUAUCUAUAAAUAUUAAGAGUACAUGAAAAAUGACAAGAUGUACCAGUAGAGUGGCAAGUUUUUCUUAAAUGUCAACAUCAAACUUACAAUUUCACAAUCUAUCUCAUUUUCUUAAAAAAGGGGGCAUUAUUUAUUAAUUAAAUAGUUAUUGGUAGCAUUAUUUUCUAAAGUCUGUCAGUCCAAUUUAAACAAGCUACAAAAUUAACGAGGAUUAUUAUUGGAUCCUUGCAACAAACUUGAAAAGAGUAACAAACAAAAAUGACAGAAUAAAAUACAAACUUUAAUAACAUAUUAAGUAUAUAAUUGAAAAUUAAUUGACAAUAAAUGAAGGGGAUCCAAUUUGAAUUUGAGACCAUAAAAAAUAUAAUAUUUAACAAAAAUGUUAUAACAUCACUUUAACGGUGGAGAUCUUGAGAAGGUUAGAACGGGUGAUUGGAGAAAAAACUUUUAUAAAAAUAUUUUUAUAUAUUUAAAAAAAAAUUGAUGUACAAUGAUAUAAAUUGCAAAAAUAGGACAAUUUAUUUUUUAGUGAAAAAACUUUUAAACUAAUAGAAAUUUUGAAAAUGUUUAAUCUUAUGUAAAAAACUAAAGUGUGAUCAAUCAAAUUAAAAUGAAGAAAAAAGGGUUUAAACUUAUAUUUAAAUUUUUAUAGGUUUAAAAAUGUGAUUGAUCAAAUAUAUACUGUGGAAAGUAAAAUUAAAGUUUGAUAAAUCAAAUUAAAAAAAAAUCAAAUUUGAUUUAAAAAUUAAAUCAUCAAUGAUGAAUGAGAAUAUAAGACUGCAUAUACUUGAUCGGAGGUCAAGACAGGAUCUUUUUAGCUAUCUUAUUUUGAUCCUUUGAUCUAAUUAAUUUCCCCUUUUUCAUAAAUUAUUGCUUACAUUCCUCCUCAGUUUCUCAAACAAAUUAAAAGAGAGCAAAUUCUAAUUCCAACAACACCACUAAGCACACAACAUGAAAAAUUAUCUUCAAUAUAAUUACGUAGAAGAAGGCAACAAGAGAGCUUAGCUCAGGCUAAUGAUUAAGAAGAAAAGGCCUUACAAAAAAUUUCAGUUUUAUUCUCUUUUAAAAUAAAAAUAAAACUUUAAAACAUAUGCUUUGGUUUUCUAAAUAAAUUUAAAAUUUUUUCAAAUUUUUAUAAAUUCAAAAUUUUUUUUAGUAAAAAUCAAAUUGUCCUAUUUAUUUUUCUAGAUUUAUAUUAUCCUAUGUGAAUUUUUUUAAAUAAAAUAUAAAUAUUUUCCAUAUCAACAACAUAGAACAAAAAAAAUAAAUUUUGGAUGAAAUAUUCUAUUUUAAUCCAUAGAUGAUUAAAAUUACACAACAAUAUAAUAAAGUGAUAAAAUUACACCAAAAAAAGCAAUAUAUAUAUAUAUAUAUGGGAUUCUAAGUUUGACUUCUAAUAUCAAGAUUAAUUCUCCAUGAACUUAGUUGUUUUGAUUUAUUAGUAUUCGAGUAAGUAUUUAAUUAAGUAAGAUCCGCCAUCUUUAAAUAAAGCAACCUCUAGAACAUCAACUAGGGAAACUUGGUUUUGACUAGCUGUUUUGAAAAAAAAAAAAUCUAAUUGAAUGAAAUUAAGAUGCAUGGAAUUCUUAUAGCAAUUCUUAUGCCACAAAAUAAUAUAUGAUUGUCUAAUGUCAAGAGGGAGGAAGAAAUGCUAUUCAACUGAAAUUCAGUAUUGAUGAAUUUUCAAGUGACUUCCUUACAGAAACACAAAGAUAAUCAAAAUGCGAGCAUUGCUGUUUUUACUUCAAAAUCUGUCUCACUCAAAUGAAUAUUAUGUCAUGUUCAUCGUCUCAUCCACAAUCAACUGCUUAAGCUUAAGCUUUUGGGAUAAUUGGUAAACACAACUUCACAUAAACAAAGAUUAUUGGAAAAGUGUAGUUGGGAGCUAAUGAAAAUCACGACCAACUGCUCAAACGAAUGAAAAUUAAAAGUACCAAAUGAAAUCCCGACCAACUGCUCAAUGAAUGGCGUUGUAGUUGACUGUAAAGUGUAAAUCCACCGCCUAAAAAUGACUGCAAAAGCAAAAUGAUAUCAAGUCUGCUAGUGGAAAGGACAACAAACUAUAAACUUUUAGCCGAUAAAAAAGACAAAUAAACAGGAAUGCAGCCUUUAUGUACAAAAAUUUGCAUUCGAAUUUGAUUGCAAUAUUUGGCUGCAAGACUAUGAAGUUGGAAGAAAGGUUUGUGAAAUGCUGCAGCAAAUUAGCAACAGCUUCAUUCACUUGCAUCUUCUGAAACUGACAUUCAUUUCUUCAUCUCCCUCUGACAAAGGUGUGUUUUCAACUUCAUUGUCUAGACCUCCACCAUAUAUAACUACCAACUGGCCAUGUUGUUUGUUCAGCUUUAGUAGACUCUUCCAUUAUAUUUUCAUCAAUUGAUCGGAUUGCCUGCAAAACAAAUUAAAGCAUGGCAUGUGAAGAAAACGAAGGAUGUAUAAUUCAGUAAAUUGAAACAAAAACGCAACAAAGACCAUUGAAUGAACCCAAUAAGAAAGACUGCCGCCCCAUAGAACUCGGAAUUAACAUUACCAGCCAAUAACAUUUUCAAUUUCAUUAGCAAUUAAAACAAACAAAUGGAUGACAAAUUUCAAUUGAAAUCCAUAACAAGUUCCCUUGAACAGAACAGACAAGAUUAAUAUUGCAUAAUCAAUAAAGCUGAAAGAGGAAAUAAAAGCAUGAAAAAUGUGCAAAAGAUUAACCUCUCUGUUCAUAAGCUUAUCCAAGUCCAGCUAUACAAUGGCACGGCAGCUUUUGAUACUUUUAAAGUGAGAGUUUGGGUGCGUAGCGUACCUCUGUUUUGGCUUGCCCAGAUUCCUCCGAAUCAACACUAAAGCUUGUGGCUAUAUUGGGACAACCUCUCACAGAUAAAAAUUGCAAAGAUGGGAAUACGAAAUGAUAACCCACAGGGCUGAAGCUCACAAUGUUUGGUAGCUUUUCAAGAUCUAAGGUACCCAAUUGAGGUAGCUGUAUCACUUUUCCCUUUUCCUCACUACCAUUUGCCUCAUCUCCUGAUUUUCAAAUACUUGUUCUAAUUUGGAGACGUUCUGAACAGUAAAAGAAUUGCAGUUUUGGAAGGCCAUGAGCAACACUCACUGGAAAGAGACAUUUCAAGUUUUCGCAUGACUCAACGCGUAUUUGAGUCAGAUUAGGGAAACAUACAGGUUGGAGAUGAUGAUCUUGUGAUGAAAUUGAUCAUCCUUUUCAAUAAUUUGCUCCUGUUCAUCACACUUAUAUAUGUGUAAAAAGCUCAAUUGCGACAAAUUCCGAGCGAUAUUAGGUGAUAAAAUAUAUCUUAAUCUUCUGCAUCUAAAGGCAACCAAUUGAGUGACGUAUUGAAAGUUGACAACUUUGACGAGAUCUUUCCAUGCCACCCGCGAUUCAAGUAGAUCACGCAAACUUAGUUCCCUCAAACUUGAAAGAUUAUAUCCACUGUCAAAUAGCUCUUUAAAAUUAGUGAUGAUUAAAUAUUUUAUAUUCAGCUUUUCAUCCCAAUUCUGGAACUAUCAUUUUACGUGCUUCCUUUCUCUCAUAUCCCAAAAUUCUAACACCUAUAAUCACAUCAUUUAAAAAGUAAAUUUAAUAUUUAGAAAAAACUAAAAAAUUUUAAAUAUUGAAAAAAUUUUUGGAAAUUUCUAUAUAUUAAAAUUAUAGCAUUUGAACUUGAACUUUUCUGUCGGAAACCAAUUUAUCAAGAAAAAAAAUUCAAUCGACAACAUUAACACUAUAUUUAAUCGGUAGGAAGAAAAAUAAAGGGAGGAAAUAAGGGCAAGGAAUGCAAAAAUAAAUUAUAGAAAAGAAAAUUAAUUUUCUUUGUUAGUGUUUGGUACCAAAGAUAAAAAAAACUAGAAAAAAAAGAAAAAGGAUUAGAAGAAAACUUAUAAGAAAGGAUUUAUUUAAGUAAAAAAGAAUGUUUUUCUCCCAAUUUAAAAGGAUUAAAUUUUCAUUUUUUUUUCUUUCCGCUCUCUUUCUAUUCUUCCACUCUUUCCACUCCCUCACCAGGCAUAGUUGUAAGAAAGAAAAAAAAAAAAUGCGUCUGGAGAUAUCAAUCUAGAAUGCAAAGCGCAAACUUUUAAUGCUUUCAUUCCUUCGAAGAAUUCACUUCAAGUUAUCAUGUUUCCAUCUCCACCAAUUUAAAGAAAUAUGAGAUUUGGGCCUGCCAGUCCUUUAGGAAGUUCAACGAUCUGACUAGUCUUGAAGGAGACUGCUUCGCAAGGCUCAAAACUUUCAUCCUUUGCCCACAUUUCAAUAACCUCAGAUUUUAUAACAAAAUAAACUCCUUUCUGUAGAAUGCUAUCCACAAAGCAACAUCACGAACCAUGUCAUGCAUUUUAACAUGCCUUUCUCCACAAUUUAUCAACAAACAAGAAUCCUUGAGGAUAAUCGNNNNNNNNNNNNNNNNNNNNNNNNNNNNNNNNNNNNNNNNNNNNNNNNNNNNNNNNNNNNNNNNNNNNNNNNNNNNNNNNNNNNNNNNNNNNNNNNNNNNNNNNNNNNNNNNNNNNNNNNNNNNNNNNNNNNNNNNNNNNNNNNNNNNNNNNNNNNNNNNNNNNNNNNNNNNNNNNNNNNNNNNNNNNNNNNNNNNNNNNNNNNNNNNNNNNNNNNNNNNNNNNNNNNNNNNNNNNNNNNNNNNNNNNNNNNNNNNNNNNNNNNNNNNNNNNNNNNNNNNNNNNNNNNNNNNNNNNNNNNNNNNNNNNNNNNNNNNNNNNNNNNNNNNNNNNNNNNNNNNNNNNNNNNNNNNNNNNNNNNNNNNNNNNNNNNNNNNNNNNNNNNNNNNNNNNNNNNNNNNNNNNNNNNNNNNNNNNNNNNNNNNNNNNNNNNNNNNNNNNNNNNNNNNNNNNNNNNNNNNNNNNNNNNNNNNNNNNNNNNNNNNNNNNNNNNNNNNNNNNNNNNNNNNNNNNNNNNNNNNNNNNNNNNNNNNNNNNNNNNNNNNNNNNNNNNNNNNNNNNNNNNNNNNNNNNNNNNNNNNNNNNNNNNNNNNNNNNNNNNNNNNNNNNNNNNNNNNNNNNNNNNNNNNNNNNNNNNNNNNNNNNNNNNNNNNNNNNNNNNNNNNNNNNNNNNNNNNNNNNNNNNNNNNNNNNNNNNNNNNNNNNNNNNNNNNNNNNNNNNNNNNNNNNNNNNNNNNNNNNNNNNNNNNNNNNNNNNNNNNNNNNNNNNNNNNNNNNNNNNNNNNNNNNNNNNNNNNNNNNNNNNNNNNNNNNNNNNNNNNNNNNNNNNNNNNNNNNNNNNNNNNNNNNNNNNNNNNNNNNNNNNNNNNNNNNNNNNNNNNNNNNNNNNNNNNNNNNNNNNNNNNNNNNNNNNNNNNNNNNNNNNNNNNNNNNNNNNNNNNNNNNNNNNNNNNNNNNNNNNNNNNNNNNNNNNNNNNNNNNNNNNNNNNNNNNNNNNNNNNUUUCAUUCAUCUCAUUCCUCACAAAGGAUUCUCAUUACUUUGUCCUAAAUUAUUUAUGGCAUUUAUUUUUUUCUCUUUUUUUCCUUUGUUUUUCUUUCUUUACUUUUAUUUUUUUCUAUCUUUAAGACCUUUUACGAUCUUUUACUUUUUUUCUUUUUCAAAUAUUACCCUCCGAUUUGGAGAGUGAUCCUUGGUUGGGGGUUUUUUUUUAAAAAAAAAUCACAAUAGGCUUAAAAGAGGUAACAAUGGAUGGUUUUUUUAAUGGUAAAAAAAAUAUGAUCAAUUUUCAUCUCAAAUGUAAAUGCUUUCCUUGAAAAUCAUCUAUUGAAAAAAAAUAAGUUCAUGGAUCUUUACAAAGGACUACAUAACUUCAAGAAAUAUCUAUUUCACCUUUGCCAAUCAGUUUGCUAUUUUUGCUCAAAUGGUCUUCAUAUAUCAAUGUGAAUGAGUUUCCAAAAGUAAAUUUCAAAAUUAUUAUUAUCAUUGUCUAAACAUUCAUGAUUUGGAAUUUGAGAAUGGGAAUAAAAAGAUGCAGCAAAUAGCAAAGCAUGGAAUAAUCACCUGGAUGAAAAAAAAAAUGUAAUGAAAUGCAUCAACUUGUCUUUUAUGAAAAUGAUAACAAAUGAAAUCUUAUUGCAUGAAAGAAUUCCUAACAUUACUUUGAAAGAAAUCUUAAAAUGACAUGCAACUUCCAACCACCCUUAACAACAUUUUCAAUGUUAUGCCUUUGUGCAAUCAUGUGAAGGAUUUUUAUUGACAUUUUACCCUCAUAAUUCGUUAAAGCUCAUUAAGCCUUUUCGAAUCAAAUUUUACAUUUUUUGUUUGAAAGCAAGAUAUGUUUUAAUAGAAUGACCCAUGUUUCCAUUAUGAUAAUCACACAUUGUAUUAGCAUUAUACCACUUUGGAUAAGAUGGCUUUAAUGGUUCUAAAAUAACUGAAGAUACCAAGUUAUUCUUGACCACUUCUAAGAAUAAUUCAGUGUAAGUCAUGGGGAUCAACAUGUGCCUUUUCUUGGUUAUCCUAAGAUCUUCUUAAACCACUUACUUUAUUGUUAGGCUUUAAAGUUGAUGCAGGUACUUGAAAGGUUGAUUGGUAGGUUGGUGGCUAAGCUAGUUAUGGAUAUGGUUGGUAAGGGACCUGCGCAAUACCAUUAAUUAUGGGGUAGUAAAUAAGAUGAACUGGCAAUGGAUGUAGGGCAUAGCUUUUGUAUUGUUGCCUACCAAAGUUCAUAGCUUAGGCUUCAGCUUAUUUCUUUUUAGGAAACCUUUCUUUCUUGGUGGUUUCUCCCUCUUGGAGCUUGCUACUUUUGAUGGCUUUUCAAUGAUUUCUCUUGAAAUUAUCAUAUCAGCAAAGUUUUUCAUUACAUUCUCUAUCAUUUUUUCAUAAUAAAAAAAUUUAAAAUGCUUACAAACAGCCUUAUGGUCUUUUUUUCAGUCAGAGGUGGUUGAACUUGAGUAGCUAUAUCUUUCCACCUCUAGGCAUACUUUUUAAAUGAUAUAGUCACCUUUUCUUCUAUAUUCUACAAAGACAGACAAUUAAAAGUUAAAUCUAUGAUAUGCCAACACUGACUAAUAAAUUCACGGGCCAUAUCACUUCAAGACUGAAUAUGAGUCAUGUCUAGCCGGACGUACCACCUAGUAACAGAACCCAAAGUUUAUCUUAAAAAAUGUGCAUAAAUAAUUUUUUAUUAUUAGCAUGGGCACCAUUUUUCGAUAAUACAUGGUGAUAUGAGUUUUUGGGCACUUUGUGCCAUCAUAUUUUUCAAACUCUGAUACUUUGAACUUCGAAGGAAUAAUAACAUCUAGGACUAAACAGAGCCCAACAGCAUCCAUAGAACCAUAAAAAUGAAUUCCCUCCAAUGCUUGUAACCUUGCCUAUAAAAGUUUAUUUUUUAUUUAGCUUUUGAGCCUUUUAAAGCUUUUUUCUCCUUAGGCCUCAGCUUUUCUUUCUCUUCUGUAUCAUUCAAGUUAGGAAUUGAUCCUGGUUCUACUACCUUCUCAGUAAAGAUAGGAUUUACAUAACUCUGGUACUAUCUUAGGUUUGAAGCUAAUGGCAUUCCAGGGUAUGUGUACCCUAUAAGAUAUGUGAAUUGCUGUGGUGAUGGAUCUUGUAUGGAUUGCGCUUGAUGUGGCUCAAAACCAAGAUAGUAUAAAAGGUCAGUCACUUUUUAUGAUGGAUGUUCCUGCUGGCUAGUAUUUUUCUCUAUCCCUUUCUCUUUAUUUAACUUUUUCAAGGCAUUCAGAAUCUUAUUCAACUCCCUUUCAAGCUUUUCUUAUGCUUUUUUAUCCUUUUAAGGUGAUUGAAAAUUUUCUGUUCAUUUGUCUAGCUCGAGCUCUUGUAUUGUAUUGGUGAGUUGGGUUCUUACUUGGUGGAGCUAUCAUUGAACCUUAAGUACCACAAUUACAUUAUCAGAAAUGCUAGGCUUUGUGUUUGGUAUGUUGAUGCAUAAAUGGAAUGUACAUUUUCAUGGAUAAAAUUUGAUAUGAAAAUAAUGCAGAUGCACAAUGUUACAUAUGACAAUGAAAAUGAUUCAUGACAUGAUAAUGUAAAUGCAUAAAGUCAAACAAAAUUGUUAGAUAAUCAAUAUAUCACACAAAUUAUUCCUUUUUGCGUCCUACCUUCAGGUUACAUCUAUCAAUGGGUAGAAAGGGCUCUAUCAUAGGGUUGACCUCUUAAGUGUAGAUUAUAUACAGGAUUAAAUGAUUUUGACCACUAAAAGUUUUUAAAUUAUUCCUUACAUCAUCAUCGAUUACAGACUGUUAAGGUAGUCCAAUCCUUACCUAUCACAAGCUACCAACAAAAAAUAUUCAAUUUGAGUGAAGUAUUUCGCUAGCAUUUACGAAGAUUAUCAUCUCAUAAGACAUAGGUCUUUACUCCUCUUAAAGGGACGAAGGCUUGGGUAUAAAGUUCAUGUAAUGAGAAUGUAUGUGAUAGUGUGUGUGAAGGAAUAUAUUAGUUUCUGACCCUAAAAAUAAAAGACAAAACUUUAGUAAACAAAUAACUUAUCAUUACAAUUUUAAACCAUUAGAUCAAAGGAUAGGAUAUUUUUAAAAUUUAUGGCUUGACUCUUUAGUAGUCCCCAACGGGGUCGCCAAACUUUUAUAACAUAUAAAUCCAAAAAUCUAUAACUAGACACAAAUUAAGGAGUCACCACCAAUCUUUUUUUAUCUAGGUGUGAUUGGCCACCUAAUGAAUCUAUCCUUUUAAGGAGCUCCUAAGCUUGACUAAGGGUCCCUAAAAAAAUAGGUUAUGAUAUACUAAUCAGAAUAGGGUUCGAGAGUUCGGUUAUAUAUGGGAAAAGUUAUAGCACCCCCAUAUACCCAUUCAAAGGAUAGUACCAUUUUAAUUUAAAUUUAUCCUAAGGUCUUGAUUCUAAUGGUUUUAAAAUUUAAUGUUCAAAUAUUAAAAAUAAUUCUUAAGAUUCUCUAUCAAUAUGGUAGAAUUCUUAAAAAUAUUUUUUCACCUCAAGAGUAUUCAAGAAUCUCAUUUAUUUUCUUGAAGAAGCUCCAUCAUUGAAAAAAUGUUUAAUUAUUUUCUUAUUUUGUUUUUUUGGUUUUUAUAGAAAAUAUAUCUAAUUAUUCCACCAUUUGGGCCAAAUUAGAAAUAUUUUUUUUUAUUUCUAAAUUCUCCACCAUUUGUGCCUAUUUAGAAAUUUUUUUACUUUUUUAUCUUUGGUAAGAAAAUAUUAUGACAAUUAUUUUUCUUAAAGUUUUAUUUAAAUUCUUUCACCAUUUGGGACAAAUUUAAAGAAAUUUCUCACCUAGAGAUUUCUUAGGAAUUUACCAUUUGAAAUUUCUAAAAAUUCCAUCAUUGGAUAAUUAAUAUUUAUUCUUAAAAACUAUUUUAUCUUGUUUUAUAUUUUUUAUUUUUCCCUAAAAUUUGAUCAUGCAAAAAUACUAAAAAUAAAUAAAUAAAUAAACAACAACAAACAAAAACCAAAAUGGCUUGGCUUGAGGAAGAAAACCAAGAACGGCUCGUGAUGAUGGCUUGGCUCAGCUCGGCUUGAAACAAAAGUUGAUCGCGGGUCAAACACCGGUAAACAUUCGGGUUGGAUUGACUCAAAUAUAUACACAUGGAUCCUAAGAAGUUGUUUUAACACCAAAACGAUGUCGUUUUAUUAAUUUAUAUAUAUUAAUUAUCAUUUUAAUAUUAUCAUUUUAAGAUUUUUGACAAAGAAUCUAAAAGAUUUUUUCAAUGAAAUUUACAAUUUGAAUUAAUAAAAAAUUGUCAUGAGUCCCUUUCAAUCAUUUGUCGAUUUUUUUUAUCAAAAUCUUAAGAUGAUUAAAUUCAAAGUAGUAAGGAUAAUAAUAUAGAUAAGAGAAGUGCUUAAGGAAAAGGACUAAUCAAGCCUAUCAUAAAUGGUCAAGUUGAGUUUAAAAAACAAAACAAAAUACAAUCACAACUUGGGUUGGUGUAGAGUAGUUCGUUUUUAAAGAUAUGUCAUGAUAUUGAGUGUGUAUAUAUAUAUAUAUAUUAAAGAGUAGCUCUUUUUUUUUUUUUUUUGAAGUUACAAGGAAAGAAAUGUAGAAUCAAACAAAAUUCAAUUGAAGGUUUUUUUUUUUUUUUUUUGAGUUGAAAGGAAAGCCAAUAGAGUAGAAAUCAACCUUAAAACUCUUGGCCAAAAGAAAAAAGAAAUCAAGCUCACAUUGAAAUGAUAAAAAAGCUUGGAAAUUGAACAAAAGAGAUUAACAGAACUCUCAACUUCUGAGAGCAGAUAUGGGUUUUUCUUUUUUUUUUUUCCUCUUUCUUUUGGAGGUUUUAUGGCCAAAGGAUUUAUUUUCUAUAUUAAUUACAAGCCUACUUGUCAUGGAUGACUAUACCAUGGUAAUGUAGCUAUUCAUGGAUAUCAAAUUUGUAUAAUUAAUUAUAGUGUUUGAAUUAAAAUUUCAUUGUAAACAAUUAUGUAUUAUUAGUCUCAUAUAUUAUUUUUCUUUUUAAUAUACUAUAUGUUUUUUUAUCUAUAUCCAUCAGUAUGAAAAAAAAAAAAAAGGUAAGUAUGAAUUUAACAAGUAUUCAAUUCAUACAAAGAGCUAUAGGGGUAAACUGCUUUACUUAAUUACUUCAAGAACAAAGCAUUGACAAGUUAUAAACUUGCUAAACCUAGUAAGAUUAAUAGUGAGGAUAUGACCAAUGAAUUGAGAGUAAUCCAAAGGCUAUAGAAUAAUCCGAUGGUUAGUUUUAAACUUUAUUACUCCAUUUUCAUGUGUUUCUUAUUAUUGAUACAUAUUAGAGAUAUAAAUAAUACAUCAGGUUUUGCAAGUUAAUCGAGUUUAAUUUGAAUAAAAUUUGAAUUUGAACUCAACUUGUCAAGCGAGUUAAAAUCAAGUAUCUUAAUGCACCAUUCGAGUUGUUCAUGAGUCUAAUGAAACUUUUAUAUUUUAAUUAAAAAUUUUAUUAUUUUAUCUUUUUAUAUAUAUAUCAAUUUGAACUAAAUUUGAAUAUAUAAUUGAGUUUGAAAUUAAGUAUGGGAAUUGAGUUCAUUUUUUAUUAAGCGAGCUUAAUAGAACAAGCUCAAAAGUUUGAUUUUUAUCUUGAAUUGAACUCAAACUUGAAAAAUUAAAAUUUGAUCAGGUUUCUUGGUUAGGUUUAUUUGAUAAUCCAUUUGUAGGGCUAUUGCAAGGUUCUUAUGUUGUUUUCGAUGGGCGUUUUAACUAAAAAAUAUUAAAAUUUUCACCAUUCAUCAACUUUUAAAUGAAUUUCAUUAAAGAAUUUUUGUUUUAAUUUUUUGACAUAUUAUUCACCUAGUCUUUGAAUUUUAUGAUCAAUCUAUUGAUUUUCAUUUUAUUUAUAAAUAUGGUAAAAUCAUUUACAUAAAAGUUAAAAAUAUUAAUUUCUACAUAUAUAAAAAAAUAUCAUUUUAAUAUCUUUUUGACAAAGAAUCUAAAAGAUUUUUUUUCAAUGAAUUUUAUAAUUUUGAUUGAUAAAAAAAUUAUCAUGAGUCCCAUUCAGUCAUUUGAUAUUGAUACGAAAAUAUGAGAUAUAUUUUUUUGGUUUUGUUAAAUCCAUAUAUAGUUAUUAUUAAAAUUUUAAACCGUAUCACUUUCACAUCUAUUUUUCAUAUUAUAUUUAUAUCGUGUUACUAUAUGUCAUAUUUUAAAUUGUCAGAUAUAAUCCUUAGGUCAGUUUUUUUUUUACCUUUUACCUUUUUUUAAUUGGAUAAAUUUUGCAAAAGAAAAAAAUAAAUAAAUAAAAUUGACAAAAUAAAAAAAAAAUUGCCUUCAUAAUGCGUGGGUAUCAUAUAAUAAAAGUAGCAAAAUAUUAAUUUAUAUAUAUAAAUUAAUUAUCAUUUUAAGAUUUUUGACAAAGAAUCUAAAAGAUUUUUUCAAUGAAAUAUACAAUUUGGACUAAUAAAAAAUUGUCAUGAGUCCCUUUCAAUCAUUUGCCGAUUUUUUUAUCAAAAUCUUAAGAUGAUUAAAUUCAGAGUAUUAAGGAUAAUAAUAUGGAUAAGAGAAGUGCUUAAGGAAAAGGACUAAUCAAGCCUAUCAUAAGUGGUCAAGUUGGGUUAAAAAAACAAAACAAAAUACAAUCACACCUUGGGUUGGUGUAGAGUAGUUCAUCUUUUAAACAUAUGUACAUGAUUGUUGAAUUUGAAAGGUAUGUGAAACUUCUCUAUGUUAAGAAAAUAUAAUGUUUUAUAUAUAUAUAUAUAUAUAUAAUACUUAUUUUAAAUUCAUAUUCAACAAAGAUUUUCUGUUAUUGAUAAACUCCAUUUUUUUUUUUAAUACAGCCAUGCAAGAACAUUGAUAUUGAGUGUAUACAUAUAUGUAUAUAAAAUAUAUAUAUAUAUAUAUAUAUAUAUAUUCCAUUGUCACUUGUUACGAACUACAAUAUCGAUUGGCGUCCUCCAAAUCCAACCUAUAAGUCCUCAAAAAAUAAAAAAAUAUUCAUUUAUUUAUUUAUUUAGGAAUAAACCUAUAGUGAAAGAGAAUCUUAGUAAUAGAUGCCCUAAAUGGGGUACUAAUAUUUUGUGUAUCUAACAAAAUUUUGGCAUGUUAUAUGACAAGAAGGAUGUUGUCAUCCUUGAAAUUAAGGAUAGAGAAGAAAGGAUGACAACUUAGCAAUUGGAUGGGUUUAUUGAAGAAAAAAGUUUUGCUUUCUUUACAGGAAAUUAAAAGAUGGUUUGUUGUGGCUAAGCUGGGUCCAUAAUGGAAAAGAUUGACAUGGGAUUUGAUUAUCGACAUAAUUAAUAAGGAAUUUUCUUGAAUUGCUCCAAAAAGAAAAUAUAUCGUGCAGGGUUCAAAAAUAUAUUGUUGUUAAUAAAAAAUAAUUAAUAAGAGAUUUUCAUCUUUCUAUCUAUACCUUAACCUCUUACCUUGAAUUUUCCUAUCUUUCUUUGAUAUUCUCGUCAUUAAAGGUAAAGUUUUUCUUAUUAGAAAAUUUUAACAAUUAUAUAAUUAUAAUAAAAGUCCUUAAUAAGGGAUAUUAGAGAAGGUGAUUAAUUACUUAAUACAUAUGUUAUUAGGUCACACAUCAAAAGCAAAUUUAUCUUUUAUCCUGAUAUUAUAAUGUUUAAUUCGAAUUUAUAUAUUUUCAUAGUACUAAGAGAAAAAAUUAUAUAUCCCAGAGGAGAGGAAAAUUAUUGAAUCCUGAAUUUCUAACUUGGUAAGCCAUUAAUAUUAACUUAGAAAUUAAAUUGUAAAAACUCGAGAUUUACUUAAUUGGUUCAUGAAAUUAUUUUUAAGAAAUAUUAUCCAUCAAGUGUGGAAUUUAAAUCUUAAUACCUAUAAUUUAUUUUUCUAUUUUCAAAUUACAAAUUUUUGUAUAAAAAAUUAAAUUAUAAACUAUCAUAUAUUGAAAAAGUGUAGGUUAAUCGGGAAGAUUAUUAUUUAGGAUUGAAUUCUUCUGUUACUUAAAGAAAAAUUAUUUAUAAUAUUGCAUCAUAAUGCAUAUAAGUUUGAUAAAAUAAAUAUAGGCUAUAUAUUGUUAUUUCGUUCAAAAAUUAAUUCUAUACAAUUAGUCAAAAUGAGAGAGAGUGAGAGAGAGAGAGAGAGAGAGAGUAGGAUAAAGAAGCAUUUCUCAGUUCUAUACUUUUAUUUUACUGAUCUUUUGCUAGUGUAAUAUUAAAUUAUAAGACCUAAGUGAAGUUUCUUACCUGCAAAUUAAUUAGGUUAAUUCCCUCUAAAAUAUUAUUACAUGUGUUAUAACCCAAGAAGGAGUUAAAAUUUAGAAAAUUAAGGUGGGUUAAUACUUGAUAUUAAGUCAGCAAAUUUAAUACAUGGCUUGAUUUGAUUAGGAACUUAUAUAUUGCAUUGAGUUAAUUACACAAAUGUUACUCAGAACAAUAAGAAAUUAGUAUCUAAACAAUAUAUAUAUAUAUAUAUAUAUAUAAUUUACAUUUUAAACUUUCAGGUAUAGUAAUAAUCUAUCCAAUAGUAAAAAUCAUUAAGUAUUUGGCCUUUGCCUAGUUUGAUUCAAAGGGCACAACCAUUUUAACAACCUUCUUCUUCAAUGGUAAGAAAAUUGAUUUUGUGUUGUAAUAGUUGGAAUCUUUAAUCUAUUUUUUGGAAAAUAUUUUCAUUUCUGGUAUCGUUGAUUGAUAAAGAAUUAGGUGAAUUAAUGGAAUUCUAAUUUUUAUGUAGGUGAAUUUGUCAUCAAGAGCUUCAUCAACAUCUUUUUCUCUUUUUUAAUUAUAGAGGCCUCCAAACAUCACCUUUCAUAGUUGGAAAAUUGCCUGCUGAAUUAACCUAAAAAAAUAGAUUUAUAAAAGAGUUUUAUAAAGAAUUAGGUUUCCUUUCUUUUUCAUCUUUUCUAGAAGUUUGGUGGUGAAUGACUCAGGAAGAGGCAGGCACUGCUAACAGACUUUUGCGUGUGGGGUUUGUGGGGAUCUGAUUACGCUUUGUCCUGUCUAUGUAAGGUGGGUCCCCCAAAUCGGACCCUUCAUUAUGCAAGUUGCAGAUGGUGACAUCUAGAAGGGUCCACACUGGAUUAUAGAGAGAAAGAAGAAAGCAAUAUUGCUGAAAACGUAAAAAUCAAUUUCAAAGGCUUAAGGCAAAAUUUGAAUGGCCCGAAUUUUAAGGGCCAUUUAAAUGUAAUAAGAUUACAUUAAGUGAGAUUAAAAAUAAAGACGAAAGUGAUAUUAGUCACUAUAAUGGUGAUAUCUUAUAUCUUAUAUAAAUAUAUAAAAACUAAAGUUUUUUGGCAAAAAUGAAAAAACAAAAACCUAUGUGGAUAGCUUAAAAUAUUUAUAUAUGGAUAAUCUUAAAAAUCGUGACAUGUCAUCUAAUAAAUAUAUGUUAUUUUAUUUAAUACAUUUUUAAUAUAAAAAUAAUUCAAAAAACUAAAUUAAUUAUAUUUAUAUUUUUAUUAUUAACCUUAAACCACUCACAAUUUAAUUCAUAUUGAAAGCAUUAAAAUUUUAAAAAUUUCUUAAUUUGAUAAAUUAAAUCAAUAAUAUAUAAUUAAUAAAUUGAUAAAUACUAAAUUAUAUUAUAAAAUAGUUUAUUUUCUAGUCAGUUAUUUGAUCCAUUUAUAUUUGAUUAAAUAUAGAUUCUAGCAAUUAAUGUAUUUCACAUGUAAAUAUAUAAAGCAAAUAUAAUUCAAAAAACUAAAUUGAUUAUAUUUAUAUUUUUAUUAUUGAUUUUAAAUCACUCUCAAUUCAAUUCAUAUUAAAAGCACUAAAAUUUUAAAUUUUUCUUAAUUUGACAAAUUAAAUCAAUCAAUAUAAAAUUAAUAAAUUAAUAAAUACUACAAUUACAAUUAUAAAAAAGGUGAUUCUCCAAUCAAUUAUUUGAUACAUUUAUAUUUGAUUAAAUAUAGUAUUCAGUAAUUGAUGUAUUUCAUGUGUAAAUAUAUAAAGCAAAUAUAAUUAAAAAAACUAAAUUGAUUAUAUUUAUGGUUUUAUUAUUGAUUUUAAAUCACUCUCAAUUCAAGUCAUAUUAAAAUUUUAAAAUUUUAAAAAUUUCUCAAUUUGACAAAUUAAAUCAAUCAAUAUAUAAUUAAUAAAUUAAUAAAUACUAUAAUUACAAUUAUAAAAUAGUUGAUUCUUUAAUUAAUUAUUUGAUACAUUUAUAUUUGAUUAGAUAUAGUAUCCAUUUGAGUAAUUGAUGUAUUUCAUGAUGUAUGUAAAUAUAUAAAGCUAAUAUAUGAAACUAAUUCUCCAUAAUUAAAUUAAUGGAAUAAAAUAUUUUAUAAAUUUAUAUUUGAUUGAUACAUUUAUAUUUCAUUAAAUAUGAUUUCAUUUGAUAAAAUAUUAAUCCAUGUUGAUUUCAUUUGUAACAUUUUAUAAUUUUAUUAUUUAAUAUUAAUGUAAGUUGAUUUAAUUAAAAUUUAAUUUGUUUUAUUGUCAUUAUUAAAUAUAAUAAAUUUAAUUUGUUUUAUUGUCCUUAUUAAAUAUAAUAAAUUUAAUUUGUUUUAUUAUUCUAAAUUAAGAUCUCUAAAUGUUAAUAGCAGAAUAAAAUAUUUCAAUGUCAAUCAACUUGCUAUUGUUAUACCAUUAUUGACUCAUAAUUUUUAUUAUUUCAAUUUUAAAUUUCAUAAUUUAAAAUAAUCUUAUUAAUUGACUAUAUUUUUAUUUUUAUUAUUGACUUUAAAUCACUCUCAAUUCAAUUCAUAUUAAAAGUAGUAAAAUUUUAAAAAUUUCUUAAUUUGACAAAUUAAAUCAAUCAAUAUAUAAUUAAUUAAUAAUUUAAUAAAUACUACAAUUACAAUUAUAAAAUAAUUGAUUCUCUAAUCAAUUAUUUGAUACAUUUAUAUUUGAUUAAAUAUAGUAUCCAAUUGAGUAAUUGAUGUAUUUCAUGUGUAAAUAUAAAAAGUAAAUAUAUCAAAUUAAUUCUCCAUAAUUAAUUAAUAAAAUAAAAUAUUUUAUUAAUUUAUAUUUGAUUGAUAGAUUUAUAUUUCAUUAAAUAUGAUUUCAUUUGAUUUCAUUAGGUAAAAUACUAAUGCAUGUUUGGUUUCAUUUGAUAAAAUAUUAAUGCACUUGGAUUUCAUUUGAUUUCAUUUGUAAUGUUUUAUAAUUUUAAAAUCGAGAUAGUAAUGCACAUUAAUUUAAUUAGAAUUUAAUUUGUUUUAUUGCCAUUAUUAGAUACAAUAAAUUUAAUUUGUUUUAUUAUUUUUAAUUAAAGGAUCUCUAAAUAUCAAUAGUAGAAUAAAAUAUUUCAAUAUCAAUUAACUUGCCAUUGUUAGACAAUUAUUCACUCACAAUUUUUAUUAUUUUCAUAUUAACUUUCAUAAUUUAAAAUUAUCUUAUUAAUUAACCUACAACACACCUUUUGUAUAAGUAGCUCUAGGUUAAGCAUAAUGUAUCUUUAACCACUUUUCACUAAUUUUAUAUUUUUUUAUCACUAUUCAACUCUACUUUAAUUUUCUCUCUAUUUUUAACUUUGCAUCCUUUCUUGGUCUGUGCUGCUCAAAGGUUAUUAUCUUUUUAUACUUAUAUUUUAUAUUUCAUUAACUAUGAUAUUAGCUUUCUUUUUUUAAUAUUUUUUUGUUGAUGAUUGAUUUAAAGAUGGUUGGGUAUAUACGGGGAAAGUCUUUCACUAAUAGAGUCACUAUCAUAAAAGUUGAUGUCACCUUUGGUUGGUACUACAUGUCACGUGGGUGUAACAAGAAACUAUUUGAAAUUGUUGAGAAAUUUCAAUAUUAUUCCUACAAGGUUGAUGUCCCUAAUCCAACUCCGAGGUAAUUUGUAUUUAUAAUUUUUAUAUUUAAUACAUAAAAAAUUAUUAUUCCAUGAUGAUAAUAAAAGUAUUUUAAAUUAUUAUAUUAUAUUUAUAAUUAUAGAAUCUUGCAUUUUUUAUAGGUACAAGUUGAAUAUUAGAGUAUAUGAUAAUUCUAGAAGGGUGAUAUUCGUACAGUUUAAUAUAGAAUCUAAGGAUUUAAUUAUAGAGAUAUUGACAAUCUUUAUGAAAUAUCUGUUAAAAUAUUGAGUUAAAAAUUAUUUUAAUAUUAUUUAUUAUUCAAAUUAAUUGAAUGAUAUAUUUAUACCUAUGAUUAAGGAAAAUGAAAAUUAUAAAAUUCAAGAGAUAUUUAAAGAUCUUUAAGAUAAAAUUUGUGCAUUCGAGACAAGAUCAAUCAAGUAUAAUCUUGAGAUAAAUAGUACCAAACUUGUAGUGAAUAAGGUGUAUGAUUAUGAUCUUAAGCUUGAAUGUCAAAAAUUAUUGGUUGAGAUAAGUAUAAAUUUAUUAUAAUGAUUAUGUUUGUUAUAAAGUUAUAUAAUCUAGAUUAUAAUUCAACUGUUGUCAAAUUAUAGAUUAUUGUUUUAUUUAUCUCUUUACCCCUAUAUGUGAAAUCUAUUGGCUUAUAAGUAAAAUGACACCUACUUCAAAGAUAGCAAGAAAUACUGGAGAAACAAUUGCUGCAUCUUUGCUUCAACAACUUAUGGAAAAAUCUCCCAUGAAAAAAGUUUGUAUGUGAGACUGAUUUUAAGGAUGACAUUUUUAAUUUCUUGAAAUCGAAAACAUUAUUGUCUUUUUUUAAAAGAUUAUUUGGAUUUAAUAAAUUAUAGUUUUGAGUUUUCUUUAAAACUGAUGAUAAUUGCAUAAGUAUAUUCAAUAUGUAAUUAAUUUAUUUUAUUAUAUUAAAAUAUAUAAAUUUAAAUAAAAAUGAUUAUAUAAGUUAUGAGUCGUUCAUAAACUUCAUAGCUUAUAUUAUCAUUUUAAAAAAAUUUAUAUUUAUAUAAAAUUUAUUGAUAAAUGAAUAUAUUUUCGUGUAUCACAUAAGUUUAAAACUAGUUAAAAUUAAUUAUGAAAAUAUAUGUUUGGAUGUAAAUGCAGCAGUGAUAAUGAGUUGAAUUGUAAUGAAAAGAGAAAUAUCAUUAAAAAUAUUAAUUUAAAAUGUGUAAAUUAUUUAAUAUUUAUAAAAUUAAUAAAUUGUUAAAAAUUAUUAAAUUAAUUUUAUUUCAAAUAAUAAAUUUAUCAAUAAAUGAUUAAAAAUUAAUAAAAAUAAUAUUAAUAUAUCAAAUAAUAUUUUUCUUUAUUUUUUAUUAUUUUAUGUAGAUACUUGUUAAUUAAUAAAAUAAUCUCCAAAAAUUUUUAUAUAAUAUUAAAAUUUAUUUAUUUAUAAUUUAUUAUAUACUAAUUUAUUAUUUAUUAGUCUAUUAUAGUAAAAUUUAUUUAUUAUAUUAAAUUAAAUAAUAAAAUUAUUUCUUAAUUUUAAACAAAAAAUAAAAUAAAAUAAUAAAAAGAAGGAAUCUUCUAAUCACAAAAGUCUUCCAAUCUUUACGGGCUUACAUGCUUAAAUAAAAAAUAUAUAUAUUUAAUGAAUUAGGACCAAUGACCUUUAUAAGCUUGUCAUGGAUCAAGGGUAAAAAUAAAAAAAAAACCAACAUCAAUUAGCAACUGAUGAAUUUCUCCUUCAGUGGACCACUGAGCCUUGGCACGGUGAGAACGCAACCACCGCUCUGAAAUCAGAACUUUUAAAUGGGUAGCCAAUUUAUUUGGCUUCAAUUUGAGGGUUAAAUUUCGUCGUACUAGAGAUACGAUAAAAUCCAAAUUGACUUUUAGUCUCUAUCCCAAAGUCAAUGAUCCUUGGGUGUCAAUGGAAAAAAAAUUUUGAAUUUACCUAAUAUUCAAGUAAUUUUAGGAGGAAAAGUUAAGCAAUAAUUAGUAAAACUAUUUUAAUUUUAAUGUGCCGGUGUAAAUCUAAAUUAAGAGUUAGUUAAUUAUUUUGACAUUAUUAUAAUUUUUUAAUAUAAAAGAAGUCAUAAUUUAAAAAUAAUAAAAGUAAAAGAUAAAUUUAAAAUUUUUUUGAACAGUAAAAGAUAUUUAUUAUUAAUAGACAAAAAUUACAACCACUACAAAAUCAUCUCUUCUAAAAACACCCAAUUUGGCCAACAAAUCUGCAAAGUGAUUGGCCUCUCUGUAGAUAUGGACAAAAGGAACUUUUCUCACUCUAGAAUAGAGAUUAUACAACUUGUUGAGAAGAUCAUCGUACUUCCAGAGAUUGAUGCUUACUUUGUUCAUUCAUGCUGUGACUACUUGAAAGAGCUUCUAUUACCGCCAUCAGCUCUGCAAGAAUAGAGUCUUUAAAGCCAAUGCUUUUUGAGAACAUAAACAGAACUUCUUCUUUGCUAUUACGAAUUACUCCACCAAUACCUGCAGGACCUGGUCUACCAACAGCAGAUCCUUCAACAUUAAUUUUCCAGACACCAGAUGUUGGCGGAGACCAAUGAAUGUUCUUCCUUGGAUAUCUUCUGUGCAGCGGAUGGUUAAGUCUUGAAUGUUGUACAUGAAAUUCAAGUCUAAAAAAUUCAGAUUAGGGUAUCUUGCCUUCAUCCACAAACCAAGUCUAGACAAUAUUAAACUGAUAACUUGAUCAAUUGAAAUUAUUUUUUGCUUGAAGAUUUUCUCAUUUCGAGCCAGCCAAGUCUACCAUAGAAUUGCAUAAAGCAGUGUUUCCCUAAUAACUUUCUGGUUACUACUUGCAACAAGACUAUUCCAAGACAGCAAAAGAGAUAUGAUCGAACUUGGAAUAGACCAGCUAAUAUUCCAUUGAAGACAGCAUUUGUACCAGAUUUGACGUGCAAAAGAGCAGAGCUGAAAGAGAUUAUCAGUAGUUUCUGGUUCCUUGUAGAAUGAGCAUUUGUUCAUCACGCUAAACAUGCAUCUUCUUUUAUGAAGUAGAUCAAUGACAGGGAUACCGCCUUUUGGAGUCUUCCAGCAAAAAAUUUCUACUUUGGGUGGGGCGAUACCCUUCCAAAUGUAUUUUCAUAGGUUGAAUUAGAAACUCUUGAGGAGUUCAGAACUUCUCUGAAAGAUUUGGUGCUGAAACACCAUUUGCUAUGUGCUGCCAUAUGAUCCUAUCGUAAGCUGUGGGGCAGAGAGUUUCAGAGUUAAACAGGUUCAUUAGCUUGAUCCAUGAUUCCAGUUCCCAAUUGAACAGGUUUCUACGUAGCUGAAUUCUCCAACUCCAGUUUGAAUCGAUCCAAUUUCCAAAUUCUUGUAAUUGGGCCCUCUUUGUUGAUAGCAAGAGAAUAAAUCCUUGGAAAUUCAAUUUUUAAAAUGUAUCCCUCAAUGCACUUGCCAUGCCAAAAACGGAUUCUAUCUCCGUUACUUGCACAAAAGAGCAAAUUAGAAUUUAUAAAGUUAAAUUUUAAAAUUUAAAAUUUAAAAUCUACAUUUCACUUUUAUUAAUUAUUUUGACAUUCUUUUAUUAUUUAAUAUAAAGGAAGUCACAAUUUAUGAAUAAUAAAAUUAAAAUAUAGAUUUUAAAAUUUAAAUUUUUUAAAAAAUUAUAUGAGUCAAUUAAGUUAAAUAUCAAAUUAAACAUUAUUAUAUUUUUGUAAACUAACGACAUUUUUGAAUAUGAAAGUAGACUUUAUAGUUAAACUAUUAGUAAGUUUAAUUUUUUAAUAUCACUUUAAUUAGUAAAUUAUAUUUAAUUCAAGUAUUAAAAUACUUAGACAUAGUUUGAUUGCAAAUUUAAUUGAAUUUAUUUUUUUUCCAUAUCCUAUAUUUGUAUGAUAUACUUAUAAUUUUGUGCUAAUUACUUAUAAGAAAUCAAGUUGAACUAAAACUCAAUCUAACUUAAAGUAAAUUUUUUUUACUUCAAGUUGAACUCAAAUUUCGUAUCACAAACUCUUUGACUCAAUUAUAUCUCAAACUAAACUAGUAAUCAAUGUACUUGUAUGUACUUCAUAGUGUUCAUGCUAAUAGAAAGUUUGAUAAAAGUGAUAUAAGACUAAUUUAUCAAUUAUCCACCUGGCAAUUCCUAUGUUCAUAUCAUCUAAAAUACUUCGUGUAUUAGUAUUGUCUUUUGUACAAAAAUUAGAUAUUACAUUUCACAUCAACAUGAAAAAAACAAAAAAAUAUUUUUUUUAAGUUUUUGUUAAACCCAUAUAUGAAUUUUAUUAAAAUUUUAACUUAUGUUAUUUUCAUGACUUUUUUUAUUAUUUUUGUAUUGUAUUAGUAUAUCGUAUUUUAAAUUAUCAAAUCUAUCUAAUAUCUUAAAAGAUUUGAGUUGUAAUACCUUCAAUUGUUAUAAGGUAUAUUCUUCACAAUUAAUUAUCAAUAAUCGUAAUUUCAUAUUAAAUUAUUUAAUUUAAUAAUAAAUAUUAUAAUAUUACAGGAUAAAUGGAUAAAACAUUUGACUAACUAUUUGUGAAUAUGUUUGAAUUAUAUUUGUUUAUUAAUUUUAACAAACAAUCAUAAAUAAUAUUUUAACACUUUUUAAUUAAAUGAACGUAUCACAAACAUAACAAAAUUUGUUCAUAUUCGAUUCAUUUGUAAAAACUAAUAUAAUGUUCUACAAACAAUUCAAUGAACAUGCUCGAGUUUUCUUCAUUUAUUAAGUUUAACAAAUGAUUAUGAAGAAUAUUUCAUAGUUCAUUAAUUACAUUGCCAGAAAAUAUGCUUAUUACCAAUAGAAUUUUAUCAAUGAAUUUUUUUAUCAGUAAUUACAAAUAGAAUACCGAUGAAUUAUCAAUGAAAUUGAAAAAUGAAACUAUCAAUUUAUUAUCAUUGAAAUACUGAUGAAUUAUUAAUAGAAAAUAUAGACGUCGAUAAAUUUUUUUAUGUCUAUAAAGUUUUGACGUUGUACUUAUGAAUGAAAAAUUAUGUACAUAAUAAAGUAGACACAUUUUACUAAUGGAAUAUCAAGCUUUGAUAAAUAAUUUAGGUUGUGAUAACGUCUAGAUCUGUGGACCUAUCGCUAGACAUUGACUUAAGGAGUCGUCACUAAUUUUUUUUUAUUUAGGUGUGAUUGACCACCUAACUGAAUCUAUCUUUUUUUUAAAGAAAAAUCCUAAAUUCUUAGGUAUCCUUAAAAGGUAGAUUCAGUGUUUGUGAAACCAAGACUAGGUCUAGGAGUAUGGUUACGUGUGAAGAAGGUUAUAACACCCCCACAACGCCCAUCGAAAAAUGGUAGCAGCUUGAUUUUGUGUUAUCUGUUAAGCUUUAAAAACCUUACCAAGUAAUUAAUUAUUAGAAAUUAUUCUUAAUUGACUCUAAUACUUUUGGUAGAAAAUUAAGAAAAUUCUCUCACCUCAAGAGUAUACAAGGAAACUACUGUUUCUCCUAUAAAGGCUUCAUCGUCAGAUUAUUUGACAUUAAAAAAAUUUCCAAAAAAGGAAAAAAAAAAGGAAUAAUGCUUCAACUUUUGAUAGAGAUCUUUUUUUUUUAUUAUGUCGUUUUUUAAGAAAAAAAACUCAUGCUUUUAUACAAGAAAAAUUGAUACUUUCAACUUUUUCUCAAAAAUACCCCUUUUUGAAAUUUUUAUUUUCAAGAAAAGUUGAUACUUUCAACUUUUCCUUAAAAAUUCUUUUUUUUGAAAAUUUUAUUUUCAAGGAAAAUUGAUACUUUCAAUUUUUUCUCAAAAAUUUCCUUUUUAAAAUUUUUAUUUUCAAGAAAAAUUGAUACUUUCAACUUCUCCUCGAAAAUACCUUUUUGAAAUCUUUAUUUUUUAGGAAAAUUGAUACUUUUAAUUUUUCUUUAAACUAUAUUUUUUAAAUUUGAUCUUUAAGGAAAAUUGAUCCUUUAGCCUUCUUUUGAAAUUUUGGAAUUAUUUUUAUUUUUAGUAUCAUUUUUAGAAUAAAGAUUAUUCAAGAAAAAUAAAUAGCAAAGAAAAAAAUAUAAAUAAAUACCAAAGUUUGCAUAGAAAAAUAGCUCGACUUUACAUUCCGAAACAGCUCAAAAGCUGACCGAUUUGGUUGAAUGGCUCAAGAGAUGUGGUUACAGGCUCAGGAUGGGCUUAGAGACUUAGUGGCUUGGUUUUGGUUCGGUCAUAGCUUCACGGCUUAGAGUCAGGUUUUUGAAGCAGGUCAUUAUCGGGUUGAGUCUUCAAGUGCACUGGAGUGCAGAUCUUUUAAAAGAUCUAAUUUUUCUUUUAUUCCUAAACGAUGUCAUAUUUUUAAAGUAUAUAAGCCCUUUUUCUAGCUUUUUUGUCCAUUUUUUAGUUUGGUUUCUCUCUUUAUCCUUGAUUAUUCUCUCCCUCUUUCUUUACAACAUAUGAACAAUGGUCGAACAGUUCAAAGGGUUUUCAGACUUCGGUGCUAAUGUCAUCGUUCUGGAUUUUUGUGCCAAUGCCGCCGUCAACCAACCACCGUUAAGGCUCAAAUUUCACCUAAAAGCUUGUCUCGAUCUCCUUCUUUGCAUGAUCUAGUUGGUUCUUUUAGAAACCCACAAGAUUUGCAUAAAUCUAAAAUCCUAGUUACGGUCUCCUCUUCCUCCACCACUUCUUUUGUCGCCACUUAAAGGUAUGCUCUUUACAUUUCCUUUGGCUAUUUUCUCAACAAAUUUUAAGUCUUAAAAUUCCUAGGAAAGGGUUGAACCAAAACCCAUGAACACUAUUCUAUCUAUUUUUAUUUUUUUAUUUUUGGCUUCUGAUUCUAAUUUGUUUUUCUUGAAUUUGUGGUUUGAAUCUUUGUUGGAAUUUGUUUGCAGGCUCAACUAGAAUUGGUUGCCAAAGUUUGCUGUAUAGUUGUUGGAUUUCUGAGAUUAUGGCAUGGUCUUUGUUCACAGGCUAUCGGCUAACUUGACAAUAGGUUUCUUUGGAAUUCACUUGCUAAAAUCUGGGUUGAAUUUUGUUGUUGCUGUUUGGUUUUUUGGGGUUUUGCCUAGUAUUGGCCUUGGGGUAUGAGUUGUAGGUUUAGGCUUUUAAUGAUCAAGCUGCUGGUGACAAUGGCAUUGGCACUGAUGGAGAGUUGUGUUUUACGAUAGAGCUAUGGUGGUUUGGCAAAAAUGGUAAAAUAGUAGUGUGUUUAUGUGUAGAUUGUGUUGGUGGGAUUUUGGUGGUGGGGUGAUGCUAUUUCCUGGCAAUGGUGAUGAGAGAAGGUGGAUUUUUGGUCAAAUGACUUUUUCUGUGUAGUUGUGAAGCUUUCUGGGUUUGUGGUUAUUAUGUUGUUUGUGGUUUUCAUGACUAUGUAAGGAUUGGUUAUGGAUGAAGAUAGUGGUUCUAGUAGCAAUGGUGGGAGUUUGGCUUAAGUGGAAAUGGUAGUGUAAUAUGAAGUCUGAUUUUCAAUUUGGCAAUGGCAUCAUAUGGGGCUAUGGUUGGUGAUGGCAAUGGCAGAUAAGGGUGAUGUUGGGCUAACUUAUUGCUGGAGUGGAGGAAAUGGGUGAAGAUUGAGGUCUUUUUAUGAUUCUUUCUUUGUUUGUUUUCUACCCCCCUAUGUAGUGUAAUGGUUAUUGCUUAAAUAGGGACUCAGUCCCCAUAAAAUGGAAGAUCAAAAUGUUAUCCGGUUGAAUGAGAUUUUCCUUUAUUUCUUUUAAUUUCAAUUUUAAACUCAACCAGUUUAUCCUUUGAUUCUAAUUUAAAUUUAAACAUAAUUAUUUAUCUCUUGAGGUAAGGCAGACUAUUACAAAUAUUAUGGGCCUAAAGUUCAAAGCAAGCCCAGAACUCAAAUCCAAAGCCCAAUUUAAAUUAACCAUAGAUUUGAGGAUAACCCGGGAUAAAAUAAGGUGUUUAUAGUUGCCCUUCUUUACAAAGUUUCUAUGAAACAAAAAUUGCACAAAAAUGUAAACACCCAUCAUGAUCUUCAUUCAAGGAAGAAAACAUUUUGGUAUAGAUGGAACUGAGUCUGAAAAUGGAUUGAUCGAAAGAUGGAUUUGACAUAGGUUAAAAUCUAAAAUAAAAUGACUUGGAUCGAACUGAAAUUUAAAAUGAAUAAUUUGGACUAAGCUAAGUAAGGAUUUGACAGCAGUCAAAAUCUAAAACAAAAUUACCUGAACUGAAUAGAAGUUUGAAAAACAAAAUGAUUUAGACUGAUCCGAAGUUUGAAAUGAAUAACUUGGACUAAGAUAAAAAAGGAUUUGACAGAAGUCGAAAUCUAAAACAAAAUAACCUAGACUAAACCAAAGUCUGAAAUGAAUAACUUAGACUAAGCUGAAGAAAGAUUUGGAAAAAGUUGAAAUCCAAAACAAAAUGACUUGGAUUGAACCGAAAUUUGAAAUGAAUAACUUGGACUAAGCCGAAGAAGGAUUUAACAGAAGUCAAAAUCUAAAACAAAAUGACCUAGAUGGAAUCAAAGUCUGACUUUACAACAAUUACAAAAUUUCAAAGGUUCACAAUUUGAAGCAUUCAAAAAUUUCAUAAUUGAAAAUUCACAAUACAAGUUGAAACUAAGAUUCACAAUUUGAGUUCAAAAGAAAAUCACAAAUUAAAAAAUUCAAAGAUUUGCAAUUUAAAGAUUCACAAAGUUCAAAGAUUCGCAAGAAUUUCAAAUUUGUAAAAAUUGGAGAUUUACAAGAUUUUUAGAUUUGCAAGAAUUAGAUAUUCACAAAAUCUUCAUAUUCGCAAGAUUUAGAGUUUCACAAAAUUUGGAGAUUUGUAAGAUUUUCAUAUUUAUAAGAAUUAGAGAUUUACAAGACUUUUGGAUUUGUAAGAUUUGGAUUGAAAAUUCGCAAGAUUGGGAGAUUUGCAAAAAUUAUAAAUUUGCAAAAUCUUUAUAUUCGCAAGAAUUAGAGAUUCACAAAAAUUAGAGAUUCACAAUAUUUUUUAGUUCAAAAGAUUUGAAGAUUCCCAAAAUUCAAAGAAAAAGCUUAUAGAGACUCAUAACUAGAAUUUCAAAGGUUCUCAUUCAAAAAAAUUUUAGGAUUUCAUCCAAAAUUUCAAAGAUUCUAAUUCAAAAACUUUGGGGAUUCACAUAAAAAUUUUUUCAAUAUUCUCAUUUAAAACUUAAAGAUUCUCAUUUGAAAAUUAUUAGAGAUUAUGCCUGGAGGUCUUACAAAUCAUCCUCAACAUUGAAAAUGUUUCUUCAAAAGGUUUCACAACUUUAAAUUUUGAAAUGUUUUCCUUGUCAAAAAUCUCAUAAUGAAAAAUUUUCCUUAUUUAAGGUUUCAAAAAUUCAAAAUUCUCCUACCAAAGUUAAAAUUUGUAUGAUAAUGAUGCAAAUGCUUUCUCAAUGUUGCAAAUGCAACAACCCAUAUUCUCAUAAUAAUGUAGAUGCCAUACUCUAAACCAUGAUGCAAAUGCAAUGUAAUGAAAAUGUCACUAAAAUCAAUACCAUGACAUUCUAAAUGAUUGUGGUAAUAAAGUUAUCAAAACUCCACCAUUUCACAUUUCCUUUUUAACUUCCGAGCACUAGCAGUUUCAGAAUCAAUUUACCAAUUUCAUCAACUAAUCCAUGUUAUUUUCAGCAUUUGGUUACAACUCACAUAUUACUAUAUUCACCAUUUGGGUAUCACAUUUAACUUUUCAAAUAAUCUCCUUCACCUUUUUACAUUUUUUUCAUUUUCUUUUUGUCUCUAUCAUCAUAGAUUUCUUUUCAAAGGAAGGCAUAAAUCUUUUAUGAAUAUUAUCAUUCAUUCAUUAUCAUUUCAAUUCAUAGCAAACACAAUGCAAUCAUAUAUUUUCUCGAUUUAUUAUGGGGAAGCCAAAAUGAGUGAGGGUAAAGUGAAUUAAAAGAAAAGGGAAUCAAUACAAGAACAAGUCUAGUACAAAAAUAAAUAGAUUAAGGAACAACUUCAAAGUAUGUUACUAAAGCAAGUGUUUGAAUGGUAUAACAAUAUCCAAAUAAUGAAUAUUCAAAUAAUUUUUAACGUUAAUCCAUGAUUCUGUUUCAAAAACUCAUUCUAUUGACUUUCAAAAUCAUUUUGAGCUCACACUCUGCCCCAGUUUUAAAGGAUCUUCAGAUGACAUUGGCCUUUUAUAUAUUGAACCAUCCUUCUAGUUUUAGCUCAGAUUUUUUUUACCCAAAUUGCCUUUUCAAAUUUUUAAUUUGAGUUUUCUUUUUCCUCUUUUUUUAUUCUUUUUUCACUUUUUUAAUUUUUAAUUUUUUUGCUUUUUCCAUUGUUCACUUCAUCUAUUAUUAGUACCCCCUUAAAUAUCAAUAUCUAAAACAUAAGAACAUAGCACAAUUCCAUUGCUCCAUCACAAGCAUGCCUUAAUCCAACAUAUGAUCAUUCAAUUUGAGCAUUCAUGUUUGAUCAAAAUAGACUUUUAAAGAUUGUAAUGCAGGCUAUGGUAAGGGGUCAUUAAAAAAAUAGAUAAAAUAGGCUUAAGACAAGUGUUUAAAGGGUUCAAACCAAAGGAUCAUUUCCCAUCAUGUGAUGCAACUUGGCAUUUUGCCCCAUUCCACAUCAUUUCACUACGUUUUCCUUUUUCAUUCAUCUUAUUCCUCACAAAAGGAUUCUUACUAUUUUGCCCCAAAUCAUUUAUGGCAUUCAUUUUUCUUUUUUCUUGUUUUUUUUUUAUAUAUAAGGGGUUAUUCUUUCUUUUCACUCCCUAUCUUUGAAACCUUUUGUGAUCUUUUUUUUUUUUUUUCCAAGUAAGUUUUUUUUAAUAUUUACCAUCUGAUGUAGAGGGUGAUCUUUGGUUAGGAUUUUUUAGAAAAAAAAUCAUAACAAGCUCAAAAAGGGAUAACAAUGGGUGAUUUUAUUUUUAUGAAUGGUAAAAGAAAGAUGACUAUUUUUCAUCUUAAAUGUGAAUGCUUUAUUUGAAGACCAUAGUUUGAACAAAAACAAACUGAUUAGAUGCCUCCAAGACGUGCAUUUUUCAUGAAUGAUAUCUGCUUAUAAAUUACUUUUUGCUCAAAUAGUCUCCACAGAUCAAUAUAAAUGAGUUUGCAAAAUUAAAUCUCAGAAUUAUUGUUUAUCAUUGUCCAAACAUUCACCAUUUGGAAUUUGAGAAUGGGAAUACGAUGGGUAUGAGAAGUAACAAAAAAUAAUGAUUUGGAUGAAAGAGAAUAUGUAAUAAAAUGCAUCAACUUACCUUUUAUUAAAAUAAUAAAGAAUGAAAUUUUAUUGCAUAAAAGAAAAUCUUGGCAUUACUCUAAAAAAAAUCCAAGCAACUUUCAGCCAGUAUCAAUAUCUUUGUCCUUCCCUAAGAUUAUGUCCCCUGUGAGAUCAAGUGAAGGGUUUUUACUACCAUAUGAUUUUUCUGAUUCAUCGAAGCUUACCAAGCCUUUUCAGAUCAAACUUUGCACCUUAUGCUUAAAAGCAAGGCAAGUUUCUAUAGAAUGACCCACAUUCUCAUUAUGGUAAUCAUUUGUGGCAUCAGCAUUAUACCAUUGGGGAUAGGGUAACUUUAAUGGUUCUAGAAUAAUUAGAGAUACUAAGUUAUUUUUAGCUAAUUUUGAGAAUAACUUAAUGUAAGUUAUAGGGAUAGGAUUAAUGUGGGCCCUUUCUUAAUUAUUUCAAGAUCUCCUCAAACCACCCACUUGGGUAUUAGGCAUUGAAGCUGGUGUAGAAAUAAGACAAUGCCCAUAUGUAGGUGUUUGAAAAAUUAGUCAAAAAAUUGGAUGUGGAAUAGGAUGGUAAGAGACUAGUGCAACAUGAUUAAUGGCUGGAUAAUAGGUAGGAUAUACUGGUUGUGGGUAUAUGGUAUAACUUUUAAACUACUAUUCUUCAAAACUUAAUGCUUGAGCUUCACUUUCUUUUCUUUUGGACAUCUUACCCUUUUCUGUACUAGAGGUCUCUCAUUCUUUAAGCUCGCCAUUCUUAAUGGCAUUCUUUAUCAUUUCCCUAAAGAUCAUCAUAUCAAUAAAAUUUUUGGUGGCAUUCCCAAUCAUUUUCUCAUAAUAUAAAGCCUUUAAAGUAAAUAAAAUAGUCAUUUUUUUCAGUAAAAAGUGGUAGAACUUGAGUAGUUACAUCUUUCCACCUUUGUGCAUACUAUUUGAAGCUUUCAGAAGGUUUCUUUUCAAUACUUUGUAGAGAUAGAUGAUCUAAAGCUAAGUCUAUAAUGUGUCGGUAUUGGGCGAUGAAUGCCUUUGCCAAAUUGUUCCAACACUAGAUGCAGGUUUGGUCUAACUAGACAUACUACCUCCCGACUGAGCCAGUGAUACUAUCUUAAAACACAUGCAUCAGUAAUUUCUCAUCAUGAGCUUGGGCAGCCAUUUUGGGGCAAUACAUGGUAACAUGAGUUAUAGGGCAUUUUGUCCUAUCGUAUUUUUCAAAUUCAGGGACUUUAAAUUUUGGUAAGAUGACCACAUCUGGCACUAAGCAUAGUUUAGCUACAUCUAUAGAGUUAAAAUAAUACAUUCCUUCGAUAGCUUGUACUUUUUCUUCUAAAAGGUUCAUUUGUUGCACGCUCGGGUCUUCCAUCACCUUAGAAGUCUUCAUCUUCAAUCUCUCUUUCUCCUUAAGAUCAUCAAAAUCAGGAUCCUUAAUUGGAUCAUAUGCAUUUACCCUAAAGGUAGGGUUAGUGUAGCUAUGAAAUGACACUUUAGGAUAUGCCCUAGAAAAUGACAUCUAUGGGGCUUAUGCAUUUUGAGGAGAUUGGCCUUAAUUUGGGCCAAACCUUGAAGGGUGUAGAGGAUCCACAAUAUCUUAUUUUUCAUUUGAAUUUGGGGUCCCUUUUAUUGUUUUACCUUUAUCUAAUUUCUCUAGCAUCUCUAUCAUCUUUAUUAACUCCUAUUUUACCACUUAUUGAGCUUUUUCGAUCUUGUCCAUACAAGUGCUUUGUUCCUAUUCCAUUUGCCUUGCUCUCAAUUGAGUAUUAUAAGGGAGACGUGCAGGUUGGCUUGAAUUUAUCGACGGUUGAGCUAUCCUUAAACCUUUGAUUACCAUAAAUUAAGAUGCUUGCAUUGCUACAUGCUUAUGUCAUGGAAGAAGGACUAUAAUCUUACUAUGCAACCACCAAGAUUUCAAGUUAACACAUGUGAAAUGAAUGCAAAAAAUAUAUGCAACCUAAUGUUAUUUUGCUUUAAACGAAAGAAAAAUAGAUGAGAGGAAAAAAAUUUCCACUACCAUGCACUUUUACAUGAUUUCAUGCAACAUGACAUGUACAAAAGUUAAUUUCCACACAAGAAAAAUCAAUCAUUACAAAAAUGUAGCUUAACUGUUGGUUUUUUUCUACAAAAAGGGAAAGUAAGGCUCUAACUGGAGGUUGUGUUCCUUAUGGUCACUAUAUGUGGUUUAAGGUUGAUAGUCUAAAAGUUUUCAAAUUGUUCCUCACAUCCUUGUCCAUCACAAACUAGUAAGGUACUUCGAUCCUUGCCCAUUAUAGGCUACAAGUGGAAAUAGUUCAAUUUAAGUAGGAGUAUUUCACUAGCAACUGCGGAGACAUUAAAACCUCAUGAAAGCAUAGGUACUUUACUCCUUCCUAGAUAGAUGAGCUCGGAUAUAGAGCCCAUGUCAUGUACAUGCACAUAAAUGACAUAGUUAGCGAAAUAAAUAAAUAGAAUGAAUAAAUAAAUAAAAAAUCACAAAUUUAAUUUUAUUAGGCUUUUGGAUAACAUAAAUUCAUUUGCUGGCUUGACUCUCAGCUUGUCCCCAGUAGAGUCACUAAAUUGUCAUAACGUCUAGUUCUGUGGACCUUUCGCUAGAUAUUAACUUAAGGAAUUACCACCAAUCUUUUCUUAUUUAGGUGUGAUUGGUCACCUAACUAAAUCUAUCCCUUUUUAAAGAAAAAUCUUAAGUUUUACUUAUGUAUUCUUAAAAGGUAAAUUCAGUGUCUACAAAAUCAAAACUAUGUCUGAGAGUAGGAUUACAUGUGAAAAAGGUUAUAGCACCCCCACAACGCCCAUCAAAAGAUGUUACCAGCUCGAUUUUGUGUUAUACAUUAAGCCUUAAAAACCUUACCAAAUAAUUAAUUAUUAAAAAUUAUUCUUAAUUGACUAUAAUACUUUUGGCAAAAAAUUAAGAAAAUUCCCUCACCUCAAUAGUAUACAAUGAAACUAUUGUUUCUCCUGCAAAAGCUCCGUCGUCAGAUUAUUUGACAUUAAAAAAUUUUCAAGAAAGGAAAAGAAAAAAGGAAUAAUGCUUCAACUUUUGAUAGAGAUCUUUUUUUUUUUGUUAUGUUGUUUUAUAAGAAAAAAAAACCCAUGCCUUUAUAUAAGGAAAAUUGAUACUUUCAACUUUUUGUUAAAGCAUUUUGACACUUUUUAUUUUCAAGAAAAAUUUAUACUUUCAACUUUUACUCAAAAAUGCUUUUUUGAAAUUUUUAUUUUCAAGAAAAGUUGAUACUUUCAACUUUUUCUGAAAAAUGCUUUUUUUUUAUUUUAUUUUCAAGAAAAAUUGAUACUUUCAACUUUUUAUCAAAAAUACCCUUUUUUGAAAUUUUUAUUCUUAAGAAAAAUUGAUACUUUCAACAUCUCCUAGAAAAUACCUUUUUGGAAUCUUUAUUUUCAAAGAAAAUUGAUACUUUCAAUUUUUUCUUAAAGUAUAUUUUUUAAAUUUAAUCUUUCAGGAAAAUUGAUCCUUUAGCCUUUUUUUUGAAAAUUUGGAAUUAUUUUUAGUAUCAUUUUUAGAAUAAAGAUUGUUCAAGAAAAAUAAAUAGCAAAGUGAAAAAAAAAUACCAAAGUUUGCGUAGAAAAAUAGCUCGGCUCUACACUUCAAAAUAACUUAAAAGCUGAUUGACUCAGUUGAGUGGCUUAGGAGAUAUGGCUACAGGCUCAAGAUGCAGGUCACGGGCUAUGCUUUCUCUCAAUGAAGCAAUAAACCAUGUGGCAUUUGAAUCGAUGCUUCCACCCAAGUUAGCCAAGGAUAGUUCGAUAUCUGAAUAAGAAACCAAGAAGCCAUAAGUUAGUCUCAAGCAUACACAACGAUAUGUCGAGGCAAAAUAGGAGCACAAAAAGGUUAUCUCAACUUUUUCGUAUAUAAAAAAUAUAUAUUUUAUUAAUAUCAAAGAUAGUACAUCGAGUCUUCUCACCAUCAUUAAGCCAAAAGGGUAGUUCUAGAUGGGUGAUCUAGCACAUACCUUAACCAGUGAGGUAGUCCAACAAUAUACUUUGACUGCUCACCCCUCUUAAAAAUCAAGUGAAAUUUUAUAGCUAUCCUACUUAUAGCCAUUACAAUGCUUGAAAUAGGAACACUUUUCCUAGCAUAUGAGCUCUACUUCCCCUUUGGGCACCUUCUACCCCCAGGUUAUGGCCCUAUACAUGGGUACUUAUAACAACCCUAUGCCUUAGGGUCAUGACCCUAUAUAAGGUUGGCUCCUGACAUCUUCCCCUACCUAUUCUAGUCGAUAUCUUUGUUGACUUGUUGGCUUGGAAUUCUUUGAUCUUUCACUUGAAUGCUCAGAGGUCAUGAUCUCUUUCUCAGCUAGUUUCUUCUGGCCAUAAGCCUUCCCACUUCACUAAAUAUUUAAGAAUUAUUCUUUGAGAUACCCUGGAUACCCUGUGAGCUAAAAUCUUUUCAACUUGAUGUUCUGAUGGUGGUUUCUUGACGAUGGCAGCCUUGAAUGACUCUCUACCAUUUGCAUCUGUAAAAUUUGCAUGGAAAGAAUUUAAGUUGCUCACAUAGAACAUUGGAUGCGCCUUCAUCCAUUUUAGUGGGUUAAUUUUGAAAGAGGCAUUCCCCACCUUGAAAAGUAUCUUCAUUAGACCCUCAUAUUUACGGACCAACCUACGAUCUUGCUUAUUUAAGAAUCCGAUUUGUUAGGGCACUAGUCUGACAAGAAUAAGAUCACUAAUUUUGAAUUAUUGUACCUUCUAACCCUUAUCUACCCACUUCUUCAUAUGCUUCGAUGCUUUCUCCAAUUAUGCUCGUGCAAUUUUCAUAUUUUGUCUUCAUUCUUUGCUAAGGUUGAAUGCACGUGGAUUUUUCCCUCCAUAGGCUUAAGGGAUGUAUGUGGUAGUCUUGGUAGUUGUCUUGUGACCACUUUAAAUGGACUCUUGUUUAUGAAAGAACACUUGUUGGAAUUAAACCAAAGCUAAGCUACAUCCAACAAUAAAGGCUAAUUCUUUUAAUUAGCUUGAAUGAAGUAUCUCAAAUACUCCUCCAACAACCCAUUAAAUUGUUCAAUUUGACCAUCCAUUUACGGGUGAUAACUUAAAGAGAUGUUGAGUUGGGAUCCCAAGAUCUUGAAAAGUUCUCUCCAAAAUGACCUGGUGAAUCUCAGAUCCCUAUCACUAACAAUGUUUUGAAGAAGGCUCCAAUACUUAAUUACAUGUUUAAACAUUAAUCGGGCUGUGUUUUUCGUAAUGCAAUACUUUUAGGUGAGAAUGAAUGUGAUGUAUUUUGAGAAGCAGUCAAUCACCAUCAAAAUAGACCCAAAUUUGCCAACUUUGGGAAAACCCGAUAUGAAUUCUAGGGAGAUACUUUCCCGAGGCUAGUGGGCACAGGUAGUGGUUUUAGCAAGUCAGCUAAUUUUUUCAUUUUAACUUUAUUCUGUUGGCAAAUGGGACAAGUUUUAGUAUAGUCUAUUACAUCUUGCCACAUAUAAGGCCAAUAAUAGCCUUGUUUCAGUAGAGCCAAAGUACGUUGCCAACUAAGAUGACUUGUCUAUGGUGUGUCAUGGCAUACUUUAUUAGCAUCUAUCUCAAACCUCCUAUUUUUGGCACGAACAAUUAAGGACAUAAGACCCCAUUUUCUUGCCAAAAAUAUUUGGACUUUUCUUCUUCUACUACUUCAAGAUGGUACUGGCUUGCAGAUCUUUCCUCAGAUUAUCUUUAAUUUGCUUGCAAACAUCUAUUGUGACUUUACUAGCCUUCAUUAGCUAUUCUCUUAAGGGCAGCCAACUUGGUUAGUCUACUUAAUGCAUUUGCCACUUAAUUGGUUUUUUUAGCUGUGUGCUCAAAACAAAAUUUAAAUUCGGCUAAAAAUUCUUACCAUCUAGCUUGUUUAGCCUGUGAGCCUUGACUAGGUAAGAAAAAUGACUACUAUCGCAUUGGUCUGUCUUCAAGCAAAUUGGUGACCCUAACAAUAUUAGUGUCGCCAUUGCUCUUACGACAAUUGAAUUACUACUCAAAGUUCCUUCUCUUGAGUCGUAUAUCUAUUUUUAACUUCUUUGAACUUUUGAAUAUCAAAAGCUAUUGAGUGCCAUUCUUGUAGAAGUACUCCCCCAAUAGCAAAAUUAGAUGCAUCUAUUUGAACUUCAAAAGGCUUUGCAAUGUCAAAAAGAGCCAAAAUAAGGUCUUUCAUCAUAGCUUCCUUCAAUCUUUCAAAAGCCUCUUGACAUUCACAUGUCCAACACCAUUUAUGCUCAUUUUUCAAUAACUCUGUGAGGGCUGUGAUUCUGUGAGAGUACCUUUCCACAAAUCUCCUAUAGUAAUUGGCUAAUCCCAAAAAUGAGUGAAGUUCACUGACAUUCAUUAGUGUUGCCCACUUUUUGAUAACCUUAACUUUUUUCAUGUUCAUUCGAAUGUUGUCUUGUUCAAUAAUAUGGGCUAAAAAGUGGAUUUAUGUCAAAAAAAUACACAUUUCUUUCUUUUAAUAUACACUUAGUGGUCUUGUAAUAUUUGAAACACAAGACGUAGGUGCUCUUAGUGCUCUUUCAAGGUAGAACUAUAAACCACUACAUCAUCUAAAUAAAUGACCACAAACUUGUCAAAGUAGUCAUGGAACACCUGAUUCAUCAAGGUACAAAAUGUGGUAGGGGCUUAGUCAAUCCAAAAGGUAUAACAAGAAAUUCAAAUGCACCAUACCACGUUACAUAAGUGGUCUUUAGCUCAUCUCCUUCAGCAAUUCUGACCUGAUGAUAACUAGAUCUUAAGUCUAAUUUGAAGAAAUACUUGGCCUAGUUUAGUUAAUCAAAUAAAUUCGUAAUAAGUGGGAUGGGAUUUUUUUCUUCACAGUGACUUUGUUCAAGGCCCUAUAGUCUACAUACAACUAUAAACUCAUAUCAUGUUUUCUUUGAAAUAGUACAAGUGCUCCAAAUGAUGCUUUUGAUGGUCUAAUGAACCCAACUUAUAAAAGCUCAUCUAAUUGUUUUCUUAAUUCAACCAACUCAAGUGGAGCCAUGUGAUAAGGAGCUUUAACUAGUGGUUUGACUCCUGAAAGAAGCUCAAUUUCAUAGUCCACUGAUCUUCGAGGAGGUAAGACUUUGGGCAAUUACUUCGGCAUCAUACUCUCAAAUUUUUCCAAUAAUUUUUUCACCUUAUCAGGUACCUCUUCCAACUCAAUCCCUUCUUUGUAGAUUGGCAUAGCCACAUAAGAGGGCUCCCCUUUCUUUACCUCUUUCUUGAAUUGUAAGGCUGAAAUCAUUUUUUUUCCAUUCUUAGGAAGGAUCGUGGUUGGUACAACACAUAAGCAUUCUUCCAAGAACAAUAGACAAUUAGCAGCAAGAUUGGGAUCGCCUGAACCAACAUCACGAAGUGCAAUCCUAAAACAACAUUAAAGCCAUCCAUCAGGAGAGAGAUCAAUGAAGGUCUACAUUUCCUUUCUAUGCCUCACUGUGUCUAUUCACACUCUUGGAGUUUUCCACUUGAUCGUAAUAGGGCUGGUGAUUUAACCGCUUUCAUUUAUCCACAGUCCUUAUUAACCUUGAUACCACACCUUUUUACUUCUUCUGGUGUGAUAAAGGUAUCGGUUGCCCCCAUAUCUACCAUGGCCUUUAUGUUUUUCCCAUUUACUAUAAGAUCCACAUACAUCAGACCUCUCCUAAGUUCUUUCUUUAUUAUGUUUAGUUGGGUAGAAAGGGCAUUAAGGAAUCAUAUUGAACCCAUCUUGGUUGGUUUCUCUGCAACUUCUUCGAUUAUCUCGAUCACUUUAAUGGACUCUUGAGAUGAAACUUUCAAAGCAUUAAGGCCACUUUUAUGUGGGCAUUCAAUCACAUGAUGCAGCCCUUGGCAUAGAAAGCAAGCUAGCAGUUGCCUUGAUUUGAAAACUGAUGUAUUGUUUGCCUUGGGUUGGGUAUUGUCUUGACCAAAAAGCCUCCUAUCUAAUCUUCCACCAAAAGGUCGAUCCACUCUAGCCAUUUUUCUCUCAUUCUCAAAGUUGGAGUUACUGUCACCUGAUAAAGGAUUCUUUUAUUUUAAAGGGCCAUCAUCAAAAUCGUGAAGACGUUCGGUAGCAACCAUGGUUGUGGCCAUAUUUUGCACCUUUUAUCUUUGUAAUUUUACCUUGGCCCAAGGUUUGAAGCCGUCAAAAAAAUAGAACAUUUUAUCCUUUCUAGAUAUAUCUCUAAUAUCCAACAUCAAUGUAAAAAAGCUCUUCACAAACUCCCAUACUAUUCCCAUUUGCACCAAUUCUCGAAGCCUCUUUCAGGCUAUAAACUCCACAUUCUCAAGGAAGAAUUGGUUCUUUAACUCUUGUUUAAGAUCUACCCAAGUUUUUAAUAGGGUAUUCAUCAUUUACAAAUUUUUAUUGCCAACACAACUUGGCAUCAUCUCUAAACUACAUUAAAUCCAUUGCAACCUUAUUCUCUUCUAAUUCUAUGUGCACAGCUUGAAAACAUUGUUCCAUAUCAAACAAGAAAUUCUCAAGCUCUUUGGCAUCUCUUGCCCCCUUAUACCAUCUAGGCUCUGGCACCUUGGCCUUUUUCUUUUUUUCCAUCGAGCUUGAAUCCAACAUGACCACAACCAUUUGCAAAAUGCUCACUUGGGCCUUGAGCUCCUCAAACUCUCUUUGAAGGACAUUCAAAGCAUCUCUAGUCUCUUUUCUUAAGUUAUAUAGAGUAUCGAACAACUUCUAUUGGGUUGUCUCAAUCUCCUUCAAUCAAUCAUUAGUUACCACAUAAGCUUUUAAGGCAGCCACUGCAGCCUCAAGCUCCUCAAUCUUUUGUUGUUCACUAAAUCCACCACUCAUUACCAUUUUAUCAAUUCUCUAACACUUUUUAAUCGUGCUUUGAUACCACGUGUCAUAGGCUAUGCUUUAUCUCAAUGAAGCAGUAGACCGUGCAGCACUUGAAUGAACGCUUGCACCCAAUUCAGCUAAGGAUAGUUUGAUAUCUGAAUAAGAAACCAAGAAGCCUUAAGUCAGUUUCAAGCAUAUACAAUGAUAUGUUAAGGCAAAAUAGGAGCACGCCAAGGUGACCUCGACUUUUUCAUAUAUAAAAAAAAUAUAUAUUAUUAAUAUCAAGGAUAAUACUCGAGUCUUCCCACCAUCAUUGGGCCAAAAGGGUAACCCUAGAUAGGUGAUCUAGCACAUACUUUAACUAGUGAAUAGCCCAACAAUAUGUUGAUAGCUCAUCCUCUCUAAAGAGCAAGUGAGAUUUUAUAGCUAUCUUACUUAUAGCCAUUACAAUGCUUGAAAUUGAGACAUUUUUCCUAUCAUAUGAGAUCUAUCCUCCCUUUUGGCACCUCUACCCGGUCAUGGCCUUAUACAUGGGCGGCCCAUGACAACUUAUGCCUAGUCAUCACCCUAUACAAGGUUAGCUCAUGACAAUGGGCUUAGAGGCUCAUUGGCUUAGCUUCGGUUCAAACAUGGCUUCACGGUUCAGAGUCAAGUUUGUGAAGUGGGUUACUCCCGGGUCAAGUCUUUAAGUAGACUAGAGUGCAUAUCUUUUAAAGGAUCCGAAUUCUUUUUUUAUUCCUAAAUGACAUCGUAUUUUUAAAGUAUACAAGCCCUUUUUCCAACUUUUUCUUCCAUUUUUCGAUUUGGUUUCUCUCUUUAUCCGUAAUUAUUCUCUCCCUCUCUUUCUACAACAUAUGAACAAUGGCCGAAAAGUUCCAAAGGUUUUCAAACUUUGGUGUCGACGCCAUCAUUCUAGAUUUUUGUGCUGACAUCACCGUCAACCAACCACUGUUAAGGCUCAAAUUUCACCCAAAAGCUUGUCUCGAUCUUCUCCUUCAUAUGAUCUAGUUGGUUCCUUUAAAAACUCAUAAGAUUUGCAUAGAUAUGAAAUCUCAAUCGCGAUCUUCUUUUCCUCCACCACUUCAUUCGUUGCCACUUUAAGGUAUGCUCUUUACAUUUUUUUUGGCUAUUUUCUCAGCAAAUUUUGAAUCCUAAAAUUCCUAGGAAAGGGUUAAACCAAAACCCAUGGAAACUCUUCUCUCCAUUUUUUUUUCUUUUUUGGCUUCUGAUUCUAAUUUAUUUUUCUUGAAUUUAUGGUUGAAUCUUUGUUGGAAUUUGUUUGCACGCUUAGCCAAAAUUGGUUGCCAAAGUUUGCUGUAUAGUUGUUGGAUUUCUAGGAUUGUGGUAUAGUCUUUUGUUUGCAGGUUGUCAGCUAACUUGACAACAGGUUUUUUUGUAAUUCGCUUGUUAAAAUCUGGGCCUAAUUUUGUUGUUGCUGUCUGGUUUUUUAAGGUUCUGCCUAGUAUUGGCCUUGGGGUCUGGAUUGUAGGUUUAGGCUAUUGAUGAUCGAGCUACUGGUGACAGUAGCACUGUUACUGAUGGAGAGUUAUGUUUGACGAUAGAGUUGUGGUGGUUUGGCAAAAAUGGUAAAAUGGUAGUAUGUUUAUGUGUAGAUUGUGUUUGUGGGAUUCUGGUGGUGGGGUGAUGCUAUUUUUCGGCAAUGGUGAUGAGAGAAGGUGGAUUUUUGGUCCGAUGGCUUUUUUUGUGUAAUUGUGAAACUUUUUGGGUUUGUGGUUAUUGUGUUGCUUGUGGUUUUGAUGACUAUGUGAAGAUUGGUUAUGGAUGAUGAUAGUGGUUUUGGCAACAAUGGUGGGAGUUUGGCUUAAGUGAAAAUGGUAGUGUAAUAUGAUGCCUGGUUUUCAAUUUGGCAAUGGCAUCAUGUCACGGGCAAGACUUAAGCUCUGAACCCGCGUGGCUCCGGGACCCGAGCAUUCACUCAUCCGGUAUCCCAGAUCAGCCUGACCGCCACGGUUUACACCCUUGUGAGGUAUUAUCCGCUCUGGCUCCCCUGGCCUCACGAUUUUAUCCUACAAAAGGCGCCUCACAAGACGGAGGUAGUGUGAACCCUUAUAUACCCCAGUGACCCUCCUAUUAUGUUCGAUGUGGGAUUCAGGACUCAUCCUUAGGUCCGUAACAUUCUCCCGCACCCAACCUCGUGACGCCCUCGUCACGGAGGUUGGCCACCCUGCCUACCUCCCUUGAGAUGCUUGGAGUGGAUCAAACGGUUUAGGGCUGGCUCUGAUACCACUUGUCACGGGUUGAGACUUAAGCUCCGAACCCGUGGGGCUCCGGGACCCAGGCAUUCAAUCAUCCGACAUCCCAGAUCAGCCUGACUACCAUGGUUCACACCCUUGUGAGGUAUUGUCCGCUCUGGCCCCCCUCGCCUCACAAUUUUGUCUUACAAAAGGCGCCUCGCAAGACGGAGGUGGUGUGAACCCUUAUAUAUCCCAGUGACCCUCCUAUUAUGUUCGAUGUGGGAUUCAAGACUCAUCCUUAGGUCCGUGACAAUCACAUGGGGCUAUAACUAGUGAUGGCAAUGGCAGAGAAGGGUAAUGUUGGGCUAAGCACUACUGGAGUGGAGGAAAUAGGUAAAGAUCGAGGUCUUUCUAUGACUCUUUCUCUGUUUGUUUUCUACCCUCUUAUGCAAUGUAAUGGUUGUUGCUUAAAUAGGGACUUUGUCCCCAUAAAACGCAAGAUCAAAAUGUUAUUCGAUUGGAUGAGAGUUUCCUUUAUCUAUUUUAAUUUCAAUUUUAAACUCAACCAAUUUAUCCUCUGAUUCUGAUUCAAAUUCAAACAUAAUCAUUUAUCUCCUGAAGUAAGGCAGACAAUUACAAAUAUUCUUGGUCUAAAGUCCAAAACAAGCCUAAAACUCAAAUCCAAAGCCCAAUUUGAAUUAACCCGAGAUUCGAGGAAACCCGAGAUGAAAUACGGUGUCUACAUAAAUAAAAAAAUUAUAUAUAAAAAAUUUUUAAAUUAAUAAUAAAAUUUUUUAUUUUAAAUUUUUUAAAUCGAUAUUUGAAAUACCGACAAAGAUUUUGUCGGUAUUCCGUUAGUAAUUUUCAUUUAGGAAUAAAAUCCCUAUCUCUUCUCUUAAACAUUUAGGAACAAAAUUUUCCCGCCCCCUCCACUAGACCGUCAUCCUUCUUCUCUAUCCUCAAUUCCUCCGUCGACGGCCUUUCUCCUCAACCGUUCACUGCUACAACAUCAUUUGUGACUGUUAACAUCUCAAAAACCAGUAAUUGAGGAAGCUUCAGGUGAAACUAUAUAUUUUCAAACUGAUGCUCCUUUUAAUCUUUUUUAGAGUGCCACAAGCACUAAAGGAGAAGAAAUGAGAUGAAUAAGUGAUCGGAGAUGGGCAUAAUAGGUUAACAGCUGUGGCUUACUUGGCUCAUGGCAGCUUGUCUAUUGCCGAGCUCAAGCAAUACCUGUCCAUAGAAGCUUUAGGUGAAAUUUUUUAUUUUUUGUUUUUAUUUUUUAAUUUUUGUUAAUCAUAUGAGUUUUUGUAUGGCAUUUAAAUUGAAAAAAGAAAGAAUUAAAGAGACAUGUUUGAAUUUGUCGAAGCUAACAACAAAGACGUUUACUGAUUGAUUGAACAAUUUAAAGAAAAGUAAAAUUUCAAGGAAAAUGAAACCUUUAAUUUCUUUGAUACUAUGUGUGAUGAAUCAGGCUCUCUUUAGAAUGUCCACCAUGUCUCAAAUUUGUAUUUUACUUUUACAGUCUCUUUCCAAUUUUUAACAAAUCAGACAGAACUUUGAUGUUUUUUCUAGGUUUUGAUGUAAAGGUAAAGUUGAAAUUCAUUUUAGCUUUUUAAAUUUUCCAUCAAGUAUAUUUUCUAUACAAUUUUAAACUUUGAUUUGUGAUGAACUAGAGCCAGUUAGAAAGUCGAUUCAAUUUGUUGAAACACCAAAUCAUCUGAUUUGAGAUAUAUUCUAGUACAAAGGAAGUGAAAAUGCUUGCUUAUUAUAAGCCAAUAAAUAACAUAUUUAAAUUUAUUAUGUUCUUAUUGAGGUUUGUUUGUAAUAAAUGAGUUCAGAAUCUUUUGUUCUAUUUCUAAUUAAGGUCAAUGCUAUUUGAAUUAAUAUUAUUUAACAUCAUUUAGUGUUAGCAAUAAGCUAUUUUGCAAUUUUAUGCACCAUUAUCAAAUGUGAGUUGGUGUUUUUGUUGUCUAUGCUUUUUAUUGAAUUUAACUUUUAUUUCUAGUACUUAACUAAUUCAUCUAUUGGUUCUUUGUCUUCACUUGUCUUGCAAUUCAUCUAUUAACUAAUGGCUUCUAAGGGACCAAGCUCCAAGCUUAAGCAUAAGACGAGCUACGUGUCAAAAGGUAAUAGCGUUUGAGAUUUUUAUAGCUCUCUUUUAUGGUCUCUUAUAUUGUUAUUAUUGUUGUUAAUGUUAUCAUGCAUGAACAUACAUGCACAUGCUUAACUGUAAAGAAGUUUAAAGAUGAAAUCUUUGUGGAGGCUUAAUGUUUUUAAGAGUGAAUUUGUAUUGAGUAUUUGCUUAAUUGUCAUGAACUUUUUGUUGUACCUUAGUUUCUAAAUUGCUUUUGGCUAGAAGCAAUUAGUUGUUAUAUUCUAAUACAAGUGAGGUUUUCUUUUGACUUGUGCUUUUUAAGUUCCAUUAACAAUUAAGGUUUGAAUCCAUCUCCUAAUUGUAAAUAAAAAUCAGUUUUAUAAAUAUUCUUCAAGAAUACCUACUUACACAUAAAUGAAUGUGAAAAGAAGAAUUCCAUAUCUUAAACACUCGGUGAUGUGUGACAAUUUGCUUGGCAUUAGUGCUAACAUAGUGCUUGUCCAAGAUAAAUUUUAGAAAAUUAGUGCAAAUUCCGCUUGGCAUCAUUUUAUUUUGUUUCCAAGACUAUCAUUUAUCUCGGCCUUUUGUUUGCUUAAUAAGGUUUUGCAAUAUAUCUUGUACGCAUCCAAAAUUAUGAAUUUUUUUUAGUUCAUUUCACGUGAUAUUAUUUUAAUAAAGCUUCCAAAUUUGUUAUGGAAAUAGAUUGCUUUAGUAAUUGAGCCAAGGAAAAGGAAACAAGUACCAUGUAUAGACAAGUUUAGGAGGUGUGGCCAACGGCCAAUGUCUAGUUCAAAUGCUUUGGUCGGAAUUUUGUGUGAUAAAUUUUUUAUUAGCUUGAUUUAGAAUUUUUAUGUUCUCUUGGUGAUGCGGCUAAAAAAUGUUAACUGUUUUGUUUUCUGAUACGGAAGUUAAUGAUUGAAUAUGAUGGAAGAGCCACAUUUAGAAGGUAGUCCUUAUAGUGAGCAUAGUGUGGUUGCCACUCCAACAAUUGCUUCAACUCCAACAAGUCCUUGUAAUCAAUCUUGUUCUACACUUAUUUUAGUCAGUUGUUGAUAUAUUUGCUUUAGUAACUAUAUGUAAGAACUUGAACCGGUUAGUAUUGGUUCUCGUAAACUGUAAGAAAAUGGUACUUAAGGAUUGUAAAAUAUUAUUAUACUCUUUUCUUUUAUAAGUGGAAAGGAUUGUUUUGUUUAUUUAUUUUUUCUAUUUAUUUAUAUUUUAAUAUUUAUGUAAUUAUUUUAAAAAUAAAUUUAAAAAAUAGAAUAAAAUGAGAAAAUUUAUAAACAACAUAUAUAUGAUUAAAAAGACAAGUAUUAUCGGUGGAAAUAUUAACUAUCAUUGAUUGAUUUUUUUUUUGUAAAAUUGAAAAAAAUUAUUAAAAUAAUAUAUCAAUUGAAAAUUUUGUCAAUAAAUAAAAAAAUUACCAGUAAAUUGCUGAUGAAAUUAUAUUGCUGAUUUCAUUUAUAGUAAUAAAAUUUUUUUGUCAGUAAUAUUAUCGAUGAAAAAUGAAGUAUUAUCGAUAAAAAUUUUCAUUGAUAAUAUGUUAUUUUUUGGUAAUGUUAAAUAAACAGAUCACAAAUAUUGAUAGUGUUAAAUAAAUAGAUCAUAAAUAUACAAACAGAUUAUAAAUAUAAUAAAAUUUAUUUAUAUUCUGUUUGUUUACAUCUUUAAUAAUAUAUUUAAAAAAUUAAGUUAAAAUUCUUUCCAAAUAAAAAAUUUUUGGAUGGGUUUAUGCACUCGAAAUUAUAUACUAGCUUAAUAAUCAAUCAGAUGAUUAACUUUACUCAACAAAUAAGUAGAAUAUCAAGGCCACACUGUCACGAUUCUCUUCAAUUAUCUCUAACAACUUAUUAGAUUCUAUUUAGAGUAUCUAUAAAUAUUAAGAGUACAUGAAAAAUGACAAGAUGUACCAGUAGAGUGGCAAGUUUUUCUUAAAUGUCAACAUCAAACUUACAAUUUCACAAUCUAUCUCAUUUUCUUAAAAAAGGGAGACAUUAUUUAUUAAUUAAAUAGUUAUUGGUAGCAUUAUUUUCUAAAGUCUGUCAGUCCAAUUUAAACAAGCUACAAAAUUAAUGAGGAUUAUUAUUGGAUCCUUGCAACAAACUUGAAAAGAGUAACAAAUAAAAAUGACAGAACAAAAACCAAACUUUAAUAAUAUAUUAAGCAUAUAAUUGAAAAUUAAUUGACAAUAAAUGAAGGAGAUCCAAUUUGAAUUUGAGACCAUAAAAAAUAUAAUAUUUAACAAAAAUGUUAUAACAUCAAUUUAACGGUGGAGAUCUUGAGAAGGUUAGAACGGGUGAUUGGAGAAAAAACUUUUAUAAAAAUAUUUUAUAUAUUAAAAAUUUUUUUUGAUGUACAACGAUAUAAAUUGCAAAAAUAGGACAAUUUAUUUUUUAGUGAAAAAACUUUUAAACUAAUAGAAAUUUUGAAAAUGUUUAAUCUUAUGUAAAAAACUAAAGUGUGAUCAAUCAAAUUAAAAUGAAGAAAAAAGGGUUGAAACUUAUAUUUAAAUUUUUAUAGGUUUAAAAAUGUGAUUGAUCAAAUAUAUACUGUGGAAAGUAAAAUUAAAGUUUGAUAAAUCAAAUUAAAAAAAAUCAAAUUUGAUUUAAAAAUUAAAUCAUCAAUGAUGAAUGAGAAUAUAAGAAUGCAUAUACUUGAUCGGAUGUCAAGACAGGAUCUUUUUAGCUAUCUUAUUUUGAUCCUUUGAUCUAAUUAAUUUCCCCUUUUCAUAAAUUAUUGCUUACAUUCCUCCUCAGUUUCUCAAACAAAUUAAAAGAGAGCAAAUUCUAAUUCCAACAACACCACUAAGCACACAACAUGAAAAAUUAUCUUCAAUAUAAUUAGGUAGAAGAAGGCAACAAGAGAGCUUAGCUCAGGCUAAUGAUUACGAAGAAAAGGCCACACAAAAAUUUUCAGUUUUAUUCUCUUUUAAAAUAAAAAUAAAACUUUAAAACAUAUGCUUUGGUUUUCUAAAUAAAUUUAAAAUUUUUUCAAAUUUUUAUAAAUUCAAAAUUUUUUUUAGUAAAAAUCAAAUUGUCCUAUUUAUUUUUCUAGAUUUAUAUUAUCCUAUGUGAAUUUUUUUAAAUAAAAUAUAAAUAUUUUCCAUAUCAACAACAUAGAACAAAAAAAAUAAAUUUUGGAUGAAAUAUUCUAUUUUAAUCCAUAGAUGAUUAAAAUUACAUAACAAUAUAAUAAAGUGAUAAAAUUACACCAAAAAAAGCAAUAUAUAUAUAUAUAUAUGGGAUUCUAAGUUUGACUUCUAAUAUCAAGAUUAAUUCUCCAUGAACUUAGUUGUUUUGAUUUAUUAGUAUUCGAGUAAGUAUUUAACUAAGUAAGGUCCGCCAUCUUUAAAUAAAGCAACCUUUAGAACAUCAACUAGGGAAACUUCGUUUUGACUAGCUGUUUUGAAAAAAAAAAAAUCUAAUUGAAUGAAAUUAAGAUGCAUGGAAUUCUUAUAGCAAUUCUUAUGCCAUAAAAUAACAUAUGAUUGUCUAAUGUCAAGAGGGAGGAAGAAAUGCUAUUCAACUGAAAUUCAGUAUUGAUGAAUUUUCAAGUGACUUCCUUACAGAAACACAAAGAUAAUAAAAAUGCAAGCAUUGCUGUUUUUACUUCAAAAUCUGUCUCACUCAAAUGAAUAUUAUGUCAUGUUCAUCGUCUCAUCCACAAUCAACUGCUUAAGCUUAAGCUUUUGGGAUAAUUGGUAACACAACUUCACAUAAACAAAGAUUAUUGGAAAAGUGUAGUUGGGAGCUAAUGAAAAUCACGACCAACUGCUAAAACGAAUGAAAAUCAAAAGUACCAAAUGAAAAUCCCGACCAACUGCUCAAUGAAUGGCGUUGUAGUUGACUGUAAAGUGUAAAUCCACCGCCUAAAAAUGACUGCAAAAGCAAAAUGAUAUCAAGUCUGCUAGUGGAAAGGACAACAAACUAUAAACUUUUAGCCAAUAAAAAAAGACAAAUAAACAGGAAUGCAGCCUUUAUGUACCCUCGUAGAAAUUUGCAUUCGAAUAUGAUUGCAAUAUUUGGCUGCAAGACUAUGAAGUUGGGAGAAAGGUUUGUGAAAUGCUGCAGCAAAUUAGCAACAGCUUCAUUCACUUGCAUCUUCUGAAACUGACAUUCAUUUCUUCAUCUCCCUCUGACAAAGGUGUGUUUUCAACUUCAUUGUCUAGACCUCCACCAUAUAUAUAUAUAACUACCAACUGGCCAUGUUGUUUGUUCAGCUUUAGUAGACUCUUCCAUUAUAUUUUCAUCAAUUGAUCGGAUUGCCUGCAAAACAAAUUAAAGCAUGGCAUGUGAAGAAAACGAAGGAUGUAUAAUUCAGUAAAUUGAAACAAAAACGCAACAAAGACCAUUGAAUGAACCCAAUAAGAAAGACUGCCGCCCCAUAGAACUCGGAAUUAACAUUACCAGCCAAUAACAUUUUCAAUUUCAUUAGCAAUUAAAACAAACAAAUGGAUGACAAAUUUCAAUUGAAAUCCAUAACAAGUUCCCUUGAACAGAACAGACAAGAUUAAUAUUGCAUAAUCAAUAAAGCUGAAAGAGGAAAUAAAAGCAUGAAAAAUGUGCAAAAGAUUAACCUAUCUGUUCAUAAGCUUAUCCAAGUCCAGCUAUACAAUGGCACGGUAGCUUUUGAUACUUUUAAAGUGAGAGUUUGGGUGCGUAGCGUACCUCUGUUUUGGCUUGCCCAGAUUCCUCCGAAUCAACACUAAAGCUUGUGGCUAUAUUGGGACAACCUCUCACAGAUAAAAAUUGCAAAGAUGGGAAUACGAAAUGAUAACCCACAGGGCUGAAGCUCACAAUGUUUGGUAGCUUUUCAAGAUCUAAGGUACCCAAUUGAGGUAGCUGUAUCACUUUCCCUUUUUCCUCACUACCAUUUGCCUCAUCUCCUGAUUGUUCAAAUACUUGUUCUAAUUUGGAGACGCUCUGAACAGUAAAGGAUUGCAGUUUUGGAAGGCCAUGAGCAACACUCACUGGAAAGAGACUUUUCAAGUUUUCGCAUGACUCAACGCGUAUUUGAGUCAGAUUAGGGAAACAUACAGGUUGGAGAUGAUGAUCUUGUGAUGAAGUUGAUCAUCCUUUUCAAUAAUUUGCUCCUGUUCAUCACACUUAUAUAUGUGUAAAAAGCUCAAUUGCGACAAAUUCCGAGCGAUAGUAGGUGAUAAAAUAUAUCUUAAUCUUCUGCAUCUAAAGGCAACCAAUUGAGUGACGUAUUGAAAGUUGACAACUUUGACGGGAUCUUUCCAUGCCACCCGCAAUUCAAGUAGAUCACGCAAACUUAGUUCCCUCAAACUUGAAAGAUUAUAUCCACUGUCAAAUAGCUCUUUAAAAUUAGUGAUGAUUAAAUAUUUUAUAUUCAGCUUUUCAUCCCAAUUCUGGAACUAUCAUUUUACGUGCUUCCUUUCUCUCAUAUCCCAAAAUUCUAACACCUAUAAUCAUAUCAUUUAAAAAGUAAAUUUAAUAUUUAGAAAAAACUAAAAAAUUUUAAAUAUUGAAAAUUUUUAGAAAUUUCUAAAUAUUAAAAUUAUAGCAUUUGAACUUGAACUUUUCUUCGGAAACCAAUUUAUCAAGAAAAAAAAUUCAAUCGACAACAUUAACACUAUAUUUAAUCGGUAGGAAGAAAAAUAAAGGGAGGAAAUAAGGGCAAGGAAUGCAAAAAUAAAUUAUAGAAAAGAAAAUUAAUUUUCUUUGUUAGUGUUUGGUACCAAAGAUAAAAAAAAAAAACUAGAAAAAAAGAAAAAGGAUUAGAAGAAAAUUUAUAAGAAAGGAUUUAUUUAAGUAAAAACGAAUGUUUUUCUCCCAAUUUAAAAGGAUUAAAUUUUAAUUUUUUUUUCUUUCCGCUCUCUUUCUAUUCUUCCACUCUUUCCACUCCCUCACCAGGUAUAGUUGUAAGAAAGAAAAAAAAAAAAGGCUUACCGCUAUUUUAGCCAAAAUGAUAAAACGAGUCAAUUGUGGACAAUUUCCCACUUUCAACACUUGUAAAGAUGGCAGUGUGGGUAUAAUGUCAUUUCCAUUCCUUCCUUUUAAUCGAGGCAAACCUACCAAUGUAACCACAUUCAGCUGUGGAAGACCUUUAGCCAUUGAGAUUGGAAAACUAUAUUCCAAUCGAGAGCAACUCCAAAUCUGAAGUUUUGUCAAAUUCUCCGAAGUUUGACCAUGGGACAAUGACGAAAGAGAUGUCAAGUUAUUGCAGCCAUUUACAUAUACUUCCCUUAGACUUUGGAGUCAGAUGUUUGACACUUGCGUUUUGGGAAUUAUAUCUUCCAAUUCCGAGCAGUCGAAUAUAUUCAGUGUUUCCAGUUGCCCAAGACUUUGAGCAACGGAAGUUGGGCAGAGAUAUCUCAAUUUAUUGCAGUUGUCGAUUGUUACAAACCUUCAAACUUUGUAAGUUUACAUGAUGACCGGGUCCUUGUUUCAUGCUCCUCAAUUCAGCAAUAUUUUGAAAUAUCACUUGCAUCUUAUCACAAUAUGCAACUUCCAACUGCUCAAGAUUUUGUCGAAUUGGCAUUCCACAUAUCAUGUCCUUGCAAUGAUCUAUCAUCAAGUUUUUCAAUUUUAGUAAAAACCCUUGCGGUUGAUGACCACUGCAUAGCUCUUGCAAACCACGCAUAUCUUUUAACGAUAAUUUUAACAAAUUAGAGAAUGCAAUGGUUAGCGCCUGCUGCUUUGUUGUAUGUAUCAAUGAGACAUUUCAUAUGUUCGCAACUCUCAAGACCCAGAGAAGUCAGGUUACUGAAUACCACUUGGCCCGACUCCAAGCUUGGAACAAGAUUUUGGCAACCCACCACAAUAUUCAGAUUAAGAUAUUCCGUAUCCCCAAAUAACUGUUUGCAUGCCUCAAUUACAGACCCUCAAUUUCUAAGGAUCCUGACAAUUGGUCGAUCUCAAAGUCCCUCUUCAUUACAUAUAACUUAGAAAAGCUAACGCAUACACAAAACCUUGGUAAUUUACGGAACAGAAAGUCUCGUGGAAGAUGUUUAGAAGAAACCUCUAAAGAUAAUACGGCCAAGUUUGACAAGGAAUUCAACUCCGAUAGGCUGGCAUAGCUUUCUUCUUGAACCGUGUUCUCAGUAGCCCAUUUUAUUCUUUCACAACCAUGUAAGUAUAGUUCUUCUGAUUGGGACAAUCUUCGUAUUAACUGAGGAGGGAUUCUCUGUAGUUGUUUACAAUAUGAUAAAUCCAACAAUUUAAGAUUAUCCAAAUCACCUAUUUCUUCUUGCAAUUCUUUGAUAUCAGAGCGACUAAAUGAAAGAACCUUCAACUUCCCAAGCAAUGAGAUGCCCAAGAGUUUGCAACCUUCCACAUGUAGAAUUCUAAGGUUUGUUUGAAACUAAAAUGCGUCUGGAGAUAUCAAUCUAGAAUGCAAAGCGCAAACUUUUAAAGCUUUCAUUCCUUCGAAGAAUUCACUUGAAGUUAUCAUGUUUCCAUCUCCACCAAUUUAAAGAAAUUUGAGAUUUGGGCCUGCUAGUCCUUUAGGAAGUUCAACGAUCUGACUAGUCUUGAAGGAGACUGCUUCGCAAGGCUCAAAACUUUCAUCCUUUGCCCACAUUUCAAUAACCUCAGAUUUUAUAACAAAAGAAAACUCCUUUCUGUAGAAUGCUAUCCACAAAGCAACAUCACUAACCAUGUCAUGCAUUUUAACAUGCCUUUCUCCACAAUUUAUCAACAAACAAGAAUCCUUGAGGAUAUCGAUCGCUGCAAGCACUUCGCUCCUCACUUCUUCAAUUGAGCCCAUACCUUCAUACAACUCUAGUCCCCAUGCAUAUCUCACCAACUCCUCUACAUAAAUCUUAUAAUCUUCAGGAAAUAAAGAGUACAAUAAGAAACACAUCUUGGUCGCCGUAUCCUUCAGAUAAUCAAAACUUACCUCAAGACAUAGGUAAGCAUUUUGUUGAUCAAUAUCUUCGAUGUCACCCAAUCUACGGUUUUUGAGUUUCCGAUGUGCUGCUUUCCACAUAUGAUGAUUUUUACCUUUUAGAGCACUUCCCAAUGCAACUAUAGCUAUGGGCAAACCCUCACACUUUUUGAUAACUUUAGUUGCUACAUGUUUAAUAGCGUCAUCAGAAGAGUUAUCUAGACCUGCUAUCGCCGCAAAUAAAGUCCAAGCUUCAUGGUCAUCUAAACAACCAAGUGGUAUUGUCUUUUGACAUCCCAUAGCAGUGCAUACUUGUUGACGACGUGUUGUUAAAAGAAUUUUGCAGCCUUUAUGAUCCUCAGCAAAUGGAAUUCCUAUCUCCUCCUUUAAGUCAAUUUUUGCCCAAACAUCAUGAAGGAUUAUUAGAAUCCUUUUCUCAUCCUGCAGUUUCAACCAGAAUUCUUGUCUUGAUCUUCUUCCUAGUUCAUUCUUCACAUCGAAAUCCAGGUAUUUUGCAAUUUCAUCUUGAAUUGUUUCAAAGUUUGGCUUCUGAGACACGUAGUAAUCACAACUUUGUCAAACAGAUUUAAUUUUUUGGCACGAGUUCCAACUUCCUGGACUAGGGUUGUCUUGCCCACCCCUUCCAUCCCCCACAAUCCUAUCACGCUGACAUUGUCAUCCUGUGGGCCUCAAUGAUCUGAUUAGAAGCUGUUUUUGAAGAUUUAGAGUCCAUAAAAUCCUUUGAAGAGUGGAAUUCUAUGGUCGGAACUGUACUAGGUGAACGGUAGCCCACUCGUCCAGGUUGACCAAAUUUGGUGGUGUUCUCAAGAAGCACAAAAAUAACAAAAGUGUUCUUCAUUGCUUUCUUACUUAAUCGAUACCGCCAACUCCAAUUAGGACACCAAUUGAAACAUCUCAUAUUUUGUUGGAUUUCAUUUUCCAGAGUUUCCAUAUCUGAUAGGAUUUUGUCUGUUUUUGAUAGCAAGUCUCUGACAUCAUCUUCGAUUCCUUGAAGUUGCCUUUCAGCAUCCUCAAUCUCAUGUUGCAGCGGAGCCCGUGCCAUUAUCAGUUCUUUUUUUGCUUGAGCUUUCUAACGUUGUGGCGAAAACGGCAAAUGUAAUUAAAUUGAUGUUCUACUGGCUUUGCCACCCAAUCCACGAGCAGUGUUCCCACGCAGUUAGAACGACCAGACUCGCAAAACCCAUAAGCCAUUGUUGAUAAGCUCAAGUUGAAGAAACUUCAGCCAAGCGUAAAAAUAUUGGUUAUGAGAUAAAUCAUGACGAUGAUACUAAAAAGAAAAUUAAAGAAUAAUGAAGGUGAACUCUCUAAACAUACCAAACAACGUGAAGAUACUCCAAAGUGUGAAAACCAACUUCUUUUUCUUCAGUUUUCUGCUAAGUAACACUUUCUAAGUACAUACAAAGCAAAGUAAAGACAAUUCAAAGAAUGAGAUCCAAAUAUCGUUUCUUCAGCACUCUGCCAAGCUGAAAACACGAGAUAAAAGACAAUAUUUUUAGGUAACUUUAAGAAAAUAUUACUCAGAAAAUAGGAAAUAAAAAAUUACUUUUGAUAUGAUAGACAACCAAAGAUCAUAUUGUAAUAAAAAAAAUUAAGCAACAAUUUUCAAAAUUAUUAAUUACAGGUUUGGUCAACCAAUUUGAGUUGAUUUUUUUUUGGACACCAAACUAUGAAAAGUAAUGAUUUAGUCACAAACAAUAAAAAGAUUUGUUUCUUUGAUCAUCCAACCAUUUAGGGUAAAAUGUUGGAUUCUGUUACCAUGAGAAUAUAACACCUACAAUUAUAUCAUCUACAAUAAUUAUAAUAUAAUUAACUAAUCAUAAGACAUAAUUGUGCGAGACACAUCAAAACUUUAUAUGAAGUAUGCACUUACUUAAGUGAUAGACCCUAUAUAAUUCUUUAUUUUGAACAUAUCACUUGUGAUUAUUGAAGUAUAAUUAACAUAUUUUGUAGAUUUCACAAAAAAGAAAAAAUGUAGAACCCACAUUUUUAAGGGGUGAACCCGUGUAUAAUUCUUUGUUACAAUUGACUAAUUAUAAGAUUGUAGUAAAGAAAAUUGUAGAUGAUUAGAGAUGGUAAUGGAGUAGAUAUCUAUUAUUUUUAAGUUAUUAGUAUUCGAAUCCAUUUAAAAUUUAUAAUAUUUGAAUUCAUUUAAAUAUUUGUUUUAAGUUUAAUAUCACUAUCCAAAUUCAAAUCUGUUUAAAUAACUACUAUAAGUUUAAAUAUCGAAAUCCAUCAAAAUAUCCACUUAUUUAAAUUUUUCAUCAAAAUAUAAAAUCAAUAAAAUUUAAAUUCACUCUUAAUUAAUAACAAAUAAAGAUUAUUGUUAAGGUUAUGAACCUUCUAGAAGAACAAAAUUUUAUAUAUUUUAUAUAUGUAAUCGAAUAACAAAUUCGGAUAUCUGUUAUUAUUCAUUAAAAGUUAAAUGAAUUUAGAUGUGGAUAUCCAAAAACUAUUAUCUGUAUCUUAUUUGAAUUUAUCACGAAUAAUAAAUUUUUAUCUGAAUCUAUUAAUUAUCUGCUUAUAAUUAUUCAAUUCUGACAUAAACAAAUUGGAUAAUAACAAUUUUCCAUUUAUUAACUAACUAUUGCCAUCCUUGUAGUCGAUACAUUUCCUCUUUAUUAUGACCAGAUAAUUGUAACAUCUUUAUUAUUAUCACAACUGGACUGAUAUUCCCAAAUGGCACUACCAUGUAAGCUCAAUCGCCAGAUGGUUAUGCCUAUGUGAUGUUAUUAAAAAAAAGUUUCUUAUCCAAAAAAAAAAAAUCAAUUUGUUUAAUUUUCCAACAUCUCUAGACUACCGUCUAGUUCAUUUAAUAGCACCGCCAUCGUCGGACCAUCCUCUGCCACCAUGGUACGCUGCUCGCCGGCAACGUUUUUCUUCCCAAAACUCAUCCAAAUCUUCUUCUUGGUCCUCACUUUCUUUAUAUCGGAUCAAAUUUUUGUAAAAACUCCUAGAAAGUCCUAAAUUUAAAACCAAACCCAAGACCGUAAAAGCUAGAUACGCCACCCUCAACCACUUAUCACCACCACCGGCACCGUUUCCUCUUUCCUGUACUCUCCUCCGGCUCUAUCCCGUCACAAUUAGAGAAGCUCCAAAAACCCAAGAUCAAAAGACGCUAGAACCAAAAACGGCUACCUGUACCCGUCUUUUUACAAGCAAAUUUAAAACCAAAAGACCUUUUUUUGUUUUUUUUUAAUAUUGACAAAAAAAAAAGAUAAAUGAAUAUUCCAAACUUACCACUUCUAUAUAGGAGUGAUAGAUCCGAAGCUUUCAAGAGAAAAUUUGCUUGAAAAAUAAAUCCAAUCUUUUUGAGAUCUGAUCUGCUUCACUGAAAAAUUGCAAAGUAGAUUAAAAAAAAUGUAAGAAACAAACUUUAUUUGUACGAAGAGAAAGCAAUGGAGAAGUUGUUGCAUUUACCUCAGCUGGUGCCUUCUAAAUCUGAGAGGAUUUAUUCAUAACGGAUCAUUGAUAUUUGAAGAUUGGUUUUUUUUUUUUUUCUCUCUCUUUUUUUUAAAAUAUUUUUAAAUGAAAAUAACAAACAAAGUGGAAACUAAAGAUAAAGAAAAUAUUGUAAAGUUACAAGGAAAGGAAUGUAGGACCAAAGAAAAUUCAACUUAAGUUUUUUUUUUUUUUUCCUCUUUUUGAGUUGAAGGAAAAGCCAACAGAGUAGAAAUCAACCUUAGAACGCUUGGCCAAAAAAAAAAAGAAAUCAAGCUCGCACUGAAAUGAUCAAAAAGCUUGAAAAUUGAAAAGAGAACGUUUACAUAUUUGCCUGGAAAAUUCGAACAAUAAUGCAAUGUAACAAUGAAUUAUUUAUAUGAUAAUUAAUGCAUGAUGGAAAAAUGAAUUGGAGCAUUAUGUGAUUGUAGAAAUAAUAAGAUAAAAAAUUUUGCCUACUUUUUGUGGGUUGCUGCUUUUAGGCUUUAUAUUUUUGUUUGGAUUUUGGACCUUUCUAGUUGAAGUUACAUUGAGAAAUUGCCAUGGACGAAAACAAAAUUUCUGGGUUUGUGCUUCACCUUAGGAUUGAAAAAAUGUAGGACAGUUCGAUAAUUAAAGUAGUACCUUAUGUUACAUGGAUUCUUUAUUUUUCCUUUAUGCAUAGCAUCCAGUAUUCAAAAUGUCAGACACUUUAAAUCUAUUAGUAUCUCUAUCAACUUUUGAAUUAUCUAAUUUUAUAAGUAGGAAGACUAAUUGAAAUAUUUAAAAUGCUCAAUGAAUCACAUAAUACUAAUUGUUAGUAAUUAAUUUGCAUUUGAUUUGAUAUAUUUUUUUCAUGGUAAUAACAAUUCUAAAAUUCUACAAAAAAAAUACAAAAGGUAAAUUAAUUAAAGAGGUCAAGCUAAACUAAGAAUGAUAUUAUUAAAAAUUAUUUCAAAUGACUAAAAAUAUUUAAUUAUUUUAUCAAAAAUAAAAUAAGUUUUAUCAAAAAAUAAUCAAAUGAUCAAUUCAUAAAACAUACAAAUAAUAAAUCAUUAACAUACAUGUAUAGAUAACAGAUCAAUUAAAACAAAAAAUUGAAAAGUAAAAAAUAGAAAAAAAAACAAAUAUGCUUCAAUAACUUAAUUCUGAUUAUUUUUAAUGAAUUUAUUUAUCAACAUAAAGUACAUACGCAAUUAUUAUUACAACAACAAAAAAACAAAUUUCAUAUAAUUGUCUUAUUGUUAUACACACUAAUAAAUUUUGAUCAUUUUUAUUUGUAUUUUUAUUUGAUAUGAAAAUCAUAUUUUGUGUCUCAAUGUGAGCCUAAUUAAAAAUUUCAUUUAAAUUAAAAUUUAUAAAAAAAUUUACUAAUAGUAUUUUAAUCAAUUACUUUUAACAUUUUUUGAAUUAAAAUUUUAUUCAGAACAUUUUAGUCAAUCACUUUUAAUUGAUGGCAAACAAAAUCACUUUUAACAUUUUUGAAUAAAAUUAUAAAAAAGUCUAAUAAUAAUAAAAAAGGAAAAUUCGUUAAAUUUAUAAAAAUUUACUAAAGGUAUCUUAACUAAUUACUUUUAACACCUUUGGAACUAAAAUUUUAAAUAAAUUAAUUUCACAAAGAGUCUAUUUUUAAUUUUAGUUUAUUUAAAUUAAACUUAAAUAAAUCAAUAAAAGUUAAAUAUAUUUAAAGAUAAUUUUUUUAAUUUAAAAUUUUAUUACAAUAUUUAGAUCAAUCGAUUUUUAACACUUUUGGGAAUUCAUACCUUUAAAUAUUAAAAAAUAAUUAUAUUUACCUAUAUUAAAAGGAAAAAUAAAUUCAUUGUCAAUAUUAUUAAUUAACUUCAAUUCCUAUAGUCUGUGUUAGUUAUAAACAUAUUACUAUAUGACUUAAAUGUCAUGUGUGAGUCUCCAAGUCUUUGGUUUAGUGGCUGAAGACAUUUGAGGGGACAUCAAGGUCCUGUUUCCAAUCAGGUCUCCCUCAUCCCCUUUGUCAUAACGUCUAGAUCCGGGGAUCUAUCGCUAGACAUUGACUUUUAGGAGUCGCCACCAAUCUUUUUUAUCUAGGUGCGAUUGACCACCUAAGGAAUCUGUCCUUUCAAGGAACACCUAAGUUUAAGGGUCCCUAAAAGAAUAGGUUCAGGUCUACUAACUAGAACAGGGUUCAAGAGUUCGGUUACGUGUGAGGAAGGUUAUAGCACCCUCACAACGCCCAUCAAAAAAUGGUACCAGCUAAAUUUGUGUUAUCUAAUGAGCCUUAAAAUUUUACCAAGUAAUUAAUUAUUGGAAAUUAUUCUCAAAUGACUCUAAUACUUUUAGCAAAAAAUUGAGAAAAUUCCCUCACCUCAAGAGUAUGCAAGAAAAACUACUAUUUCACUUGCAGAGGCUCCGUCGUCGGAUUAUUUAAAGAAAAAUCAAAAUCAAAUAAAAAGGAAGAAUGAUUGUUCUAGUGCAGGGAAAAUUGAUACUUUCAACUUUUCCCAAAAAAAUAUUCUUUUGAAACUUUAAUUUCGAGGAAAAUUGAUACUUUCAACUUUUCCUCAAAAAUUUAUUUUUUUGAAAAUUUAUUUUUAAGGAAAAUUGAUACUUUCAACUUUUUCCCAAAAAUAUUUUUUGGAAACUUUGAUUUUCAAGGAAAAUUGAUACUUUCAACUUUUCCUCAAAAAAAACUUUUUUUGAAAAUUUAUUUUUAAGGAAAAUUGAUACUUUCAACUUUUCCUCAAAAAUAUUUUUUGGAAACCUUAAUUUCGAGGAAAAUUGAUACUUUCAAUUUUCCUCAAAAACCUUUUUUAAAAAAUUUAUUUUUAAGGAAAAUUGAUACUUUCAACUUUUUCCCAAAAAUAUUUUUUGGAAACUUUGAUUUUCAAGGAAAAUUGAUACUUUCAACUUUUCCUCAAAAACCUUUUUUUGAAAUUUUAUUUUUAAGGAAAAUUGAUACUUUCAACUUUUCCUCAAAAAUAUUUCUUUUUGAAAAUUUUUAUUUUUUUGCAAAAAAUUAAAAUAAAAUAAAAUAAAAAUAAAAAUAAUACUCCUGAAAAUAACUAACACAAAAAAAAAUAAAUAAAUAAAAUACCAAAAAGAAAAAGAUUAUCUUGGCUUGAGGAAUUCGACGCGGCUCCACUAGAUUGUCCAUAGCCUUCACCAAUUUGACACGAUCUCCCCCAUUUUUCACGAAGGAAAUAAUGGCUUGAAGUGUUGCUGAACAUAACCAUAUACUCCCAUUUGGUUGCCAUACAUUUGUUGAGGAUACAUAGGAGCCGUUUGCUGUGGAAGUAUGUCCAUAUACUGUGCUCCCAGAACUGGUUGAGGAUGAAAACCAGCAAACCGGUUUCCCUGAACAGCCUCGUUAUUAAUUGCUGACAAAUGACCGGUUGUGAUUGGCUGAAUGUACAUACCCACCACCUGAUCGCUUCUCAUAUGUUGAGGUCCUUGAGGUUGGCCAUGUGUUACACUAACUUGAGUAACCAUUGACUGAGGAUAUUGAGCACCCGCAACUGGGCUAGAGUCUGCUGCCUGUGCUUCCCAUAGUGGUGGUGGUAACAAGCCACUUCUCUGAGCACCAUAGACAGGUGAAGAGGGCUGCUGUUGUAGAAACAAUUGACCAUUCCAGGCAGGACCUGUGCCUUGAGCAUAUGACUGCUCAUAUCGAGGUGAUCCCGUGUUUGGUGCAGCUCCAGUCGCAUGAAAACUCUGCUGCUGCUGAGUAGGCUGUCGUCUCUGGUCUGUAAAAUUCUCAUCAACAACCUUCGCUCCCACAAAUGGACACCAACCGGUUCUUCCAGAAAUCGACGAAGCUCCAACACCGUCGCCUCUGCAUGCCGCUACAACCGCCCACCGUUGAUGCUGAAUAUUCACCAUGAACCUCCCUUCGACCUACUCAUCUCCUAUUUAUGGUCGGUUUCUCACCAACCAUCCUCCAACAGCGUAGAUCUAGAAAGGAAUCUGUGAACUUUCUUCACUGUUUUGGUUCCUUUCACUGUCCGAUCAUUCUGGGUUUUGAGUACGUCAGUGGCCCCUUACUGCUCUUCAUUUUUAUUAUUUUUGAUCUCCAAAAGCUCAACGUUCGCUAUGGUUUGUCCAUCUAAACCCGAAAAUUGGGUGUUAACAGAAUCAGAGGUGUUGUUACUAUCAGAGAACAUAUCAAAGAGAACAAGGGCAUUCUGCUGUGAUGUAGGAGUUGUUUGUUGUGUUGUUGCUGAUCGGUUCUAUCAAUAAUAAAUCAUGGUUCUUCGGACUGUGCAUCUGCUUCUCCAAAGUCCCAUAUCCAUCAACACAUGGACGAAACACGAUCAGUAUGAACUCUACUGUAUAGGUAGAAGCACCAUCCCCGGGAAAGAUAAAGCCACGCUAAUAGUUUGGAAGAAGUGGAUGAGUCUCCGAUCUACGAAUCGAUAAAAGCCAGAAACUCAACCUAGCUUAAAAAAAACCUAUGCCGCCAAUCGUAGAUCUAACAGCUAUGUCCAGAUCUAACUCCAUCUCCUCAUCGGUCUUGAAUUCUGUCUCUCAACAAGGAAAGAAGACAUCCAGCCUAAUCUGUAGGAAAAUCUGAACCAAAAGGCUGUUGCUUUCGAUCCACAAUCUCGAACUGGGGCGAAUGAAGAAAGCUACCUUCAUAAAGCAUAAAGAAAGACAGCUGGAUUGAGUUCCACAGCAAGGCCCAAUUCGUCACAGUCCAUUGCCGAAAUGACUGUGAUCUCUUUUUUUUUUUUUUUGGCCCCCUCUCCUAUUCGGAUUCCUCUUCUCCCUUUUUUCCGUCUCCCCCCAAACUGUGAAUCCCCCCACCGAUUUAUAAAACCAUGCUGUUUUUUAUAGAAUUUCAGUUCCAUUCCACUUAGUCAUCCAAUGCUAAAGAUUAACCACUAGUCAUGCUUUCUGAUCAUCAUCCAACUUAAUCUCAAUCUUUCUUUUUUUAAAAAAAAAAAUUAAUCAGAUAAUAAAAAAAAAUGAUAAAUAUGAAAUAAAAAAAGUCUAAAAUAAAAAUGACUAAAAAUCCCUGCAACUGAACUUGGAUUAAUCUCAAUUGACAAAAAAUUCUGAACAAAAUGGGAUGUCUACACCCUUUACUUGUACUAGGGCUUUGCCCUUCUGAUGUAACCAAAAAAUGUUAUGUAUGACAAAUAUGUUAUAUAUAUAUAUAUAUAUGUAUGUCUAUUGUUUAAGAUUUAGUGAUAUAAUUUAAUAAAGAAUUUAGUUAACUUUCGAUUUUUUUUAAAGUUUAAAUUAAAUAAAUUUAACUAUAUAUAAAAUAAAUUUAUAAAAUAGGAGCAAAUAAUUAAAAAAUUAUCAAAAACUUGAUGUACGUGUCUUCAACACCUUAUUCCUGAAUUAAGUCAACCACGUAACAUACCCAGAAAACAAAUAAUAAAAAUUGGAUAGCUUACCAUGGGCAAAGUACAUAAUUGCACUUUUAGGCUUUGGUUUCUUGCUAAUUUCAAAAGUUUGGUACACUGACAAAUUUCUUGUACAAAAAAUGGCAACUUCUUUUUUGUGUUUUAUCCUCAAAUUUCUUGAGACAACAAAACCUGUAUGUUGUUGCGUAAAAAUGCAUUGCAAAUCCACACAGGUACAAAAAGAAAUGAUAUUGAAUCACUCCAAUGAAUUUGCUUAACUAUCACCCAUCAUCUUUACAAGGAUGAGCUUUGUCUGAUUAUAGUUCCUUUAAUUUUAGCCAUCGGUUGGGGCAACUUUUUUCACUUUUGGAGCUACUUUCCCAUUUGGCAAAGCAGAUUUCACAAAGGCUGGAACUUUCAUCUCUUUCUCUGAUUUGCUUUAUUGCCUGAAAUUAGUUUUCCCUAGGUGGAUGGGCUGAGAAUGAACCUUGACCUCCGAGGGCCUCGCGGCAAUCCGUCGCUUUAUCCCGGUCCAAGCGAUACUGGCUUGCACUUCCCUUCAACUGCAAAUCAACACAAUUGAUUUUAAUUCCCAACAUAACAUCAAAGUAUCCAAGUAUCAGGCUUGAACUUCACAGUUCCUAAACUGAUGAGAGAAGGCAUCAGCCAUGGCUCUUUCCCAUUUAACUGCUGCUUCUUCUCUCUGUUGAAUUGUGGAAAGAAUUUCCUGCGUGUUUUCAGAGCCACCCCACCAUUCCACCUGUAAACAAAUCUAAUCUAUAUGAACGGCUUGAUAUGUAAGAAUCAGAAUGCGAUGAAUUUUCAAAGUAAAGAUAUUUGUAUUAUCCUACAAACUUCUAUUGCUCGGGCUGACCUACGGGGCGUAACUCUCCAUUAAUGUAAAAAGAUUAAUGCGAUUUGCAAGUUGACGACUCAAUUUAUUAAGGUGUUACUUGUUUAUUUAAUCUUCUAUAUACUCCUAUGGAGCCAACGCAAAGAAAAACCUACGAUGGCAGUUAAUUUGUUCCAUGCAGUGAAUUUAACCCCGAAAACAACAUAAUCCUAACUUGCAGGUGCCAUUGAUUAAAGCUUUCACACCAAAAUUGGUUGAAAAAAAUCUCAUGUAGCUUUGUAUUUGUGAGACCCGUACUCAUCCCCACAGGAUCAAGAGGAGACUCUCACCGAGAAAAAAUGAGGUAUUUUGUAGUUUGAUCCAAAAAAUCUUAUGGUUCAUAUUACGGGUUUAAAUUUAUACAAAUAUUCCAUAGAGGAUCUUCACAAAUCCUCAUUAUUAGUGUGAGAUUAAGAGGGCAUCACAGUCUUCAACCUGCAUUUUUUUUCUCCAAUUAAAUUAGGCAAAACACUGCCUCCGAUAUAGAAAUAGAAAUGUUUUUACAUUUUACUAAACUUCAUAGUUCAAGUUAACUAGAGGAAAUGUUUUUUUUCCUUCUUUAUAGAUAUGGAGAUAUAUAAAAGCCUUUUUAAGAAACAUUUUAAUUUGGUACCACUGCUUUACUAGAUAAUUAGAAGUAAGUAAGCAAGUAGGUAAUAGUCAUUAAGUAGGUACCUACAGUUCAUGAAGCUUAGCCUCAAGUUUCAACUAAUUUUCCAUUUUCUUCUGCUUAAACCUACCUUCUGUAACCAUAUUCGUAUUCUCCGGGUUCUGAUUUGAGACUGUACAUUGCUCCAGGAAUGUAAAUAGCUUAGUGUGCUUAAAGUUUGCUUUUUGACUGUAUGUCCCUGGAUCAAUAUAUUGAAUCUACCGGCAUCUCUCAGCCGACAAAUUGCUUUUCUUGCACAAGAAUAUGUAAUAAAAAGAUGAAAUCAUUAAGCAGCAGAGAUGAUAGGAAUUAUUAAGAACAAUAUCAGAAUCUGUACAUUAUGUAUGUAUGUAUGUUUGUAUGCUUACAUACAUAAGUAUGUAUGGAUGUAUAAAAUGCAUGUGAGCUUGACAGUUCUUAAUGGUGUAAGGAAAACUGUUGUCUUUCUUAUCCAAGUUCCCUCUUAGAAAUGCUUAUAGUAAUUUACAAUUUGCAUUAUAAUGUUUGGUUUAUUCCAUCCGAAUAAAUUAUGGCAGUGAAAAUGUAAAUUAAUUAUUGUUAGUGUGUUAGUGGUUGAAGCAACUAGGUAUGGCAUUUCUACUAGCACUUUGUAACAGGUUUUGCCAUCUGAUCAGUUUAGGUAAUAUGAUGGAUCUAUGCAUGGUGAUCCAUACUGUUAGGCAAACAACUUUUGUAGUAGUUAAAUAAACUUUUGUAUUUUUGAAGCCUAUAAAUUAAUGAAAUGAAGCUCAUGAUCUAUAGAGCCAAUUUACUUCAAGUGACAGAUUAGUAUCUUCUGUUUUUUUGUUCUUCCUCUGCUUUAAAUCCUUCAAUUGGUAUCAGAGCAUUCUUUAAGGUCUUAGAGGACCUGUGAGUUCCAAAAAUUGAGUGAAAAGCCAUCAAACACUUACCAGCCAGCUUUUGUCAACCUUAAAUGGCCUCAAGCAAUUGCUCCUUACCUCCACCUCCUAUUUUUUCUGGUGAGAACUACCAGAUAUGGGCUGUCAAAAUGAAAACCUAUUUGAGUGCUUUUAAUUUGUGGGAAGUGGUGGAAAAUGAGAAGGAACCACCACAACUUCUUGCAAAUCCAACAGUAACUCAAAUGAAAAAUUAUAGUGAAGAAAAAGUAAAGAGGUACAAGGCUAAGAGCUGUAUUGAGUCUUUAGUUUCUGAUGACAUAUUCAUUAGAAUCAUGACUUGUGAAACUACAAAACAAGCUUGGAUGUGCUUAAGGAAGAGUUUCAAGGUAGUGACAAGACAAGACAAAUGCAAAUGUUGAAUCUUAGAAGAGAGUUUGAAGUCUUAAAGAUGAAGGAGUCUGAAAAUUUAAAAGAGUACAAUGAUAGACUCAUGAAGAUAGUAAACAAGAUUAGAUUACUUGGUGAGGAGCUGUCAGACAAAAAAUUAUAGAGAAGGUUCUUGUUAGCUUACCAGAGAGGUUUGAGUCAAAAAUCUCAUCCUUUGAAGACUCCAAGGACUUGACCAAGAUAACUCCAGCAGAAUUGUUCAAUGUUUUACAAGCUUAAGAGCAAAGAAGGGCUAUCAGACAAGAGGAUUCAACAGAAGGUGCUUUUACAGCCAAGGAGAAAGGCAAGAUGCAAACAGAAAGCAAAGGCAGAAAACAAGGAGAUCAAAGAAACAAAGUUUCUAGAAACAAUGAAAAGAAAGGAAAAUUCCCACCUUACUCUCACUGCAAUAAGACCAUUCACUUGGAGAAAUAUUGUUGGUACAGACCUGACAUACAAUGUAGGUACUGUAAGCAGCUUGGUCACAUAGAGAAGGUAUGUAAAAAUAAAAAACAGCAGCAACCAGAUCAACAACCCAGAGUUGCUGACAAUCAACAACAGCUAGAAGAGUAAGUUUUUGUUGCAACUUGCUAUGGAACCAGAACCUCCUCAAGUGCAUGGCUCAUUGACAGUGGCUGCACACACCAUAUGGCAUCUGAUAUCAACAUGUUCAAAGAACUAGACAAGACCUGUACCUUUAAAGUCAAAAUAGGUAAUGGUGAUUUCAUAGAAGUCAAAGAAAAAGGAGUAGUGGCAGUUGAGACACCAACAGGUACCAAACUCAUUUCAGAUGCGUUAUUUAUGCCUAAAAUAGAUCAAAACCUAUUAAGUGUAGAACAGUUGCUAGAAAAUAACUACGCUUUAGUUUUCAAAGACAAGGCAUGCAUAAUUCAUGAUCCUACUAGCCAUGAACUCUUUACUGUUACUAUGAAAGGAAAAUGUUUUUCUUUGAAUUGGCAUGAAGCAAACUCCUUUACAUAUGCUACUUCACAUGAUGAAUCUUCUUUAUGGCAUAAAAGGAUGAGACAUUUCAACUACAAUGCAUUGAAUUUCAUGCAUAAAAAUGAUCUUGUAUUAAACAUGCCUACUGUUGAAGUCAGUGCUGGAAUGUGUGAAGUCUGUCAGCUAGGAAAACAAAGUAAGUUGCCAUUUGCAAUUAACAAAGCAUGGAGGGCAACUGAAAAACUACAACUUGUUCAUACUGAUGUUUGUGGUCCUAUGAGAACCUUGUCCUUGAAUGGCAGUAAAUAUUUCAUUGCUUUUAUAGAUAAUUUUACCAGAAUGUGUUGGAUUUACUUCAUGAAACAAAAGACUGAAGUUGCAAAUGUAUUUUGGAAGUUCAAGGCUUGGAUUGAGAAUCAAAGUGGCUGCAAAAUCAAGAUCAUAAGGUCAGACAAUGGUACUGAAUACACAUAUGAUAGAUUUAAUGAGUUUUAUGAAGUUGCAAGAAUUGAACACCAACUGAUAGCAACUUACACUCUACAACAAAAUGGAGUCAGUGAAAGAAAGAAUAGAACAAUCAUGGAGAUGGCAAGAUGCAUGCUGUUUAAGAAGAAUCUUCCUAAGAAAUUUUGGGCAGAGGCAGUCAAUACCUCUGUCUACUUGCUCAACAGGCUGCCCACAAAAGCUUUGAAGGGAAAAACUCAUUUCGAAGCCUGGUAUGGAACCAAACCAUCAGUGCACCACCUCAAAGUUUUUGGCAGCAUCUGUUAUGUGUUUGUUCCUGAUAUCAAAAGGGACAAGCUUGAUCAAAAAGCAAAAAUAUGUAUUUUUUUGGGCUAUAGCAUCUUCACCAAAGGCUAUAGGACUUAUAAUCCACUUACAAGCAAGAUGAUUGUAAGUAGGAAUGUAAGAUUUAAUGAGCAAGCUGCCUGGAAUUGGGAAAAGUCAAAGGAAAAAUCAGUCAAGCAAACUACUGCAGACAUGAUAAUCUUUCAAGAUCAAGAAGAUUAUAUGUUUGAAAAUGAAAUCAUUGAUCAUGAACCAGUGAGAGGAAUCAGACCACUCACAGAUAUUUAUCAAAGAUCAAAUGUUGCCAUUCUUGAACCUACAACCUUUGAAGAAGCUGUCAAAUUUUCAGAGUGGAGGAAUGCCAUGAAGGAGGAGAUUCAUAUGAUUGAGAAAAAUCAAACAUGGAUGCUGGUUGACAGACCAAGCAACAAAAACAUCAUUGGUGUUAAAUGGAUUUUCAGAACAAAGUUGAAUGCUGAUGGUUCCAUCAACAAACUUAAAGCUAGAUUGGUAGCUAAUGGCUACUCCCAACAGCUUGGUGUUGAUUUUUCAGAGACAUUUGCUCCAGUUGUAAGGUUGGAUACCAUAAGGCUGCUAUUAGCCUUAGCAACUCAGCAAAGUUGGAAAAUAUACCAACUUGAUGUCAAAUCUACCUUCUUGAAUGGUUAUCUUGAAGAGGAGAUUUACAUUGAACAACCAGAUGGUUUUGUUGCCAAGAGACAUGAAGGCAAAGUUUAUCUACUCAAGAAGGCUUUGUAUGGAUUAAAACAAGCUCCAAGAGUGUGGAAUUCCAGAAUUGAUGAUCAUUUACUGAAGUUAGGAUUCAAAAAAAGCCUCAGUGAAGCAACAUUGUACAUUAAAGUUUUUAAGAGUAAUGAUCUGUUGAUUGUUUCUUUGUAUGUUGAUGAUCUUUUGGUGAUAGGUAGCAAAUCAGCUCUUGUGGAAGAUUUUAAGCUCCAAAUGCAAGAAAUUUUUAAGAUGACAGAUAUGGGAGGAAUGUCUUAUUUUCUUGGAAUGGAGAUUCAUUAAGACCAGCAAGAAAUCUUCAUUUGUCAAAGAAAAUAUGUAAAUGAAAUCCUAAAUAAGUUUGGGAUGGAAAAUUGCAAACCAGUCAAAACUCCUUUGGCUCAAAAUGAGAAACUUAUUAAGGAAAAUGGAGCUAAUAAAGUUGAUGGUUCUAUUUAUAGAAGCUUGGUUGGUUGCUUAUUGUAUUUGACAGCAACAAGGCCAGACAUCAUGUAUGCUGCAAAUUUACUCUCUAAGUUCAUGCAAAAUCCUAGUGAGUUGCAUUUUAAGGCUGCAAAAAGAGUGUUGAGAUAUGUCAAAGGAACCAAUGAACUUGGAAUUUGGUUCAAGAAGAAUGAAAGUUCAAGAUUGGUUGGAUUCAAAGACAGUGACUGGGCUGGCUCUCAUGAAGACAUGAAAAGCACUUCAGGCUAUGUGUUUUUCAUUGGAUUAAAUUUGUUCAGCCGGAAUUCAAAGAAACAAGGAACUGCAGCUCAAUCAACAGCAAAAGCAAAGUAUAUAGCUACUGCAGCUGCUGUUAAUCAAGCAAUUUGGCUAAGGAAAAUUCUAUUGGAUUUGAGUCAAAAGCAAGAUGAUCCAACAAAAAUUUUUUGUGAUAAUCAGUCAGUAGUUGCAAUGGUCAAGAACCCUGUGUUUCAUGGAAGAACUAAGCAUAUUAAGAUCAAGUAUCACUUUAUUAGAGAAGUUGAAGCUGAGAAUGAAGUGAAACUGGUGCAUUGCAAGUCAGAAGAUCAAAUUGCAGAUAUUCUGACCAAAGCCUUACCAAAGGCAAGGUUUGAAACAUUAAGGAAAAGUCUUGGUGUUUCCAGUAGAAAUGCCAAGGAGGAGUGUUAGUGUGUUAGUGGUUGAAGCAGCUAGGUAUGGCAUUUCUAUUGGCACUUUGUAACAGGUUCUGCCAUCUGAUCAGUUUAGGUAAUAUGAUGGAUCUAUGCAUGGUGAUCCAUACUGUUAGGCAAAUAACUUUUGUAGUAGUUAAAUAAACUUUUGUAUUCUUGAAGCCUAUAAAUUAAUGAAAUGAAGCUCAUGAUCUAUAGAGCCAAUUUACUUCAAGUGACAGAUUAGUAUCUUCUGUUUUUUUGUUCUUCCUCUGCUCUAAACCCUUCAAUUAUGAGCUUAAUGGUUAGUUGCAUUAAUGAAAAACCUAACACUUUGGAUUGGUUUGUUCAAUCUGAAGCAAAGGCAAUGACAUUUAUUUAUUCUUGUGGUUUGCCCCCAAAUAAGAGUAUGCUUUCAUAAAUUAUCAUUAUUAAUUUGUACUAAUCUAAUCUUAAUGGAUCCAACAGUAUCUACCACUCUAUGAAUAUGAUCUAUAUUUGCAUUUAUUCAUCUACAAAACCAUCCCAAUAUUCAAUCAAAAAAAAAAAAGCUUGAAAAACCACUGGAUCAUCCUUCAAUUACCUUGUUCCAGGGAAAAAUACAUAGUCUGUCAUUUUAUCAUGUGGAUGACAGAAGUAAAAUUGAAAAACUAUUGAUGCAAUCAUUCUUAAGAAUAGAUAUCUAGUAGAUCUAGGGUUCAAAUCCCAACAUCUGUAAUUUCUUUUUCUACUUUCAUGUUGCAACCUGCGUUGUACCCAAAAAAAAAAAAAAAAAAAAGCUAUUGGUCUUCUCUUUUACUCCCAUAUAGUAUAAAGUUAACUUGGAAUAAUAGACUAGCUAGACUAAAACAAAUCAUUGUUUCUCAUUAUGUGGCUAAACAUAAUGUUAUUGCUUGUUUCCUAGAAAUUACAAAGAAACAAUGGUAGAUGAGUCUCAUUUUCUUAUACAGAGAAGGGACAAAGUUAGCAAUUUUACUCUUCUUAGGAUGUAACCCACCAGGCAAUGUAGAUUAGAGAUAAAUGUGAAGUUUUGGUCCAUUCAAGCAUCAACUUCAAAUAUAUGCUAAGGUUGUUGGGAAAUAAUUGUUGCAAAAAGAUGUACCUGGAUAUAACUGCCUCAUAAAUUAUCAUACAGGUUAAAUGCAUUUUUUAUGUUGAUAUGAAUGACAUGGCGAUAAAUUAUUAUACCCUUUAUGCCCGAAAAGCCUUCUGAAUUCGAGCAGCUGCUAUCUCUACCAUUGCCUGUCCAGGAAGACCAGUUGCUGGACUCCUUGCCUCUUUAUUAGAAUCAUGACCCCCUUCACCACCAUUUGAUUUUUCAUUAGCCGAGUGUACCUGUUUUGAUGGGGGUCUGACAACAAAUUAGUGAUGAAGAAUUACAGAAACAAGAUCGAGGUACAGGCUGCAACAUGCUCUGAAUAGAGAAACAUUUUUUUACAAAGGAAGCCAUAGCAUACUCUGAAUAGAAAAACAUUUAAUAGUAUGUUCACACACAAUGAAAAGAAUAAAUAAAAAAGAAAUAGAAGAAUGAGAAAGUGAGAAAUUUAAGGGAGAGGAGAGCCAAUAAGAUUGAGUGCUCUUGUAGAUACUUUGUGUGACACCUCAAUCCUACAUCAGAAUGUUGGAGGAUCUGCUAUGAUAUAUAAGCCGAGACUUAAACUCAUACUUGUGAGAUGUUUUUUGUGGGACAAAACCAUGAGAGUUUCAUGUCUGCAAAAGCACAGCUGAAAUAAUGGUGCCCAGCAGUAACAUAAGUACUGCUUUCAAGCAGAUCCACCCAGGGUUUUCAACACUCUCAGCAACCUCAACACUUUGUUCCUCAGACCCCAACAAAUCAUGUACUCUCUUGGUUUGCUGCAAAACAAUUUGAAGAAGUCAGUCUUUGUAAGUUAUAAUCUCUAGAGAAGUCGUCAAUGCUCAACUUACACGACAAAAUCGAUCAAUAAACUUAAAAGUACCAGAAUCAGGUUAACCCCAGUUUGCACUUGAAUUCACUUUGUGAUACCUUUAGCAAAAUUUUCCUAUUGAACAAGAGAGUCAAGGGAGGUAUCAAAAUCCGCUAUUACUUUUCUCAAUAGCAUCAUCCUUAUCCAGUCUAUCUCUUCAAAACGGAUUCUUAUAAUCAAUGCUUUCAGUUCAGAAGGUGAAAGACCACACCAUCAAGAUGCUCAUCAAUUGUCUCAAAAUAAUUUGUCGGAUUCUGUUUAAAGAGCCUAUAAAUGUUAAGAGUACAUGAAAAGUGGCAGGAGUACCAGUCGAGUGGAAUUUUUCUUAAAUGUCAAGAUCAAACUUACAAUUUUACAAUCUAUCUUUUUUUCUUAAAAAAAUGAGAUAUUAUUUGUUAAUUAAACAAUUUUUGGUAGCAUUCUUUUCUAAUGUUUUUUCAGUCCAACAAACAAACUGCAUUAUUCAUCAAUUGAUAAUAGGUGAAUGGAGUCCAACUUAAAUUUGAGACUCCGGAGAGGCUGGGAAGGUUAGAGUGGGAGACCAGAAGAGAUAAAACUUACCAACUAGACUCUUCUUUUCCCCUCUUUUCUGAUCCAGCUUGACCAAUUAAGGUUUUUUUUUUUUUUUUUUUCAUUUUCUUUUGAUCAAUUUGAUGGAAUACAAUAUGGAUUGCAACAUUCUCCUUCGAGUGAAAGAAUAAAAAUUUAUUAAAUCAACAUAAUAGAUACUUUAGAGUUACAUGGUCAUUAGCUGGUUGGCUCGAGAAAUUAAGGAACUUCUUUCCAUGAUUCAAACGAGAAUAGGCCUAAAUAGGUUAGCCCUGACAGUUUAUGGGUCACUUUUCUUAAUGACAGGAAACAUUUUAACAUUGGCCCUCAGUGUAUGUUGGUUAUUGCAAGUGGGAAUGCAAUCAUUCUAUGUUUGUAAAGAGAGCCAAUUGCACCCUGAUGAUGUUGGGAGUAAUUAGGAGGUGGUCUAAUACCAAGACUAAGCUGUUCUCAAGGAAUCCUGGACUCAUGUUUGAACGUUGGAAUCAUUGCAUAGAAGAUGAAACGAAGUCAGAUUGAAAAAAGCUUAAAUCUGAAUUUAUGCUUAUGCUGUUAUAAAUAUUACUUGAAUAUCGUACAAAUAUGGUUUAAAGAACAUGGAGAGAUGUAGGAUGGAAUAUCAAGGUAGAAUAAGUUUGUUAUUAAAAAUAGGGAAAAUUGUCAAAUCUUUUGAAUUUAUAUAUAUAUAUAUAUAUAUCGAUUUACUUUUCUUUGUCUGGUUUUAUCAUUAGUAUGAUUUUUAUACAAUUCUAGUAGAUAUGAAUGGAAAUAGAAUGUUUUAGUCAAAAAAAAUUUCUUCUAUGUCAUGUUGACAUAAUUUUUUUUUUUUUAAAUUCAUGUAUGAUAAUAUAAAUUAAAAAAAAAAAAGACAAUUUAGUUUUUAGUGAAAAAUUUUUUUAAAAUGUUUAAAUUUAUUUAGAAAACUAAAGUUUGGUCCAUCAGAUUAAAAUGAAAAAAAAAAGGUUUAAACUUAUAUAUAAAUUUUUAUAAGUUUAAAAAUAUGAUUAAUCAAAUAUAUAUAUAUAUAUAUAUAUAUAUUGAAGAAGGUAAACUCAAGGUUUGAUCAAUCAAAUUAAAAAAAAAUCAAAUUUGAUUUAAAAAUUAAAUCAUCCAUGAUAAAUGAGAAUACAAAACUACAUAUACUUGAUCGGAUGUCAAGAAGGGAUCUUUAUUAAGCACCUUGUUUUGAUCCUUUGAUGUAAUUAAUUUUCUCUUUUUCAUAAAUUAUUGCUUGCUUUCCUCCCCAGUUCCUCUAACAAAUUAAAAGAGAACAAAUUUCGAUUCCAACAGCACCAGUAAGCAUACAACACUAAAAAUUAUUUUCAAUAUAAUUAAGCAGAAGAAGAUGACAUGAUAGCUUAGCUCAGGCUGAUGAUCAAGAAGAAAAACUCGUACAAAAAUUUCAAGUUCUGUUUCAUUUUAAGAUAAAAAUAAAAUUUCAAAACAUAUACUUUGGUUUUCUAAAUAAAUUUCAAAAUUUUUUUUACUAAAAAUCAAAUUGUCCUAUUUAUUUUUUCCAGAUUUAUAUUAUCCUAUGUGAAAUUUUUAAAAGUAAAAUAUAAAUAUUUUCCAUAUCACCAACAUAGAACAAAAAAAUAAACUUUGUAUGAAAUAUUCUAUCUUAAUCCGAUUAAAAUUACAUAAAAAAAUAAUAAAGUGAUAAAAUUACACCCAAAAAAUAAAAUAUAUAUGGGAUUCUAAGUUUUGACUUCUAAUAUCAGGAUUAAUUCUUCUUUUGCAAGAAAUGACGUAGACUGCUAAGCUGAACAUAAAAACGCAUACCAUUUCAGUCCUACAUUUUCCAUCAACUUAGUUGUUUUGAUUUUUUGUAUUCUAGUAAGUAUUUAACUCAGUAAGAUCCCUUCUUUAAGUAAAGCAACCUCUAGAACAUAAACGAGGGAAACUUAGUUUUGACUAGCUUUUUUGAAAAAAAAAAAAAAAUUUAAUUGACUGAAAUUAUGAUGCAUUGAGUUCUCAUAAAAAUUCUUAUGCCACAAACUAAUAUGUGAUUUGUCUAAUGUCUAGAGAGAGGAAGAAAUGCUGUUGAGCUAAAAUUCAGAACCGAUGAAUUUUCAAGCGACCUCCUUACAGAAACACAAAGAUAAUUAAAAUGUGCGCAUUGCUGUUUUAAAAGAUCCUUGUUUUCAAGUCUGCUAGUGGAAAGGACAACAAACUAUAAACUUUUAGCUGAUAAAAAAAAAAGACAUAAAUAAAAGGAAUGCAUGCUUAUGUACCCUCAUAGAAAUUUGCAUUCUAAGAUGAUCACACAAUAUUUGGGUGCAAGUCUAUGACGUUGGGACAAAGGUUUGUGAAAUGCUGCAGCAAAUUAGCAACUGCUUUAUCCACUGGCAUCUUCUGAAAGUCAAAUUCAUUUCUUCAUCUCCCUCCUCUGAAAAAGGUGUGUUUUCAACUUCAUUGCCAACAGCUCCACCCAUAUCACUACCAAUUGGCCAUGUUGUUUGUUGAGCUCUAGUAGACUCUUCCACUAUAUUUUCAUCAAUUGAUCGGAUUGCCUGCAAAACAAAUUAAAGCAUGGCAUGUGAAGAACAAAAAGCAUGUAUAAUUCAGUAAAUUUAACAAGAAGCAAGGACCAUUGAAUGAACCCAAUAAGAAAGAUUGCCACCCAAUAGAAUUGGGAAUUAAUAUUGCCAGCCAAUUACAUUUUCAAUUUCAUUAGGAAUUAAAACAAACACAUGGAUGACAAAUUUCAAUUGAAAUCCAUAACAAGCUCCCUUGAAAAGAGGAGAUUAAUAUUGCAUAAUCAAUAAAGAUGAAAGAGGAAAUGAAAAAUAUACGACAUAUGAACCUCUCUGUUCAUAAGCUUACCCAAGUUCAGCUAUACAAAAGGCAGGGCAGCUUUUGAUACUUUUAUAUUGGGAGUUAGGGUGCGUAGCGUACCUCUGUUUUGGCAUGCCCAGAUUGCUCUGACUCAACACUGAAGCUUGUGGUUAUAUUGGGACAACCUCAUACAGAUAAAGAUUGCAAAGAUGGUAAUACGAAAUGAUAACCCGCAGGGCUGAAGCUCUCAAGGUUUGGUAAAGUUUCAAGAUCUAAGUAGCCCAAUUGAGGUAGCUGUAUCACUUUCUCUUUUUCCUCGCUACCAUUUGCCUCAUCUCCUGAUUGUUCAAAUACUUGUUCUAAUUUGGAGACGUUGUUAACACAUAGAAUUUGUAGUUUUGGAAGGCCAUGAGCAACACUCACCGGAAAGAGACAUUUCAAGUUUUCACAUGAAUAAAUGCGUAUUUCAGUCAGAUUAGGGAAGCGUAUAAGUUGGAGAUGAUGACCUUGUGAUGAAGUUUGACCAUCCUUUUCAAUAAUUUGCUCCAAUUCCUCACACUCAAUUAUCCAUAAAGAGCUCAAUUGUGGCAAAUUCCGAGCGAUAGUAGGUGAUAAGAUAUAUCUUAACCUUCCGCAUCUACAGACAUCCAAUUCAGUGAGGUUUUGAAAGUUCACAACUUCGAUGGGAUCUUUCCAUGCCACCCGCAAUUCAGGUAGAUCAUACAAUUUUAGUAGCCUCAAACUUGAAAGAUUACAUUCACCAUCAAAUAACUCUUCAAAAUUAAUGAUGGUUAAAUAUUCCAUAUUUGGUAAUUUUUGUCCUAAUUUAGGAACUAUCAUAUUGCAUGAUUGCUUCUUUUCUCUCAUAUCCUUAAAUUGUAACACCUGUAAUCAUAUCAUUUCACUAUUAAUUCAAAAAAUGUAAAAAAUAACUAAAAACUUAUUUAUUCUUUAUUUUUAAAUUUUAUAUAAAAUUUCGAUUUUAAUAAUCUUAUCAUUAAAUUAAACAUAUUGUUGUAAAGGUCUAUUUAAAACAUGAUUAAAUGAAACCACCAAUAUAAGUAAAUCUAAUGUCAAUUAAGUUUAAAAUUUAAAUUUCUUAAAUUUUUUAUUCUAAUCAAUUAAUUUAGAAAAAUCUUUAAUUUAGGACCAUAUCUCUUAUAAUUAUUGUAGUACAAUUAACUAAUUAUAAUUUUGUAUUAUACAGAAUCCAUCAAAAAAUUGUUUAGAAGUCACAUUUUAAGUGGUGGCUACAUAAUUCUUAAUUGUGAUUGGUUAACUAUAAUAUUGUAACAAAAAUAAUUAUAAAUGAAAUACUCUCAAUUCAUUAAUUUAAGUUAAAGACAAAUAAUUUAAUUAAAAUAUAAAACAAUAGUUUGAAAAGAUUAGUAGUAUAUCAUGAAUAAAAAUGAAUCCAUAUGAAACGUUUAAAAACACAAAGUACUAGUUACAUACUACAUAGGGCUUUUCAAUAUAUCUAAGAAAUAAAGUUUGUUCUAAGAAUUAUGGUUAAAGAAAUAUAUUUUCUUACACGCAUUAAAUAUUUACAAAAAUAUUAUUACUUUUCAUUAAUUUUUUUAUUUGGUAACUCAGUUUGGUUUGAAAAGUUUUUGGCGUUAAACUAAACUAAGCCAAAUCAACUAGUUCAGCUUGGUUUUUCUGAUUUGACCAAAUAAAGCGCACACUACUCUCAAUAGUGCUAAAUGGUGAUAUUAAGGGUUUUUUAGUUCAUGGUAUUAAUUAUUUAUGUUUUUAUGAGAAGAAAUAACAAAUUUUUGUGCUACCAUGCUAUUAUUUCUAGACUCCCUGAUAUGCAUGUCAGGGAUAGGGAAUCCUUAGAAAACCAGAGUAAUAUUGUUCUGUAGCCCCUGUUAUGCCAACAAUAGGGAAUCCUUAGAAAACUGGAAUCCAAUAGGGAAUACUUAGAAAAUCCCGCAGAUCUUUUUGGAUAUUUCAUUUGAGUGACUUGAAAAAUAAUGCAUUGAGAUCAGUGGAUUAAUCAGACAGAAACUCAUCAUUAAGAUAUGAAAUGCAUUUUUUCAAUGCAUUUCAUCAAUACAAAUGCAAUUAAAUAAUUAUUUUUAUAUUAUUUUUUAUCGAUUUAAAUAAUAAAAACAUUGAUUUAGUGGUAAAAUAAAUUUUUAAAAAUUAGACGUUUUAAAUUUCAAUCUUAUUAUUUAUGAAUUUGAUUUAAUUUUAUGUUAAAUUUAUCUUAUAUAUAAUUUAUUGAUUUUUAAGUGAAAUAUUUAAAUAUAAAUAUAAUUUCUUUGUUAUUAAUAUUUUAUAUACUUGCAAUCGUAAUUAGUAAAAUCAAGACUAAUUUUAAUAUUAAAAAAAGUAGAUAAAAUAAUGCUAAAUAGUAUGAACAAUAUGGUUUUAUAAGAAGAAAUAACAAAUUUGUGAUAUUAAUUAUUUAAGGCUUUUUUUAUGAGAAGAAAUUACUAUUUAGCAUUUUGUGCAAUAAUUAAUUGAACCGAAAACGAAAUCUCCUAGCUUUUUUUAACUUAAAAGUCCAUGUGACAUUAAAAAUGAUUUAUUCUCUUUUUUUUUUUUAACUUUUUAAGUCGAAAUUCUUAUCAUAUGCACAUCCAUGUGACAUUAAAAAUGAUUUAUUCUAUUAAUUUUUUAAUAAUGAUUGGCGUAAUAGAUGAAUUUAAAAUAUUUUAAAAAAUGUAAAUGAAAAUAUUGAGUUUCAUAAGAUCGUGAAUGAAAGUAAAAUAAUAUUGCGUAAAGCUUAUAGAUACUUGAUGCAUUUUAAUAGUGACAGCUAUAUUAAAAGUCCACAAUUGAGAUUUUAUUGAUCACUACUUAAGUAGGGAGAAGUAGAUUCAUAUUAGUUUUACCCAAAGUGAUACAAAAUCUAUCUUUUAAAUAUUAUAGCACUAGAAAACUUUUUGGUUGUCAAUUUAUCUAGAAAAAAAAUUCAGUUAUGUAGUCAAAUUAUUUUACUUUCUUAGUGUUUGUUUCCAAAGAUAAAACAUCAUAAAAAAAGGUUUUAUAAUUUUCUCUACCAAUUUAAAUGGAUUAAGUUUCCAUUUUUUUUCUUUCCGCUCUCUUAUCUAUUCUUCCAUUCUUUUAUAUUCCUCCUACAAAGUACAGUUGAAAGAGUAAAAACACAAAUAAAUAGGCUUACCUGUAUUUUAGCCGAAAUGAUAAAAGGAGUUAAUUGUGGACACUCUCUCAUUUCCAACUCUUGUAAAGAUGGCAGCGUCAGUACAAUGUCAUUUCCAUCCCUUCCUUUUAAUUCAGGCAAACCACGCAAUGUAACCUUAUGCAGCUGUGGAAGACCUUCAGCCAUUGAGAUUGGAAAAGUAUAUUCCAGCCGAGAGCAAUCCCGAAUCCUAAGAGUUGUCAAUUUCUCCUAAAUUUGACCGUGCGACAAUGAGGAAAGAGAUGUCAAGUUAUUGCAGCCACGUACAUAUACUUCCCUUAGAAUUUGGAGAUUGAUGCUUGCCACUUCCGUUUUGGGAAUUAUUUCUUCCAACUCCGAGCAGUGGUAUAUCUGCAGUUCUUCCAGUUGUGCAAGACUUUGAGCAACAGACGUAGGGAACAGAUAUCUCAAUUUAUUGCAGUUGUGUAUUGUUACAACCUUCAAACUUUGUAAGCCUACAUGAUGACUGGGUUCUUCUUGUAUGCUCCUCAAUUCAGCGAUCUGAAAUAGCACUUGCAUCUCAUCACAAGAUUUAACUUCCAACCUUUCAAGACUUUGUAGAAUUGGAACUGCACAUGUCAUGUCCCUGCAUUUAUCUAUCAUCAAAGUUUUUAAUUUGAGCAAAAACCCUUGCGGUUGAUGACCACUGCACAGCUCUUCCAAACCACGCAUAUUUGUUAAAGAUAAUUCUAACAAAUUAGAGAAUGCAUUGGUUAGCACCUGCUGCUUUGUUGUAUCAAUGAGACAUUUCAUAUGCUCGCAACUUUCAAGAUCCAGAGAAGUCAGUUUACUGAAUACCACUUGGCCCGACUCCAAGCUUGGAACAAGAUUUUGGCAACCCACCAUACUCUUCAAAUUAAGAUAUUCUGUAUCCCCAAAUAACUGCUUGCAUACCUCUAUUACAGACCCCUGAAUCUUUAAAGAUCUCGAGAAUGGGCAGAUUUCAAAGUCCAUCUUCCUUCGAUAAAAAUUAGAAAAGCCAAAGCCAAUGCAUACAUAAAACCUUUGUAAUUUACAGAACACAAAGUCUCUUGGAACAUGUUCAGAAGAAACCUCUAAAUAUAAUACGAUCAAGUUUGACAAGGAAUUCAACUCUGAUAGGCUGGCAUAGCUUUCUUCUUGAACUGUGUUCUCAGUGGCCCAUUCUAUUCUUCCACAUCCAUGCAAAUAUAGUUCUUCUAAUUGGGACAAUCUUUGUAUCAACCGAGGAGGGAUUCUCUGUAGUUGUUCGCAAUAUGAUAAAUCCAACAAUUUAAGAUUAUCCAAAUCACCUAUUUCUUCUGGCAAUUCUUUGAUAUCAGAGCAACUAAAUGAAAGAACCUCAAGUUUUUUCAACUUCCCUAGGACUGAGAUGUCCAAAAGUUCACAACCUUCCAAAUGUAGAGUUCGAAGGUUCGGUUGAAACUGAAAUGCAUCUGGAGAUAUUAAACUACAAUAUUGCAAAACGCAAACUUUCAUUGCUUUCAUUCCUUCAAAUAAUUCACUUGAAGUUAUGAUGCUACCCCUUCCACCAAGUAAAAGGAAUUGGAGAUUUGGGCAUACCAAUCCUUUAGGAAGUUCAACCAUCCGACUAGUGCUGAAGGAGAUUGCUACAUAAGGCUCAAAACUUUCUUCUUCUGGCCUCAUUUCAACAACCUGAGAUUUUAUCACAAAAGAAAUCUCCUUUCUGUAUGAUCCUAUCCACAAAGCAACAUCACGAACCAGGUCAUGCAUUUUAACAUGCCUUUCUUCACAAUUUAACAACAAACAAGAUUCCUUAAGGAUGUCAAUCGCUGCAAGCACUUCGCUCCUCACUUCUUCAAUUGAUUCCACACCUUUAUACAACUCUAGUCCCCAUGCAUAUCUCACCAAGUCUUCUACAUAAAUCUCUUAAUCUUCAGGAAAUAAGGAACACAACAAGAAACACAUCUUGGUCUCCGUAUCCUUCAGAUAAUCAAAACUUACCUCAAGACAUAGGUAAGCAUUUUGUUGAUCAAUGUCUUCGAUGUCACCCAAUCUAUGGUUUUUGAGUCUCCGAUAUGCUGCUUUCCACCUACGAUGAUUUUUACCUUUCAGAGCAGUCGCCAAUGUAACUAUAGCGAUGGGCAAACCUUUACAUUUUUUGAUAAUUUUAGUUGCCACAUUUUUAAUAGCAUCAUCAGAAGAGUCGUUCAGACCUGCUUUGGUGGCAAAUAAAAUCCAAGCCUCAUGGUCAUCUAAAAAACCAAGUUGUAUUCUCCUUUGACAUUCCAUGGCAACACACACUUUUUGACGGCGUGUUGUUAAAAGAAUUUUGCAGCCUUUGUGAACCUCACCAAUUGGAAUUCCCAUCGCCUCCUUUAAGUCAAUAUUUGCCCAAACAUCAUCAAGGAUUAUUAGAAUCUUUUCCUCCUUCUGCAAUUUCAACCAUAAUUCUUGCACUGAUCUUCUUCCUCGUUCAUUCUUCAUAUCGAAAUCUAAGUAUUUUGCAAUUUCAUCUCGAAUUGUUUCAAAGUUUGUCUUUUGAGAUACAGUAGUAAUCACAACUUUGUCAAACAGAUUUAAUUUUUGGGCAUGAGUUCCAACUUCACGCACUAGGGUUGUCUUGCCCACCCCUCCCAUCCCCCACAAUCCAAUCAUGCUAACAUUGUCAUCCUGUAGGGCCUCAAUGAUCUGAUUGAAAGCAAUAUUGGAAGACUUAGAAACCAUAAAAUCCUUAGAUGAAAGGAAUUCUAUGGUUGGAAUUGUACUAGGAGAAGAGUAGCCCACUCGUCCAGGUUGACCAAAUUUGGUAAUCUUUUCUAGAAGCUCAAAAGUAACAAGAGUGUUCUUUAUUGCUUUCUUGCUUAAUCUAUACCGCCAACUCCAAAUAGGACACCAAUUGAAACAUCUCUUGUUUUGCUGCAAUUCAUUUUCUAGAGUUUCCAUAUCUAAUAGGAUUUUGUCCGCCUUUGAUAGCAAGUCUCUGACAUCAUCUUCAAUUCCUUGAAGUCGCCUUUCAGCAUCCUCAAUCUCAUGUUGCAGCCGGACCCGUGCCAUUAUUAGUUCUUCUUUUCUUUCUUUGAGCUUUUCAACAUUGUCAUGAAAACGGCGAGUGUGAUUAAAUUGAUCUCCUAUUGGCUUCGCCACCCAAUCUACGAGCAAUGUUCCCACGCAGUUAGAAAGAGCAGACUCACAAAACCCACAAGCCAUUCUUGACAAGCUCAAGUUGAAGAAACUUCUGCCAAGCAUAAAAAUAUUGGCUAUGAGAUAAAUCAUGGUGAUGAUACUAUAAAGAAAAUUAAAGAAUAAUGAAGGUGAACUCUCUAAACAUACCAAGCAAGGUGAAGAUAGUCCAAAGUGUGACAACCAACUGUUUUUUAACUUUUCCACCAACUAACACUUUUUAAGUGCGUAACAAAGCAAGGUGAAGACAAUUCAAAGUAUGAGAAGCAAAUGCCUUUCUUCAGCACUCUACCAAGCUGAAAAAACGAGAUUAAAAAGCAAUAUUUUUAGAUAAUUUAUAAGAAAAUAUUACUCAGAAAUAUGAAAUAAAAAAAUUAGUGUUGAUAUGAUAGAAAACCAAAAAAAUAUAUCAUGCUACAACAAUUAACCGACAAUUUUAAAAAUGAUUAAUUACAGGUUUAGUCAACCAAUUUUAGUUGAUUUUUUAUUUUGGACACCGAACUAUGAAAAGUAACGAUUUAGUCACCAAUAUUACAAAGAUUUGUUUCUUUGAUUAUCCGAACAUUUAGGGUUAAAUGUUGGAUGCCUUACUGUAAGAAUAUAUCAUCUACAAUUAUAUUAACUACAAUUGUAGUAUAUAAUUAACCAAUCACAAUUUAAAACCAAACCUAAGAACUUAAAAACUAGAUACGCCACCCUCAACCACUUAUCACCACCAAUGGCACCGUUUCCUCUCUCCUCUCCUCUCCUUUCCUCUGGCUCUACCCCUUCACAGCUAGAGAAACUCCAAUAACCCAAGAUCAAAAGACCCUAGAACCCAAAACGGCUACCUGCAUCCGCCUUUCUACUCCACUACAACCAAUUUUUUUGUUGUUUUUUUAAUAUUGACAAAAAAAAAAGUUAAAUGAAUUUCCAACCUUUAAAUGAAUUUCCAACCUUACCACUUCCAGAUAGAAGUAAUAGAUCCGAAGCUUUCAAGAGAAAAUUUGCUUAAAUAAUAAAUCCAAUCUUUUUCAGAUGUGAUCUGCUUCACUGAAAAAAUUGCAAAUUAGAUAAAAAAUUAUGUAAGAAACAAACUUUUUUUGUACAAAGAGAAAGCAAUGAAGAAGUUGUUGCAUUUACCUCACUUGGUGCCUUCUAAUUCUUCGAGGUUUCAUUCAUGACGGAUCAUUGAAAACAAAGAAAAGAAAUUUGAAGAUUGGAUUUUUUUUCUCUUUCUUUUUUUUUGGUAUUUUUGAGAUGAAAAUGACAAACAAAGUGGAAACUAGAGAGAAAGAAAAUAUUGAAGAGUAGCUCUUUUUUUUUUUUUUUUGAAGUUACAAGGAAGGAAAUGUAGAAUCAAACAAAAUUCAACUAAAGUUUUUUUUUCUUUUUUCUUUUUGAGUUGAAGGAAAAGCCAGCAGAGUAGAAAUCAACCUUAGAACUCUUGGCCAAAAGAAAAAGGAAAUCAAGCUCGCACUGAAAUGAUCAAAAAGCUUGGAAAUUGAACAAAAAAGAUUAACAGAACACCCAGCUUCUGAAAGCAGAAAUGGGUUUUUGCUUUUUUUUUUUUUUCAAUAUUGUUUUUUCGUUAUAAAAUUCAUAGUGGCCGGCCCAUGACUUCGUUUCUUCUCGGGGUCUUCUUUUUUUAUUCUUCUUCUUUAAUCUAAGUAAUGAAAGACAGCCUGCCCAAUAUUAUUUUUAUAAUCGUAAUGUUCCGUGAUCUUAAUUCAAAACUAUAAUACAUUUAGUUAAUAUAUAUGUAUAAUUAUUUUAUAAAACAUGUACAUCCGAAAAAUAAAAUAAGUACAUUUUUUAUAUUAAGAUUAUAAAAAAAUUUUAUUUUUUUAUUAAUUUAAAUAUAAAUGUUUCUUUCCAAUUAAUUAUUUUUAUUAUAAUAUCAAGUAAUAAACAUACCAUGGCAAUGUAGCUACUCAUGAUAUCAAAUUUUUAUAAUCAAUUAUAGUAUUUGAAUUAAAAUUUUAUUGUAAACAUUUUUGUAUUAUUAAUCUCAUAUUAUUUUUCUUUUUAAUAUACUAUAUGUUUUUUUUUUAUCUAUAUUCAUCAGUGCGGAAGGAAAAAAGACAAAUAAUAAAAGAUAGGUAAUGAACUUAACAAGUAUCAAUUCAUCCAGGGAACUGUAGGGGUAAACCACUUUACUUAAUUACUUGGAGAACAAAGCAUAGUCAAGUUAUAGAUUUGCUAGACCUAGUAGGAUUUGUAGUGAGAAUAUGACUAUUGGAUUGAGAGUAAUCCAAAGACUAUAGAAUAAUCCAACAGUCAGCUUUGAAAUUUAUUACUCUAUUUUCAUGUGUUUCUCAUUAUUGAAACAUAUUAGAGAUAUAAAUAAUACAUCAGUUUUUGCAAGUUAUUUGAGUUAAAUUCGGAUAACUUUUGAAUUCAAGCUCAACUUAUUGAGUGAGCCGAAUUCGAGCAUUUUAAUACACAAUUGGAGUAGUUUGUGAAUUUAAUUAAAUUUUUAUAUUUUAAUAUAUUUUAUUUUUAAUUAAAUUUUAUUAUUUUAUCUUUAUAUAUAUUUAUUAAUUUGAACUAAAUUCGAACAUAUAAUUGAGUUUGAAAUUAAGUAUUGAAAUUGAGUUCAUUUUUAAUUAAGUGAGCCUAAUAGAAUGAGCUCGAAUAAUUUGAUUUUUAUCUCAAAUCGAACUCGAACUUAAAAAUUAAGAUUUGAUCGAACUCUAACCGAAUUUCGAAUCAAGCUCGAAUCCAAACUUCUCACUGUAUUGAAUCGGUUGGACUCAAUUACAGCUCUAAUCAAACCCAAGAACAAAUCCAAACAAGCUUGGGAAAGAAAAGCAAGCCCAAACAAGCUAAAAACAACAAACCCAAACAAGGUCGAGAAAAAAAACUUAUAGCUUACAAGAUAAAGAUUUGUUUUUUAUUCUAUCAUUGCUUACUUAAAUGAAACAAAUGGCAAGAAUCACUGCUUCUUAGAACCUAUGGUAGUUAGCAUGUGUUAAUGUCGAGAUGAUGAUUGGAAAACCACCAUGGGAUUUUAUCAAAAACCUGAAAAACCUUGCGGUGGCAUUGCAUUUACAAGGGAUUUCUUCUCAAAGGUCUGUCAUCUUCUUCCUGUUUUAUAUAGUCUAUUAUCUGAUUCUUUCAAUUUGAACCAUAACCAUUCCAAUGAAACUACUAACACUGAAAACAUUACUUUAUGAAAAUAAUAACCAUUCCAAGACCUUCCUGAAGAUCUUGCUAAUGGCCUUAGAAACAAUGAGAUAGCAGUUUUCUCUAAGUGCCUACAGCCAUGUAAUUUCCAGCAAAAUAUUGCAAGGGAUUUGCCAUUGCUGGGCCAACUUUCUAAAAGUGGGAGGCUAUGGCCUUAGAAACAAUGGCUUACAUAUGAGAACUAUGUUGAAAUGGAUUUGGAUGGUGGUGAAAUAUUUGCAACAUGAACCAUGUCAACAAUUUCUUUCAUAUAUAUGCAAGCCAUUGCAAAUCAGGAAACAAUUCAAUGCUUGUACAUAAGAAUGAAUAUUGGACAUUACUGUUGGCAUCUGCAAUUAAAAGAUUGGUUAAAACCAGAAUUAAGCUGUUCUCAGAAAGAGCAAGAAACCCAAAAAUUAAGUCUUCAUAAUACAAUUUCCUAAGCUCAAAAGUUUGAAUAUUAACAACUUGGUCUAGAGGAAGGGAAAUUGAAAAAGUGGAAUUGGAAUUUGCGUAUAUUUUAAUCAAUAACAUAGGGAAUUAGUAUAGUUACAUUCCAGAAAAAGUGAAAAUCAGUGUCCAAUGUUGGUUUUGUUUACAUUUAUGACUUAUGGCACCAUUGAAGCUUCAGCAAUAGGAAACUCAUGAGAAUGAUUAUCCAAUCUAUUUGUAAAUGGUGCCACAGCAUAUUUUGUAUAUCUAAGAAUUAAUAAGUCUAAUUUUGUUACUUAGGUUAUACUACCUAUCUCUCAUAUUCGAUCAUUUGUAAAUAAGUGAGUGGUUUGUUGGGAAUAGUGACUAAAAUCCCAUAAAUGAUUUAUUUGAGAUUAGUUAGAUAUUGCUUGAUGGAUAAAAAGACUUGCAAAAGAGGAAUUCUAAGAGGAAAGAGAUUCUUAAUAGGUAAGUUUGUAUGCUUUUAAAUAAGCAAAGUCUCUAUAGGGUUAAGUAUGAAAAAAAGAUGUAAGAGAGUUGUAGGAUUUUAUCGGAUAGAUACCCUAUAAGACUACCGGGGAUUUACGUCUUAUGGGUGAGUAUGUUUGAAUAUUUGUGAGUGAACUAGAGGAGAUUGAAAGGGUCCACAUAGAUAUGGUGCAUUGGUGCAUAAGUGCAUGGGUGCACAUGGUGUGCAUGGGUGCACAUGGUGUGCAUGGGUGCACAUGGUGUGUAUGGGUGCACAUGGGUAUGUGUUUGUUUGAGUUAAGAAUAUUUCGUAGGACUAGAGAAGAUUAAGAGGGUCUAUAGAUAUUAAUUAUGAGUGCUUUCUAUAGAUUGUGUGUUUGUAAUUCUCUACAACUAGUGUAUCUUAUUUCUCAUCUAUGGACGUAGUUCAGUUGAGUCGAACCAUGUUAAAUUAUUGUCUAACAAGUGGCAUCAAAGCUGUAGUAGUCCCUAAAAGUAGUAUCAGAGCUAAAGUCUAAGACAUCAGAAAAGAUAAGCCUAGAGGAGCUUACUUCAAAAGAAGAGUUCGAGUUCAUUUUUUAAGGAUUGAGGAUCAAUUUGCAUGAAAUGUGAAGACAUACAAAAAAAGAUGAUUGUGAGAUUUCCAUUGCAGGUGAAGCUAAACAUGUCCAGCAUGAAAAUUGAUGAUUUGAUGGAAUUUGAGUCAAUGUGGAGAUUGUUCAGAAUAGUGACUGAAAUCCUAUAAGUGAUUUGUUUAAGAUUGGUUAAAUAUUGCUUGAUGGACAACUAGACUUGCAGAAGAAGAAUUCUAAGAGAAAAGGGAUUUUUAAUAGGCAAAUUUGUAUAUUUAUAAAUAUGUGAAGUCUCUAUAGGAUUAGGUAUGAGAAAAAGAUGUAAGAGAGUCAUAGGAUUUUAUGGUAUAGACACCACAUAGGACUACUAAAGAUUCAUGUUUUAUGGGUGUGUGUGUGUUUGAAUGUUUAUGAGUGGAUUAGAGGAGACUGAGAGGAUCCACAUAGGUUGGUACAUGGGUGCAUAUAGAUAUGUGUUUUUUUAGGUUGAGAAUACUUCAUAAGACUAGAGGAGAUUAAGAGGGUCUAUGGGUAUUAAUUGUGAGUGCUUGAUAUAGAUUGUAUGUUUGUAAUUCUCUAUAACUAGUGAAUCUUGUUUUUCAUUCGUGGACAUAGGUCAAUUUGGCCGAACCAAGUUAAAUUAUUGUCUCUUAUGUGAUUAAUUAAUUGUUUGAUUUCGCUUUCAUUGGUAUGAUUGGAUUGUGGCUUUUUUUGCCUAACAUAGGUUUCCUUGGUUAGGUUUAUUUGAUAAUCCAUUUGUAGGCCUAUUGCAAGGUUUUUAUGUUGUUUUCAAUGGGUGCUUUAACUAAAAAAUAUUAAAAUUUUCACCAUUAACGUUUGUUUUUAUUUUAUUUUAUUGACAUAUUAUUGAUUUAAUCUUUGAAUUUUACGAUCAAUCUAUUGAUUUUCAUUUUAUUUAUAUAUAGUAAAAUCAUUUACAUAAAAGUUAAAAAUAUUAAAUUUUACAUAUUCAAAAAAAUAAUUAUCAUUUUAAUUUUUUUGACAAAGAAUCUAAAAGAUUGUUUCAAUGAAAUUUACAAUUUUGAUCGAUAAAAAAAUUGUCAUGAGUCCUAUUCAGUCAUUUGUCAAAUUUUUUAUUGAAAAUCUUAAGAUGAUUAAAUUCAAAGUAGUUGGGAUAAUAAAAUGGACAAGAGAACUGCUUUAAGGAAAAUGACUAAUAAAGCCAAUCAUAUGUGGUCAAGUUGGGUUAAAAAAACAAAGCAAAAUACAAUGACACCUUGGGUUGGGGUAGAGUAGUUCAUCUUUUAAACAUAUGUACAUAUAAUAAUAUGUACAUUGUAGACACCCAAUUGGGUCCGGGCCCAGAUCAAUUGGGCUUGGCCCAAAGAGGUAAGGCCCAUUUCAAUCCUGUAUUUUUUUUUUCUUUUUCUUCUUUUGUAUUUUAUGUAUUUCAUUAUCAUUAUUAUUAUGUAUAUCUUUUGUGUAUUUAUUUUUUAUUUUAGAUUAGAUUUAUAUGUUAUUGUAUGUAUAUAGUAUAUAUUUAUUAUUAUUAUCUUUUUUUUUUUUAAUAUAUUUUGGGUUUUAUCUUAUGUUAUUUUUUAUAUUAUCUGUUAAUUUUAUCUGAUUUUUUUUUCCGAAUUAUCUGAUAUUAUUUUUUUAUUUUUAUACUAUCAUAUCUUUUGAUUAUCUAGUAUUUUUUUAUUUAUUUUUUAUUUUAAUUCUGGAUGGCUAAGAUUCAAAGUUGAAGAAUCCCACUCUGGAGGGGAAUUCAAUCAGAAGAGUCCAGUUGGAUUCAAAGACUGAAUUCCCGUCCAAGGAGGAAUUGGGAUUGAUCAGGAACUCCUGAUCAACCCCUAUAAAAGGGACCCUCUGGAACAAUGCUGAACACACAGAAAACAGUGAGCCUGAGCUACUGAUUUGAGGGGAAAAAGCGAAUAGAAGAGUGUAGAAGGCUAAGAAAAGGUUUAGGAGAGUUCUAGGAAUCAUCGGGAAUUUUUUGGGAAUUUUUUUGAAUUUUUUUUUUCUGGGAAUUUUUGGAAAUUCCAGAUUCCAGUUAUUUUUCCGGCCAAGUUUGAAUUUUCCGGCGACAAUUCCGGCCAAAUUUGAAGUUUUCGGCCACCUGCCCAGUUUCCGGCGAGGAAUCCCAGAAACCGGCGAAUAUUCCCAAAAACCGGCCGACUUCCGAUCAAAUUCCGGCAAAAUUUCCAGAUUCCGGCGACUUUCCCAGAAUUCGGCACCGGUGUUCUUCAUUUUCUAGAGAGAAGGGAGAGAAAAAAAGAAGAAGAGAGAGAGAGGGAGAAGCGUUCUGCCAAAAAAACGAAGGGGAUUGCCUUUUAUACCCUCCCAAAACGACGUCGUUUUGACUUUAAGUUAAUCAGAGGAUCCGCGCGUUUUGCCGUAACCCGACCCGACCCGGGCGUCGACCCGCUUUCUGACCCGCGCGUGCCAGCCCACUCCGAGCCGAGUCGAGCCGAGCCAAGCCGCCAAGCCGCUCCCCCGAGCCGUUUUCUCUUCCUUGAGCCAAGCCGAACCGAGCCGCGAUCCGAGCCGCUCCAGGUUUUUUUUUUUUUUAUAUCUUUGUUUAUUUGUUUAUUUUAUUUGUUUAUUUUUUAUUUAUUAGAUUAGGUUUAUGUAAUAUUCUUUUUAUUUAUUUUUUAUUAUUUUAUUUUCUUUAAAUAAAAAUAAAAAAAUUCUAAAAAAAUAUUUUUAGGGAAAAGUUGAAAGUAUCAAUUUUCCUUAAGAAUAAAUUUCCAAAAUAUAUUUUUAGGGAAAAAUUGAAAGUAUCAAUUUUCCUUAGAAAUAAAUUUCAAAAAAAAAAAAUUUUUAGGGAAAAGUUGAAAGUAUCAAUUUUCCUUAAGAAUAAAUUUCUAAAAAAUAUUUUUAGGGAAAAGUUGAAAGUAUCAAUUUUCCUUAAAAGAAAAAUAAAUUUCCAAAAAAAAAGUAUUUUUGGGGAAAAGUUGAAAGUAUCAAUUUUCCUUGAAAAUCAAAAUUUCAAAAAAAAAAAUAUAUUUUUGGGGAAAAGUUGAAAGUAUCAAUUUUCCUUAGAAAUAAAUUUUCAAAAAAGGGGUUUUUGAAGAAAAGUUGAAAGUAUCAAUUUUCCUUGAAAAUCGAAAUUUCCAAAAAAUAUUUUUGGAGAAAAGUUGAAAGUAUCAAUUUUCCCUAAAAAAAAAUCAUUCUUUCCUUCCUUUCUAUCUUAAUUUUGAUUUUGUUUUUUUUCUUUAAAUAAUCCGACGACGGAGCCUCUGUAAGUGAAACAGUAGUUUUUCUUGCAUACUCUUGAGGUGAGGGAAUUUUCUCAAUUUUCUGCUAAAAGUAUUAGAGUCAAUUGAGAAAAGUUUCCAAUAAUUAAUUACUUGGUAAAAUUUUAAGGCUUUUAGAUAACACAAAUUUAAGCUGGUACCAUCUUUUGAUGGGCGUUGUGAGGGUGCUAUAACCUUCUUCACACGUAACCGAACUCCCGAACCUUGUUCUGGUUAGCAGACCUGAACCUAUUCUUUUAGGGACCCUUAAACUUAGGUGUUCCCUGAAAGGACGGAUUCUUUAGGUGGCCAAUCGUACCUAGAUAAAAAAGAUUGGUGGCGACUCCCUAAAAGUCAAUGUCUAGCUAUAGAUCCCCGGAUCUAGACGUUACGACAGCUUGGCGACUCCGCUGGGGACCUUGAGAGUCAGGCCAGCAAAUAAUUUGUGUUAUCCAAAAGCCUAAUAAAAUUGAACCUUUUUGUAUAUAUAUGUAUUAUUGUUUAUUCAUGUUUAUUUACUUUGUUAAUUAUGUCAUUCAUAUGCAUGAGCAUAACAUGAGCUCUACACCCGAGCUCCGUCCUCUAGGAGGGAGUAAAGUACCUAUUGCUUUCGUGAGGUCUAAUACCUCCGCAGUGGCUAGCGAAAUACUCCCACUCAAAUUGAACCUUUUCCGCUUGUAGCCUGUAAUGGGUGAGGAUUAGGGUGCCUUACUAGUCUGUGAUGGACAAGGAUGUAAGGAGCAAUUUGAGGACCUUUAGACUCUGACCUUAAAACCGCAUGUAGUGAACCUUAAGAGUGCCUACACCUAAGAUAGAGCCCUUUCUGCCCAAUGAUAGAUAUACCCUAUAAUUAGGACACAAAAAAUGGUGGUUAUCUAAUCAUUUUGAUUGUUUAACUUUGUGUAUUAUUUUUAUCAUAUGUAACAUUAUGCAUCAGCAUCACUUUCAUUUCAUCCAUGGAACUAACUAUGUUGUUUGUCUGAUUGUAUGCAUCUGUAUUCUUUUCAUGAUCAUGUUUCAACACAAUCAUUUGCAUUCAUUUCAUACUAGAUUUCAUUCAAAAAAUGUACAUUUCAUUUAUGUAUCAAAGCAUCAUACAUAAGGUACAGCAUAACAUUUCUAAUCAUAAGUAUGGUACUCAAGGUCCGAGGAUAGCUCCAUCUAGCGAAAACCUUGCUCAUCCAUACAACACAAGAUCCAGAGCAAGGCAAAUGGAGGAGAAAAGUUCUCAUAGAUUUGAAAAGCUAGAAAAAGCUCAGGAGAAAAUUGAAAAUGAACUUAGCAAAAUUCUGGAGGCUCUCAAUAAUAUGAAUAAAGGAAAAGGAGUUGAAGGAAGUACAAGCCAGCAAGAAGUGGCUAACCCAUUGUACCCUCCAGAUUUUGGCCCACCUCAAGCCCAGUCUGCCCAAGAGGUCCCACCACAACAUUUUGCAUAUCCAACAUGUCCUGGAAUGCCAUCAGCUUUCAACCCAGGGCAGUAUAAUAGCUAUAUAAAUCCUGUCUUCACAGAAAAAGUAGCAGAACCAAUUCCUGAUCUAGAUGAUGUAAAAGAAAAAGAGAAGGAAAAGAUGAGAGUAGAAGCUGAGGAAAGUUCCAAGAUUAGUAUGUUAGAGCAGAGGCUAAGGGCUGUGGAAGGAUUUAGCUUUUAUGGGUCAGUUGACGCUGCUGGGCUCUGCCUAGUUCCUGAUGUGGUUAUCCCCUAUAAAUUCAAAGUACCGAAAUUUGAAAAAUAUGAUGGUACAAAGUACCCUAAAACCCACAUCACCAUGUAUUGCAGGAAGAUGGCAGCUCAUGCACAUGAUGAAAAACUCUUGAUGCAUGUCUUCCAGGAUAGUCUUACUGGUUCUGCUGCCAGGUGGUAUGUUCAGUUGGAUAGAACCCACAUUCGCUCGUGGAGCGAUAUGGCACAUGACUUUAUCAGUCAAUACCGACAUAUCAUCGAUUUGGCCCCUGAUCGUUUGUCUUUGCAGAAUCUGGAGAAAAAGUCAAACGAGUCUUUUAAAGAGUACGCCCAGAGAUGGAGAGAUAUAGCUUUACAGGUACAACCUCCUCUGACAGAAAAAGAGACCACAGUGCUAUUUGUUAGCACUUUGAAACCUCCUUAUUAUGAAAAGAUGAUAGGGAAUACAACAAAGAAUUUUGCUGACAUGGUAAUCUCUGGAGAAAUUAUUGAAAGUGCCAUAAAAAAUGACAAGUUGAAAGGAGGAGAAACCAAGAAGGCAUCAGAAAAGAAAGAAGCUCAAGCUCAAGCUGUGAGCUUCGAUAGACAACAAUUCAGGGGUUAUCAACCCUAUCCAUCCCAAGGCUACUCUCCAUACUAUCCCGCUGUGAAUAAUGCCUCAUCCUACCCAUACCAGCUAGCUCCCCAACCAUCUUAUUCAUCCACUUAUCGCCUUAACAUUCAAGCUCCUGUAAGAACCCAAAUCCGCCCUACUAACCCAGCCAGUGGCUCGCGAGAACAACGGACUACUCGAGAAAAACCUGUAUUUGAUCCAAUCCCUAUGACUUAUACAGAGUUAUAUCGAGAGCUUUAUAAUAGCCAUUUGAUUGCCCCCAGCCAUGUGGAACCACUUAAACCACCCUAUCCAAAGUGGUAUGAUCCUACAGCCCGUUGUGACUAUCAUUAUGGAAUUACUGGCCAUUCUACUGAAAAUUGCACUGCUUUAAAGUAUAAGGUGCAACGGUUGAUCAAUGAUGGAAUGGUAAGUUUUGAUCAAGGAAAAGCAACAGCACCUAAUGUUAGUGUACUGAGCGAAAGUCAAGAACAGAAAGGAUCCGGAGAUUCACAAUGAAUUGAGGGGCAAGAUGUCAAUGGAGAUAAGGCUGGUUGAAGGUUUCUUCUGUCAUUUUGGGAUUUCUUUUCAAAAAUGUUAGAUUUUUUUUUUGCAAUAUGACUUCACUUGUUAUCAUUUUAAUAAAAGUAAGUCAAUGCAUUUCAUUACAUUUUUCUCUUUCACUUUACCAUUAUUCCAUGCCUUGUUACCUUCCAUAACUUCACACUCCCAUUCUUAAAUUUCAGAUGAUGAAUAUUUAGACAAUGAUAACAAUAAUUCUAGAAUUUAAUUUUGAGAACUCAUUCACAGAGGAGAUGAUUUGAGCGAAAAUAAAGAGGGUAAGCCAUCACCAGAGAUGAAAGAGAUAUAUCUUGAAGGUGUGCAAUCUUUUAUACAAGUUCAUGAGCUUUGUUCAAUAGAUGAUGUUCAAGAAAGGUAUUCACAAUUGAGAUAAAAAAUGGCCAUCUUUCUUUUACCAUUUGAAAAACCAUUUAUUGCUACCCCUUUGAACCUAUUAUGAUUUCUUUUUCGGAGAAACCCCAACCAAGGAUCACCCUCUACACUGGGGGGCAAUUUUUGAAAAAAUUUUCACAAAAGGUCUCAAAAAUAAAAAAAUAAAAAAAAUAAAAAAAAGAAAAAAUGCCACACAUGACUUGGGGCAAAGUAAUGAGAAUCCUUUGUGUGAAGCAGUGAAAUGAUGUGGGGCAAAAUGCCAAGCUGCAUCAAAUGAUCCUUUGGUCUUGAACCUUUUUAAUAUAUGUUUUAAGCCUAUUAUAUCCAUUUUUUUAUGACCCUUCACCUUGGCCUACAUUACAACCUUGAAAAGUCUAUUUGGAUCAAGUGUGAAUACCCAACUUGAAUGGUCAUAUGUUGAGCAAAGAUAUGCUCAUGAUGAAGCAAUGGAAUCAUGCUACAUGAAAGAUAUCAACACUGGAUGAAAAAUAAGAAAAAAAAAAAAAGAAAAAAAAAGGAGAAAAAAUGAGAAAAUGAAAAAAAAAAAAAAAGAUCCAAAUUGAAAACCUGAAAGGGUGAUUUUGGUACCAAAAAAAAAAAAAAAGAUCCAGGUCAAAUGGCUCACAUGAAUGAAAGAUCAAAGACAUCUGAAGAUCCCUCAAAGACUGGGGCAGAGUUCGCCAAGCUCAAGAUGACUUCAACUGUAAAUGGAAUGAGUUUUUGAAAAAAAAUCCUAGAUUAAUGUUGAGAAUUGUCUGAAUAUUCAUCAUUUGGACAUACCAUCCAUCCCAAUGACAUGUAUCCAAUUCACUUCCUUUCCCAUUUGCUUUGUACCAAAACAGAUCUUCAUUGAUUAUCUUUACCAUAAUUCACCUUGCCUUCUCUUAUUGUUUCACCCCUAGAAUGAAUUGAGAAAAUGCUUGGUUGCAUUGUAUUUGUCAAAAAUUAAAAUGAUAAUAAAUGAAUGAAUAUGUGCUUAAAAGAGUCUUGCAUUCAUUUGAAAAGAAAUCUAAGAUGAUGGUGGAGACAAAAUGAAGAAAUGGUAGAAACCUAGAGGAGAUGAUUUAGAAGGAUAUAUGAUGUGAUCAAAUGAAAAAAUAGGGCAGUGAUACAAUCAAGUGAUGAGUACGAGGAUGAUUUGGUCAAUAUGACUUGCAAGUUGUGAUUGAAUGAUGAAGACAAAAUCUGUUUUGGAAAGGUUAAUGCUGAGACACCUAUGAGUAAUGACCCAAUGAUGGUGGAUGAAACUUGUUUUGAAAUUUGCUAGUGCUGAGAAAUUCAUUGAAUGAUGGUCAAGGGAUUAUCGAUUGAUGAAGCUUAUUCCAAAGUAUUGAGAAACUAAACAAAGAAGAAUGUGAGUGAAAAAGACAAUUAAGAGCUACACUGGUUCAAUCUUAGAAGAGCAGUGUAAUUGGAUCCCUGAAGAAUCAAAAGGCUGGAUGCUUAAGAAAAGAGCUUGAGAAAUUUGAGUACCAUACAUUGAAUAGGAAUUAUUUGGCCAACAUUUGCAUAACAUGCAUUGAAAUUCAUAUGCAUUUGCAUAGCAUACACUACUUUCAGGAAAGUAUAGUGUACAAAUUCAAGAAGCAGGGGUGUUCCAACAUCUCACAUGGAAAAGACAAAUACGAAAAGACUUUGCAAGUUUGAGAAGAAGCUUGUCAGGUAAGUUCCUAAUCCUUGAAAUAGGAUGUCUCUUGGUAUUGGGGUUGAUUUAUAAGACCUUUGGGCAUAAUCUCCUGAAAUCCUCAAACAACAACUUUCAACUCCUUCGGACAUGAUUGUCUAGGAGUAUUUACUUUUCAAAGUUCGUUGCCUCUGUUUAGAGGAGCAAUUUACUUUUCAAAAGUCGUGGUGCCUCUGUUUAAAGGAGCAAUUUAUUUUUUAAAAGUUCGUUGCCUCUGUUUAGAGGAGCAAUUUACUUUUUCAAAAGUCGUGGUACCUCUGUUUAGAGGAGCAAUUUAUUUUUCAAAAGUUCGUUGCCUCUGUUUAGAGGAGCAAUUUACUUUUUCAAAAGUCGUGGUACCUCUGUUUAGAGGAGCAAUUUAUUUUUCAAAAGUUCGUUGCCUCUGUUUAGAGGAGCAAUUUACUUUCCAAAGUCGUGGUACCUCUGUUUAGAGGAGCAAUUUAUUUUUCAAAAGUUCGUUGCCUCUGUUUAGAGGAGCAAUUUACUUUCCAAAGUCGUGGUACCUCUGUUUAGAGGAGCAAUUUACUUUCCAAAGUCGUGGUGCCUCUGUUUAGAGGAGCAAUUUACUUUUCCAAAGUCGUGUUACCUCUGUUGAGAGGAGCAAUUUACUUUUCAAAGUUCGUUGCCUCUGUUGAGAGGAGCAAUUUACUUUUCCAAAGUCGUGGUACCUCUGUUGAGAGGAGCAAUUUACUUUUCAAAGUCGUGGUGCCUCUGUUGAGAGGAGCAAUUUAUUUUUCCAAAGUCGUGGUGCCUCUGUUUAGAGGAACUUCGGCAAAAAAAUAAAAAUAAAAAAAUAAAAAAAAAACAAAAAAAACACAAAAAAAAAACCAAAAAACAAAAAUUAAAAAAAAAAAAAUCAAAAAAUAAAAAUGUUGAGUUGAGUCUUGAUUGGGUGUCUACGUCUUUGCGCAAUUUCUGUUUCACAGAAAAUGUGCAAAGAGGGGCAGCUGUAGACACCCAAUUGGGUCCGGGCCCAGAUCAAUUGGGCUUGGCCCAAAGGGGUAAGGCCCAUUUCAAUCCUGUAUUUUUUUUUCUUUCUUUUUCUUCUUUUGUAUUUUAUGUAUUUCAUUAUCAUUAUUAUUAUGUAUAUCUUUGUGUAUUUAUUUUUAUUUAGAUUAGAUUUAUAUGUAUUGUAUGUAUAUAGUUAUAUAUUUAUUAUUAUUAUUAUCUUUUUUUUUUUUUAAUAUAUUUUUGGGUUUAUCUUAUGUUAUUUUUUUAUUAUUAUCUGUUAAUUUUAUCUGAUUUUUUUUCCGAAUUAUCUGAUAUUAUUUUUUUAUUUUUAUACUAUCAUAUCUUUUGAUUAUCUAGUAUUUUUUUAUUUAUUUUUUAUUUUAAUUCUGGAUGGCUAAGAUUCAAAGUUGAAGAAUCCCACUCUGGAGGGGAAUUCAAUCAGAAGAGUCCAGUUGGAUUCAAAGACUGAAUUCCCGUCCAAGGAGGAAUUGGGAUUGAUCAGGAACUCCUGAUCAACCCCUAUAAAAGGGACCCUCUGGAACAAUGCUGAACACACAGAAAACAGUGAGCCUGAGCUACUGAUUUGAGGGGAAAAAGCGAAUAGAAGAGUGUAGAAGGCUAAGAAAAGGUUUAGGAGAGUUCUAGGAAUCAUCGGGAAUUUUUUGGGAAUUUUUUUGAAUUUUUUUUUCUGAGAAUUUCUGGAAAUUCCAGAUUCCGGUUAUUUUUUCGGCCAAGUUUGAAUUUUCCGGCGACAAUUCCGGCCAAAUUUGAAGUUUCCGGCCACCUGCCCAGUUUCCGGCGAGGAAUCCCAGAAACCGGCGAAUAUUCCCAGAAACCGGUCGACUUCCGGCCAAAUUCCGGCAAAAUUUCCAGAUUUCGGCGACUUUCCCAGAAUCCGGCACCGGUGUUCUUCAUUUUCUAGAGAGAAGGGAGAGAAAAAAAGAAGAAGAGAGAGAGGGAGAAGCGUUCUGCCGAAAAAACGAAGGGGAUUGCCUUUUAUACCCUCCCAAAACGACGUCGUUUUGGCUUUAAGUUAAUCAGAGGAUCCGCGCGUUUUGCCGUAACCCGACCCGACCCGGGCGUCGACCCGCUUUCUGACCCGCGCGUGCCAGCCCACUCCGAGCCGAGCCGAGCCGAGCCAAGCCGCCAAGCCGCUCCCCCGAGCCGUUUUCUCUUCCUUGAGCCGAGCCGAGCCGAGCCGCUCCAGGUUUUUUUUUUUUUUUUUUUUUUAUAUCUUUGUUUAUUUGUUUAUUUUAUUUUUUAUUUUUUAUUUAUUAGAUUAGGUUUAUGUAAUAUUCUUUUUAUUUAUUUUUUAUUAUUUUAUUUUCUUUAAAUAAAAAUAAAAAAAUUCUAAAAAAAUAUUUUUAGGGAAAAGUUGAAAGUAUCAAUUUUCCUUAGAAAUAAAUCGCCAAAAAAAAAAAUAUUUUUAGGGAAAAGUUGAAAGUAUCAAUUUUCCUUAAGAAUAAAUUUCCAAAAUAUAUUUUUAGGGAAAAAUUGAAAGUAUCAAUUUUCCUUAGAAAUAAAUUUCCAAAAAAAAAAUAUUUUUAGGGAAAAGUUGAAAGUAUCAAUUUUCCUUAAGAAUAAAUUUCUAAAAAAUAUUUUUAGGGAAAAGUUGAAAGUAUCAAUUUUCCUUAAAAGAAAAAUAAAUUUCCAAAAAAAAAGUAUUUUUGGGGAAAAGUUGAAAGUAUCAAUUUUCCUUAGAAAUAAAUUUUCAAAAAAGGGGUUUUUGAAGAAAAGUUGAAAGUAUCAAUUUUCCUUGAAAAUCGAAAUUUCCAAAAAAUAUUUUUGGAGAAAAGUUGAAAGUAUCAAUUUUCCCUAAAAAAAAAUCAUUCUUUCCUUCCUUUCUAUCUUAAUUUUGAUUUUGUUUUUUUUCUUUAAAUAAUCCGACGACGGAGCCUCUGUAAGUGAAACAGUAGUUUUUCUUGCAUACUCUUGAGGUGAGGGAAUUUUCUCAAUUUUCUGCUAAAAGUAUUAGAGUCAAUUGAGAAAAGUUUCCAAUAAUUAAUUACUUGGUAAAAUUUUAAGGCUUUUGGAUAACACAAAUUUAAGCUGGUACCAUCUUUUGAUGGGCGUUGUGAGGGUGCUAUAACCUUCCUCACACGUAACCGAACUCCCGAACCUUGUUCUGGUUAGCAGACCUGAACCUAUUCUUUUAGGGACCCUUAAACUUAGGUGUUCCCUGAAAGGACGGAUUCUUUAGGUGGCCAAUCGCACCUAGAUAAAAAAGAUUGGUGGCGACUCCCUAAAAGUCAAUGUCUAGCUAUAGAUCCUCGGAUCUAGACGUUACGACAUACAUGAUUGUUGAAUUUGAAAGGUAUGUGAAACUUCUAUAUAUUAAGAAAAUAUAAUGUUAUAUAUAUAUAUUAAUUUUCAUCUUUCAAAAUGCUCAUUUAAUUAAUUAUUUCAAUAAUACUGAAAUUUAUAUAUAUUUAUAUAUACAUAUUUAAUACUUAUUUAAAAUUCAUAUUCGAUAAAAAUUAUCUGUUAUUAAUUAAAUCCCUUUUUUUUUAAUACGGCCAUGCAACAACAUUGAUAUUGAUAUAUAUAUAUAUAUCCCAUCAUCACUCGUUACUGAUUACAAUAUCGAUUGAUGUCCACUAAAUCCAACCUAUAACUUCUCAAAAUAAUAAAAAAUAUUCAUUUAUUUAGGAAUAAACCUAUAGUGAAAGAGAAUAUGCCCUAAAUGGGGUCCUAAUAUUUUGUGUAUCUAACAAGAUCUUGGCUUGUUUUAUGACAAGAAGGAUGCUGUCAUCCUUGAAAUUAAGGAUAGAGAAGAGAGGAUGACAGCUUAGCAAUUGGAUGGGUUUAUUGAAGAUAAAAGUUUUGCUUUCUUUACAAUAAGUUAAAAGAUAGUUUGUUGUGGCUAAGUUGGGUCCCUAAUGGAAAAGGUUGGGAUAGGAUUUGAUUAUCGACAUAAUUAAUAUGAAAAUUUUUUUAUUGGUAAAAAAAAAAAAACAUUGAGCAAAGUUCAAAAAUCUUUUGUUGUUUAACAAAAAUAAUUAAUAGGAGAGUUUCAUGUUUCUAUCGAAAUCUUGACCUAUAACUUGAAUUUUCCUUUCUUUAAUAUCCUCGUCAUUGAAUGUAAAGUUUUUUUUAUUAGAAAAUUUUAACAAUUUUGUGAUUAAGGGAUAUGAGUGAGGGUGAUUAUUUACUUUAUAUAUAUAUUAUUGGUUAACACAUCAGAAGCAAAUUUGUCUUUUGUCCCAGUAUUAUAAUGUUUAAUUCAAAUUUAUAUAUUUUCUAGUGCUACGAGAAAUAUAUAUAUCGAAGGGGAGAGGAAAAUUAUUGAAUUCUAAAUUUCUAGCUUGGUAAGGCAAAUUAUGAUUAACUUAGAAAUUAAAUUAUAAAAACUUUAGGCUUACUUAGUUGGUUCAUAAAAUCAUUUUUAAGAUAUGAUAUUUAUCAAAUUAAGAGUUUAAAUCCCAAUACUUAUAAUCCAUUUUUCUAUCUUUAAGUUAUGAUAUUUUUAUAUAAAAAAAUUAAAUUUUAAACUGUCUUAUAUUGAAAAAGUGACGGUUAAUAUUCCUUAAAGAAAAGUUAUUUAUAAUAUUGCAUCAUAAUGCUAUAGCUUUGAUAAAAGAAAUAUUGGCUAUAUAUUGUUAUUUCAUUCAAAAAUUAAUUCUAUACUUUUAGCCAAAAAGGGAGAGAGAGAGUAGGAUAAAGAAGCAUUUCUCAGUUCUAUACUUUUAUUUUACUGAUUUUUACCUAGUGUAAUAUUUAAAUUAUAAGACCUAAGUGAAGUUUCUUACCUGCAAAUAUUAAUUAGGUUAAUUCCUUCUAAAAAAUUAUUACAUGUGUUAUACCUCAAGAUGGAGGAGUUAAAAUUUGGAAAAUUAAGGUGGGUUAAUACUUAAUAUUAAGUCAGAAAAUUUAAUACAUGGCUUGAUUUGAUUAGGAAGUUAUACAUUUGCAUUGAGUUAAUUACACAUAUGUUAGAGUCCGAACAAUAAAAAAAUUAAUAUCUAAAUAAAAAUAUAUAAUUUACAUCUUAAACUUUCAAAUUAGAUAUCGUAUUAAUCCAUUCAAUAAUAAACAUCAUUAACUCAACUUGUCUACCUGACAUCUCAUAAUACAACCAUUCCAUGUGGAGACCACAUAUUAAAUUACAUUAUUGAAUAAUUUUUUAAAAAUUUCAAGUGAAUGCCACAUGGCAACACACUAUUGAUCCAAGAAAAAUUUUUGUCAUCACUAUUGAUCCAAGUCAAUUGUCAUAGUGAUAAAUUUUUAAUUGUGAGGAUAUACAGUCAACAACAAUAUAUUAUGUUUGAUGGUGACAAAAGUUUUCCAAACAAAAAGUAAAGUAUUAUGUGAUAAACUAUUCUUUCAUCACAACAACGUCUAAUAGUAGUGAUCACUUUAUAUCUAGUCACUAAUAUAUUACUUUUUGCCAAAAAUCAUUUAUCGCAAAUUUGUGUAUUUUAUUAGUGACGAUUUUAUAGUGACAAAUAAUUUUGUGUCACAAAACAUAUUUAUAGUAACAAUUUAAUUACAAAAAAUUUUAUACUGUCACGUUACUGUUGUAUUAGUGACUGAAUAACAAUUUGUUACAAUUACUUAUUUAUAAUAGUGUUAUAAAAAAUUUCGUCACAAAAAAUCUAAUAUUUUGACAAAAUUACUCAUAGUUAUAAUAAAAUCGUUACUAAAAAUCUUAAUUGUUGUAGUAUACCUUUUCUUUUCUUUUUUUAUUGUGCAAUUAAAAUAAAAAAAGCAUUUUAAGAUUAUAGAAGUAACUAAAAUGAAAAAUACCGAAAUGAAAAAUAAUUACAGAAAACUUAAGUUUUUAUGUUGUAAUGAAUUUCUGGUUGAUUCUUCCGUUUUGAUUCAUCUUGGACCGUAAAAAGUAGAAGAUUGAAGGUAAUUUCAAAGAACUAAUAAAAUAAAAUAAAAAACCAUCAUUCACAUUAAGAAAAUCUAUGCCUAACUUAAGAAAAACCAAUCAAUCAAUUCCAUAUUCACUUUUUGGAAUCCAAAUACCGAAAGCAUCCUUAUUAGGAAAAGGAAAUUGAAAAUGAAAACAAUCCAACCUCUGUAUAUAUUUAUUGUAUUCCCAACUUAAUACUUUAAGAAAAUGAUAACUGAACAAAUUGAGUUAUUUCAAAUUAAAAAAAAAAAAAAUCAGACCAUUUUGAAUUCAAAUUUUUUAAAUUUGAUAUUUAAGUUUUCUAAGUUUGGAUCAUCGAAUUUAGGUUAAUUAGAAUCAAAUUGUUGAAUUUUAAAUUAAUUAUAUAAUUAAAUAAAAUUUGAUUCAUUAUUCAAAUAUAAAAUGCAUUAUUGAUUGGGAAAAUAACUAAAAUGUUGACAGCCAAACUCUCAAAGAAGAAGUAAAACCCAAGUGGGCAGUGUACCUGAAAGGCAUAAAAUAAGUUGUGAAUUCCAUGCAUGUGUUGGGGAACAAAGUGAGGGUCCUGCAAUUAGGUCCAAAAGUUGGAAAGCCAGCAAGAGAUACCCCGAAAUGAAAACAAAACAAAGCUAAGGUGACAUUGCCAAGUAACGUAGGAACUCAGCUUCUUUUAGAUCUUUGAGAACGGAAAUUGAGAAUGGAAAAAUAAAAGAAAAAAAAAAAGCUGAAAGAGAGGGUCUUGGAGACUAUAUAUAGGAAUGAAAAGAGGAAGAGUGGAGUAUUUGGGCAAGAAAUGAGAGACAAAAAUAUAUUCAAUAUAAAGCCAAAGAUAUGCAUGGUUUUGAAUUUUCAAAAAAAAAAUUUUUGAAUGUACAACUUUUUAUAUAUAGACGUCACUAGCUUAUUACCUAUGCAAUACAUGGAUUAUCUUUAUUUACUUAAAUGUAUUUAGUAUAUAAAUUAAUAUUAUUUAAUCACUUAGAUGUUUAAUAUAUAUGUAUACUACAAAUAAUAUAAUUAAAAUAUCAAAACAUAAUAAAAUUAAAUUUGUUUAAUUCAAAAAUUCAAAACAUAUAAUAAUAUUUGAGAAAAAAUAAAAUAUCCAAAAGGUUUAUGUUUAAAUAGUAUUAUUUAGUUUAUCAAUAAAAUAUUAAAUUGAAAACUAAAAGUUUCAUCACUUUAAAUUAUCUUCAAUUUGUGCCAUUUUCUCUUGUGUAAUCAUUUUUAUACACCUACAAGUUUAUAUAAUUGUAAGAUAAAUUUUAUUUAUUUAAAAAUAAUAAUAAUUUUAAAUGUUUAAAUAAUAUACGUGAUAGUUUAGUCGCAUGUACAUUCUUUGCAUGAAUUUUAGUAAUAUCUUGAUCUUCAAUAUCUAUAAGAUUUAACAAAUUAAUUUUUAUAUAUGUUUUAUGCUUUACAUUUGAUGCAAAAUUGUAUUACUAUAAAAGCUGAAAUGAAAUAAUUUUAAAAUUUAAGUAAUAAUAUUAAAUUUUAAAUAAUUAUUUUAAAAAUUUGUUGUAAAACGAUUCAAGGGGAAGGUGUCAAUUUCCAUUCACAUGAUUUUAUAAUAAUUUCAAAGGUAAAAAAAUUCGCUUUUUGCUUUUACUACUUAUGUCUCAUUUCUAGGGAAAAAAACCAAUAAUACUAUAAAAGAAUUAAAUUAUAAAAACUUAAUGUCAAAUAAAUAAACAUGAUUUUAUUUUUAUGUAAAAUAAUUAUGUUAGAAUUAGUAUUGUAUUUCAGUCAUUUGUCUUUAUUUAUAAAUUUUAAAAAAUAAAUAAAUAAAAGAAAAGCCAACAAAAUCAAUAAUUAAAAAUAAGCUUACACAGUCUUUUUUAAAUAAAUAAAUCCAAGAAACAUUGCUUAAACAAUUAAAUUAAUUUUUUUUUACCUUUAAUUGUUGAAAUACCUUAGAAGAGUCAUUAUUAUGCUAAACCGAUUUUUUUUUCUCUGCUCCAACAUCUAAGAAUUGACAAAAAAAUUUUUAUAAGAUCCAUGCAUAUACUCAAGAACAAAGAAAAUAUUCAAAACUUUCAUAAAAAUUUCAAAAACAAGAAAAAAUUAUAUUGAUUUUAACUUUUUAAUACAAAAGGUUUUGUGCAUCUCAAAGGUUAAAAGCCAUUUCCUUGCAAGCAUAAAGGUUGGGAAAAAAAAAAGAAAUAGAAUUAACAUUGAGAGCAUCAUUAAAGAAUAAAUUAUCUUAUGAUGUAUGUGAUAUUUGGUCUUUUCAAAUUUAAAAAUAAUCAAAUAAUAAAGGAUUAUUACAAAAUCUCUAAAAGUAAAAAACUAUAUUUUAAAAUUUCAGAUUUAAAAUGACAUAUAUUUAAAAUUAUUAAAAAAAUCUAUUUUAAAAUAUGAUUAUAUUUAGACCUAGCAAUUAUAAAUGUGACACAAUAACAUGAUACAAUAACAAUAUAAAAAAAUCAUGUGUGGGUUUAGUAUAAUCGCGUUUCGUGUCUUAAUUGUAUCGAUACAGUUAAGAUAUAACAUUAUUCGUAUUGUGUUCGUGUUAAACAAUAAUAACAUGCUUAAGACGUGGUACUGCUGAUAACGUAAAAAAAAUUUUAGAAGUUAUUUUAAUUUAUUUAAAAAAUAAAUUAAAAUCAUAUUUAUUUUAUCAUUUUGGUGUUUAAAUAAAUUAUAAAUAUUUAAUUUUUAAAUAGUUUUUUGUUUAAAUACUAAUUUAAAUAAUUUUUUAUUUAAAUAAAUGGAUUAAUUGUGUCUAAUAAUGUUAUUCAUAUAUAAUUAUAUUAAUCAUGUUAUGUGUGAUGUUAUUUGGGUAUAAAUUAAUUUGAAAUGUAUUAAUUUUGUCUUGUCACAUGUAACACGUAUAAUAAACGUGUCAUGUUUGUGUUUAGGUUAUUCGUGUCAUUAAAAUAUUUGUGAUAUGUUCAUGUCAAAAUUAUUUAUGUCAUAUCUAAAAUCAUGUCUGACACAAAACACGACACGAUAACAUGAAUUACUGAUCUAAUUACAUUUGAGGUUUUUAGAUUUAAAAAGAUAUAUAUUUAUAUUAUUAGGAAACCUAUUUUAAAAAAUAAUAAAUCACUAUAUUUGAAAAUUUUAAAUUGAAAAAAAUAUAUAUUUAGAUUAAUGCAUUUUUAAAAAAAUAAAUAUUUAAAUUAAAAUUUGUUACUAGCAACUUAAAAUAAUUGAAUUGCUUUUUCACUUAAAUUUAAAAAUUUUGGAUAAUUAAAUGAUCUUUAAAUAUUUAUUUUUUGAUAAAUUGUUUAAAAGGAAAUAUCUUGAAUAUCAUUAUAAAGAGAAGUUUUAGUGAUUUUCUUAUGUAUCAAAAGAAAAACAUCCACCUAACGUCCAUAUAAAUAAAUUUUAUUAGAAUUCUAUGUAUAUUAUAAUAUAAUAUUAUAUAUAAUGUGUCUUUGUAAUUGUAAAUAAAAAAAGUAUUACAUUGACAUAUAUAGUUAACAUGAACAUCUGCAUACAUAUAAACUCGUUUUUUAGAGAUAUAACAUAUCAUUGAUUAUUAAAAGUAUAAUUAUUAUUUAUUAGAUGUAAAAUCUUAUACAAUUAUGUAAACUCAAUUGCAUAAAUGUAAAAAUAUAUCAUUCAUCUAUAGAAAAAUAAUCCAAUAAAAUUAUACAUGAUCGAAAAUACUUUUAAUUUUGAAGGAAUUCCUUUUUUUCUUUUCUUUGUUGGUUUGGGUGGUGAAUGGGUCGGUAGAGGUGGGCACUGGCAACAAACUUUUGCAUGUGGGAUUCGUGGGGAUCUGGUUAUGCUUUGUAAUAUGGGUCCCUUAAAUCAGACCCUUCAUUAUGUAAGUUGCAGAUGAUGACAUCUAAAGGGUCCACACUGGAUUAUAGAGAAAAAAAAAAGAGUAAAUAUUGCUGAAAAUUUAAAAUUCAAUUUCAAAGGCUUAAGGCACAUUUCGAAUCGGACCCAAUUUUAGUCUAUAUCCCAAAGUCAAUUUUCCAUGGGUGUGAAUGGAAAAAAAAUUUUGAGUUCGCCAGAUAUUCAAGUAAUUUUAGGAGGAAAAAUUAAGCAACAAUUAUCAAAAUUAUUUUAAUUAUAAUGUUGUUGUAAAUCCAAACUAAAAUUUAGUUAAUUAUUUAGACAUUGUUACAUUUUUUAGUAUAGGGAGGAUUCAAUUUGAAAGUAAUAAAAAUGGAAUGCAUAUGUUGAAAAUUAAAUUUUAAAUUUUUUAAAACAUUAUUUGUUAAAAAAUUAUAGCAAUUAAUUGAGUUAAAUAUCAAAUUAAACAUUAUUAUAUUUUUGUAAAUUAACAACAUGUUUGAAUAUGAAAGUAAACUUUAUAUAUAGACUAAUAGCAAGUUUAAUUUUUUAAUAUCACUUCAAUUAGCAAAUUAUAUUUAAUUCAAGUAUUAUAAUACUUAGACGUGCUUUGAUUGUUAAUUUAAUUGAAUUUAUUCUUUUUCAUAUCUUGUAUUUACAUGAUAUACCUAUAAUUUUGUAUUAAUUACUUAUAAAAAAUCAAGUUGAACUAAAACUCAAUCUAACUUAAAGUAAAUUUUUUUAACUUCAAGUUGAACUCAAAUUUCAUAUCAUAAACUCUUUGACUCAAUUAUAUCUCAAUCUAAAUUAGUAAUUAAUGUAUUUGGUACUGUUGUAACGGUCUUGGGACCGCCAUAUGUAAAGAAUUUUAAAAUCGAGAAAAAGAUAAGAGUCACCACCAAUCAUAUUUAAGGAGUAAUUGGUCACCCAAAAGUUUAUCUUUUUAAUAAGACUAUAAAAGUGGGUUUAAAAUUUAUCAAAAAGAUAAAUUUUGAUUUACGAAAAUCAGGUUGGGUGUGGGAGUCGGUUAUGUGUGGGGAAGGAUUAGCAUCCCUACUACGCCUAUAAAUUGGUACCAUUUAAUCAUGUGCUAUUUUUGGUGUUGGAUAAAAUGGUUUCAAUUUGAAAUUUAAUACUAAUUCCCUUCAUUUAAAAAAAAUAUUUUUUUGCUAAAAUUCUUUAUUUAAAAAUAUUGAGAAAAUUUUUAUGCUAAAAAAUUAUAUUAAAAUUCUCCAACAUCUACUUUUUUACUUAAGAUUUGACACAAUAUUCCAUAAAGUAAAAAUUACCUCUUUGUAGAAGAUAAUUGUUAGUGACUCUUCAACAUCUAAGUAGAGUACUGAGAAUUAUUUCUUUCAGAAUGUUAUUUUUGUUUUAUAAAAAAAUUCUUUUUUUGUUUUGUAAAGCACUUUGUAUGAGAAAGUAAAUAAUGGUAUUAUUAGGUGACAAAUAAAGAUCAAAGAUAGAGAAAUGCGAAAUGAGUAUUAAUAAUAAUAUAAUGAUGUAUAUAUAUGCCAAUGGAUAUUAUGCUAGAUGAUGAAUGCGAUACAAACAAAUGGAUUCUUAAAUAUAACGAGACCACCUUGACCUUUCAACAUCUAGGCAGAGCUUAGGUGUGACUAUUUAUAUUUAAGAUCUCAUUUUAUUAUUAUACCUUUAUUAUUAAUCAGUUAUUAACCUUAUUUGUUUAAGGGAAUUAAAGACUCGCCUGAAAAACUUAAUGGAAGAAAGUUUCCUCAAUAUCCCAUCAUCUAAGCAGCAUCCAGGAAUAAAUUACUCCACUUGAGAUUUUCACACGAAUCCUUAAAGUUUCGGAAUGGCUUUGAAUAAAGGUUUAGAUCGAGGUUUUUAAAGUUUGGGAUUUCAAGAUUUUGGAAUUUGGGGUUUUGGUUUGAGUUUAAAGGGUUUUAGAACUUGAAUUUUAGGGUUUGGAAAGUUUAAGGUUUUGACUUAGGAUUUGAUGAUUGGGUUUUUUUAUUUUAGGGUUUUUAAAAAAAUUUUAGAAGGUUUAAACUUAUUUUAUUUAUUUCUAUUUAAAAACGCGAACAUCUCUAAAAAUCUCCAACAUCUAGGUGGACUUUCGGAGCAAGUCCAAUUUUUAUAAAUCUUUUGUUUUUGAAAAUUAAUAAAAAAACAUAUAUAUUUUUUUGUAAAAAAAAAUUACUAAUUUAUUUACGGUUUUUGUUUUUGUUUUCCUUUUUUAUAAUAAUAAUUCCCCAACAUCUAGACGAAAUUAUUAUUAUUUAAAAGAUGAUUUAGUUUCCUCUAACAUCUAGGUAGGGAAAAUUCUUCUUCUACUAAUUUAUUUCAUCACCAUUUUAUACUUAUUUUAUUAUUAUUACUUAAAACUUGGGUUAUGAUUCAUAAAGAAAAUUAAAAAGAAUCAAAAGUUUUUUUUUUAAUUUGUGUUAUUGGUGUUAUUAUUAUUAUUACUUAUUGUAAAACAAUAAAUUUUAAAAGCCUUAAGUAUGCAUAAAUGGCAAUAAUGAAAUAAUAAAAUACAUAAUAUAUAAAAAAGUAAGAAUUAAAAAAAAUGAAAAAAAAAUUACCUGAACCGAACCUGUCAACGGUCCUGUCAACGUUGGUUUGAUAGGCGAUCAAUUUGAUUGUUUGGUGGUUUGAUCCGGUCUGAUUGAAUCGGUUCAGAGCUGUUAGAGGAAACAGGUUAGCGGAUCGGUUGCGUAGAUCUCAAGUCAAGUCACGAGCACAUGUGGAUCCUUCCCCCUCUAAGCGAUGUCGUUUUGUUCCUUUGUUUUUAUAUAAAAGCCACCUUUUUUGUUUAAGAUCAUUUUUCCCUCCCCUAAAAAAAAAAAACGUUUCAGCCUUUAAAAAAAUCCUCUGGCCUUUGCUGAAAUCUAGUGUCGUGCCAUCACGUCGGCCGCUGCUGAGGUUCACCAUCGAUGAUGGUCGUCGGUGACCAGAAAUGAAAAAAAAUUCUGGAAGUUCUCCUCAGCUUCCUCUUUCCAAAUUUGACAUCCUUUUUGCCGAAACAGUCUCGAUGCGAACAAAUUAGACUUUGAAGGUUUUGUUCUCUCUUUUUCUUUUUUGAAAACUCAAACAAACAAUCUCCUUUUUUGUUGCAAGAGAGCUUUGGUGCUGAGGUUCUUCCCUACGGGGAGGACUGUGUUGUUUGUUUUUCUUUUUUUUUGGGUUAGGUGUGUAGGGACUGUUUGCUAUCUUCUGGUGGGAGAAAGUCUGGUGGGAGUGUGGGAAAGCUUUUGGGUUUUUUGGUGUUUAAGUUUUUUGUUUCUGUUUGAGAGUUCGAGAGCCUGAAAGGGGAAAUGUUAGGUGCUUUAUAGGGCUAGGAAUGGUGGUGGUAGGUAAGGCAUGUGCCUGGCAAGGUAUGGGUGCCAUGACAGGGUAAGGUUGGUGGUUCUAGGCAGUUGGGGCAAGUGAAGUGUAGGGGCUCCUAUGGGAUUAGGAAUGGUAAUGGCAGGGGUGUGUGUGGAUAGGCCAGUGCCAUGCACGGCACCAUGCCUGUCCCUGUCCAAACUUUUUCUUUUUCCUUUUUUUUUUUAAAUUUUUUUAAUUUUAAUUAAACCAUUAUUAUUAUUAUUAUUAUUAUUAUUAUUACACAAGAAUUGACAAUUGUAGACCCGUAAAAAAUUUGGUGUCUACAGGUACGUACUUCAUAGUGUUCAUGCUAAUAGAAAGUUUGUAAAAGUAAUAUAAGAUUAAUUUAUCAAUUACUCAACUCGAUUUGAUAAUUCGUAUAUUUAUAUCAUCUAAAACAUUUCAUGUAUUAAUAUCAUGUUUUAUACAAAAAUUGGGUAUUACAUUUCAUAUCAAUAUGAAAAAUAUUUUUUAAUUUUUGUUAAACCAAUAUAUGAUUUUUAUUAAAAUUUUAACCUAUAUUACUUUCAUAUCCUUUUUUAUUGUUUUCAUAUCAUAUUAUUAUAUCAAAUUUUAAAUUGUCAAAUCUAGCCAACACCUUAAAAGAUAAAGGUUGUAAUACGUUCAAUUUUUAUAAGAUAUAUUCUUCACAAUAAAUUAUCAAUAGUCGCAAUUUCAUAUUAGAUUGUUUAAUUUAAUAAUAAAUAUAUAUUAUUAUGAGAUAAAUGGACAUAUCGUUUAACUAAUCAUUCGUGAAUAUGAUCAAAUUAUGUUUGUUUAUUAAGUUUAACAAAUGAUUAUAACAACAUUUCAAAGUUUUGGUGCAACUAUAAAAUUUUGGUGUCAUACAACGAUUACAAACGAUUGUAAAAAUACUGAUGGAAUAAUUUCUGUUGGUAUAGCGUCGAUAAAUUUUUGGUGCAGUUAUAAAAUUUUGGUGUCAUGCAUACGAAUCAAAAUUCUGUCAAUAAUAAUGUAGAUAUGUAUUUUGCUGAUGGAAUAGAGAUGAAAAAUAUUCUGUCGGUAAUUAAUUUUGGUAAAAAAAAUUUUAAAUUAAUAAAUAAAAUUUUAUAUUUUAAUUUUUUAAAUCAAUUUUAAAAAUAUCGAAGAAAUUUUGGUCGAUAUUCCGUUGGUGAUUUUCACUUAGGAAUAAAAUCCCUAACUCUUCUCUUAACAUUUAUCUCCCUCACUCAUGGUUCUCUUUUCCUACCCCCUCAACUAGACAGUCAUCUCCCUUCUCUAUCCUCAAUUCCUCACAUCCGACGGCCUUCCUCCCCUGAUGGCCAUUCUCCUCCACCAUUCACUGCUACAAAAAAAUUUGUGACUAAGAAUUUCUUAAAAACCAAUAAUCGAGGAAGCUUUAGGUGAAACUAUAUAUACUUUUAAACUGAUGCUUCUUUUAAUCUUUUUUAGAGCCACACAAGCACUAAAGGAGAAGAAAUGAUAUGCAUUGGUGAUCGGAGAUAGGCAUAAUGGCUUGAUAGCCACGGCUUACUUGGCUUGUGGCAGCUUGUCCAUUGCUGUGCUUGAGCAGUACCUGUCCAUAGAAGCUUCAGGUGAAUUUUUUGUUUUUUAAUUUUUGUUAAUAAUAUCAGUUUUUUGUAUGGCAUUGAAAUUAAAAAAAAAAAAGGAAGAAUUAAAGAGACGUGUUUGAAUUUGUUGAAACUGAUAAUGACAGCGUUUACUGAUUGGCUGAACAAUUUAAAGAAAAGCAAGAUUUCGAGGAAAAUGAAAUCUCUAAUUUCUUUGAGACUAUGUGUCAUGAAUCAUGCUCUCUAAAUUGUCUCAAAUUUGUAUUUUAUUUUUACGGUCUCCUUCCACUUUUCAACAAAUCAAAUAGAACUUUGAUGUUUUUUCUAGGUUUUGAUGUAAAGGUAAAGUUGAAAUUCAUUUUAUCUUUUUAAAUUUUCCAUCAAGUAUCUUUUCUAUGCAAUUUUAAACUUUGAUUUGUGAUGAACUAGAGCCACUCAGAAAGUUGACUCAAUUUGUUGAAACACCAAAUCAUCUGAUUUGAGAUAUAGUAUGGUACAAAGGAACUGAAAAUGCUUACUUAUUAUAAGCCAAUAAAUAACAUAUUUAAAUUUACUAUGCUCUUAUUGAGGUUUGUUUGUAAUAAAUGAGUUGAGAAUCUUUUGUUUUGUUGCUAAUUAAGGUUAUGGCUAAUUGAAUUAAUAUAUUUAACAUCAUUUAGUGUUAGCAAUAAGCCAUUUUACAAUUUUAUGAACCAUUGUCAAAUGUGAAUUGGUGUUUUUCAUUUUCUAUGCUUUUAAUUGAAUUUAACUUUUAUUUCUAGUACUUAACUAAUUCAUCUAUUGGUUCUUUGUCUUCACUUUUCCUGCAAUUCAUCUAUUAACUAAUGGCUUCUAAGCGACCACGGUCCAAGCUUGAGCAUAAGACAAGAAGUAGGUGUCGAAAGGUAAUAGUGUCUAAGGUUUUUAUAGCUCUCUUUUGUGGUCUUUUAUAUUGUUAUUAUUGUUGUUAGUGUCAUCAUCCAUGAACAUACAUGUGUCACGGACUUAAGAAAGAGUCAUGAAUCUCAUAUCGAACAUAAUAGGAGGGUCAUUGGGGUAUAAAAAGGUUCACACCACCUCUUCCUUGUGAGGCGCCUUUUGUAGGACAAAACCGUGAGGCCAAGGGGGCCAAAGCGGACAAUACCUUACAAGGGUGUGAACCCUAGCAGAUAGGCUGAUCUGGGAUGCCAGAAGAGUGCAUGCCCGGGUCCCGGAACCGCGCGGGUCGGAGCUUAAGUCUCGACCCGUGACACAUGCACAUGCUUAACUGUAAAGAAGUUUAAAGAUUAAAUCUUUGUGGAAACUUAAUCAUUUUAAGAGUGAAUUUAUAUUGAGUUUUUGCUCAACUGUCAUGAACUUUUUGUUGUACCUUAGUUUAUAAAUUGCUUUUGGCUGGAAGCAAUUAGUAGUUAUUUUCUAAUACAAGUGAGGUUUUCUUUUGAUUUGUGCUUUUUAAGUUCCAUUAAUAAUUAAGGUUUGAAUUCAUCUCCUAAUUGUAAAUAAAAAUCAGUUUUGUAAAUGUUCUUCAAGAAUAUCUACCUACACAUAAAUGAGUAAAUCUUCCAGGAACGUGGAAAAGAAGAAUUUUAUAUCCUAAACACUCCGUGAUGCAUGACAAUUUGCUUGGCAUUAGUGCUAACAUGGUGCUUGUCUAAGAUGAAUUUUGUUUUGUUUUGCAUAUUCUGCUUGGCAUCAUUUUGUUUUGUUUCCAAUAUCAUUUAUCUCGGCCUUUUGUUUGCUUAAUAAGGUUUUGCAAUAUAUCUUGUAUGCAUCCAAAAUUAUGAAUUUUUUUUAGUUCAUGUCACGUGAUAUUAUUUUAAUAAAGCUUCCAAAUUUGUUAUGCAAAUAGAUUGCUUUAGUAAUUGAGCCCAAGAAUACGGAAGCAAGUACUAUGUACAGACAAGUUUAGGAGGUGCGGGCAACGGCCAAUGUCAAGUUCAAUUGCUUUGGUUGGAAUUUUGUGUGAUAAAUUUUUAUGAGCUUGAUUUAGAGUUUGUAUGUUCUCUUGGUGAUGCGGCUAAAAAUAGUUAAUUGUUUUAUUUUCUGAUAAGGAAGUUAAUGAUUGAAUAUGAUGGACGACCCAACGUUAAAAGGUAGUCCUUGAAGUGAGCAGACUGUGGUUGCCACUCCAACAAUUGCUUCAACUCCAACAAGACCAGAAUCCAACAAGUCCUUCUAGUCAAUCUUGUUCUGCGCUUAUUUUAGUCAGUUGUUGAUAUGUUUGCUUUGGUAACUAUAUUUAAGAACUUGAACCGGUGAAUAUUGGUUCUUGUAGACUGCAAGAAAAUGAUACCUCAGGAUUGUAAAAUAUUAUUAUUCAUGUAAUUACUUAGAAACUAAAUUAAAAAAACUAAAAUAAAAUGAGAGAAUUUAUAAACAAAGUAGAAUUAUAUAUGAUUAAAAAACAAGUAUUACCGAUGGAAUUUUAACUAUUGAGGAUGGAGGGUGUUUUUUAUAAAAUUGAAAAAAAUUAUUAAAAUAAUAUACAAACUGAAAAUUUUAUUGGUAAAACAAAAAAUUUGGUGGUAAAUUAUAGAAGAAAUUAUAUCAUCAACUUCGUUUAUAUUGAAGAAAUUUUUGUUGGUAAAUUUAUCAAUAAUAUUAUUACAAACAAAAAAUAAAAUAUUAUCAAUAAAAAUUUUCAUCAAUAAUACUUCAUUUUUUGAUAAUGUUAAAUGAACAAAUAAAAAAUAUAACAAAAUUUGUUCAUGUUUAGUUUGUUUGCAUCUCUAAUAAUAUAUUUAAAAAAUUAAGUUAAAAUUCUUCCGAAAUAAAAAAAAUUUAAAAAAAUUUGAAUGUGUUUAUGCACUCAGAAGAUAUUAUUUGUUAAUUAAAAGUUUUUGAUAGCAUUCUUUUUUAAUAUUUUUCAGUCCAAUUUAAACAAGUUAUACAAUUAACGAGAAUUACCAUUGGAUCUUGAUACAAACUUAAAAAAGUAACAGAUAAGAAUAACAAAAUAAAAUUGAGUUUUAAUAAUCUAUUAAGUAUCAAACUUAAAAUUAAUUAAUAAUAGGUAAAGGGAAUUCAACUUGAAUUUAAACCACAAAAAAUUCACUAUUUAACGAAAAUGGGAUAUCAUUACUUUUAACAAUGGAGUGCUUGGGAAGGUUACGGGAGACUUACGAGAGAAAACUUGACCGAGUAGACUCUUUCUUUUCCCUACUUUUCUGAUCCAGCUUGACUAAUUCAGGUUUUUUUCCUUUUCUUUUGAUCCAUUUGAGGGAAUACAAUAUGGAUUGCAACCUUCUUCUUUGAAUCAAAUAUAUAUUCUGUGGAAGGUAAACUCAAAAUUUGUUCAAUCAAAUUAAGAAAAAAAAUCAAAUUUGAUUUAAAAAUUAAAUCAUUAAUGAUGAAUGAAAAUGUAAGAUUACAUAUAGUUGAUUGGACGGCAAAAAUAUCUUUAUUAGCCAUCUUAUUGUGAUCCUUCUCUUUUUCCAUAAAUUAUUGCUUGCAUUCCUCCUCAGUUUCUCAAACAAAUUAAAAGAGAGCAAAUUUUGAUUCCAACAAUAACACUAGGCACACAACACUACAAAUUAUCUUUAAUAUAAUUAAAUAGAAAAAGGCGACAUUAGAGGUUAGCUCUAGCUGAUGAUUAAGAAAAAAAAUUCAUACAAAAAUUUCAAAUUCUGUUCUCUUUUAAAAUAAAAAUAAAAUUUCAAAACAUAUACUUUAGUUUUCUAAAUAAAUUUAAAAAUUUUUCCAAAUUUUUAUAAAUUCAAAAAUUUUUACUAAAAAUCAAAUUGUCCUAUUUAGUUUUUCCAAAUUUAUAUUAUCCUACGUGAAAUUUUUAAAAAAUAAAAUAUAAAUAUUUUCCAUAUCAACAACAUAUGACAAAAAUAAAUUUUGGAAGGAAUAUUCUAUUUUAAUCCAUGGAUGAUUAAAAUCACAUUAAAAAUAUAAUAAAGUGGUAAAAUUAUACCAAAAAAGGUAAAAUAUAUAUGGGAUUCUAAGUUUUGACUUCUAAUAUCAAGAUUAAUUCUCCUUUUGCAAGAAAUGACGAAGACUGCUAAGCUGAACAUAUAUACACAUACCAUUUCAAUCCAACAUUUUUCAUCAACUUAGUUGUUUUCAUUUAUUUGUAUUCUAGUAAGUAUUUAACUCAGUAAGAUCCCUUCAACUAAAGAACAUCAACUAGGGAAACUUGGUUUUGACAGGCUGUUUGGAAAAAAAAAAAAUCAGUCUAAUUGAAUGAAAUUAUGAUGCAAGGAAUUCUUAUAGCAAUUCUUAUGCCGCAAAAUGAUUUGUGAUUUGUCUAAUGUCUAGAGGGAGGAAGCAAUGCUAUUCAACUGAAAUUCAGAGUUGAUGAACUUUAACGUGACUUCCUUACAGAGACACAAAGACAAUUAAAAUGUGCGCAUUGAUGGUUUAAAAGAUCCUUGUUUUCAAGUCUGCUAGUGGAAAGGACAACAAACUAUAAACUUUUAGCUGAUAACAACAAGACAUAAAUAAACAGGAAUGCUGUCUUAUGUACCCUCAUAGAAAUUUGCAUUCUAAUAUGAUCGCAAUUUUUGGCUGCAAGUCUAAGAAAUUGGGACAAAGUUUUGCGAAAUGCUGCGGCAAAUUAGCAACUGCUUCAUUCACUGGCAUCUUCUCAAACUCACAUUCAUUUCUUCAUCUCCCUCCUCUCAAAAAGGGGUGUUUUCAACUUCUUUGUCAAGACCACCACUCUAUAGCACUACCAAUUGGCCAUGUUGUUUGUUGAGCUCCAGUAGACUCUUCCACUAUAUUUUCAUCAAUUGAUCGGAUUGCCUGCAAAACAAAUUAAAGCAUGGCAUGUGAAGAACAAGAAGCAUGUAUAAUUCAGUAAAUUGAAAUAAUAAUGCAACAAGGACCAUUGAAUGAACCCAAUAAGAAAGAUUGCCAGCCAAUUACAUUUUGAAUUUCAUUAGGAAUUAAAACAAACACAUGGAUGACAAAUUUCAAUUGAAAUCCAUAACAAGUUCCCUUGAACACACGAGAUUAGUAUUGCAUAAUCAAUAAAGCUGAAAGAGGAAAUAAAAGCAUGAAAAAUGUACAACAGGUGAACCUCUCUGUUCAUAAGCUUAUCCAAGUUCAGCUAUACAAAAAGCAGGGCAGCUUUUGAUACUUUUAUAUUGAGAGUUAGGAAGCGUAGCGUACCUCUGUUUUGGCAUGCCCAGAUUGCUCUGAAUCAACACUAAAGCUUGUGGUUAUAUUGGGACAACCUGUUACAGAUAAAGAUUGCAAAGAUGGGAAUACGAAAUGAUAACCCACAGGGCUGAAGCUCACAAGGUUCGGUAGCUUUUCAAGACCUAAGGUGCCCAAUUGAGGUAACUGUAUCACUUUCUCUUUUUCCUCGCUACCAUUUGCCUCAUCUCCUGAUUGCUCAAAUACUUGUUCUAAUUUGGAGACAUUCCGAACAGUUAAGGAUUGCAGUUUUGGAAGGCCAUAAGCAACACUCUUCGGAAAGAGACUUUUCAAGUUUUCGCAUUUGUAAAUCCGUAUUUCAGUCAGAUUAGGGAGCCAUAUGGGUUGGAGAUGAUGACCUUCUGAUGAAGUUUGACCAUCCUUUUCAAUAAUUUGCUCCAAUUCCUCACACUCAUUUACCCAUAAAGAGCUCAAUUGUGGCAAAUUUCGAGCAAUGGUUGGUGAUAAGAUAUAUCUUAACCUUCCACAUCUAUAGACAUUCAAAUCAGUGAGGUUUUGAAAGUUGACAACUUGGAUGGGAUCUUUCCAUGCCACCCGCAAUUCAGGUAGAUCACCCAAUAUUAGUUCCUUCAAACUUGAAAGAUUAU